rnacentral:lncRNA from 1 species
CAAAACAACCUAUUCACAACCUUCAUGCGGAGGUUGAAAUCGUUACUUCUUGGCUGAGUGAAUUUGAAGAUGAUAUCUCCUGCCUUCGGAUGCAAAAGAUGGGACACAGAGAAAUUGAAAACCCAAAUCUGGCGACCGUUAUGGACGAAAUCAAUUGCUUUACGUAUGAAUCUGAGAAGGUGAUUGACACAUUCAUCAACAGCAUCAGUGAACAGAAGAGUCAAAGCAGCUGCAGCGAGGAUAUUUUUGAUGCUCUGCAAGGACUCCAAAGCAGAAUCACUGAUAUUAAGCAACGGAUGCAACAACUUAAGCACAUGGAUUCCGAAAUCAUUGAUCGCAUCAAAACUUUUGAAGCUGAAGCCGCUAUAUCUUCAUCUUCUAAAAGUAGGGACACCGUGGGUCUAGAUGAUAGAAUGGAGGAGUUGUUAGAUCUAUUGAUCGAGGGACCACCUCAGCUUUCAGUGGUGGCCAUACUUGAUAGCAUUGGGUUGGACAAGGCGGCUUUCGCCGGAGAGGCUUACACCAGCAGUUAUGCGAAGCAUUAUUUUGAUUGUCACGCUUGGGUUCCAGGGACUUAUCCGUAUGAUGCUGACCAAAUGUUAGAUAUCGUUAUUAAGUUUCUGAUGCCUUCAUCUAGGUUGAGUGAAAUAAUGGAUAAAAAUUAUGAAAUGAAAAAAAUAAUUCUUAAUGAAUAUCUAAUGACUAAGCGGUAUUUGAUUGUGCUUGAUGAUGUGUGGAGCACAGAUGAAUUGGAUGCUAUUCGAGAAACCCUUCCGGAUAAUCAGAAUGGAAGUAGAGUAUUAAUAACACUCACUGAAAUUAAGCUGGUCACCUCAUUUCAGCUCGAAGACGGAGAGAACAUUCGGCUUGAUUUAGUGCCCACUGGAGGACCAUUGAGAGCUACAUACCAAGAAUGGCCUUUCCUCAUCUUAUAUCAUGGAAGCAUCUCAUUAGAAGAAAAUAUAACGGAAGCAGUGGAGAUACCCCUUGUGCUUCGGUACUUCAAAUGUUGCAGUUUACCUUUUUGCUUGAAACUUUGUUUUCUCUACUUAUCUGUGUUUGCCGCACACCUAGAGAUAUCCACCAGGCAGUUAUAUCAGUUGUGGAUAGCUGAAGGUUUCAUUCCAGACAAUAGUGAGGCAACUGCUGAGAGUUACUUAGAACAACUAAUCAAGGAAGGCUUUGUUGAAGCAAAGAAGAGAAAAGCCGGAGGCACUAUCAACACAUGCUCUAUUCCUGGCUGUUGGCGUCCCGUAUUGCUCUUAGUUCCUCCUGAGGUGGAAUUCAUCUUUUCCCCUUCUAUCGAUAGAGAAUCAGGAAAAAAAGCCAAACGGUUAAACGCUGUUGAAAGAGAGGGUGAUUUUGCUUGCUUAGAUGAUUAUGACUCGCAACUGCAUUCUUUGUUGUGCUGCUCUCGAGAAAGCUGCCACUUUGACCCCGUAGAUUGGGAGAAAAUUUGUGGAAUGUUCAAACUUCUCAGAGUAUUGGAUUUGGGAUCUCUUGUUCUCAUCCAAUAUCCAUCCGGAAUUGAAAAUUUAUUUCUUUUGAGAUAUUUGAAGUUGAAUAUCCCUUCCCUCAAAAGCCUGCCUUCCUCAUUAUUAAGCAAUCUUCUGAACCUCUACACCCUAGACAUGCCCUUUAGCUAUAUAGAUCAUACGGCAGAUGAAUUUUGGAAGAUGAACAAACUCAGACAUCUAAAUUUUGGGUCAAUCACACUUCCUGCGCAUCCAGGAAAAUACUGUGGCUCUCUGGAAAAUCUAAAUUUCAUUUCAGCCUUGCAUCCUUGCUGCUGUACUGAAGAUAUAUUGGGCAGGCUACCUAAUCUUCGAAAUCUCCGAAUACAGGGAGAUUUAAGUUAUAAUCAAUCUUUGUUGUCCAAAAGUCUCUGCAGAUUGAGCUGUCUCGAGUCGUUGAAGCUUGCGAAUGAAAGCAAGAUGCCACGGCUCUCCAAAAUCGCUCUUGCUGAAUACCUAUUUCCUCAUAGUCUAACCCACUUGAGUUUUUCUAAUACUGUCCUAAUGGAUGAUCCCAUGCCGACACUAGAAAAGCUGCCGCUUCUUCAAGUGCUCAAACUGAAGCAAAACUCGUAUUCAGGUAGAAAGCUGACUUGUGGCUCUUAUGGUUUUCCGAACCUCAAGGUGUUGCACCUGAAAUCAAUGCUAUGGCUAGAGGAGUGGACUAUGGGGAAUGCAGCCAUGCCAAAACUAGAAUGCUUGAUUAUCAACCCUUGUGCUUACUUGAAAAAGAUGCCUGAACAGCUCUGGUGCAUAAAGAGCUUAAACAAGUUCGAUUGCUGGUGGCCUCAGCCAGAGCUGAGACAAAAGCUACGGGAAUUUGAGUAUAAGGAGCAGUAUGGCGUUCAGCUUUAUCCUUACGGAAUUUGAUUAGCCCCUAUUGAAUUUGAUGUAUGUUUCUCGUUUAACCCAAUUUCUUCAAAUUUUAAUUAUUUAUCAAAUUUCAUAUACUUUUUUUUCCCUCUUCUCUUCAAUAUAAAGAUGGUUAUACAAAGUGUUUUCUUCUGAUUUGUCUCAACAUUAAGUACCCUUUAGAGUUUCCGAUACUCACCCUAAUCAUCAAGCCCUCUUUAGCGGCAGCGGAGACUUAAAUACUCUUCCACAUUCAACCAUGAGCCUAGCAGACCUCGGCGUUCAUUUGUUUUAAUAGUUAAGAAAAGAAAUUUAAUUUAAAAUUCUUAUUUUUCACAAUUUCUUUAAUGGCUUGUGCAGGUGAAAUCAGAGCAGAAAACAUCAUGACUGCAGCACGAGCUUCAAUUUCAACCAGAAUCCUUUCCGUCUUCACUUCUGCUGCCUACACAAAUAAAUCCUGAUCCUACGGUGGUGGACUUUUUUUUGGAUUCUUUGUUUCCGCUGUCUAUCCAUAAAUAAGAUAUUUCGUUUCGGAUUUUCAGUUGAGAGUUCAUUGAUUUGUGCUUCAGCCUUGGUUCGUUAAUUGUGUACAAAAAAUAAAUAAUAUCCGUGAUGCUUUCUAGUGUUGGGUUCAGUUGAAUGUAUUUUCUGUCUUUGUUCUGUUGCUAGCUCUGAAAUCCUGUUUCAGAGGCUGGGCAAGUUUGGCACUCAAUGUGUUUCGUUUAUUUCCAGAAAAGAUUAAUUAUUGAUGAACUUCAUACUUGGCUGAAUCAGUGGCGGACCUGCAGCAAGGCUAGACCGGGCUGUAGCCCGGUCAAACUUAGGAAAAAAUCAUUCAUACCCCUUAUUUUACUAUCAAUUAUAGACAAUAAUAGAGAUUUUAUUUUGUUUUCAUACAUGUCCCUAAUAUAAUUAUCCUUAUAUUUUCAUUAAUUUUAUACUAUAAUGGAGUUUUUAUUUUAUUUUUAAAUAUGUCCUUAAUUCAAUUAUAUUUUUUUCCAAUUGAAAUUAUUGACUUAUUUUAUAAAAUGAGUAAAUUAUAUAUUUACUAGAUAGAUAAAAAACAUUAGGGGGUAAAAUGUUAUUACUUUAAUUUAUUUUUAAAAAUUCUAAUUGAAAAAAAGUAUGUCAAUCUAAUAUAAAAUUGUCACUAGUAUUAAACUACUUAAAAAAAACAUGUAGUAACAAUUAUCAGCAUUUUCAUAAACUUUUUAUGUAAAUUUUGAGAUUUUAUUUAUUAGUUAUAUUAACUAAGAUAAAAUUUGAAUAUUUUGAGGAGCUUUAAUUUGAUAGAAAAAUCAUCAAGAACUGGUUCUUUAAAGAGACUCAGAGCGUUUGGCAAAGAAACAACAACACCCAAAUAUAUUUUUGUUAGGUUGAAUUUAGUUUAUAAUUGAAACUUUUGACUAAUAAUAUUUUUAUAAUUUAAAAAGAGGAAUAAAUUUGAAUUGUUUAAUUUAUUGAAACCUGGUAAUUAAGUACUUGACUUCAAACAUUAAAGUUUUCCUUCAAUUUUUAAUUGAUUGUAAUUACAUGUAUUCAUUUAUUUCAACUUAAAAUCCUUAAUUAAUAUAUUAAACCUUAUAUAAUCCUUGUAUAAUUACAUUUUAUUAGAGUCAGAUUUCAUAAUUGUAAAAUAGUGUUUUAUUUUUUUAAUUGCUUUUGUUUUCUACUCUUUUUAUAUAACUAUUUUUGUUUAUAACUUAUAGCGAUAAAAUUUUUCGUGCCCCCCUUAUUUGAUGCAGUUUUUUCUACUUAUAAAUUUUUAUGUUCACUUUAAAAUAUAAAUUUUUUAAUUUAGCCCGGAGUAAUACAAAUUCCUGGAUCCGCCCCUGGGCUGAAUGUCUUAGUAAACGUUCUCGUGGAAAAAUCCUAAUACCCGCUUAGGCACUACAGUAAGGCAGAGAUACUAAUACUACUUUGCAUGUGUUGAUUGAUUAACAGCUUUGUUCUCUGCUGCUCUUUCUUUAUCUGAUACAGAAAAUUCCUUCAAUAUGAUUGCUAGUUGCUACUAACUAUAGAAGUAUUCCUCCUUUGGCUCGUUCUAUGGAGUAUGAGAGACAUAUUACUGAGAUUGAGCCACGCUUCAUUACCUUCCCGGAGAAAGUUGAAGUUUGGGCUGUGCUUUUGGAACUGGGAUGAAGAGCGGCAGCAAAAUGAUUACAAGAAUUGCCAUUUAGAGGGGCAUUUUUGUGACUACUGAUGUGUCCCUCUAAUGGAUCAAUAAAUUGAAACCACGUCAAGGCUAGAAAAAGGCCGUGUUAUAGUAAGCAGUGACUUUCAAUAAUAGAACUUUGUGUGCAAGUGUGUGCAUUCGAGAAACUAAGUGUUAGUUUUUAUACAGCCAUAGCCUGCAGUAUAUGCGCGAGCCUCCAAGAUAUAUUUUGCAUUGAGCAUUGACACGAUAUGGAUACAUCAAACAUUUUUAGUAGAGCAUGCAUGAAACCAUCUAUAAAAUUCAAGAAGGUAUAAUUGCAAUCCCUCGUUCAAAUUUAUAACGAAUCAAUUAUGAAAAUAUUCAGAGCGAAAUUCAAGGAGUAUACUCUAUUAAAUUAUGUUGUAUAUUAGAUCACAUGUUAAAAUAGUUAUCAAGAUAUGCAUGUAUAUACGUAUUUGCAUGAAUAAAAUGUACUGCGACAUUAUGUAAUGCAUUUGAGUGGGCAAAGGAGGAACUUUAUCACUUGCAACUUGCAAGGCUUUUUUGUUUGUGGUUACCCUAACCAAUUUGCUUGAAUAUAUGCUGCAAGAGCCUUUUUUAUUGCUACCAUAUUAUUGCGGACCGCCCAAUUCGCUAGCCCAAUUGCCCACAAUUUCGGGCUAGAGAGCCAACACAAGGCCAAGAGUGCUAGCUUGGCCCAAUUCCGGAAACUUCUAGGCAACUCUAGCACACGAGCUUGUAAAUACUCUAGAAUUCUCCUUAUGAUUCCAGCACAUGUAAAUAGCUAGGAAGUGGUAGAAUUCUCUAGAAUCUCUAGAGCUUGGCAAGCCUCCCCUAUAAAUAUGGGUGGCAUUAGGCAUUUGUAUCCAACAAACACUACAACAAGCAUUGUAAGCAACUCAAGCAUUGUGAUCUCUCUUUGUGCAAUACAAGUUUCUUCUUUGGCUCAAUUGCUCUCUUCUCUAGUUCGAGAAGCUCUAGGCUUACUUAGCAACAUUCGGCAAAGUUGUCUAAGUGCCGCACGGGUUAGCUGCGCAAAAUACUCAUCCCGUGACAAGUGGUAUCAGAGCUAAGGUUUGCACGCACGCAAGUUAGCUCACGAAGCAAUGGCCAACCCUUCGAAUGUAGCACAAGAGGGUGUUGUUGGUGUGGAUGCUCCACCGGAACCAAGCCACGGUCGUGAGGGAGAACGCGCCCAAGGCAAGACUCGUGGCAAGUCCAAGGCACCAUCCGUGGAUGCGUUGGAGCCUCGUGUGACUACUCUCGAAAUCGCAUUGUCCGCUGCUCAAGAUAGCCUCGAGGGAUUGGAGGAACGAGUGGAUGGUCUCGAGGGGGAAUAUGCUGAGUUCACGGUGGCAGCAAAGGCACUCAUCCAAGAGCAAGCGAACACUCUCCGAGGUGAGUUUCGUUCUUUUCAUGAUGAGUUGCUCAAACUUCGUAGUUUUGUUCAGGACGAACUACGCGCUGUCCGUGCGGAAGUGGAUGAAGUCCGCUCGGAUUGGGCAUGGCACAAGCGCACACUCUCCGCUAGUCCAGCUUCCGCAAACUCGAGUGAUGCGCACUGCAUUGACGUGCCAAAGCCCGACACCUACGAUGGCACACGCAACGCCACAAUCGUGGACAACUUCCUAUUUGGGCUUGAUCAAUACUUCGAUGCCAUGGGCGUCCGAGACGAGGCAUCGAAAGUGGGCACUGCACCCACCUAUCUUAGAGGCGCCGCACAACUAUGGUGGCGUCGCAAGCAUGGCGAGAUGGGCAAGGGCAUUUGCACCAUCGACACUUGGGCUGACUUCAAGCAAGAACUCCGAAAGCAGUUCACCCCAAGCAAUGCGGAGAAGGAAGCGCGAGCGUACUUACGUCGCCUCAAGUAAUCGGGUAGCAUUCGGGACUACAUCAACGAGUUCACUACCCUUAUGUUGGAGAUAAGCGACAUGUCCGACAAGGAUUCACUCUUCUACUUUCAAGAUGGCCUCAAGGAUUGGGCCAAGACCGAGCUUGAUAGGCAUGGUGUUCUAACACUUGAUGACCCCAUUGCAGUUGCGGAGUCGCUCACCGAAUACUCUACCCAAUCCAAAGACAAAAAGGCCAAUCAAGGCAAAGGUGGGGGAGAGAGUCGCAAGGACAAGGGCAACAACCGCAAAGAUUGGGGGCAGAAAAAGCCGCCUAGCAACAAGAGCGGGCAAGGAAAAUCGGAGGGUAAGAAGGAGGCGCCAAAGCCGCGAAGCCCAUGCUUCAUAUGCAAUGGUCCUCAUUAGGUACGCGACUGUCUGGAGAAGAGGUCGCUAAACGCUCUUGUUGCCCAACUCAAGAGCAACCCCACAAUGUCCACGGAGGAACCCCAACUCAGCAUGGGUUCUCUCCAACGCCUCGGUGCAUUCAAUCACCAACAGCCCGCACUCGUUAAGAAAGGGCUCAUGUAUGUUAGCGCAAAGGUAAACGGCCAGUCCGUUGGCGCUCUGCUAGAUACGGGAGCAACGCACAAUUUCGUGUCAGUAGACGAGGCCAAGCACUUAGGCCUCAAGGCCACCAAGGAAGGAGGCACAAUGAAGGCAGUAAACUCACCCGCCAAGACAAUUACGGGAAUUGCACAAGGCGUGCACAUCACGCUCGGUACGUGGAGCGGAAAGCUUGACUUCUCCAUUGUGCCCAUGGACGACUUCAAGAUGGUCCUCGACAUGGAAUUCUUCGACCAAGUCCAUGCCUUCCCGCUGCCCGCAACAAACUCCCUAAGCAUCCUCGACGGGAGCAAAGCAUGCAUGGUACCCACAGAGCGAGGCAAGUCCAAGGAGAAGACACUCUCCGCCAUGCAAUUCAAAAGGGCUUUCAAGAAGGACCCAAGCUUCUUGGUCUCCAUUCAGGAACUAAACGAGGAAGGAAAUAGCGAACAUCGCCAAGCCAAGUCCCUCUGCGAAUUCAAGCCGUCCUCGAUGAGUACAAGGACGUGAUGCCUCCAGAACUUUCGAAGAAGCUCCCACCUUGACGAGAGGUAGAUCAUGCGAUCGAGCUAGAACAAAGCGCGAAGCCACCAGCCUUGGCGCCCUACCGCAUGGCGCCACCCGAAUUAGAGGAGUUGCGGAGACAACUCAAAGACUUGUUGGACGCAGGCUGCAUUCCCCCCUCAAAGGCCCCAUUCGGUGCACCCGUGCUCUUCCAAAAGAAAAAGGAUGGAUCGCUGCGGAUGUGCAUCGACUAUAGAGUGCUCAACAAGAUCACCAUCAAGAACAAGUAUCUGAUUCCAUUGAUUGCGGACUUGUUCGACCAGCUUGGGAAAGCGCGGUACUUCACCAAACUUGACUUGCGCUCUAGGUACUACCAAGUGCGCAUCGCCAAGGAAGACGAACCGAAGACAGCGUGCUCAACAAGGUACGGGUCUUUCGAGUUCCUUGUGAUGCCUUUUGGCCUUACUAAUGCACCCGCCACAUUUUGCACACUCAUGAACAAGGUGCUCCAACCAUUCCUCGACCGCUUCGUGGUCGUGUACUUGGAUGACAUAGUGGUGUAUAACACCACGCUCGAGGAUCAUGCCCAAUACUUGCAACAAGUCCUCCAAGUACUCCGAGACAACGAGCUCUUCCUCAAGUUAGAGAAAUGCUCGUUUGCACAACAAGAAGUGGAGUUCCUUGGCCAUAAGAUUGCGGGCGGGAAGAUUAUGAUGGAGAACGCCAAAGUAAAGGCCAUCCUCGAUUGGGAGCCUCCCUCGAAAGUGCCCGAGCUUCGCUCAUUCCUUGGGCUGGUGAAUUACUACCACCGCUUCAUCAAGGGCUAUUCGGCCAAGGCGGCACCCUUGACGGAUAUGCUCAAGAAAAACAGAACGUGGCAUUGGUCCGAAGAAUGACAACGCGCAUUCGAGGAAUUGAAGAAGGCAAUUUCGGAGGAACCCGUCCUCGCUCUUCCGGAUCACACAAAGCCCUUCGAAGUUCAAACGGAUGCCUCGGAUUUCGCCAUAGGUGGAGUCCUCAUGCAAGAAGGUGACCCCAUAGCACUCGAGAGUUGAAAGCUAAACGAUACGAAACGCCGCUACACAGUGCAAGAGAAAGAGAUAACAGCCAUCAUCCAUUGUCUAAGAGUGUGGCGACAUUACUUGCUUGGCUCACACUUCACAAUCAUGACGGACAACGUAGCGACGAGCUACUUCCAAACUCAAAAGAAGUUGAGUCCGAAGCAAGCACGGUGGCAAGAUUUCCUAGCGGAAUUCGAUUAUCGGCUCGAGUAUAAACCGGGCAAGGCCAAUGUCGUUGCGGAUGCUCUAAGCCGCAAGGCAGAAUUGGCAACACUUAACAUGAGCCAACCGAAGUCCGACCUUGUCUCACGCAUCAAGGAAGGCCUCCAACGAGAUCCGCUAGCAAAUGACUUGCUGGAGAAGGUGCUUGAGGGAAAGACAAGGCGCUUUUGGCAAGAGGAAGGCAUCCUCCUCACCAAGGGAGAUCGGCUGUUCGUGCCAAGGUGGGGAAACCUACGGAAGGAAGUAAUCAAGGAGUGCCACGACUCUAAGUGGGCUGGUCACCCAGGAAUCGAGCGCACCACCGCACUAGUCCAAGCCUCGUAUUUUUGGCCGCACACGAGGGACGAUAUCGAGGCCUAUGUGCGAACUUGUCUUGUGUGCCAGCAAGACAAAGUGGAUCAUCAACUUCCAGUGGGAUUAUUGGAACUGCUACCAAUAGCAACAAGGCCAUGGGAAAGUGUCUCCAUGGACUUCAUCACAUCACUGCCCAAGUCCGAAGGUUGCGAUAGUAUCAUAGUUGUUGUCGACUGAUACAGCAAGUAUGCCACAUUCAUUGCCGCACCAAUCGAUUGCAAAGCGGAUGAGGCAGCCCGCUUAUUCGUCAAACAUAUUGUGAAGCUUUGGGGAGUUCCAAAGAGCAUUGUGAGCGAUCGAGACCCUCGAUUCACUGGGCGUUUUUGGACGGAGCUCUUUAAGAUAUUGGGGACCGAUCUCAAGUUCUCGACAAGUUUCCACCCACAAACGGAUGGGCAAACCGAGUGCAUUAAUGGCCUCCUUGAGAUGUACUUGAGGCAUUAUAUGAGCGCUCACCAGCGGGAUUGGGCGAAGCUACUCGACAUCGCCCAAUUUUCUUAUAACUUGCAACGAAGCGAGGCUACGGGCAAGAGUCCGUUCGGGAUCAUCAUGGGAUUCCAGCCCAUGACCCCCAAUGCCAUAGCCUCGACUUACGGAGGGAAAAGCCCCGCGACAUACAAGCUCGCCCGCGAAUGGCAUGAGGAAGCAGACAUCACGCGAACCUGCCUCGACAAAGCCGCGAGGAAAAUGAAGAAAUGGGCGGAUACAAGGAGACAACAUGUUGAGUACAAGGAAGGUGAUCAAGUCAUGAUCAAGCUCCUACCCCAAUAAUUCAAGACUUUGCGGAAAGUUCACAAGGGGUUAGUGAGGCACUACGAGGGACCCUUCCGAGUUGUUCGACGUGUGGGCAACGUCUCGUAUCAACUCCAACUUCCGCCAAGACUCAAGAUCCAUCCGGUUUUCCAUGUGAGCAUUCUCAAGCCAUAUCAUGAAGACAUGGGAGAACCAAGUCGCGGAGAAUCGAGGCGCGCGCUAACUGCCGUUGUCACCGCAUUCGACAAAGAUGUGGACUACAUCAUUACGGACCGCACGGUUUCGAGGAGGGGCAUGCCAGCACAUAGCGAGUACUUGGUGAAGUGGAAAAACCUCCCCGAGAGCGAAGCCACUUGGGAACGUGAAGAUGAUUUGUGGCAAUUCGCUGAGCACAUUCAACGCUUCAAGCACGAGAAUGCGACGAGGAAGCCGCGAGCUUAGGUGGGGGAGGAUGUUGCGGACCGCCCAAUUCGCUAGCCCAAUUGUCCACAAUUUCGGGCUAGAGAGCCAACACAAGGCCAAGAGUGCUAGCUUGGCCCAAUUCCGGAAACUUCUAGGCAACUCUAGCACAUGAGCUUGUAAAUACUCUAGAAUUCUCCUUAUAAUUCCAGCACAUGUAAAUAGCUAGGAAGUGGUAGAAUUCUCUAGAAUCUCUAGAGCUUGGCAAGCCUGCCUUAUAAAUAUGGGAUGGCAUUAGGCAUUUGUAUCCAACAAACACUACAACAAGCAUUGUAAGCAACUCAAGCAUUGUAAUCUCUCUUUGUGCAAUACAAGUUUCUUCUUUGGCUCAAUUGCUCUCUUCUCUAGUUCGAGAAGCUUUAGGCUUACUUAGCAACAUUCGGCAAAGUUGUCUAAGUGCCGCACGGGUUAGCUGCGCAAAAUACUCAUCCCGUGACAAUAUGCCAUGGUUGUGAACUAAAAGUUUAUUAAAGACAAGAUUUAUGUUAAAAGAUUUUUCAUAACAAGUCUUUUAACACCAUUUAUAUCCACAUCUGUUUAAUAACUGGUCUGUAAUAACCAGUCUUUAUUGCUCUACUCGGAUGUAAAUAGUAAGCAGUCAUAAUGUAUUUGUUGUAUUUAAUUAAAUUAGGUGAUGCAAUUUGGUACAUGCCAAAGAAAAAAAAAAUAAAUGCAGAAAUUUAAUUUGGUUUGUUAGCAUUCCAUUGCUUGGCCAAUUUCCUUAACAUUGAAUGAUUGAAUAAAUUUUUAAUUUUUCAUUUUCAGGAGGUUAUUAGAUUUAUUUGGAGGUAAAUUUGGAAGGAUAUUUAUGAACUAGUUGAAAGCUGACAUGUGAUAUAAGAAAUAAUAAAUAAGAAGUUUAUCGUUGAAAAAAGUGAUACUUUUACUGUUCCCUAUGAACCAAUUAAGGAAUAAAAUUAGCUUACUUAGAUGGACAAAUCUGAAAUAAGAUACGAGAUAACAAGAAAAAGUUAUUUGUCUUCCAACCUAAGGAUAAGGAAACAAUAGGGAAUCAUAUCAGCAGAUACAUCUAGUCAGUAAAAAAUUCCUCGGCAUCUCUAUAAGGGUAAUUUCUACUUUCCUUCCCUAAGGUUUGGUGUAUCUCCACUUUCCUCCCUUACUGUUAGUAUACUGUUUAAAUACCCGUUAGUUGAUUGAAUAAAAGACUUAAAUAUCCUUGAACUAGUAUAAUCAAAGCUAACAAAGAUCUGAUAGGUGAUAGCUUCUUCUGAAAAAUGGCGCCAAGUGUAUAAACAAGACAAAAUGACCAUAUUAUCCCUACCAAAAACUCAAAUUUCUUUGUUGUUUUAGAAAUCAAAGUUUAACAAAAAAGAAAUUUUUUUUAGAAAUAUUAAAGAACACUAACAAUAUUACCCUUGAAUCCAAACAACUAUAUUGGCAGUGAUGUUUUCUAUAUAUUCAUCAUCUCAAUAUCACCAUUUACAAGUGGUUUUCUUGGCAUUUGCAUCACAACCAAAAUAUAAAACAAAACUCAUUCACUGCAAAAAUCAUCCCACUAUUUUGAUUCAUCAUCCAACUCAAUUUCGAAAGAACCAUCAACCAUAAUUUCCUAAAAUAUGGAUGGUUUCUACACUUCUCCUAUAUUUAUAGAUAAGGUAGUUGUUAAAAUCACCAAGAAUUUUUUGAAUAUUCCAAUUCCCUAAUAUGCAGGCGGGGUUAGUUGAGUUUUUCUUCAUUUGUUUUUCAAAAAAUUGGUACUUAUUUAGACAUGAAGGAAAUUUUAAUGAUUCAUAAAUGUUCGUUACAGGUUUCUCUUAUCUUGGGUAUUUGGGGAGCCAAAAGUCAAGGAAAGACAUUCCAAUGUAAAUUCAAAGACAGUUAACUAAAACACCAAUUUGAGUUAACUGAAGCACCAAUUCGUGUCAUCUAUUUUCAUACUUUAAAGGAAAAAAAAAUAUAAAAAUCAUCCCCACAAACCCACAUCACUAUUAACAACAACAUCUCAACUGCAUUUUAACUGAUCCCAUCACCAUUAUAAGCAAAAAAAAAAAAAACAUAAGCAGGGGAAAGUUGUAGUUUUCUAGUUCUUGGCUCUAAUGCAAGUGGAUGAUCUAUAGGUCAUUGACAAUAUUCGCUAAUGGCAGUCCAUUCAGGUAGAUUCAUCAAAUCCGUCCCAGGUGUUAUCGAUUGAGAUUGGUUCUUUUUCAUUUUGUUAACAACAGCUUCUAAUUUCUUGAAAUGAUUUGAGAACAAUUGAAAUAGGUUAUUAGUUUUUUAUGACUUCGAUUCCAGUAGAUGAAAGAGAAAAGCUUAUGAGCUUUUUUGUGACUUCGAUUCCAAAUCCAAUAGAUGAAAGAGAAAAGCAUGUUGUGAGUUAAAACAUAAUGUAUAAAAGGUUGCAUAUGUUGUUACUCUCUCGAUAUUAAUAUGUUUCUAUGACUACACUAUUCUCAAAGCAAAAACUUUUAAAUUUGCCUGAAUAUAUAAUUAAUGAAGUAUGCAAUUACAAAAUUGUCAUUAGUGACUAACCAAAUACGAAGUAGUAUACUAACAGUAAGGGAGGAAAGUGGAAAUACAACAAUAUUUGGGUUGAGUUAAAUGUAUUUUCUGUCUUUGUUCUGUUGCUUGCUCCGAAAUCCUGUUUCAAAGGCUGGGCAAGUUUGGCACUCCAUAUUAGGGGUGGGCAAAAAAACCGUAGUCUUAAAAAAACAAAACCGAACCGACGGUUUUUUCUAAUUCGGUUCGGUUUUUUUUUUUUUAAAAAAAAACCAAACGGUACAAUUUAUAAAAAAAUCGAAAUAUCGGUUCGGUAUUCAGUUCAUUUAACUGAACCGAAAAACUGAAUUAUUUUUAAAUUUUAUUAAAUUAAAUAUGUGUUAAUUUUUAACUGAUUAUGUAAGAUAGCUAACAUAAACUUGCAUAGACACAAUCAGAGUAUAUAUAUAUGUUAGUGUUAUAAUUUCGUAAAUUUUUAUUUCCCAAAAUAAACCCUAAAAUCAAAUAUUCAAAAUCAAAACCCAAUCCAAAUCACCCACCCCAAUCCACUGCAAUCACGGCCGAUGCUGCUCACCGGCGUGACAGCUUCUUCUCCGCUCGCCAGCCACCGCGCGCCAGCCACUUCUCCACUCGAGCCACCGCGUGACAGUUUAUGCUUUGUUCGACGGUUUCUGCUUUGCGCGACAACUUCUUCUCUACUAGCCAGCCACGACGAGUGGAGAAGUGGCUGGCGUGCGGUGGCUGGCUAGUAGAGAAGAAACUGUCGCGCAAAGUAGAAACCGUCGAGCAAAGCAUAAACUGUCACGCGGUGGCUCGAGCGGAGAAGUGGCUGGCGCGCGGUGGCUGGCGAGCGGAGAAGAAGCUGUCGCGACGUGGCUGGCUAGUAGAGAAGAAGCUGUCGCGCCGGUGAGUAGCAUCGGCCGUGAUUGCAGUAGAUUGGGGUGGGUGAUUUAGAUUGGGUUUUGAUUUUGAAUAUUUGAUUUUAGGGUUUAUUUUGGGAAAUAAAAAUUUACGAAAUUGUAACACUAACAUAUAUAUAUACUCUGAUUGUGUGUAUGCAAGUUUAUGUUAGCUAUCUUACAUAAUCAGUUAAAAAUUAACACAUAUUUAAUUUAAUAAAAUUUAAAAAUAAUUUGGUUUUUUGGUUAAGUUAAAUGAACCGAAUACCGAACCGACAUUUCAGUUUUUUUUAUAAAUUGUACCGUUCGGUUUUUUAAAAAAAACCGAACCGAAUUAGAAAAAACCGUCGGUUCGGUUCGGUUUUUUUAAGACUACAGUUUUUUUGCCCACCCCUAAUAAUCAUGUAUAAACUUUAUAAAUCCAAGCAUAGAUUUAAUCGAAUAUUAAUCCUAACAAUCAAUAAUGCAUGACAGAAUUGAUGAAAAGAUUUUAAUAACAUCCAAUUAAUCAUGUAAAAUAAAAAUCAUAAUCAUUAAAGAACAUAUAUAGGGAAUUAAAUAAAUAAAAAGAUAAUUAUUUCAUUGAAUAGAGUUUCAUCCUUAACCUCAGUAUAAGAAAAUUAGCUCGACAUACUUGAAUUAAGAGUAAUAAAAGAGAUAAAACCAGCCAUGGAAGUCGAACUACUGCAGAUUUUCUUCUCUUUGUCUCGCGUUUCCCUCCUCUGGCGGCUCCUCCUUCUUGCAAAAGCCAAAGUUCGACUUUUAUGUUGUAACACCCUCCAAAAUCCUCAAAUCAAAAGGUUUUCAAACAAGCAAAGCACAACCGACUUUGAGCCCAUGCACGUGAAGCCCACUUGGAAUUUUCAUUCUUUUUUUAAUGCCAUGCAAUUGCUUCUCACGUGCCGGCCACUUUAGCUUUAAAUUUCUUCUUUGUUUGCACUAGCAUGGAGAGUUCAAUUUAUUGGCUUCGGCUUCUUCGGAUUGAAUUUCAUACACAUUUGCUUAACUGCUUCUACAAAUUGACUUGAUCUUCAAUGUUGUCCAAUUGUUAUUCUUUAUGCACUUUUCAUCCAUAAUCUCCAAUUAAUUCCCUAUUCAAUAAAAUAAUUCAAUUAAUUAAAAAUGACCAAUGAAAAUAGCUAGUAAUUAUAUAAUUAAGGGUAAAAUAUGUAUAUAAAUUAUGCUCAUCAACUACCCUGCGGUACCCAACCUAAAUAUAUUCACUUAAAAGGGAUAAGAGAAGGACUCCAUUUUUCUUUUUCUUUCUCUUCAACUCUCUUGAGCUCAAGUCACAACUUUUAAUUGAUUCAAUUCAAAUCAGAAAAUUCUGUGAAAAAAACAACCAACCAAAAGUUAAAGUAUUGGAUAUGCCUUUCCAGAAAAAAAAAAAAAAGGCUCUGAACAUCCAUUAACAUUUCACCUUCUUCUUUCGCCAGAAAAUCAGCUCUAUGAGUUCGUUUUCCGACGAAACCUUCUUUUUUCAUUCCUUUUUUAUUUUCUUUACUUAUUUUCUCCACUCAGAUCCUCAGAUCUGUGGUGGUUUUGUUCUUCCACUCAUAUUUUCAAAUCUGUGGUGGUAUGUUCUUCCACUCAGAUCUAGAGAUUUGUGGUGGUUUAUUAUUGUUUGUCUACCCAGAUUUACAAAUCUGGGGUUCAUUUGAUUUUGCUUGGUUUUGUAUUUUAUGAUGCAGAAUUUUGAGAAGAAAAGUUUCUACUUUGUGGAAAGUGUUGCAAAGGCAGAUCCGAUGGAUGCCUUUAAGAAACUUAAGAAAUUUAGGCAAAGUUUUUGCAGAGAAGAAACUAUCUAUGAUGCAUCAAAAGUGGAGUCCCCUCCCUGCUCAUGUUGUAAAGGCUCAACUUUUCAAAGAGUAAGAAAGACAAAGCCUUCUCAUAUUGCCCACCCCAGAGGAGAGAAACAACAAAAGUGGUUCCCUCCCCCUGAAAAUAUUUUCAAAAUUAAUGUGGAUGUUGCCAUCAAUACUAAGAAUCAGAUUGCAGGCGUGGGAGCAGUGAUUAGAGAUUCUAAUGGAAAGAUAAUUACAGCCGGUAUUAAUCAGAUUCAUCUUAAGGGACCAGUCAGUUUGGCUGAGGCAGAGACUGUGCAAUGGGGGCUUCAGUUGGCAAAAGAAGCAGAUUUAACCUCCUUGAUCAUUAAGUCAGAUUGCUUAGAGGUGGUUCAACUGUAAACAACACCAAGGGCAGCGAAAUAGAAAUUUUUUGGACAAUUCUGGAGAUCCGAAAUCAGUUGAAAGGUUUUCAAAAAGUUGUUGUUCAUCACAUUCCAAGACAAUGUAAUGUUUAUGCCCAUUCCCUAGCUAAGUUAGCUUUGGGAAGAAAUUCUUCUUCUAUGUGGCUAGGAACUAUUCCAGCCGAGAUUCAAGUUUUAUUUGAGGUGUUGUGAUUUAUGAAAGGUUUACUUUUUUUUUUUAAAAAAAGAGUAUUGGAUAUGCCUAUUUAUCCUCUAAUAAUUACUUUAAAUACUUUAUUGUUCUACACACUCAUCUAUUAAAUUUAAAAAAUUAAGUUAUACUUUGUAUGGUCUUUAAAAUACUAAAAAUCCUUAAGCAUGUUAAAUUAAUUACAUUUAUUUACUCAAAACAAUACUCAAAGAAAAUUCUUUAAAAAAAUUAAGCAUAUAAUACUGAAGUUUUUAUUGACAAAUCGACAAAUCCUAAUAUAAUUUAUUUCUAUCCCCUACCUCUUCCAAAUUUAAACUUGGAGUGAUUAAGAGAAUAAUAAUAAUAAUAAAUUGUUUAGAAAACCACUAACCAAGGCCUAUAUCAUCAUAUCAUAUCAUAUGAAUUUUGUUACAAAUUAGUUAUUAAUAUUUUGAUAAUUUAGUGACCCUCAUUCAACCGAAAUUGGAUUGCUUUUUGUAAUGGGGAAGGUAUUCGCAUCAAACCCGUUAUCUCUAAACGUACCCGACCCAGCAUUCGAGUCAUGGCUACGCGACUCCGGCUACCUCGAAAUCCUCGACACCGCCACCACCACGUCGGCCACCGCCGUCACAACAGCCUCCACCAAAGAAACAGCCACAGCCACGACCAUAACUCACAGCCUUUUACAUUAUUUAUACACCUUUAAGAGAAGGGAGGUAUGGGAGCCAGCACUAAUGUUUGAAUUGAGAGGUUAAAGCAUAUUUUCUUUUCCCCCCCUCUUUUUAACUAUUUCUUUGCAUGCUAUAGGACUGAUUUCAGGGUGAAUCUGAGAGAGGAGGAGAUAUGGACAUCAGCUUCAGACUAUUUUCAGAGAGGCUGAGAAGGGUGUUAGCUGGUGAAGAAGUCACGUUGCCUGAUGCUGCAAAACUACCUAUUCAGAACCUUCAUGCCGAGACUGAAAUCGUUACUUCUUGGCUGAGUGAAUUUCAAGAUGAUAUCUCCUGCCUUCUGCUGCAAAAGAUGGGACACAGAGAAAUUAAAAACCCAGAUCUGACGACCGUUAUGGAUGAAAUCAAUUGCUUUACGUAUGAAUCUGAGAAGGUGAUUGACACAUUCAUCAACAACAUCAGUGAACAGAAGAGUCAAAGCAGCUGCAGCGAGGAUAUUUUUGAUGCUCUGCAAGGACUCCAAAGCAGAAUCACUGAUAUUAAGCAACGGAUGCAACAACUUAAGCACAUGGAUUCCGAAAUCAUUGAUCGCAUCAAAACUUUUGAAGCUGAAGCCGGUAUAUCUUCAUCUUCUAAAAGUAGGGACACCGUGGGUCUAGAUGAUAGAAUGGAGGAGUUGUUAGAUCUAUUGAUCGAGGGACCACCUCAGCUUUCAGUGGUGGCCAUACUUGAUAGCAUUGGGUUGGACAAGGCGGCUUUCGCCGGAGAGGCUUACAACAGCAGUUAUGUGAAGCAUUAUUUUGAUUGUCACGCUUGGGUUCCAGGGACUUAUCCGUAUGAUGCUGACCAAAUGUUAGAUAUCGUUAUUAAGUUUCUGAUGCCUUCAUCUAGGUUGAGUGAAAUAAUGGAUAAAAAUUAUGAAAUGAAAAAAAUAAUUCUUCAUGAAUAUCUAAUGACCAAGCGGUAUUUGAUUGUGAUUGAUGAUGUGUGGAACAUUGAAGUAUGCGAUAUUAUUCGAGAAAUACUCCCGGAUAAUCAGAAUAGAAGUAGAGUAUUAAUAACACUCACUGAAAUUAAGAUGGUCACCUCAUUUCAGCUCGAAGACAGAGAGAACAUUCGGCUUGAUUUAGUGCCUACUGGAGGACCAUUGAGAGCUACAUAUAAAGGAUGGCCUUUCCUCAUCUUAUAUCAUGGAAGCAUCUCAUUUGAAGAAAAUAUAGAGGAAGCAGUGGAGAUACCCCUUGUGUUUCGGUACUUCAAAUGUUGCAGUUUACCUUUUUGCUUGAAACUUUGUUUUCUCUACUUAUCUGUGUUUCCCGCACACCUAGAGAUAUCCACCAGGCAGUUAUAUCAGUUGUGGAUAGCUGAAGGUUUCAUCCCAGACAAUAGUGAGGCAACUGCUGAGAAUUACUUAGAACAACUAAUCAAGGGAGGCUUUGUUGAAGCAAAUAAGAGAAAAGCCGGAGGCACUAUCAACACAUGCUCUAUUCCUGGUCGUUGGCGUCCCAUGUUGUUCACGGUUCCUUCUGAUGUGGAAUUCAUCUUUUCCCCUUUCGUGGAUGGUAAAUCAGGAAAAAAAGCCAAACGGUUAAACGCUGUUGAAAGAUGGGAUGAUUUUGUUUGCUUAGAUGAUUAUGACUCGCAACUGCAUUCUUUCUUGUGCUGCUCUCCAGAAAGCCGCCACAUUGACCCCAUAGAUUGGGAGAAAAUUUGUGGAAUGUUCAAACUUCUCAGAGUGUUGGACUUGGGAUCUCUUGUUCUCAUCCAGUAUCCAUCCGGAAUUGAAAAUUUAUUUCUUUUGAGAUAUUUGAAGUUGAAUAUCCCUUCCCUCAAAAGCCUGCCUUCCUCAUUAUUAAGCAAUCUUCUGAACCUCUACACCCUAGACAUGCCCUUUAGCUAUAUAGAUCAUACGGCAGAUGAAUUUUGGAAGAUGAACAAACUCAGACAUCUAAAUUUUGGGUCAAUCACACUUCCUGCGCAUCCAGGAAAAUACUGUGGCUCUCUGGAAAAUCUAAAUUUCAUUUCACCCUUGCACCCUUGCUGCUGUACUGAAGAUAUAUUGGGCAGGCUACCUAAUCUUCAAAAUCUCCGAAUACAGGGAGAUUUAAGUUAUGAUCAAUCUUUGCUGUCGAAAAGUCUCUGCAGAUUGAGCUGUCUCGAGUCAUUGAAGCUGGCGAAUGAAAGCAAGAUGCCACGGCUCUCCAAAAUCGUCCUUGCUGAAUACCUAUUUCCUCAUAGUCUAACCCACUUGAGUUUUUCUAAUACUGACCUAAUGGAUGAUCCCAUGCCGACACUAGAAAAGCUGCCGCUUCUUCAAGUGCUCAAACUGAAGCAAAAUUCGUAUUCAGGUGGUAAGCUGACUUGUGGCUCUGAUGGUUUUCCAAAUCUCAAGGUAUUGCACCUGAAAUCAAUGUUAUGGCUAGGGGAGUGGACUAUUGGGAUUGGAGCCAUGCCAAAACUGGAAUGCUUGAUUAUCAACCCUUGUGCUUACUUGAAAAAGAUGCCUGAACAGCUCUGGGGCAUAAAGAGCUUAAACAAGUUCGAUUGCUGGUGGCCUCAGCCAGAGCUAAGACAAAAGCUACGGGAAUUUGAGGAUAAGGAACAGUGCGGCAUUCAACUAUAUCCUUGCGGAAUUUGAUUAGCCCCUAUUGAAUUUGAUGUAUGUUUCUCGUUUUACCCAAUUUCUUCAAAUUUUAAUUAUUUAUCCAAUUGCAUAUACUUUUUUUUUCCCCUUCUCUUCAAUACAAAAAAGGUUUUACAAAUUGUUUUCUUCUAAUUUGUCUCAACAUUAAGUACCCUUUAGAGUUUCCAAUGCUCACCCCAAUCAUCAAGCCCUCUUUAGCAGCAGUGGAGACAUAAGUAUAUUCAACCAUGAGCCUAGAAGACUUCGGCGUUCAUUUGUUUUAAUAGUUAAGGAAAAAAAUGUAAUUUAAAAUUCUUAUUUUUCACAAUUUCUUCAAUGAUUUGUGUAGGUGAAAUCAGAGCAGAAAACAUCAUAACUGCAGCCCGAGCUUCAAUUUCAACCAGAAUCCUUUCUGUCUUCACUUCUGCUGUCUACACAAAUAAAUAAGAAGUUUCGUUUCGGAUUUUUCAGUUGAGAGUUCAUUGAUUUGUGCUUCAGCCUCGGUUCGUUAAUUGUGUACAAAAAAUAAAUAAUAUUUGUGAUGCUUUCUAGUGUUUGGGUUGAGUUGAAUGUGUUUUCUGUCUUUUGUUCUGUUGCUUGCUCUGAAAUCCUGUUUCAGAGGCUGGGCAAGUCUGGCACUCAAUAUGUUUCGUUUAUUUCGAGAAAAGAUUGAUUAUUGAUGAACUUCACACUUGGCUGAAUAUCUUAGUAAACGUUCUUGUGGAGAAAUCCUAAUACCCGCUUAGGCACUACAAUAAGGCAGAAAUACUAAUACUGCUUUACAUUUGUUGAUUGAUUAACAGCUUUGUUCUCUGCUGCUCUUUCUUUAUCUGAUACAGAAAAUUCCUUCAAUAUGAUUGCUAGUUGCUACUAACUAUCGAAGUAUUCCUCCUUUGGCUCAUUCAAUGGAAUAUGAGGGACAUAUUACUGAGACUGAGCCACGCUUCAUUGCCUUCCCGGAGAAAGUUGAAGUUUGGGCCGUGUACUUGGGACUGGAAUGAAGAGCGGCAGCGAAAUGAUUACAAGAAUUGCCAUUUAGAGGGGCUUUUUUGUGACUACUGAUGUGUCCCUCUAAUGGUUCAAUAAAUUGAAACCACGUCUAAUAAAAGGCUAGAAAAAAGCCGUGUAUAGUAAGCAGCGACUUUCAAUAAUAGAAUUUUGCGUGCAAGUGUGUGCAUUCGAGAAAGCAAAGUAUAAGUUUUUGUAUAGCUAUAGCCUACGGUAUAUGUGCGAGCACCUAAGAUAUAUUUUGCAGUGAGCAUUGACACGACAUCAAAUAUUUUUUCCUAGAGCAUGCAUGAAAACAUCUAUAAAAUUCAAGAAGGUAUAACUGCAAUCCCUCGUUCAAAUUUAUAACAAAUCAAUUAUAAAAAUAUUCGGAGCGAAAUUAUGUUUUAUAUUAGAUCACAUGUUAAAAUAGUUAUCAAGAUAUGCAUGUAUAUACUAUUUGCAUAAAUAAAAUGUACUGCGACAUUAUGUAAUGCAUUUGAGUGGGCAAAGGAGGAACUUUAUCACUUGCAAGGCUUUUUUGUUUGUCGUUACCCAAACCAAUUUGCUUGAAUAUAUCCUGCAAGAGCCUUUUUCAUUGCUACCAUAUGCCAUGGUUGUGAACUAAAAGUUUCUUAAACGCAAGAUUUAUGUUAAAAGAUUUUUCAUAACCAGUCUUUUAACACCAUUUUCAUCCACAUCUGUUUAACAACCGGUCUUAAUAACCUGUCUUUAUUGCUUUACCCGUACGUAAAUAGAAAGCAGUUAUAAUGUAUUUGCUGUAUUUAAUUAAAUCAAUUGUAUUAAAUUAAAUCAAGUGAUGAAAUUUGGUACAGGCCAAAGAAAAAAAAAUAAAUGUAGAAAUUUAAUUUGGUUUGUUAGCAUUCCAUUACUUGGCCAAUUUCCUUAACACUGAAUGAUUGAAUAAAUUUUUAAUUUUUCGUUUUCAAGAGUUUAUUGGAUUUGUUUGGAGGUAAAUUUGGAAGGAUAUUUAUGGACUAAUUGAAAGCUGACAUGUGGUAUAAGAGUAAUAAAUAACAAGUUUGAACGGUGAAACAAAAAAAAGACACCUCGACUGUCCUACACAAGCUAAUCAAGGAAAAGAAUAAAGUUUGGUAAAAUUAGCGUGAAAAGCAAGCUCAUUUGAUAUUUGAGUAAAGAGGUGCCAUGCAGUAGAAAAGAUUAAACUACCCUGUGGUACCCAAUCUAAAUAUAUUCACUUAAAAGGGGCAAGAGAAGGACUCAAUUUUUCUUUUUCUUUCUCUGCGACUCUCUUGAGCUCGAAUCACAACUAGAAAUUGAUUCAAUUCAAAUAAAAAAAUCAAUGAAAAAAACAACCAACCAUUAGUUAAAGUAUUGGAUAUGACUAUUUGCACUCAUCUAUUAAAUUUAAAAAAUUAAGUUAUACUUUGUACAAUCUUUAAAAUACUAAAAAUUUUUAAGCAUAUUAAAUUAAUUACAUUUAUUUACUCAAAACAAUACUCAAAGAAAAUUCUUUAAAAAAAUUUAGCAUAUCAUACUGAAGUUUUUAUUGACAAAUCGGCAAAUCCUAAUUGUGCAUAAAUAUGUAGCGUGCUUAUUACGUGUCUUGUAGCAUGCUUAUUACGUGUCUUUUCGCGUGCCAUGCUUUGGCCCAUCUCUAAUUGUACCGUGCUUUUAAGGCCCGCGUGCCUAAAAUUUUAGGCCCGACACGACCCACAUGCGUGCUGUGCCGUACCGCGUGCUCUACCGAAACAUGCUCGUGUCAUGCCGUGCUAUACAGACAUGUGCCGUGCCUCGUGCUGCCCAACCCAUUGGCCAUCACUAAACACACCCUCCACCACAAAUUACAGAUCCUCAGAAAAUAGAUUCUCCAAUAGAGGUGGUGAUGAACUUAUAGGUGCAAGCCAUGUAGCGGAGCGGAGCAGCGCUUCGGCUGAUCUUUCAAUAAAUAAUGACAAGAUUCCUAUCAGAAAUGAUAAUGGCAAUAAUAAUGAUAAGGAAACUAAAAACUCUGAAUAGCGAUUUGGCAAUGGCAAUCAAUCAGAGCAUAGGUUGCUUACUUAAAUAGGUGAGAACUUUGUACCACUCACGGAUCUCCAAUCAUCCAUCUCUGACACUAAUAUGUCUUCUAAGAACUCUGAAUAGCGAUUAAUGAUACGUGGAAGCUGCGUAAAAGUUAUGACAACAACAAAAUCAGCUUCAUGUUGCCUAAAAUACAAUUAAAUAUAACUAUAAAGAACUUUGUUGGGAAAUAUAAAUAGCAGCUACUUCAUCGUGAUCUUGGAAAUAAUAUUUUGAAUAAUAACAUUUUCCAGAAAAAGACAAGGAACAAUAGAAAAUAUUGAAGAAGCAAAAAAUACUGUACACUGUAGAGACCUCUCCUCAAAACUUUACUGUAAUUACCAAUUGUGACCGAGGAACUCAUUGCCACUCAUCAUCUAUAGUAUACAUAUAACUUUUAACACCUUAGCAAGGAAGUUACCUGCUCAGAUAGAAUACCGGAGAUGCCCACAACUGCUCCUGGCUUAGCAUAAGAAACAAUAUGAUCUGCUAAUUGCGGCAGAGGAUUAAGAAGAAUAUUUGCAAUAACUACAUCAUACUCCUCUGUCUCAGAAAUCCCUCUAAUUUCGUGUGAGCUCAAAUAUUCCACUACUCCGUCUACCCUUUCAUUCAUGGAGGCCGUGAAGGUUCUGUCUGGAACCAAGUGUAGUUUUAUUUUCUUAGGUCCUAUGUUGUUUAAAGCAGCAUUUUGAUGGGCAGAUUUGAUUACCUGGGGAUCUAUAUCAACUCCAACAAACAUGGCAGCACCGAACUAAAUUCACAAAAGAAUUGACUUUGUUUCACAUUGUACAACAGAAAGAAAAUUAUGCUACAGUAAUGGGUCGAUAUUUAUAGCUGCAGUAGCAAAGUUAAUAGUUGAUUACCUUGAUUGCUGCAAUUCCAAGAAUUCCUGAACCCGUGCCAUAGUCCAAGAAGAGUUCUCCUCCUUUUAUCAAGCUUCGUAACAACAAAAGACACAACUUAGUGGUGGCGUGCUCGCAAGUUCCAAAUGCCAAUCCAGGAUUCAAAAUUAUAUUUGUUGCUUGAACAUCCUGUAGCGAGCAAAAAAAUAAAAUUAUUGAUAAGAUGUGUUAACCAUUGCUCAAAGCUAAAAUUUUUCUUUGUAAAGAAUUAAAAGAAGUAAAAAUGCAAGGGAGACUAUUCCAGCAGUCAAACGGAUUUGCAAUGAGAAUGCCAAGUCGGUGUGUUUGGAUUACUCUUCCUAAUUUUAGAAUUUCCGCGUAAACUAUCAGGCAAAUUCACUAGAACCUUAGGUCAUUAGGCAGAGGGGCCCAAUAAUAAAUAAGCAGCUAUAUUGAAGACUUAACUAAUGUGGGAUUAAAUCAACAUUAUGAUUUUGCAAAUGAAAGUUCCUCAUUGAUGAAAUUUAAAGACUUGGAAGCAAUUAGCUCAUAAGACUUCUGCAGAAGCAAUGAAGAAGAGGGUACCCUAUAAAAGAUGAGAAAUUACUGCAACAAAACCUCCAAAGAGAGUGAGAUAAUCAUACUGGUGGUGUACUCCACUCGGGCACAAUCCAUAGUCCUUUUGUCACCUCAACGGGAUGAAAUGAUUCCUGCAACAUGUAAGAAAAUAGAAUCAAAUUAACAUAACAUAAUUCCAUUUAUACCAUUGUGAUAGAGAGAAAAAGGAGAGCAAACAAACCUGAGCUUUCUUUAUCCAGUUGCAUUGCUCUCCCAUUUUAACUUCAUAACGUGGUAUCUCUUUCAAGCCUAUGGAAUUAGCAGCAUUUAAUAUGCACUCAUCCACGUCUUUGCAUUCAGGAAAUAUGGAAUCAAUAUAGAUCUGCAUAAAACAAAUCUGUAAGUAAUAUUUAAAACAACUGUAGUUUUUAUUCAGAAGCCACUCUACAUUCAACAAAAUCUAAGACCAACUAGUAACAUUAUAAUGGCGUCUUAGAGGCACUCUUUUAACACAGAAAGAAGCCAAUUUUCAAUUCCAUACCAAACAUUGAAAAUUUUGUACUUAUUUAGUAUUAUUAUUAUUAAUUUUUUCCUCUGGCUACCUUUCUAGCAAGUGAGCCAACAAAGUCAACAAAAAUCUAAGGCCAACUGGUAACAUUACAUUGGAAUUUACAUUUGCAAAUGGGAUAUGAGUUUCAUUUCUUGUUUAUUGUUACUCUCAACAUCCUUUACAAGAUAUGAAUCAAUAAUAUAAAAAAAAAAGAAAAGAAAAAAAAGAAGGCAGAAAUUAAAAUACAAAGUUUCAACCUUAUCAGAAUUCUCAUCAGCAUCAUUAUCAUGUUCAUCCACGCUUGUAGAACUUGCACCGAAACAUAGAAGAGCUUCAGAAAACAUAUCCUGACAACACAAGUUAAGGCACCUCAAUUUUAAUGCCAAAUAAUUACUAAUUCAAAAUGCUUAAAAACACAGACAAGUGAAAAAAGUGAAACAAACUAAGGCAAGUUUUUGACAGCAAAUGCGAACUGAGAGAUAAGGAGAUUCCGCUAACGGAGGGUAGAUAGAGGAUAAGGAUGUGCAUGGAGAAGAAGAAGAAGAAGAAGAACAGGCUGAAACUUUUAUGAGAACGGAAGAGAGUGUUGUUGACUGGGUUCUGGGUUUUUGUUUUAUGAGCGUAAAUAGAUUCUGAUGGCGGGUGAGCUGUUUGUACGGAAGACGUUUGAAGAAAUGACCCAAUGAGAAGAAUGACAUCGCCGCCCUGCUUUAUUAAGAUAGUUGUUUAUCUCAAGGUGCGUCUUCGAUUCGCAGAGGACUCAAAUAAUUUAUUUUCUAUCACAAUUUAUUUCCGCUCCCUUCUGAGUAGGAAGUAGUGCUGAUUUCCGAGCUAUCUUCUCAAUAAAACUUUCAACUAUUAUAACAAUUCAAAGAAAAUAUAAUUAUAUACUAACAUAAAGUGGAAAGUCAAUUAAAUUGGAUUGUUUGAUUAGAUUGGAUCAAAUACGGGACGGUUAACUUCUAAAUUCUGUAAGAUAUCCCUUUCAAAAUAAGUAAAAUAGAGGUGGUCCUAAGUGGACCACACUCCAUUCUCAUUAAAGGGUUGUAUUUAUAGAAAUUGUACAUAAAAGAAAGCUAUCGACACCCUCUAAGACUUUCAUAGAACCCUGCGCCUAGAACAAUAGAACUUACAAAAAGAGAAUAGAGCGGAGCUAUUGGCACCUCUAAAAGAAUUCUUAUAUCUUAAAUUUAUAUUUUUAACUUUAAUCAAAUCACAUUUGACAAUUCAUCUCUCUUCCGCUAACCCCACAUGGGUUUUAUUUUUAUUAAAUAAGAAAUAAUUUUGUUGUUAUAGUGAAAUUAUUUUUUAUUUUUAUUCUUAAAUUAGUGGUUUCUGUUGGACUAAAAUUUUUAGUUCAUUAUUUUCAAAUUAUGAAAGACUUAUUGUCUUUUACUAUUUUGGCUACUUGUUCUCUUGAUUUUAUCGAUUUAUGUGUUCAUAUAAAAACAUGUGAAUUGUCCCAUUCAGAGUAUAAAAUGAUAUUGGAUUAGUUUCUAGCAAUCUUUUUUAGCAUAAAAGAAAUAUUUAUUUAAUUCUUUUUUUUCUCUCUCGUAUAGUAAAGUUAGUGAGAAAGAAGUGUACAAGGACGUUUGUGGAAUUAAAAUAGCUCCACUUAAGAGGAUGGCCUUGAGUAUUUCUUAUCUAGUUUUUAGAUUCUAUUUUCUACUAGUUCAACUUACUUCAUAGUAAUAUUUUGAUAUAUUUUCCCAUGGAAUGAUAAAAUUAAGUUAAGUAAUAAUAUAAAUUCUAUAUUAUAAGAAUCUUAUACACAUAUAAGAAUAAGAAUAAAAAGUUGGAAAAAGAAGUUCAAAGAAUUUUAAAUUGAAAAGUUGAUUCUCAUGUGCCGAACAAGGGCUUCAGAUUAAAUUGUUGAAAAAGUUUUGUAAUAAAAGAUUUUUGUUUUCAUAUGAUUUUUUAACAAAAAAGAAUAUAUAAGGUUAUUUGCGGAAUUAACAUAGGUGUUGUUAAAAGUAGUGUGAUUUACAUAUGUCAUUAACGGAGUAAUUUUAGAAGAGAUGUUUUAUGAAGAGUUUAAAGUGGUGCUAAUAGUUUCAUUUAUUGACAAAUGGGUCAAAAAAACAUCCAAAAGCUUCAAAGGCCUUUCAUAAUACUCAUAAUGGAACACAAAAUAGUUAAUUAUACUUUACAACUCAAAUUUUUUUUUAACAUUUUACAACUCAAAACACGCUAGAAGAUUUUUAAUAUUUCUUAGUUAACUAUAAGAUACUAUAUAAGUAUAUAUAACAAAACAAGAAUAUAUUGAUUGAUACCAUAUAUUUGAUACAAAUGAAUAGAAAAUCUCUCACUUGAUAGAAUAUAUAUAACAUAUGACAAGUUACAUACAUCUAAUUUGUCAAAAAAAUGGGCUAUCUAGAUGGUCAACACCAUCUUUCGUUGGAAAAGAAAACAAAAGAAGAAUGGAGAAUGAGGAGCCGCAAUCUAGAAGCUGUAAAUGUUUGAAGAAGAAAUAAGAGGCACACGGCUUUGACAAAAGAAAGAAGGAAAAUAUAUAUAUAUAUAAUUGAUGAAUAGUGCCAAAGCUUUCUCUAUAAAUAGAAACGAAGAGAAUGAGCAAAUUAAUUUCAUUCAGAAAGCAAUUUAGGGAGUUGAGAGAGAGUUUAAGAGCUUGCAUUUAUAAGCUCUUGUUACAGUGAUUGAGAGAGUUUGGGUGUAUUGGGGUUUUAGGUAGUGAGCUAAAAUACUACAAUACUUGUAACUCCUUUUCACUAGUAAAAUAUUUCCUUCUGUCUUCACCCGUGGAUGUAGGCUAAAAGCCGAACCACGUAAUUUCUGGUGUCCUCUAUUGUGCUUGUUCUUUAUUUUAUUUCCAAUUUCAUUUUAGCUGCGGUCCUGCUUCACCCACCAAUUUCCUAACAUAAUUUUCUGCAUGCAUAUGGAAAAAAAAUUAAUUGUUUAAAUUUCUAAUUUGUCAAAUCGAGGUUUGAUUUCUGAAUUUUUUUAGUUGUCAAGUGGAUUAAAUUCCCCCCCAUAUACACUGUCUAGAGAAACUCAUGAAUCUAAACAAACCAAACCUAUAUUAAAUUUAAUAAUAUCAUUAUCCUCAGACUCUUAGUUUUGCACUUUUGCUUGCAUAAACAUUAUGGAAUUUAAACUUAAAUCCACAUUAAGAUAAUAACAAUUAACAUGUGAAACAAUUUAUUGCUGCUCUGCUAUAUUAAGAUAGUUGUUUAUCUAAGGGUGCGUCUUCGAUUCGCAGAGGACUCAAACAAUUUAUUUUCGAUUACAAUUUAUUUCCCCUCCCAUCUGUAGGAAUUAGUGCCGAUUUUCGAGCAAUCUUCUCGAUAAUAACAAUUAACAUUUCAAAGAAAAUAUAAUUAUAUAUGAACAUAAAGCGGUGAGUCAUUGGAUUAGAUCAAAUAAGGAGAUGGUUACCUUAUAAAUUCUUUAAGGUACACCCAUCUAAAAUAAGUAAAAUAGAGAUGGUCGACAUGUAAAAUAUAUAAGGUGGCGAGGUCCAUCUAAUAAUUCGAUAUUGUUUAACCUACACGCAUAUUAAUGAAAGUUAUUGACACCCUCUAAGACUCUCAGCCUAAAACUUGCAGAACUACAAAAAGAGACUAGAGUGGAACUAUUGGCACAUCAAAAAGAAUUCUUAUAUAUUAAAUUUAUAUUUUUAACUUUAAUCAAAUCACGUUUGACAAUCCAUGUCUCUUCUUCUAACCCCACAUGGGUUUUAUUUUUAUUAAAUAAAAUAUAGUUUUGUUGUUGUAUGGAAAAUGUUUUUUAUUUUAUUUUUAUUCUUAAAUUAGUGGUUUCUGUUGGAUUGAAAAUUUUAGUUCAUUAUUUUCAAAUUAUGAAAGGCUUACCAUUUUGGCUUCUUGUUCUCUUGAUUUUUUUCAAUUUAUGCGUUCAUAUAAAAGCACGUGAAUUGUCACAUUCAGCGUGUAAAAUGAUAUUGGAUUAGCUUCUAGCAAUCUUUUUUAGUAUAAAAGAAAUAUAUAUUUAAUUCUUUUUUCUCUCUCUCAUAGUAAAGUUAAUGAGAAAGAAGUGUACAAGGACGUUUGUGGAAUUAAAAUAGCUCCACUCAAGAGGAUGGCCUACAGUAUUUCUUACCUAGUUUUUAGAUUUUAUUUUCUACUAGUUUAACUUACUUCAUAGUAAUAUUUUGAUAUCUUUUCCCAUGGAAUGAUAAAAAAAACUAAUAAUAUGAAUUCUUUAUUAUAAAAUUCGUAUAUACAUAUAAUAAUAAGAAUAAAAAGUUGGAAAACAAAGCUCAAAAAAUUUUAAAUUGAAAAGUUGAUUCUCAUGUGCCGAACAAGGGCUUCAAAUUAAAUUGGUGAAAAAGUUUCGUAAUAAAAGAUUUUUGUUUUCAUAUGAUUUUUUAAGAAAAAAGAAUAUAUAAAGUUAUUUCUGAAAUUAACAUAGGUGUUGUUAAAAGUAGAAUAUAUAUAGCAUAUGACAAGUUACAUACAUCUAAUUUUCUGCAUGCAUAUGGAACAAAUUCAAUUGUUUAAAUUUCUAAUUUGUCAAAUCAAGGUUUGAUUUCUGAAAUUUUUAGCUGUCAAAUGGAUUAAAUUUCCCCCCAUACAUACUGUCUAGAGAAACUCAUGAAUCUAAACGAACCAAACCCAUAUUAAAUUUAAUAAUAUCACUUUCCUCAGACUCUCAGUUUUGCACUUCUGUUUACAUAAACAUUAUGGAACUUAAACUUAAAUCCACAUUUUUCAUCACUCUCUUCGUGGCCUCAUGUGUGUUCCAUAAUGUUCUCUUCCUCAUCUUUUUGGUGCAUGCAUAAUUAACUAUAAUAUGACAACCAAUUGGUUGGCAUUUAUAUACGCAGGUGUGUUGUUUUAUAUUUCCAUGCCGGCAGUUGAUGCUCAACCGGAAUCAAAAGCAGUCACUUGUAAAAGCAAUGCCGACUGUGACAAUCCCUGUCAGCAACCGGAAUCAAAAGCAGUCACUUGUAAAAGCAAUGCCGACUGCGACAAUCCCUGUCAGUCGUUUCGAAUGCGAUCUUGAUACCCAUCUCUGCAUUUGUGUUCCUGCCCGCAAUUCGAUGACGUGUUGUUGAGGAGAUUAAAGCUUGUAUUGCAAGUUCUAGUGAUAUUUUGGAUGCUGAAUUGCAAAGUUUGUAACGUUACAAUCUUUGUUUCAUUUCUUACAUCACAUGUCAAAUAAAAGUAUCAACUAACUAAGAAUUGCUGCCUCUCUUCUGAUAUGCAUAUUAAAAUUGUGGUAAAAAAUUUACAAAUCAUCUCCAUGUGAUUGGUCCUAUUAUACAAUGUUGUACCAUACAUUUGUUGAAGUCUUUAAGGCUUGGAAUUAUACAAUUUUUAAAAUUUUCAGUAUUUUUUUGACUUUCGAGCUGGGUUCGGACUUUUUAGCCGGAGCCCAAGACCAGCCAGAAUACUUAGAAAACUUGCUCUAGCUAGACUUGAUUUUUCUGCCAUUCCUACUUAGAAUUCUAUUAUCAUUGAUUUCAUUGAUGGAUUGUUAUAUUUUUAACACUAAGGGCUCAAAUGAAAAUAAUUAUAAAUAGUGUCUUAUGAUGUAAUACUUUCAAAAAGGUGAGAGCUCAUAUAAUACUGAUAUUUGAAUCAAAAAAUGAUACAGUAGUGAGAAAACAACUAUAGAUUUUAUUUAUAAUGUUAAAUAAAAAAUUAUAACUAUUUUUCAAUUAACAUUAUAACAUUGCACAAUUUACUAUUAUUUUUGUCAUCCGUUGUUAGAACUCUUUAUCAUUUUUCAUUUCUUAAAAAAGAAUGCUAAAAAGAAAAUUGAACAUAUAUUAACUAUAAAAUUUUACAAACUAUUUAGUACUUGCUCUAAAUCUGGUCGAAGAAAUAAGACAGCAUCACACAUGAUUAAGAAUGCAUAUUUAUUUGAGUAAUUUUACAUUUAUAACCCUGGGAUACAAAUUUUAUUUGUGAUAUAAAUACAUGCAAGUCUCGCAAAAAAUUUAACAACGAACACCCGACAAUAUAUCUUCUUUUUAGACAAGCUUUUACAGGCCCAGUGGAAUUGUUUUUACCCUUUCUUUCUUUCUUUCUUUCUUAAAAGUGGAUGUAUAAAACAAAUUGGUCUUGAUCGAUACUUGACGAUGUCCUGUUUAUUUUUCUCUGAUUUAUUCUUUUUUCAUCAUAUGGAAGACGAGAUUAUUGUAAGAUUCUGCCUUGAUCUGUUCUAAUUUUAGAGUCAACGAUCUUGAUUCAACUUCUUGACUGGAGAACUAGCUAAGAGAAGGGAGGUAUGGGAGCCAGCACUACUGUUUGAAUUGAGAGCUUUAAAGCAUAGUUUCUUUUCAACUCUCUGUCUACUUACUUUAAAGCAUGCCACAGGACUGAUUACAGGGUGGUACCGAGAGAGGAGGAGAUAUGGACAUCAACUUCAGACUAUUUUCAGAGAGGCUGAGAAGGGUGUUAGCUGGUGAAGAAGUCACGUUGCCUGAUGCUGCAAAACAACCUAUUCACAACUUUCAUGCCGAGAUUGAAAUCGUUACUUCUUUGCUGAGGGACUUUGAAGAUGAUAUCUCCUGCCUUCUGGUGCAAAAAAUAGGAGACCUUGAAAUUGACAACCCAGAUCUGGCGACCGUUAUGGACGAAAUCAACUGUUUUACGUAUGAAUCUGAGAAGGUGAUUGACACAUUCAUCAACAGCAUCAGUGAACAGAAGAGUCAAAGCAGCUGCAGCGAGGAUAUUUUUGAUGCUCUGCAAGGACUCCAAAGCAGAAUCACUGAUAUUAAGCAACGGAUGCAACAACUUAAGCACAUGGAUUCCGAAAUCAUUGAUCGCAUCAAAACUUUUGAAGCUGAAGCCGCUAUAUCUUCAUCUUCUAAAAGUAGGGACACCGUGGGUCUAGAUGAUAGAAUGGAGGAGUUGUUAGAUCUAUUGAUCGAGGGACCACCUCAGCUUUCAGUGGUGGCCAUACUUGAUAGCAUUGGGUUGGACAAGGCGGCUUUCGCCGGAGAGGCUUACACCAGCAGUUAUGCGAAGCAUUAUUUUGAUUGUCACGCUUGGGUUCCAGGGACUUAUCCGUAUGAUGCUGACCAAAUGUUAGAUAUCGUUAUUAAGUUUCUGAUGCCUUCAUCUAGGUUGAGUGAAAUAAUGGAUAAAAAUUAUGAAAUGAAAAAAAUAAUUCUUAAUGAAUAUCUAAUGACUAAGCGGUAUUUGAUUGUGCUUGAUGAUGUGUGGAGCACAGAUGAAUUGGAUGCUAUUCGAGAAACCCUUCCGGAUAAUCAGAAUGGAAGUAGAGUAUUAAUAACACUCACUGAAAUUAAGCUGGUCACCUCAUUUCAGCUCGAAGACGGAGAGAACAUUCGGCUUGAUUUAGUGCCCACUGGAGGACCAUUGAGAGCUACAUACCAAGAAUGGCCUUUCCUCAUCUUAUAUCAUGGAAGCAUCUCAUUAGAAGAAAAUAUAACGGAAGCAGUGGAGAUACCCCUUGUGCUUCGGUACUUCAAAUGUUGCAGUUUACCUUUUUGCUUGAAACUUUGUUUUCUCUACUUAUCUGUGUUUGCCGCACACCUAGAGAUAUCCACCAGGCAGUUAUAUCAGUUGUGGAUAGCUGAAGGUUUCAUUCCAGACAAUAGUGAGGCAACUGCUGAGAGUUACUUAGAACAACUAAUCAAGGAAGGCUUUGUUGAAGCUACUAUAAGUAUAUAUAACAAAACAAGAAUUUAUUGAUCGAUAACAUACAUUUGAUACAAAUGAAGUAGAAAAUCUUCCACCUAAUAGAAUAUAUAUAGUAUAUGAGAAGUUACAUGCACCUAAUUUUCUGCAUGCAUAUGGAAAAAAAAAAUUAAUUGUUUAAAUUUCUAAUUUGUCAAAUCGAGGUUUGAUUUCUGAAAUUUUUAGCUGUCAAAUGGAUUAAAUUUCCCCCCAUAUAUACUGUCUAGAGAAACUCAUGAAUCUAAACGAACCAAACCAAUAUUAAAUUUAAUAAUAUCACUAUCCUCAGAUUGCACUUCUGUUUACGUAAACAUUAUGGAACUUAAACUUAAACCCACAUUUUUCAUCACUCUCUUGGUGGGCUCAUGUUUGUUCCUUAAUCUUCUCUUCCUCAUCUUUUUAAUGCAUGCAUAAUUAGCUAUAAUAUGACAACUAAUUGGUUGGCAUUUAUAUUUGCAGUUGUGUUAUUAGCAUUAGGCUAAUUAAUUGUUUGGCAGGUGAAUUGUUUUAUAUUUCCACGCCGGCAGUUGAUGCUCAACUGGAAUCAAAAGCAGUCACUUGUAAAAGCAAUGCUGACUGUGACAAUCCCUGUCAUUCGUUCGAAUAUGAUCUUAAUACCCAUCUCUGCGUUUGUGUUCCUGGCCGCAAUUCGACGUGUUGUUGAAGAGAUUAAAGCUUGUAUUGCAAGUUCUAGUGAUAUUUGGGAUGCUGAAUUGCAAAGUUUGUAACGUUACAAUCUUUGUUUCAUUUCUUACAUCAUAUGUCAAAUAAAAGUAUCAACUAAGAAUUGCUGCCUCUCUUCUAUUAUGCAUAUUAAAAUCGUGUACAAAAAUUUACAAAUCAUCUCCAUGUACUAUACAUUUGGAGAAGUCAUUGAGUUUUUUUUUUUUUGGUUAAAGCCAAGCCAAAAAGCCUGAAGUAUGCAUUCUAUAUUUUUUUAAAAACUUUUUUCAUUAUAUUUUACAAAUUUAUAGUUUAUAAAAUUUAGUUUUUUCUUUGUUAGAUUAGGCUUUAAAAGUUGGGCGACUUAAAACUUUAAAUAUAUGCUGUGAGUGGAUUAAAUAUAUGUUAAAAGUUAUGUUUUAAUUACAAUAAUAUAUAUUUUCAAAAUUUUUAAUAUUUUUUGGGCUUUCGAGCUGGAUUUGGGCUUUUUAGCCGAAGCCCAAGUCUAACCAGAAUACUUAGAAAACAUGCUCUAGCUGGAUCGGAUUUUUCUGCUACUCCUACUUAGAAUUCAAUUACCAUUGAUUUCAUUGAUGGAUUGUUAUUAUAAAUAGUGUCUUAAGAUUUAAUCCUUUAAAAAAGGUGAGGGUUCAUAUAAUACUGAUAUUUGAAUCAUUGAAUGAUACAAUGAUGACAAAAGAGCUAUAAAUUUUAUUUAUAGUGUUAAAUAAAUAUUAUAAUUAUUUUUCAAUUAACUUUGUAACAUUACAAAAUUUACUAUUAUUUUUGUCACCCUUAUGUCGCUGUUAGAACUCUUUAUUGUUUUUAGUUUCUUAAAAAAGAAUGCUAAAAAGAUCUCCAAAUUUCUACGGGAUAUGUAUGUAGUUUUAAAAUAAACAUGUAUUAAAUAUAAAAUUUUACAAACGAUUUAGUACUUUCUCCGAAUCUCGUUGAAGAAAUAAGGCAGCAUCGUACAUGAUUAAGAAUGCAUAUUUAUUUGAGUAAUUUUACAUUUUUAACCAUGGGAUACAAAUUUUAUUUGUGAUAUACAUACAUGCAAGUCUCGCAAUAAAUUUAACACACCAUACAUGAUUUUGCAUUUUUCCACAGCAUAAAUUAUUAAAUAAUUGAUGUCCUGUUUAUUUUUCUCUGCUUUAUUCUUUUUACAACAUAUGGAAGACGAGAGUAUUGUAAGAUUAUGCCUUGAUCUAUUCUAAUUUGAGAGUCAACGAUCUUGAUUCAACUUCUUGACUGGAGAACUAGCUAAGAGAAGGGAGGUAUUGGAGCCAGCACUAAUGUUUGAAUUGAGAGCUUUAAAGCAUAUUUUCCUUUUAAUUAUUUCUUUGCAUGCUCUUGGACAGAUUUCAGGGUGGAUCUGAGGGAGGAGGAGAUAUGGACAUCAACUUUAGACUAUUUUCAGAGAGGCUGAGAAGGGUGUUAGCUGGUGAAGAAGUCACGUUGCUUAAUGCUGCGAAACAACCUAUUCAGAACCUUCAUGCCCAGACCGAAAUCGUUACUUCUUGGCUGAGGGAAUUUGAAUAUGAUAUCUCCUGCCUUCUGUUCGAAAAAAUGGCGGAGGAGGAAAUUGAAAACCCAGAUCUGGCGACCGUGAAUCUGAGAAGGUGAUUGACACAUUCAUCAACAGCAUCACUCAACAAAAGAGUCAAAGCAGAUACAGCAAGGACAUUUGUGAUGCUCUGCAAGGACUCCAAAGCAGAAUCACUGAGAUUAAGCAACGAGUUUAACAACUUAAGCACAUCGAUUCCGAAAUGAUUGAUGAGUUCAGAAGUGUUGAAGCUGAAUCAUGUUAUUUUCCUGCAUCUUCAUCUUAUAAGAAUAGGAAUACGGUGGGCCUAGAUGAUAGAAUGGAGGAGUUGUUAGAUCUAUUGAUCGAGGGACCAACUCAGCUUUCGGUGGUGGCCAUACUCGAUAGCAUUGGGUUGGACAAGACGGCUUUCACUGCGGAGGCAUACAAUAGCAGUUAUAUGAAGCAUUAUUUUGAUUAUCUCGCUUGGAUUCCAGCGCCUUAUCACUAUGACCCUGACCAAAUAUUAGAUAUCGUUGCUGUGAUUCUUUUGCCUUUUUCUAUGUUUAGUAAAAUAAAGGAUAAAGAUUACGAAAUGAAAAAAAUUAUUCUUGGUGAAUAUCUAAUGACUAAGCGGUAUUUGAUUGUGCUUGAUGAUGUGUGGAGCACAAAUGUAUUGGAUGUUGUUCAAGAAAUCCUUCCGGAUAAUCAGAAUGGAAGUAGAGUAUUAAUAACACUCACUCAAAUUAAGAUGAUCACCUCAUUUCAGCUCGAAGACAGAGAGAACAUUCGGCUUGAUUUAGUGCCCACUGGAGGACCAUUGAGAGCUACAUACCAAGGAUGGCCUUUCCUCAUCUUAUAUCAUGGAAGCAUCUCAUUAGAAGAAAAUAUAGAGGAAGUAUUCAAUAUACCCACUGGGAAUCUAACCUUCGUAUGUUGCAAGCUACCUUUUCACUUGAAACUUUGUUUUCUCUACUUAUCAUUGUUUCCCGCACACCUAGAGAUAUCCACCAGGCAGUUAUAUCAGUUGUGGAUAGCUGAAGGUUUUGUUUGUGGGAUAUGCUUCGACGAAGACCAGCAGUGAUGAGCAGACAUCUGAUAACAGGGUUCCUCGAGCAGGUAUAUCUUGUAAGAGUCUGGUAUCCGGGGGAGCAGGAGCAGGAAAAUCCUGCUCAUCCACGAGCACGUCAUCCACGAGGCCAAUCUCUUGUUGGAAGCAUAGAGCCAUUCCUGCUUCAUUCCUGCUAAAGGUUGAGUCGAGGAGACCCGGUCAACGACAGUUGGCGAGGCGUGCUCUCCAGUCCGAGAAUCAAGGCACGGAGGUCACGCAACCACCCACGACUACGGAAAUAGGGCAUCCACUUUCGAGAGGUGGGAGGAUAACGAGCGCGAAUGGAGGGAAGGCCCGAGUUCAGAAGUGGCCUAUAAAAAGGUAGCCAACGAAGGUAAAAUGGUUAGAUUUUUUGAGAUUGCAACUAAGAAAAGAGAGCUUUAAGAAUUGAAACUAAAGAGAAGCCAUAAGAUUCGUGGCAAACAUUCCUAGAACCUUCAUAUCUGAUUUGAGCGUCGGAGGGUUUACGCCGGGAAAACAACCGGCGUACUCUGACCUGCUUCUGUGUACGCAGGAACUUUUAGAGAAGAAACCUUACGAGGAGAGAUCCUGGUCGUGGUAGAGUUGGUCGAGCAGAGGUCCUGGUCUUGGUAGAGAAGACAACCAGAAUCUCGCAUCAACAUUUUGGCGCCGUCUGUGGGGAGCUGAUAAAAAAGCUUCUGUUAAUAACAAGAAGAGGAGUGAAGCAAGUGGAAAGGCAAUGGAGACAGGAGGAAGUAGUGCACAAGGGGGUGAUAUGAGUAUUAAUGAUUUCGUGACGCUGAGGGAGAUAGCUAGUGAAGCACGGGAAAAAGCCAUGUUCGACCGGAUGGAACGAAUGGAAAAGCAGAUGGAGACCCUGACAACCAUCCUACAUGAGUUGCGGAGUGAACGAAGGGGAACCCAGGAGGAAAGGGUGAGAGGUGGUGGAGUGACACCAGGUCCCGGUAGUACGAGGAGAAGUCAAACCACCGGAAGAUUUGGUGGUGAGAGAGGUAACAUACCUCUGCGGGGGGAAUUUCAUAAAGAGGAAGAGCAAUCCCCGGCAAGACAGAUUUUUGACGAGGACGACGGGGUGACGAAUGCAGAGGAAACUGAGUUGAGGCGACACGUGCAUGAUGUAGAGCAAGAGCGGGAUCAAGUUGCAGCAUGUGACCCUGGGCGUGCAGUGCAGCUGGAGGAGGAAGUGCGCAGACUAGCGCAGAUAAUUGACGACAUGCAAGGAAGGAGCAGAGCUCCUGGUUGGAGGAUAAUGCUGGACGGAGAAUCACCACUCGCAGCAGAGAUCAUGAGGCCAGUUAUUCCGAGAGAUUUCCGCCUCCCAGACCUUAGAUAUUCGGGACGAAUUGAUCCGCUGGUGCACAUAGAGCGCUUCAACGACAUAACCGGGGUACAAGGAUUAUCUCAAUCCCAAAGGUGCAGGGUGUUCCCACUAUCCCUUGAGGGAGGUGCACGCGAGUGGUACAGGAAACUUCCUCGGGGGAGCAUUAAAACCUUCGAGCAGAUGUGCCAGGAAUUUGCAGAGCAGUUUCGUGGGGCAAUGGCACCAGAAGAUGACAUGAUGAAGUUGAAAAACAUGAAGCAGGGGGAACAAGAAACCCUUCGGGAAUUCAUCAAGAGGUUUCAUCGUGUUGUCCUCGAUUUGGGAGCCUUCAACCAUCCUCAGGCAUUAAAGGGACUGAAAGAAAGGGUGAAGAUAGGAAGACUGUGGUACAAUUUGAGAAGCCCAGUUAUUCAGACGUAUGCAGCCGCAUACGAGCAGGCUAAGAAGGACAUUGAGAUUGAAGAGGAAAAGGCAGCACGGAUCAAGACAGACCAGUUAUAAGGGUUAGGAAAGAAAGAGAAGAAAGCAUUACCAGGGAAUGAGCCGAUAAGGAGGAGGGACCACCAUGCCUCAGGUAGUGGAGCAGAAGGUCGGGUAACUGCUUACCAGCCUCAUCAGAGGCCACCACAGUAUCAACGCAGUAGGGUGCAACCUCCUCGUUCCCCAGCUAGGGAGCCUUGGAGAAGGCAUGACUCGGCAUAUGGUGGUCUUCAUCAACACCCCCACGGUAAUAGAGGGAGUAGACCAGAAGUGCUGCCACCGCCUCCAGCUCAGAACGGAGCAAAUAGAGAAAUGGCAGUGCACCUGAUCGACCAGAACCAGGACUAUGGGCGGUAUACUUCCUUGAAGAUGUCCCUGGACGAGGUGUACGAGGCCAUAAAGGACCGAGGGUUGCUGUAUCUCCGUGUCCCAAUAAUAAAACUACGCAGCAGGAGAGAUAGGGGACGCUAUUGUAAGUUCCAUGGCACUCAUGACCAUACCACAGCAGAAUGCCGAGAUCUCAAGACCCAGGUUGAAGAUUUGGUGAGAAAUCGGUACCUGGAUGAGUUUAUAGAUGGGACCUUCCCAAUGGUAGCCUCGACAAGUGAAGGGGAGCAGAGUGACAUGAACUUGAGGCGUGAGCAGCCUACAGUAAGGGUGAUAGCUGGGGGCCCAACAUUGGCCGGAGAUUCCAACAGAUUGAGGAAGAAUUAUGCUAGAUACGCCAUGACCAGUAAAGAGGUAUUCUUUAACAUCCCAGCAGCCAAACGAGCAAGGGUCAGGCAAGUGCCAAUCAUGUGGACGGAUGAAGAUGAGGAAGGGAUUCUAUACCCCCACGAGGAUGCUUUAGUCAUCAAGGCUACUGUCGCUAGCAAGAAGUUUGACCGAAUAUUGAUUGAUACAGGGAGCUCAGUUGAUGUGUUAUUUAAGUCAACUUUGGAGGAGAUGGGAAUAGCAGACCAGAAGUUGGAGUACACCAAUACCUCCUUGAAGGGGUUCGGAGGAGGAAAACUAGUCCCUCUGGGCGUGGUCGAGCUGCCUAUCACGAUUGGGAGCUCCCCGACAGAAAGGACAAUGAUACUGGACUUUGUGGUGGUGGAUGAAGAAGGUCCUUACCAGAUGAUCCUAGGUCGGCCAUUUCUAAGGAUGAGCAAAGCGGUACUGUCCAACCAUUAUUUGGGUCUCAAGUACCGGGUGAAUGGGGUAGUUGGAGUGGUACGAGGAGACCAGAGAAUCGCAAGAAGCUGCUACUCCUCGGCAGCAAGGGAAACAAUGCAGAUAACAUCCCUGGAUACCUGAGUGGAAAACAAGAAUAGCAGACAAGAACCUGUAGAGGAGCUGGAGACAGUAAGCUUGGGACUAGAGAAUCCGGGAAAGAUGAUCAGAAUCGGGUCGAGACUUAAGGAAGAGCUGAAGCAGGAGUUGGUGAAAUGCUUACAGGCUCAUGCAGAUGUGUUUGCUUGGACACAUGAAGACAUGCCAGGGAUUGAUCCUGAGGUAGCAUGCCAUAAGCUGGCAAUAAAGAAAGGUGCUCGAGCAGUAAGGCAGAAAAGGAGGUGCUUCAACCAGGAGAGAUAUGAGGCUAUAAAUGGCGAGGUGGAGAAGCUCUUGAGAGCAGGGUUCAUUCGGGAAGUCAAUUACCCUGAGUGGAUAUCGAAUGUGGUGUUGGUAAAGAAGGCAAAUGGCAAGUGGAGGAUGUGUGUAGAUUUCACAGAUUUUAAUAAGGCGUGCCCAAAAGACAGCUUUCCUUUACCAAAGAUCGAUCAGCUAGUAGAUUCAACUGCUGGACACGGCCUGCUUAGCUUCAUGGAUGCAUUCUCGAGAUAUAACCAGAUCCCCAUGUACGAGCAGGAUCAGGAGACCACGACUUUCAUUACUAACCAGGGCUUGUUCUGUUACAGGGUAAUGCCAUUUGGUCUUAAAAAUGCUGGGGCCACAUGCCAGAGGCUGGUGAACAAAGUCUUUAAGCCAUUGAUCGGGAGAACCAUGGAGGUGUACGUGGACGACAUGAUAACCAAGUCGAAAAUCCCGAAGGAACAUGUCGGACACCUCGAGGAGACAUUCGGGCUUUUGAGGAAGUAUAAGAUGAAGCUCAACCCGGAAAAGUGUGCUUUUGGGGUCGAGUCAGGGAAAUUCCUUGGAUUCAUGGUGAGCCAUAGGGGGAUUGAAGCAAAUCCCGAGAAGAUCCAGGCGAUCGUGCAGAUGAGGUCUCCUCGUAGCCUGAAGAAGGUGCAAAGCCUCACGGGGAGGUUGGCGGUGUUGAGCAGAUUCAUAUCCAAGGCUACAGAUAAGUGUCAACCAUUCUUUCAAGUGAUAAGGAGGGGAAAGAAAACAGAGUGGACCCCAGAAUGCGAGGACGCCUUCCAGAACUUGAAGCAGUACUUGCAGCUAGCACCUCUGCUGUCCACACCGAGGGAUGGGGAUAAGUUAUUUUGUAUUUGGCGAUAUCAGAUCGGGCCACAAGUUCUGUUCUGGCGAGAGAGGAAGAAGGGGUUUAGUAUCCAAUAUACUACACCAGCAAGGCCCUGCUCGACGCUGAGACCAGAUACCCACCGUUGGAAAAAUGGGCGCUUGCCCUUGUGGUUGCUGCUCGGAAGCUGAGGCCAUACUUUCAAGCAUUCCCAGUCUCGGUAAUAACAAACCAGCCAUUGCGUCAAACUUUGCACAAGCCAGAUGCUUCUGGUCAGCUCGUCUAGUGGGCUAUAGAGCUGAGUGAGUUCGACAUAGACUACAAACCUCGAGCAGCGAUAAAGGCUCAGGCAAUGGACGAUUUCGUAGCAGAAUUCACAGAGCCCGAAGUAUGUUUGGACCAACGAGAUGUAGUUACAGACAGUAGCGAAGCUCAAGUAUGGCAAAGGUCUGUAGAUGGGUCAUCAAGGGAGUAGGGAUCAGGAACAGGGAUUGUCUUAGAAGGCCCAAGGGGGAGGAGAUCUCUUAUGCUGUAAAGUUAGAAUUCACAGCCACAAAUAACCAGGCAGAGUAUGAAGCCUUGAUAGCAGGUUUGGAAUUGGCUAAGGUCGUGAAAGCAGAUAGAGUGAAGAUCAGAACUGAUUCCCAGCUGGUUGCGAAUCAUGUCAGUGAAAAAUUUCAACUGAGAGAGGAGAAGAUGAAGCAGUACCUGAAGAUAGUCAGGCAGAUGAUGGGGAAAUUUGAAGUUGUGGAGGUGGUACAAAUCCCCAAGGAGCAGAAUAGUCGAGCAAAUAUUUUGGCCAGGAUGGCAGCGGUAGCAGACCCAAAAAUGCCAAAGUCGAUCCCUCUGGAGGUGAAGUCCAGCCCGAGUAUCGAGCAGAAUUUGGGGGUGCUGCGGAUAGAAAAAAAAUGCUCGUGGAUGGACCCGAUAAUUUCAUACCUUAAAGACGGGGUAUUGCCACCAGAUAAGCUGCGAGCUCAGAAGAUUAGAGCCCAUGCCUCGAGAUACACGAUGAUUGAUGGGGUAUUGUAUCGGCAAAGAUAUACACUACCUUUCCUUCGAUGUUUGGAUGAGGACGACGCGGAUUACGUACUGAGAGAAGUACAUGAAGGAAUUUACGGAAAUCAUUCUGGUGGGAGAUUCUUGGCCCAUAAGGUUCUAAGGCAGGGAUAUUUCUAGCCGAAAAUGCACCAGGAUGCGCAAGGGAAGACCAGGAGCUGUGUAAGCUGCCAGAGUUUUGCAAGUUUCUCCAACCAACCAUCAGAGAAGCUCACCUCCAUGGCCUCCCCUUGGCCAUUUGCUCAAUGGGGAAUUGAUCUGAUCGGCCCGUUGCCAAAGGGACGAGGAGCAGCAACACAUGCAAUAGUUGCUAUAGACUACUUCACGAAGUGGAUAGAGGUAGAAGCCUUUAGCAGGAUCACAGAGAAGAAAACAACAGACUUUGUGUGGAGAAACCUGGUCUGUUGAUAUGGGAUCCCAUAUGCCUUGGUAACGGAUAAUGGCAGGCAGUUCGAUAAUCACAGCUUCAGGGAUUUCUGCCAGAACCUAGGGAUAGAGCUGAAGUAUUGCUCGCCUGCUCACACUCAAUCGAAUGGACAAGUAGAAGCAGCCAAUAAGACCAUCAAGAGGCUUUUGAAAACCAGGCUUGGGGCAAAAAAGGGUGCAUGGGUUGAUGAGCUGUCAGGUGUUCUAUGGGCAUACAGGACAACCCAUAAGACAGCAACUGGGGAGACACCGUUUGCCUUGGCCUUCGGACAUGAAGCGGUCGUACCAGCCGAGAUAUUAACGACCACGAACCGGACAGAACAUUUCAAUGAACAGGAGAACAACGAGCAGAUGUGCCUGAAUCUAGAUAUGCUAAUGGAAAAGAGGGAGCAAGCAGCAGAACGAUCAGCCAUUUACCAGCAAAGGGUUGCUCGUUAUUAUAACCAGAAAGUGAAUGUACGGCAAUUUCAGGUCGGAGACGGGUACUGAGAAGAGUGAAUCAGAGCACCAAAGACUCGACUCAAGGAGUUCUGGGACCGAACUGGGAAGGGCCAUAUAGGGUCAAGCAGAUAGUGGGACCCGGAGCUUACAAGCUGGUUCACACGGACGGCCACGAGGUGAAACGCCCAUGGAACGCAGUACACCUCCAAAAAUACUUCCAGUAAGACUUAUUCACAUAUUAAAGCUAUUUCUGCCCGUGCUCGUUGUCUUUUAUUUUUUAUGUCAAAACAAUUUCAUGUAAGAUUUAAUCCUGCAAUUAAUGGAACGUUGAGGAAUUUCAUUCACUUGAAACUGUGAAAAAUUCUAAGGCAUGCAAAGGCUCACCAAGUCUCAAAGCUUGUUUUAUGGCGAGACAGAAGCCAAGCGUGCCAGGAUCUGCUCGACCGCACGAAGGCGAGCAGAAUCCCAAGCAUUGAAGAAUUUUCUAAGGCAUGCAAAGGCUUACCAAGUCUCAAAGCCUGUUUUAUGGCGAGACAGAAGCCAAGCGUGCCAGGAUCUGCUCGACCGCACGAAGGCGAGCAGAAUCCCAAGCAUCGAAAUAUUUUCUAAGGCAUGCAAAGGCUCACCAAGUCUCAAAGCCUGUUUUAUGGCGAGACAGAAGCCAAGCGUGCCAGGAUCUGCUCGACCGCACGAAGGCGAGCAGAAUCCCCAAGCAUCGAAAUAUUUUCUAAGGCAUGCGAAGGCUCACCAAGUCUCAAAGCCUGUUUUAUGGCGAGACAGAAGCCAAGCGUACCAGGAUCUGCUCGACCGCGCGAAGGCGAGCAGAAUCCCCAAGCAUCGAAAUAUUUUCUAAGGCAUGCAAAGGCUCACCGAGUCUUAAAGCCUAUUUAUGGCGAGACCAGAAGCCAAGCAUGCCAAGAUCUGCUCGACCACGCGAAGGCGAGCAGAAUCCCCAAGCAUCGAAAUAUUUUCAAAGGCAUGUGAAGGCUCACUAAGUCUCAAAGCCUGUUUAUGGCGAGACCGGAAGCCAAGCAUGCCAGGAUUUACUCGACCGAGCAAAGGCGAGCAGAAUCCCAAGUCAUGUAGCAAGACCAUAUGCUAAGCCAGAGCCUGUUCGACCAAGCGAAGGCGAGCAGACUCUCAAACGUAAAAAUAACUUGUGAAUACAAAUGCAAGAAAGUAAUCAAAAAUAGUUUUCAUUAAUUUAUCAAUAGCCAACAAAGCUGUCCAUUACAACACAAGAAACAUGUUCAAGAAGAUGGCAGAUCAGUUAGCCGAGCAGCAUCGGUUGACUGGACCUCCUCAGGUGCAGGGGGGUAUCACCAGUGUGUCUGGGGGGGUGCUCGCCUCGCCAACAUCAGCAGGGAUUGCACGAGGAUGAGAGUUUUCCUCAUCAAUCACGAUUGGCUCUACCCCUUCGGCAUCUUCCUUGGCCGCCUCCUCGUCCAUGUGUUGAGCAACACCAGCUGCAAGGUCAUCCAUCUUUAGAUCAGGAUGCUGCUUCCCGAGGACGGCCAUGAUGCAACGAUAGGAAUGCCGAAGUCCCUGGUCGUACUGGUUGUCGGCUUAAUUCUCUAAGUUCUCGACCUGAACUCGGUGGGAAUCGCGGAGAGAUUCGAGCUGAGCCUCAUACAUAGCCUUCUGCCUUUGAAGAUCCUCCUUGACCUUGGUCAGCUCUUCCUCGAAGGUAAUGGCUUUUGCUUGAGUAAGAGAUUCUUGCUCUAUCAGCUUCAGGUUCUCGACAUUCAGCUCCCCUGCUUUCUUCUCGGCAUCGUCAGCUCUGGUCAUCGCCGACUGAAUGUCCUCCUUCAUCUUCCUGUCAUAACGGCCAACCUUGGCCUUAUAGUAGGUGGUCAUACAGCUGAGAUGGAAAGCGCUAUACUGCAUGGCUCCCACCAGCUCGCCUAAGGUGCAGCCAUCAAAGUCCUCCAGGUCCUUCUUGCUCACGAGUUUGGAAAGCUCGUUGAGAUAUGGGGCCAAGUGUUCUGCUUGGCUGUCAGAUAAACGAGAUCUAGGCCCGACAGGAGGAGAAGAGGAAGCAGGAUCAGUGGCUGCUCCACUAGUUUCUCCGACUUUGGCAGGAAGAGGAGGUAGAGUCUUCAAGGGAGGAACUUGUUGCACAAUGUUAACCCGCUUCGCAGUGGGAGCGUCCUUGCUCUGGUCCCUCUUCGCAGUUUGAGGUCGAGGACGCUUCCGAGUCAGAGCCUCAAUCACAACAUCCUCCAUCUUAUGGCCGGGGGACACCAAACAAGACUCGAGUAGGUUAUAAGUAGUUAUCAGCUCUCGGCUCGAGCAAGAAUUGACUAGUACAGCCUCGAUCCGUUUGAGCUGGUCAGGUUUGAGCGGAAAGUGAACACCCCAAGAACUUGCAACACAAACAGACACUUGGUUAGAGACAAAUCAGUAAAGCGAGAACAAUUUUGGAUACAAGACAUCUAAAGCGAGCAGGCAACCUGGGACCGUGAAACGGGGUGGGACGCGAUAGUCCUUUCCGUCUAUUUGUGCAACUUGACCCCAAGUACCCCCAACAAAAAAGAAUUUCCUCUUCCAAGUCCCACUUCCACCAGUUGGAAGAUCAGUUAUGGGUUUUCUGCUCUUGGUACUAGAUUGGAAGUAGUACCAGCCGGCAUCUUUGGGGCUGCUCUUUAGCUGGUACAGGUGCUUCACCUCAUCAACCGUGGGCUCGCUUUGGCAACAUCUGUCCCACAAUAUGAACAGACUAGAGAGCACUCUCCACCCGUUGGGAUUCAGCUGACCAGGAGCCAGAUUUAGCCCGUUAAGUAUAUGGGCAAAGUAGGGUUGCAAGGGACACCUCAGCCCAUACUUAAAGCUCUCCAGAAACAAGGUAACGUAUCCCCUAGGAGGCCGGCUAGGUGUAUCCUUUUUUCCUGGGAUCUUAAGAGAUAUUUCACCAGGAAUACUAUACCUAAGUCGGAGGUCAUUGAGCUCGUCAAAUGUGGUCGUGCACGUCAUGUAAUCAAUGGCAUAAUCCCGCGACAAGGCUCUACCUCCUACUGUACUCCGCCCUUCUGGUUGUAAUGUUCCUGAUGGGGACGCCUCACCAAAAUCACCUUCCCCAUCCCCACUCAAGGUGUUUUCUGAAUCGGAAGAUCCCUCCUCACCACUAUUUCCGCUUGAGGAGGUUGUUUGGGGGGACAUCCUCCUAGCGCUAGUACCAACACCAGACCUAAUGGGUUCUAAGGGGAUCGGUGAGCAGAUUAGGUAAGAAAUCUAGCCCGUCGUCAUCAAUCUCAACGACUUUCUCUUUACCUUUCGACAUUCCCUAAGCAAUAACCAGAACACCACCAAUUACUACCUAAGCAAAGCAAAGAGAAAAGAAAUUAUCUACAGCUAUCCGAGAUCGAUGAGAUAGAAGUAAUACCUGAAGUAGUGGUUCAGUCGGAGAAGGACAGGGAUGGAGGCUUUUAUGCCGGAGCUUCUUUGCCAGAGAGAGACAGGGAACGAGAUGGAGAAAACGACAAAUUUUCCUUUAAGAGAAGGUUGUGGGUUUUCCUAAUGGAGAGUGAACUCUUGGGUUGCCGGCAUUUAACAGCACCGAAUCCCAAGGGUCUCGUAAUUGUUGGUUUGAAAUUCAAAUAGAGGGGUAGAUUUCCGCCACAUCAACUCGUCCGUAAUUAAAUACGACACGACUCUUGGCAGCCUUUUUCCUAUCCCGCGCAAGCAAGGACUGUCAAGUUUCUACUGUCGACUUACUGCGUUACCCAACACCAGAAACUGGGGGACCGGUGUUUGUGGGAUAUGCUUCGACGAAGACCAGCAGUGAUGAGCAGACAUCUGAUAACAGGGUUCCUCGAGCAGGUAUAUCUUGUAAGAGUUUGGUAUCCGGGGGAGCAGGAGCAGGAAUAUCUUGCUCAUCCACGAGCACGUCAUCCACGAGGCCAAUCUCCUAUUGGAAGCAUAGAGCCAUUCCUGCUUCAUUCCUGCUAAGGGUUGAGUCGAGGAGACCCGGUCAACGACAGUUGGCGAGGCGUGCUCUCCAGUCCGAGAAUCAAGGCACGAAGGCCACACAACCACCCACGACUGCGGAAAUGGGGCAUCCAAUUUCGAGAGGUGGGCGGAUAACGAGUGCGAAUGGAGGGAAGGCCCGAGUUCAGAAGUGGCCUAUAAAAAGGUAGCCAACGAAGGUAAAAGGGUUAGAUUUUUUGAGAUUGCAACUAAGAAAAGAGAGCUUUAAGAACUGAAACUAAAGAGAAGCCAUAAGAUUCGUGGCAAACAUUCCCAGAACCUUCAUAUCUAACUUGAGCGUCGGAGAGUUUAUGCCGGGAAAACAACCGGCGUACUCUGACCUGCUUCUGUGUACGCAGGAACUUUUGGAGAAAAAACCUUACAAGGAGAGAUCCUGGUCGUGGUAGAGUUGGUCGAGUAGAGGUCUUGGUCUUGGUAGAGAAGGCAACCAGAAUCUCGCAUCAACAGGUUUCAUUCCAGACAACAGUGAGGCAACUGCUGGGAAGUACGUAGAGCAACUAAUCAAUAGAGGCUUUGUUGAUGCAAGGAAGAGAAGAGCUGGAGGCACUAUCAACACAUGCUCUGUUCGUGGUCGUUGCCGUCCUGUGUUGUUAGCAGUGGCUUUCAAGGCAGAAUUUAUCUUUUUCUCAUUCAUGGAUCCAGAAGGUAAAUCACGAAAGAAUGUCAAACCGAUCAACGUUUUUGAAAAACAGAGUAAUUUUGCUUGCUUAGAUGAUUAUGACUCGCACAUGCAUUCUUUGUUGUACUUCACUUCAAAAAGAGACCACCUUGACCCAAUAGAUUGGGAGAAAAUUUGCAGAAUGUUCAAACUUCUCAGAGUAUUGGACUUGGGAUCUCUUGUUCUCAUCCAAUAUCCAUCCGGAAUUGAAAAUUUAUUUCUUUUGAGAUAUUUAAAGUUGAAUAUCCCUUCCCUCAAAAUCCUGCCUUCAUCAUUAUUAAGCAAUCUUCUGAACCUUUACACCCUAGACAUGCUCUUUAGCUAUAUAGAUCAUACAACAGAUGAAUUUUGGAAGAUGAACAAACUCAGGCAUCUAAAUUUUGGGUCAAUCACACUUCCUGCGCAUCCAGGAAAAUAUUGCGGCUCUCUGGAAAAUCUCAAUUUCAUUUCAGCCUUGCAUCCUUGCUGCUGUACUGAAGAUAUAUUGGGCAGACUACCUAAUCUCCGAAAUCUCCGGAUUCGGGGAGAUUUAAGUUAUUAUCAAUUUUUGUUGUCCCAAAAUAUUUGCAGAUUGAGUUGCCUCGAGUCAUUGAAGUUGGUGAAUGAAAGCAAGAUGCCACGGAUCUCCAAAAUCAUCCUUGCUGAAUACCUAUUUCCUCAUAGUCUAACCCACUUGAGUUUUUCUAAUACUAACCUAAUGGAUGAUCCCAUGUCGACACUAGAAAAGCUGCCGCUUCUUCAAGUGCUCAAAUUGAAGCAAAACUCGUAUUCAGGUAGAAAACUGACUUGUGGUUCUGAUGCUUUUCCAAGGCUUAAGGUAUUGCACAUGAAAUCAAUACUAUGGCUAGAGGAGUGGACUAUGGGGACUGGGGCCAUGCCAAAACUAGAAUGCUUGCUUAUCAACCCUUGUGCUUACUUGAAAAGGGUUCCUGAACAGCUCUAGUGCAUAAAGAGCUUAAACAAAUUCGAUUGCUGGUGGCCUCAGCCAGAGCUGAGACAAAAGCUACGGGAAUUCAAGGAUAAGGAGCAGUAUGGCGUUCAACUUUAUCCUUACAGAAUUUGAUUAGCCCUGAUUGAGUUUGAUGUAAGUUUUUUCUUCUUCCCCAAUAACUUCAACCUUUAAUUAUUGAUCUAAUUUCAUAUAAAAGUUUUUUUUUCCUCCACAAUAGAUUUGAUAGUAUGCAGCUGCCUAAACUAUAAUCAUAAUAUAAAGUGUUUUCUACAUUCUAAUUGUGGUUGCUUCUAAUUUUUGUCUCAAAAUAAACUUGAAGUGUCCAUCACAGUUCCUGAUGCUGACACCAUUCAUUAAAAAAUGUAUGAUAAAAUCUUCAAUCAGUUGUAUGUGCAGGUAAAAGCAGAGCGGAAAAUAUCUUAACUGUACUGCAGCCAAAGUUUCAAUUUCAACCAGAAUCCAGCCUUCAUCCUUUCAGUGUUCACUUCUGCUGAGUUGUCUACACGUUGUUUGGUUUCUUUGUUUUCAAGGAUUUGCAUGCUAAAAGUAAUAAUGUCAUGUUCAGAUUAAUAUAUUGUACAAAAGUCUGAUUAAUUGUUUUACUUUCUAUUUUCAGUUUCACUGGUGUGUAUUCAAUUUGUCAACAUUCAAAUUGAUAUAUGUUAUGUUUUUAUUUUUAUUUUAUUUCUUUCUCUAGUUUUUAAGUAGCGGUACAGUUCAACUUCAAGCUUAGUACUUCAGUUAGAAGAAUAGUAUUUGUGCUUUGAUCUCAUCUCAUCAUCUCAACACAGGCAGAACGACAUUGUUGUUCGGUUUUUUGGAAUUUCACCGACGUGUCGGUCAUUAUAAGGGCGAGAAUGCUGGUCAAACGUCAGUUGGGGUUAGUUAAAAAGGUGCAGGAAAAUUCUGGGAUUGUUAUAGAUGGCCUUUAUCAUAGUUUAUAAGGCUGGUUGAUGGGUCAUCUUCUCAUAUCUCAUCAAAGCUAUGGAGAGAGAGAGAGAGAGAGAGAGAGAGAGAGAGAGAGAGAGUUAAAGUAGAAAGUUGUAUAUUCUUGUUCUCUGUAACAAGCUCUACAUCCUGGUAACCUUGAUUUGUGAAAUAGUGAAAGCUUGAAAGCUUGUAUCCUUGUCUUCACUGGAUUUAGGCACUUUGAUUCAAUUUUUAGUUCGGAUUUCUGAGAACGAGUCUUCAUACAUCAAAUCAAAGAUGGUCUAAGGUGUUUGAUCUUGGUACUGUCAGAGGAUUAAACACAACAAAAAGAAACUGGGGCAUAUUGCCUAAUCUUCAUAGUCUUCAGAUAUAUGGAGAUUAAGCCCUUGUAAAAUCAAAAACCAGCACUAAUCCUUGGUGAUUUGGAGCAGAAGAUUUAACGAGUAAAGUUCUGAAAGUGGAAGAUUUAAUCUAUAGUGCUGCUCGUUUUGGAAGCUUUGCUAGAAUUGAUGACUGAAUUCUUUCUCUAUUGAUUGAUUAGCAGCCCCACAGCAUGCUAAUGGUUUUCACAUUUUUCCCUCCCACAGCAUGCAGAGGGUGCCUGUAGUGCAAAGAAGUUGAUGGCACGCAGGAUGUGCUGCUCACUCUCAAUUCCUUACAAUCACACCAAAGCCGUCUUUUGCAGCAGAGAAAUACCCGUUUGCGUUAAAAAUGAUCCUUGUAGCCAUUGAGAUUAAUUGAUUAAAUGGAGUUGACAAAUGAAACAAAAACGGAAAAAAAAAAAAUUCAAUUCUACCAAAAUCAUUCAUCCAUUAAUACCCACGUUGAAUAAAACUCAACAUCCUUUUUUUCUAUUCCUUUCAAUAAAAAAAUAUUAAUUUAAUAUAUAUAUAUAUAUAUAGAGAGAGAGAGAGAGAGAGAGCUUCUUAAGUGCAUAUACUUAACAUUAUAUGGUGUUAUAGCGAAUCUACACAUAAUCUGCAUUUAGUGCAUCCACAUUUGAGAAUUUCUAUAUAUCAAAGCUUUCAAAGGCAGAAGUUUAAAUAUGAAUUUUGUGCGGAUUCACUACAAAAUCAUAUGAUGUUAACAUGCUUUUACAAUUGACUAUAAUACCACAUGAUGUUAUAGAAAAUCCACACGAAAUCUUUAUUAUAUAAAGAGAGAGAUCUUGCUUUGCUUUAUAAUUGAAUAUAGGGCAGUGAUAUUCCCACCCCUCAAAUUUUGUAAACCUACCUCGCCUUAAAAAAUUAAAUCAUAAAAAAUUCACAUUAUUUUUAACGAUUUCAAAUUAUUAAGAAUAAAAUUAAGCAAUUGACUAAUUAAAUCCUCAUUAAAUAAUUAAAAUACAUUUAUGAUAUGAUAUUCCAAAACAUUUAUGCUAUUUUUCUCAUAAAAUUUAUUAAUUAUAAGAAGGAUCUGAUUGAUUAAUUGUUUAAAAUUUUAUUUAUUUUAAAUUAAAAAAGCGUGAAUUAUUUUUUAAAUAAUUCUUUGAAAUGAUUUAAAUGCGGCACGUGUCCCAUCAAGUUAAAACCUGAAGUUGAUUUAAAUUUUAUUUUAUUUUAUUUUGGAACAGAAACCAAGUAGCGAGGCCCCGUUCUUCAGGAAAUUCCGAGCUAAGUUAAUCAACAUUUCCACUAAUUAUUUUUAUUUUCUUCCAAAGUUAAUUUAAUUAGAUCAAUUUCUGGCUUCCUACUUAAAUUGCAUAUCCAAUUUGGGGGUUGAUUUUUGGAGAUGGAGAUAAACUGAAACAUUAAUUGAAAUCGAUUGAGAAAAAAAAAAUCGAUUGAGAUUGAAAGUUCUUUAUUACCCAACAUACAGAAUACAUAUGCAAUUAAUUCAAAUUUCUAAAAUUACUGUAAUUGUUGGCAAUGUGGGGUUUUUUUUUCGUUGGGGGGGGGGGUGUCUGAAAUUUGCAUGCAUGCCUUAAUUGAGUUUUAUCACUUUAAAUCCUAAUUACUAAUGUUUUUUCUGUUAAUGGUUGAAAAUAAGAUAAGAAGAGAGAAGGUGAACUUGAAGAAGUAUAAGAAGACAAGACAUGUGAUGAUGUUGAUGUGUUUAUGUGAAUAAAGACAUAAAAAUACAUGUAAUGAUGUUGAUGUGUUUUUUCUUUGUCCAAGUUUUUCCGUUGAUGUUCUAAAGUUUGCAUAUAUAUGUUUCAAGAAACAAAUGGAAAUUAAAUAGUACAUAAAGGUGAACUCACAUCGUCAACUAAAGGUUACACUACCAUUUGCCCAAUGGUUCCAUUUCUAUUAUCAUUUUCUUUAGUCACAGAAAUAUCAUCGGACUCAAAUUCAUCAGUAUAAGAAGAGGGACAAGGACAAGGACAGGGUGAGUCUAUUGUAUGACAACAGCAAGUCUACAAUUUAGUUUUAUUUCUGCUGCUGCACUGAGGAAUCACUAGCAUCAACCACCUACUUUAUUACCGUUGCUUCGUUUUUCUCUUGAAGACGGUUGACUUGAUGAAAUAACACUUCUAAUGAGGCUGCCUUAAAGAAAGCAUAUAUGUUAAUCACCUGUUGUAAUCUCAUGCCAAAAUCAUUUCAGUUCCUGCUCAUAAAAUUAGUUACUUCAACCUUUGUCAUAUGUAUUCUCCACUGCUUCAAGAUACUUAGAUAGUGAAUGUGUCUAAAUUCCAACUCAAAAGAUUCAUUUGAGAAAAAAUUCUUUAGAUGGUCAUGUAGAGUUCUAAUUUAUCUCCGUAUCAUACACAAAAUACUUGAAACCUACACAUCAAUGAUCAAUGUUCAUCUUUUAUUGACAAUCCCAAUUCUCAUAUGUGUUUGGAAAGAAAUUAGAUUCACAGGCAUUCUAGAAAUAUCUGGUGUAUUUCAAUGACAAUGAUGCCAAGUCAUGUCUCAUGGCGUCCAAAAAAAUAAAAAUGGUGAUGUAUGUGGAGGAAGAUCGUUAGCUCAAUUAAAACUACACCUCGAUCAUUUCUGGACUCAUCAACAAGAGGUAAUUUCUUACUUUGUGAACAAAUUUUGUGUCUUAUAAUUUUUUUCUGUAUUUAUAUACUUACAUGCUGUUUUGUAAUUAUAUAGCCACCAAAGCCUGGACAUGGAGAUGUGUGUUUUGUUAUGUUUAGUCCAUUUAUAAGAUCAUGUGUCAUGUGAUCUAUAAGUCUACUUAAUGGUUGCAAUCAAAUGAGUUCAUGUCCAGAUUGUGAAGUUAGUUAAUUUCAACAUAUAGCAAUGAUUGUAUCCAUUGCUUUUAUGACGUUGCUAUGUUAUUGCUUCUUUAAUAAGUGGCAGACAUGAUUUUCUAGUUUUCCACAGCUUAAAUUGUUAAAUAAUUGAUAAUGCUCUUGUGCUUACUCUGUUCUUUUCUUUUUAGAUAAGCUUUAUGGUCCCAGUGGAAUUGUUUUCACCCUUUCUUUAUUGACAGUGGAUGUAUAAAAAAAAUUGGUCUUGAUUGAUACUUGAUGAUGUUGUAGUUAUUUCUCCCUGCUUUAUUCUUUUUGCAACAUAUGUGUUGUGCCAAAUACCAGUAAAGAAAUGAUAAUGGCUCCCCAAGACUCACUCAAGAAUGGUUCUUGAGUCUAAAACUAAUCAAUCUGUACUCAGUUUAAAGGAUGUUGUAACAGCCCAGUCAAUAAAAACUAAUCAAUGAAAGGAUUAAAAGAAUCAGAAAGAACAAUACACAUAAAGCUUAUAGUGGUUCGGCUAUGGAAGCCUACGUCCACUGUGAAAAAAUGAAUCCAAGUUUUAUUGAAUUGAUUGUCUACAGAGAACAAGCUUUUACAGAGAAUAUAACAACUAACAACCACUGGCGUUAUUCCUGAGUAUCCAGCUAUAUAUACAAGCUCUUUCUCGAUCAAACACCAGCAAGUUUCCCCUAUGUUUAGUGACGAAGAGCAGCAGCUUCCCGCGCUAAUUAACGGCUUUACAGACUUCUGAUAAGCCUUCAUUACACGUGUCUUCAUCUCUAUUAUACUAAGUAACAAAACGACAGUUCAAGCAGCCGUUUUGGUUAAGUGAAUCAUGUGCAAAUCACAUGCCUUCUUUGUAUACACAGAUGACACGGUAUCCUUGUCAUAUAGCUAUCUCAGGAUUGUCAACCGACAUGUCAUGGUGUUGACAAAUCUUCAACCGACUUGUUGCACUUGACUAUAAACUGAUUUGCAGUUCAUAUUCAACAUUCUCCACAUUGAGCUCAAAUCAUCCAUUCCUCAGGUUCACCCUUCCACUUCUUUCCUUCAGUCUAUACCCUGCAGAUGCCAGCUGAGUUCAAGCAGAACUCAAACUUAGCUCCUGGUACAGCUUUGGUAAGCAUGUCAGCAAUGUUGGUAUCAGUGUGUGUUUUAGCCAGCUUAAUCACACCCUUUGAUAUUUCCAAUCUGACAAAGUGAAGCUUGAUAUCAAUAUGCUUGGUCUUUUCGUGGUGAAUCUGGUUCUUACUCAGACAUAUAGCACUUUGGCUGUCACAAUGAAUUGUGAUUUAUUUUUGUUCAAAUCCCAGUUCUGUUACCAUCCCUCUAAGCCAGAUGGCUUCUUUGAUUGCCUCUGCAGCUGCUGUGUAUUCUGCCUCAGUUGUUGAUAGAGCAACAAUACUCUGCAGUGAAGCCUUUCAGUUUAUGGUGCAGCCAUUAAGCAUGAACAGAAAGCCUGUUAAGGACCUUCUUUUAUCCAGAUCUCCAGCAUAAUCUGAAUCUACAUAACCCUCCACACUAACCUCUGUAUAUUUCUCAGCUCCAUAGAUCAAACCAUAACCAGUUGUACCAGCAAGGUAUCUUAAGAUCCACACAACAGCCCUCCAAUGAUCCUUCCCUGGGUUUGCCAUAUACCUGCUUACCACACUCACUGCAUUAGAGAGAUCAGGCCUAGUCAGGACCAUUGCGUACAUUAAACAUCCAACAGCACUUGAGUAUGGAAAUUUAUUCAUUUAAGCCUUCUCAGCAUCAGAGUUUGGACACUGUUGGCAGGACAGUCUGAAAUGAGAGGGCAGUGGUGUUUGUACUGGUUUACAUUUAUCCAUAUUGAGCUUCUCAAGUACUUUCCUAAUGUAUUUUUGCUGUGUUAGGCUUAGGAUACCAUUCUUCCUGUCUCUCUUUAGCUAAACUCCAAGGAUCUUCUUUGCAGCACCUAGAUCCUUCAUCUCAAAUGUAUUGCUCAGCUGCUGCUUCAGUUCAUUGAUGAACUCCAUCUCCUUACAAGCUAUUAACAUGUCGUCUACAUAGAGUAGCAGGUAGAUCUUAUCACCACCUUCUAUGGUUUUAAAGUAAACACAGCAGUCAAAACUGCUCCUUUGAAAACCAUGAUAUGACAUAAACCUGUCAAACCUUAGAUACCACAGUCUUGGAGAUUGUUUUAAUCCAUACAGUGACUUCCUUAAAUGACAUACAUGAUCAGCCUUUUCUGGAUCCUCAUACCCUUCAGGUUGUGACAUCACUAUCAUCUCAUCUAUUUCACCAUGCAGGAAGGCAGUCUUCACAUCCAUCUGUUCAAGAUGCAUGUCUUGUACAGCCACUAGAGAUAACAGGAUCCUCAGGGAAGCAUGUCUCACCACAGGGGAGAAAACUUCUGUAAAGUCAACACCCUCUUUCUGAGUGAAACCUUUUGCAACCAACCUGGCUUUGUAUCUUUGUGGCUCAACAUCUGGAAUUCCCUCCUUAAUCCUGUAAAUCCAUUUGCAUCCUACUAUCCUCUUGUUUGCUGGUCUUUCAAUGAGAUUCCAGGUGUGAUUCUUUUUUAAAGACAUCAUUUCCUCAUCCAUAGCCUUGAUCCAUUCUUCUGCCUUAUCACUGUUAAUAGCUUCUGAGUAUGGUCUAGGUUCAUUUGUUGCUAUUUCAUGUGCUGCUGUUAAUGCAAAUGCAAUUAGAUCUGCAUAUGCAUAUCUUCUAGGAGGUCUUAUCACUCUCUUUUCUCUGUCCCUCACUAACUGAUAAUCUUCACAUCUCUCUUGAUCACUUGUUGUUUCAUUCUCAGUGUCAUGUAUUUCCAUGUCUGUUAUGUCUCCAGCCUCUGAUCUUGAUUUCUGUUUCUGGUUUGAGUUUGACAGCUCCACUUCAAGAUAAGAUCUCUCAUCUUUAUCUUUCAGUUCUGCAUUUGUAGUUUUUAAGGAUACUGAUUGUUGGAGCAUCUCAGCUUCAUUAAAUACCACAUCUCUGCUUAUGAUUGCUUUUGGUGGCUUCAUGUCUGUGCACCAUAGUUUAUACCCUUUUACCCCUUCAGGGUAACCAAGAAAUACACACUUCAAUGCCCUGGGUUCUAAUUUGCCUUAUUUGAUGUGAGCAUAUGCUGGACAACCAAAGAUCUUCAAACUAGAGUAAUCUACUGGUUUACCAUACCAAAGUUCAUAUGGUGUCUUGAAGUUAAUUCCUGUAAAAGAGCUUCUGUUCGCAAUAUGACAAGCUGUUGACAGAGCCUCAGCCCACAAGGACAUAGGUAGCUUAGAGUGAAUGAGCAUACACCUCACUUUGUCAACUAAGGUUCUGUUCAUCCUCUCAGCUAAUCCAUUUUGCUGAGGUGCAUAUCUUACUGUUCUGUGCCUCAUGAUUCCAUGCUUGCUGCAAAAUUCUUCAAACUUCUUAUUGCAGAAUUCUAAUCCAUUAUCAGUUCUGAGCUUCUUAACCUUCCUAUUAGUCUGAGUUUCAAUUAGUGUUUUCCAGUUCUUGAAUUGUUCAAACACUUCAUCUUUGUUCUUCAGCACAUACACCCAAACCAUUCUAGAAUGGUCAUCAAUUAGAGAUAGAAAGUACCUUGCCCCUCCUAAGGAUGCUGUCUGUGUAGGUCCCCACAGAUCAGCAUGUACGUAUUCUAGAGUUCCUCUUGAAACAUGUGCACCAGUGCUGAAUUUGACUCUUGAGGAUUUACCUAGGACACACUCCUCACAAAAUUCCAAGGGCUCUAUUUUAUCUUCACCUAAGACUCCUGUUUUGAUAGUUCUCUCAAGCUUCUCUCACUCAUAUGGCCUAAUUUAAAGUGCCACAAUAAAGUUUUGUUUAGAUUCUGGUUUGAAACUCCAACAUCUCCUGUGACUACAGACCCCUAGAGCACAUACAGGCCAUUGUCUAAGUUUCCUUUCAUCAACACCAUAGACCCUUUCAACACCUUCAAAGUGCCUGACUCAAGCUUGAUAACACACCCCAUUUUGUCAAGCAUGCCAAGAGAAAUUAAGUUCCUCUUUAAAUCAGGGAUAUGUCUGACAUUUGGUAAUUCUCUUAUUGUGCCAUCAAGCAUUUUCAGUUUAAUGGUGCCCCUGCCAAUUACUCUACAACUAGCAUCAUUUCCCAUUACAACUAUCCCACCAUCAUAGGUUUCAUAGUUCUUAAAGAAAUUUCUAUUAGGGCACAUAUGGAAUGAACAACCAGAAUCUAAAACCCAGUUACCUCUAGAUGCACCAUCAGAGACUAUGAGAACUCCAGCAGAGUCAUAACCAUCAGAUUCUUGUCCUUCUGAUGCAACAGUAGCAUCUCUAGUCUUCUCUUUUGUUUCUUUGCUUUUAUAUUUCCUCUCUGGACAAUCCUUUUUGAAGUGGCCUUCCUUGUGGCAAUUAAAGCACUUCAUAUUCUUGGGUCUGGACUUGGAUCUUUUCUUCUUUCCUUGACCACCUUCUCUCUUUUAUGGUCUCCCUCUAACUGUUAAUCCUUCCCCAUGACUUGCUUCUUUCUUGGUUGCAGCCUUGGAGCUCAAUGUCUCUUUUACAUCCACCAUCGAAAGAGACUGUCUUCCAUACAUGAGAGUGUCAACUAGAUGCUCAUAAGAGCUUGGUAAAGAGCACAACAGAAUCAUGGCUUUAUCUUCAUCAUCAAUCUUUACAUUAAUGUCUUUAAGAUCCAAAAUGAUCUUGUUAAAGGCAUCAAUGUGAUCAGAGAUUGAUGAACCCCCUUCUAUCUGCAAUGUGUAAAGCUUCUUUUUAGUGGCUAACCUCUUAGCCAUGGACUUUUUGGCAUACAAGUCUUCAAGCUUCUUCCACAAUCCAGCAGCAGUUGUCUCUCCUCCCACUUCUCUAAGUACACCAUAUCCGAGGCUUAAGAUAAUUGCACUAUGUGCCCUAUCAAGCACAUCUGGAAGAUCAUCCUCUGAUAUCUUCCUUGGUUUCUUGGGUGAUGUGAUUUCGGCAAGGGCUUCAUCCAGGCCUUGAUGUACCAGUAGUGCUUUCAUCUUGAGUCUCCAUAGGUGAAAGUCAUUUUCACCAGUAAACUUUUCUAUUUCAAGUUUAGGACCAGUCAUCUUUAGAUCAAGAAUUUCAGAGAGAGGCUCUAAUACUAAUUUAUUGUGCCAAAUACUAGUAAAGAACUGAUAAUGGCUCCCCAAGACUCACUCAAGAAUGGUUCUUGAAUCUAAAACUAAUCAAUCUGUACUCAGUUUAAAGGAUGUUGUAACAGCCCAGUCAACAAAAACUAAUCAAUGAAAGGAUUAAAAGAAUCAGAAAGAACAAUACAUAAAAAGCUUAUAGUGGUUCGGCUAUGGAAGCCUACGUCCACCGUGAAAGAAUGAAUCCAAGUUUUAUUGAAUCGAUUGUCUACAGAGAACAAGCUUUUACAGAGAAUAUAACAACUAACAACCACUGACGUUAUUCCUGAGUAUCCAGCUAUAUAUACAAGCUCUAGCUCGAUCAAACACCAGCAAGUUUCCCCUGUGUUUAGUGAUGAAGAGCAGCAGCUUCCCGCGCUAAUUAACGGCUUAACAGACUUCUGAUAAGCCUUCAUUACACUUGUCUUCAUCUCUGUUAUACUAAGUAACAAAACGACAGUUCAAGCAGCUGUUUUGGUUAAGUGAAUCACGUGCAAACCACAUGCCUUCUUUGCAUACACAGAUGACACAGUAUCCUUGUCAUAUAGCUAUCUCAGGACUGUCAACUGACAUGUCAUGGUGUUGACAAAUCUUCAACCGACUUGUCGCACUUGACUAUAAAUUGAUUUGUAGUUCAUAUUUAACAAUAUGGAAGACUGAGUAUUGUAAGAUUCAUUUCCCGCACUGCUCUGCCUUGAUCUGUUCUAAUUUGAGAGUCAGCAAUCUUGAUUCAACUUCUUGGGUGGAGUACUAGCUAAGAGAAGGGAGGCAUGGGAGCCAGCACUAAUUUUUGAAUUGAAGAGAUAUGGGCAUCAACUUCAGACUAUUUUCAGAGAGGCUGAGAAGGGUGUUAGCUGGCGAAGAAGUCACAUUGCCUGAUGCUGCAAAAUAACCUAUUCAGAAUCUUUGUACCGAGGUUGAAAUCGUUACUUCUUGGCUGAGGGACUUUGAAUAUGAUAUGUCCUGGCUUCUGCUGCAAAAAAAUAGGAGAAGAUGAAAUUGACAACCCAGACCUUGGGACCAUUAAUUGCUUUACAUAUGAAUAUGAGAAGGUCAUUGACAUAUUCUCAACAGCAUCACCCAACAUAAGAGUCAAAGCAGGUGCAACAACUUCAGUACAUCGAUUCCGGAAUCAUUGAUGAUUUCAAAAGUAUUGAAGAUGAAGCCGAUUAUUUUCCUGCAUCAUCAUCUUCUAAGAAUAGGGGCACGGUGGGUCUAGAAGACAGAAUGGAGGAGUUGUUAGAUAUAUUAAGAGAGGGACCACCUCAGCUUUCAGUGGUGGCCAUCUUGAUAGCAUUGGGUUGGGCAAGGUGGCUUUCACUGCAGAGGCUUACAGCAGCAGUGAUGUGAAGCAUUAUUUUAAUUGUCACGCUUGGGUUCCAAAGCCUUACAGCUAUGAUGCUGAUGGUGACCAAAUAUUAGAUAUCAUUAUUAAGUUUCUAAUGCCUUCAUCUAGGUUGAGUGUAAUAAAGGAUAAAAAUUAUGAAAUGAAAAAAAAAAUUCUUCAUGAAUAUCUAAUGAUCAAGUGGUAUUUGAUUGUGAUUGAUGAUGUGUGGAGCAUUGAAGUGUGGGAUGUUAUUCGAGAAAUACUUCCGGAUAAUCAGAAUGGAAGUGGAGUACUAAUAACACUCACUGAAAUUCAUAUCGUCACCUCAUUUCAGUUAAAAAGUGGACAUAAUAUUUGGCUUGAUUUAGUGCCCACUAAAGGACCAUUGAGAGUUGUUUACCUUUUUGCUUGAAACUUUGUUUUCCUUACUUAUCUGUGUUUCCUGUACACCUAGAGACAUCCACCAAGCAGUUAUAUCAGUUGUGGAUAUCUGAAGGUUUCAUUCCAGACAAUAGCGAGGCAACUGCCGAGAAGUACUUGGAACCACUAAUGAAUAGAGUCUUUGUUGAUGCAAAGAAGAGAAGCGAUGGAGGCAGAAUCAACGCAUGCCCUAUUCGUAGUCGUUGAUGGGCUUCAUUAUUGCAAAUGGCUCUCAAAACGAAAUUUAUCUUUUCCCCUAUCCUGGAUCAAAAAGGUAAAUCACGAAAAAAUGUCAAACAUGUCUACGUUUUUUACAUUUUGCUUACUUAGAUGAUUGUGACUCGCACCUGCAUUCUUUGUUGCACUUCUAAAAGCGACCACCUUGACCCCAUAGAUUGGGUGAAAAUCGAUUGAGUAAUGGACUUGGGAUCUCUUGUUCUCAGCCAAUUUCCAUCCAAAAUUGAAACCUUAUUACUUUUGAUAUUUGAAGCUGAAUAUCCCUUCCCUCAAAAGCCUGGCUUCAUCACUAUUAAGAAAUCUCUGAAUCUGUACACCAUAGCCAUGCUAUUUAGCUACAUAAAUCAUACAACAGAUGAAUUUUGGAAGAUGAACAAACUCAGGCAUCUAAAGUUUGGCUCGAUCAUACUUCCUGAACAUCUAAGAAAAUAUUGCGGCUCUCUGGAAAAUCUCAAUUUCAUUACAGCCAUGUAUCCUUGCUGCUGUACUGAAGAUAUAUUGAACAGACCACCUAAUCCUCAAAAUCUCCAGAUAUGAUAUGAGGAGAUUUUUAUUUUUAUCAAUUUUUGAUGUCCCAAAGUCUUUGUAGAUUGAGAUGCCUCAAGUCAUUGAAGAUGGUGAAUGAAAGCAAGAUGCCAAGGCUCUCCAAAAUCGUCCUUGCCAAAUACCUACUUCCUCAAAGUCUAAUCCACUUGAGUUUCUCUAAUACUGAAAAAAUGGAUGAUCCCAUGCCUGCACUUGAACACUAGAAAAGUUGCCAGUUCUUCAAGUGCUCAAACUGAAGCAAAACUCAUAUUCAGGUCGAUAGCUGAUUUGUAGGUCUGAUGGUUUCCCAAAGCUCAAGAUAGUGCACCUGAAUUCAAUGCCAUGGCUAGAGGAGUGGACCAUGAGGCUUGGAGCCAGGCCAAAACUAGAAUGCUUGAUUCUCAAUUCUUGUGCUUACUGGAAAAAGAUUCCUGAACAGCUCUGGUGCAAAAAGAGCUUAAACAAAUUCGAGUGUUGGUGGCCUCAACCGGAGCUGAGACAAAAGCUACGGGACUUCGAGGAUAAGGCGCAGUAAGACAAUCAAGUAUAUCCUUAUGGAAUUUGAUUUGCAUGGAUUUAAUUAGAUGUAAGUUUUUCAUUUUAUGCAAUAUCAUAAACCUUUAAUUAUUAAUCUAAUUUCAUACAUAUGUUUUUUCUUUUCCUCAAUAUAUUUGAUAGUACGCAAAACAAAGAAACCCAACAAUGCCCUCCAUCAAUCCUAAGGACUCAUUAAUGAAAUACAAGUGUGCAACCUAAGAGGGGGGGUGAAUUGGAUUUUUAAAAUCUAUCCUAACAAAUCCACACAACAAGCAAUCUAAUGUCUUAACAAUAAUUGAAAACAAUAAGUUCAAUAAUAGCACAAUAAUUAAAGAGUAAGGGAGAAGAGAAACAAACACACGAAUUUUUACGUGGUUCGGCAAUCCCCGCCUACGUCCACGCCUACAAGCGAUCCAAGCUCGAGGAUUUCACUAUCCAAGCCUUUCCAAGGCUUCAACAAUUACAAUUGACUUCGAGGUGUCAAUAAACCUUUACAACAAAGAGAUUAUCUCCCAAUCUCUUCACUCAAGUGUCUCACACACUCAAAUUCUUACAAAUGAGAUGAACAAAUGAUGAUUACAAUGAAACUCACUCAAUGAGUAGAUAUACAAUGAUGAAGAACAAGAAAAGAUUCAAUGUUUGUAUUUCGCAAGUUUGAACACUCAAGAUAUCACGUGUGCCUUUUGUUUUUGCUUGUUGGAGAGCUUCAAAAUGAGUUGGAUUUGAGUUCUUAUAGCUUGAGCUCGAAAACUAGCCAUUACUCACAUUUUGGGCUAUCCGGUUUGCCGUUUAAUGGAAUCCGGUAAGCCGGAUUUAUGUUACCGUUAAGGCAAAAUUCAAAAUUUUGCCUAACCGGCUUGCCGGAUUCGAAAUCCGGUAAGCAGUUUUUGUUCUGGUGCUUACUGCCUGAAUUCGGCCUGCCGUUUAUCAGUAUCCGGUAAGCCACUUGCUACAGUAACCUGCUACAGUGAAAUUUUUCCCAUAUUUUCAGUUUGACCCCAAAACUUUAUAAAAACUGUAGUAUGGCCCAAAACGUUAUGAAAUUUUACAAAUAUGUCCAAUUUCAGAAUUUUUAAGUAAUACUUCGUUAAUCCCAAAACUUUUUGAAAUUAUGAUAUAGCCCAAACUUUGUGAAAUUAUAUAAUGACCCCAAAAACAUUUAAAUAAUUUCAAAUAAGUCCAAAUCCGAAAACUUUAAAAACAUUAUCAAAGCUUUUAAAAUACAUGUGGUUUGUUAUCAUCAAAAUCAAUAUUUAUAGCCAUAUAGGCUAACAAUGUCAUACAGGUUAUUAACUUUUUCUCAUUGUUAAGAUUAGUUGUUAAUAUUUUUUUGGUAAUUUUCUCAUUUUAAUGGCGUGGAUGGAUAUCUUUAGUAUUUUCUUUUACCUGUUGGGGCUGCCAGAACUCUGUUUUUUGAAAUUAACAUUUUGGAAUCUGUUUUACUUUCCCCGCCCCUAGAAUGUUCAAUUUUAAGGUGAUCUUUAAAAUUUUCGCAGAAGCAUGGUUAUACCAAUUUCUCUUCGAAAUGAUUGAGUUAAAUAUGACAUGGAGAAUCGCCAAUAUAGACAACUUAUUUUGAAACUUCUAGCAAAUUGAAAGUUUGGAAUUCAUUAGUGAAGUUCAUAAUGGUGAAAUGUUUGGUUUCAAUUGAUGGGAAUAGGCCCCAUGAACUGAUGUAGUGAUGGAUACUGAAUUGGGACAUGGUGUUUCUGGUUCAUGGAAUAUCUUGAAAGAAGUAUGAAAAGUGAUGCAAGACAACAAAAGAGACGUCUUCCUAAAAAAAUUGAAUGGCCUCGGCUUGAUUUCUAGGUGUGAUUCUUUUUUUUUCCUAUUUUAGGUAGAUAGCUCAUGGCUCAUUGAUGUGGUAAUGGAUUGGUUUGUUACCAAUAUUGGUAGUGUCGUUAAGGUGCACCAAAUUUAAAACCUUACCACUAAUAUAAAUAAUUAGUACAGAGCGAGUAAGGAUCGAUCCCACAGAGACUAUGCUAGUUAUAUUUAUUAUUAACUCCAAAGUAAGAUUUAAAAUAAAAUAAUAGUAAUAAUAAUAAUAAUAGUAAUAGUAAUAAUAAUAUAAAUUAAUCUAACUAAAGAAAAUGCCAAUUAAAAAUAAAAGGGGGAUUUAUGAAUUUUUAACUAAAUAGUAAGAAAUAAAGAAAUUAAAAUUACGAACAAGAAUUUAAUAAAAACUCUAAUUAAAGGAGAAAGAAAUAAUAAUGAUGAAAACUUUGGUUAAAGGAUCAUUCGCCACCACCAAACAUGCACAUAAUAUAUUAAUUCUAUCAUCAAUUUAUAUUGAAACUAUCAACUGUAGACAACAAUAAGCUCUGUUAGUCUCAAUUUUUCCUUAGUGUGUCGUUAGGCAAAAUAAGCUCUUCACCUAAUCUCUAACCAUUAAAUAAUUUAAAACAAGCUCUUUAAAUUUAAGAUAAUGGAAGCAUUAAACAAAGAAAGAUAUUAGGUUGAUUUAGGCAAUAAACACACAAGCUCGGAUUAUUUAACCUAGGUUAUGUUCUUCAAUUGAAAUCAUUGAUUCCAACCUACUACUAAUGAUUAAAAUAUCAAGACAAUUACGGAUCAAGAAUUUUAAUCUAGCAAUAAAAUUUAUUCAAGUCCUAUCUAAUUGGCCACUCAAACAAAACAAGAAUAAACCAUGAACAUUAAUUAUAGAAGAACAUAAACAAUCUCAAUUAAAUAAAUUGCUGAAGCUCAGUCUGCCUCACCAAAAGUGUCUGAACCUCAUCCAUAAGCUGCUGAAGAGUGACAUCUCCAGAGGUAGGAGGCCGUGGAGGUGAUGAAGCGGAUGCAGAUGCACUAGGAGCCGAAGCAACCGUAGAAGAAACUCGGCGUCUACGCUGCCCUCGAAAUGAUAGUGAGAAUAUUGGAAGCUGAUCAGCGGGAAUCACGGCAUUAAGUGGCCGAUCAUCACUUGGGGCUAGAAAGAUAAACUUGUUAUCGCUAUAUUUGACCCAAGUGUCAUUCUUCCACUCAAAGCCUAACCCAACAAUAACCUCAUCCCCAAUACCCUUGGAUGGCCUACAAGAAGGUUCUAGAAUCGGCACUUCAAAGAAUUUAAGAAUACGAGUAAUGAAGUGACCAUAGGGGAGAGAGCGGGUAAUCAAGGCUGGAAUGCUCAACAUGGUGCGAACAAUGGAAUAGCCCAAGUCAACCGGGCGACCUCUAAAAAUACAGUCAAUCAUGGCGACAUCCAUGUGAUACACCUCAUCCAAAUGUCCUGAUCUAGGAAGUACAAUAGACUGGAUGAUACGAAGCAAAAAACGAGUUUGAAGACAAAGACACUGAGUACGGAAAUGAAUGGUACAGUCUUCAACAGAGAGAUCAUUACGCCGACAAAUAUUACGAACGGCAUCAACAUGAACAUAAUCAUCAAUUUCAGGAGGUUUCCUAAGAGAAAAAAUGUCCAAGCCUUCAUCGGAAGAUCAUAGGAUGUUGUUCAAGUCCGAAUCAUCAAAUUCAAUCAAAACUCCUCCAACUUUGGUGAUUACUCGAUUCUCUUUCUCCGCGGAACAAUCCAUAUUCGAGUAAAAUACUUUCACCAAGUCGGGAUACACAUUCUCCUCAAUCAACAAUGCAUCAAUCCAACCAACAUCUCCCAACAAUUGAAAUAAAGUUCUAUGACUAAUCUGGAGAGAAUGUAAAACAUCCGGUAAAACAAAGAAAGUGUUGAGUACUUCACGAGUCCGAAAGUUUUGAUGAAACCUUUUGAUCAAGUGUUGCGUGUUCUGAAAGUGAAUGGACUCAAAGGUGGAUUGAUUGGAGGUGCCCCUUGCUUCCCGUGGCCGUGUGGAUGGUUGAACCGGUUCCUUGCCUUUUCUUCGAACCGGCCGAGAGCUUGACAUAUUGAUUUUGAUUGAUUUGAAGAUAAAAACACUAAAGAGAAUGAAGAAGAUGAAGAUUGGAGGUGAUUUGGUAAAACAAAAUUGAUCAAAAACGACUUGAGAGUGAGAAAUCUAGAGAGAGAAAAUUCGGCUCAAAACCUAGGUUGGAAUUGGGAUCUAAGGAUUUAGAUGUUGAAAACAGGUUUCAAGGAUGGUUUUGUGAUCUUAAUGAGAUGGGGAAUGAUUUUAUUGAUUCAAUUUGAUGUGAAAAUGGAAGAAAAAGAAGGAUGUUGGAGUGAGAAAGAGAGAAAAUGGAAACGAGUUUUAGAGAGAUGAAGAACCGGUAUGCCGAAUGCUUGAGGAAGAUGAAUAGUGCUUAAGAGAUCACGAAUCCGGUUUGCCGGAUUUUCUAACCGGUAGGCCGGUUGUGAACCCGAGAACAGCCAUCUUCAGCAAAUUUAAAAGGCACGAAUCCGGCUUGCCGGAUUUCCUAACCGGUAAGCCGGUUAGCAUGCAGAAAAGGAGAAAGCCGAAACCGGCUUUCCGAAAUUGAAAUCCGGUAAACCGGAUAUGGACCGAGAGAUGCAAGAGGCAAUUCGGCUUGCCGGUUUCCUUAACCGGCUGGCCGGUUUCGAGAGCCUCCAAAAAUAAUCGGUUUUCCGGAUGUCUUGAAGCGGAAAUCCGGUUUUGCUCCAGCAAAGCAUGCAUGCGAAUUCGGUUUUCCGGUUAUUGAUAACCGGUUGACCGGUUAUGAGGCAGUAAAUAUCCUUCCAAAUUCGGUUUUCCGGAUUGAAAAUCCGGUUUUCCGGAAUUUGUCCCGACAGGGAUCAAUAAGGAGAAAUAAUUUUCCGGAAGAAUGAAAAGGGAAUAUUUGCUAGCUCUUGUACUUGUAUUACACACCAUUUUAUUUCCGGCUUUAAAAAUUGAUUAAUUUUAAAUCAUUUCGAGAUUUAAAACUUUUCAAUAAGCCAUCUAAUGCAUGUAAUAUAAAAUCAUAAAAUCAUAAAUUUACAAGCACAUCAAGUUAUCUAAUUCAUGUAGCAUAAAACCAUAUGAUAACAAUCAUAUCAAGCCAUGAAUUAAAACAUGAAUUAAGAUUCAACAUUCAUCAUUCCAAGCUCAUGCCUAAUCUUUAUAAAAUGCUCUUCGCUAAGAGGUUUUGUAAAGAUAUCCGCAAGUUGAUUUUCAGUGGAAACAAAUUUAAUUACAACAUCCCCUUUUUGAACAUGAUCUCUAAGGAAAUGAUGUCUAAUCUCUAUAUGCUUAGUCCUAGAAUGUUGAAUGGGAUUCUUGGAAAGAUUUAUAGCACUAGUAUUGUCACAUAAGAUAGGAAUUUGAUCAAGUAUAAUGCCAUAGUCUCUAAGGGUUUGUUUCAUCCAAAGAAUUUGUGCACAACAACUACCUGCGGCAAUAUAUUCUGCCUCGGUGGUUGAAAGCGCAACUGAGUUUUGUUUCUUACUAAACCAAGAGACAAGAGAAUGACCUAGGAAGUGACAUGUUCCACUAGUACUUUUUCUAUCAACCUUAUACCCAGCAAAAUCAGCAUCCGAAUAACAAGUUAAAUCAAUGUGAGUUCCUCUAGGAUACCAAAGGCCAAGAUUAAUAGUACCAAUUAAAUACCGAAAAAUGCGUUUGACAGCAAGCAUGUGAGACUCUUUAGGACAAGAUUGAAAUCUAGCACACAAGCAAACACUAAACAUAAUAUCAGGCCUAUUAGCAGUCAAGUAGAGUAAGGAUCCGAUCAUACCUCGAUAAGUCUUGAUAUCAACUUCCUUACCUUUCUCAUAGGAGUGCUUGAUGGUAGUGCUCAUAGGAGUGCUUUUUGCCGUUCCAUUUUCAUAGCUAAAUCUUUUGAGUAGAUCUUUCACGUACUUGGCUUGGUUUAUGAAAAUUCCUUCCUCGUUUUGUUUGAUUUGAAGACCAAGGAAGUACUUCAACUCUCCCAUCAUACUCAUCUCAAACUCUUGGCUCAUACAUGAUGAAAAAUCUUUACACAACAACUCAUUAGUAGAACCAAAAAUAAUAUCAUCAACAUAUAUUUGAACAAUAAGUAUGUCUUGGUUCUUAUGCUUAACAAAAAGAGUUGUGUCCGCUUUUCCCAUUGGAAAAUCGUUAUCCAACAAGAAAUUUUUAAGCCUAUCAUACCAAGCUCUAGGUGCUUGUUUUAAACCAUACAAAGCCUUGGAUAACUUAUACACAUGAUCUGGAAACUUUUCAUUUUCAAAACCAGGAGGUUGUUUCACAUAAACUUCCUCCAUAAUGUAUCCAUUUAAGAAAGCACUCUUGAUAUCCAUUUGAUACAAAAUAAAAUUCUUAUGACAUGCAUAUGCUAACAACAUCCUGAUGGAUUCUAAUCUUGCUACAGGUGCAAAAGUUUCAUCAAAAUCAAUUCUUUCUUCUUGGUUGUAACCUUGAGCCACUAAUCUAGCUUUAUCUCUUACAACCACACCAGAUUCAUCCAUUUUGUUUCUAAAUACCCAUUUAGUACCUAUAAUGGAUUGAUGUUCCGGAUUAGGAACUAACUCCCACACAUUAUUUCUCUCAAAUUGAUUCAACUCCUCUUGCAUUGCCAUAAUCCAAGAUUCAUCAUUUUCCACAUCCGCAAAGGAUUUUAGUUCAAUUUGAGAAAUAAAUGCAGCAUGCUCACAUGUGUUUCUAAGAGAUGAUCUAGUGGUAACACCUCGUGAGGGAUCUCCUAAAAUUACAUCCUUAGGAUGAGAGGACACAUACCUCCACUCCUUGGGGAGUGUUUGUGAAGUACCUUCAUUUUGCUCUGCAUUUGUUUCUUCAUGAUGUUCCUCUUGAAUUCCAGGUGGUGUGUUUUCUUGGUUGCGAUUUGAUGCUUCUUCUUGUUGUUCUUCUUCUGCAUUAUCAUCAACAACAACUUUCUCCGUAGAGGAGGGGUUAGACUCAUCAAAUGUAACAUGCAUAGAUUCUUCCACAACUAAAGUUCUUUUAUUAUAAACUCUAUAAGCUUUGCUUGAAUUUGAAUAACCAAGAAAGAUACCAACAUCAGAUUUUGGAUCAAAUUUACCAAGAUUAUCUUUUGUGUUUAAAACAAAACAUUUGCAUCCAAAAACUUUAAAAUAACCAAUGUUGGGUUUUCUAUCUUUCCAAAGCUCAUAUGGAGUUUUAUUGAGAUUAGGUCUAAUCAACACCCGAUUUAAAACAUAACAAGCGGUGUUGACGGCUUCGGCCCAAAAAUACUUAGGCAAAGAAUUUUCAUUCAAAUGGUCCUAGCCAUUUCUUGAAUAGACCUAUUCUUUCUCUCUACUACUCCAUUUUGUUGUGGAGUCAUAGGUGAUGAAAAUUGAUGUUCAAUGCCAAGGUCAUUACAGAAAUUUUCAAAUGCAUGAUUUUCAAAUUCUCCACCAUGAUCACUUUUAAUACAAGUGAUGGAGUAACCUUUUUCAUUUUGAACCUUUUUACAGAAAAUUCGAAAUGCAUCAAUGGCAUCAUCCUUAUUAGCUAAGAACAAUACCCAUGUGUAUCUCGAAUAAUCAUCCACAAUUACAAAUGCAUAAAACUUGCCACUUAAACUAGCAUAUCUAGAAGGACCAAAUAAAUCUAUAUGAAGCAAUUGAAGUGGAAACAUGAUUUUUACUUUUGAAUGAAGUUUUGAUUUGUUUUCCAAAUUGGCAUGCUUCACAAGUUCUAUCUUUUUGAAAAUUGAUUUUUGGAAGACCUUUUACUAAAUCAUUUUUCACGAUUUUUGAAAUCAAAUCCAUGCUUGCAUGACCUAAUCUUCUAUGCCAUAACCAACCAUCAUCAUGCAAUGCGGAAAGACAUUUCUCAUUUGUUGAUGCACAAUCUAUAUUAAUGGUAUAGACAUUAACACAUCUAUUUCCUACAAACAAGACUUUCCCAUCACAUGCAUUCUCAAUAACACACUUUGAUUCAUCAAAGAUAACUCUAUAUCCUUUAUCACAUAAUUGACUAAUACUAAGCAAAUUGUGUUUCAAGUUUUCAACCAAACACACAUUUUCAAUGAGAGUAGAGGAUACAUUACCGACAUUUCCAAUCCCAAUGAUUUUUCCUUUUGAAUUAUCCCCAAAUGAAACAUCUCCACCAUUUUCGAUCUUGGUAAAGCUUGAAAACCAAGAAUAAUUCCCUGUCAUGUGUCUUGAACAGCCACUGUCCAAGUACCACUUAUUCUUCUUCUUCUUUGAGCCCUGUGGAGAAAAUCUCAAGCUUUAGGUACCCAAACCUUUUUGGGUCCUUGAGAGUUAGCAAUGGUUCCUUUCGGAACCCAAACACAUUUCAUACCAUAAUAUGCAUUUCUCUUCACCGCACAUCUAUUUUUCAUAUGGCCAUCUUGAUUGCAAUAAUGACAUACAAUUUUAUUGUUAAUAGAUGUAUUCUUCACAAAAUAACUCUUGUAAAAUUUUUGUUUCAAAUUCGGUUUAUAACCUAUGCCACUUUUGUCAAAUACACAUUUUUGUGAGUUUAGCAAAUUGUCCAACAUCUUUUGCCCAUUUGUAAAUUUUAGCACAAUUUCAUUUAAUUCAUUACUCUUCUUUCUAAGCAUUUCAUUCUCAUUUUUCAAGUCAUUCAUGUGUGACUCUAAGUGCUCAUGUGAAGUGCUAGAGUUCUCAAAUAAUGCAAUACUAUCAUGUAAUGUUUUGUUUUCUAAUUCUAGGCAUGUAAUCUUUGCACUAAAUGAAUCAUUUUCAUUCUUAAGCUCUAUCAUCUUCUUUUUAAGACUUAUAUUCUUUUUACAAAUCUUCAUUAGCUCAUCAUGCAAAUCAUUAAAAGUAUCAUGCAGUUCAUCAUAUGUAGGAGGAACACUUACCUCAUCAAGUUCAUCACAUGAUUCUUCCCCAAUGGCCAUGAGAGCUAAGUUUGUCAUUUCUUGUUGCUCAUCAUCGUCACUUGUUUCCUCAUCACUAUCAUCCCAUGUGGCCACCAUAGCCUUCUUCUUGAAUUUGUUGAGAAGAGGACAUUUCGGUCGUAUGUGUCCGGGCUUCUUGCAUUCAUAACAAGUGAUUGGCUCCUUCUUCUCCUUCUUAUUCUUGUAGCCUCUGAACUUUCUCUGCUCAUUAUUCUUCUUAUAAAAUUUUCUGAAUCUUCUAGCUAACAUAGCCAGCUCCUCAUCAUCCAUUUCGCUUUCCUCAUCACUCUCACGUUUUGAAGCCUUGAGAGCAAUGUUCUUCUUCUUUUCCUCAUGCCCUUUUUCAGCUGCCAAAUCUUCUUCAUAUGAAAUAAGAGAGCCAAUUAAAUCAUCAAUAGGUAACACAUUUAAAUCCUUGGCUUCCUCAAUGGUAGUCCUUUUUGGUCUCCAUUCCUUAGGUAGAGACCUAAUGAUUUUCUUGACUUUUUCGCUAUUUGAAAAAGUCUUUCCUAGGGCUCCUAGAGUGUUCACUAUGUCCGUGAAUCUAGUAUACAUAGAGUACACAUUUUCAUUUUGUUCCAUUUAGAACAAUUCAUAUUGUCGAGUGUACCUACUUAUUUUAUAUUCUUUCACUUGGUUCGUGCCUUCAUAGACAACCUCAAGUUUGUGCCAAAUCUCAUUAGCACUUUCGCAACUAGACACUCUAUGAAACUCUUUCUUAUCUAGUGCACAAAAUAAGGCAUUCAUGGCCUUGGAAUUUAGAGAAGCUUUUCUCUUUUCGAAUUCAUUCCAAUCCCGUGAAGGUUUUGGAAUAUCUUCUCCGACUUCAUUUUUAGUCAAAGGCAUGAAAGGACCAUCAUUAACGAUUUCCCAAAUCUCAUAAUCUAAGGCUUGCAAGUAAAUUCUCAUCCUAGUUUUCCAAUAUGGGUAAUCGUUUCCAUCAAAGUAAGGUGGUCUAGUGGUGGACUGCCCUUCCCUAAAUGUGGAAUCAUUUUGAGUUGCCAUUGAUCUUUAGUUCUAGAUGGUUAAAUCUAAAUAAGAGCACCUUGCUCUGAUACCAAUUGAAAUACAAGUGUGCAACCCAAGAGGGGGGUGAAUUGGAUUUUUAAAAUCUAUCCUAACAAAUCCACACAACAAGCAAUCUAAUGUCUUAACAAUAAUUGAAAACAAUAAGUUCAAUAAUAGCACAAUAAUUAAAGAGUAAGGGAGAAGAGAAACAAACACACGGAUUUUUACGUGGUUCGGCAAUCCCCGCCUACGUCCACGCCUCCAAGCGAUCCAAGCUCGAGGAUUUCACUAUCCAAGCCUUUCCAAGGCUUCAACAAUUACAAUUGACUUCGAGGUGUCAAUAAACCUUUACAACAAAGAGAUUAUCUCCCAAUCUCUUCACUCAAGUGUCUCACACACUCAAAUUCUUACAAAUGAGAUGAACAAAUGAUGAUUACAAUGAAACUCACUCAAUGAGUAGAUAUACAAUGAUGAAGAACAAGAAAAGAUUCAAUGUUUGUAUUUCGCAAGUUUGAACACUCAAGAUAUCACGUGUGCCUUUUGUUUUUGCUUGUUGGAGAGCUUCAAAAUGAGUUGGAUUUGAGUUCUUAUAGCUUGAGCUCGAAAACUAGCCGUUACUCACAUUUUGGGCUAUCCGGUUUGCCGUUUAAUGAAAUCCGGUAAGCCGGAUUUAUGUUACCGUUAAGGCAAAAUUCAAAAUUUUGCCUAACCGGCUUGCCGGAUUCGAAAUCCGGUAAGCCGUUUUCGUUCUGGUGCUUACUGCCCGAAUUCGGCCUGCCGUUUAUCAGUAUCCGGUAAGCCGCUUGCUACAGUAACCUGCUACAGUGAAAUUUUUCCCAUAUUUUUAGUUUGACCCCAAAACUUUAUAAAAACUGUAGUAUGGCCCAAAACGUUAUGAAACUUUGCAAAUAGGUCCAAUUUCAGAAUUUUUAAGUAAUGCUUCGUUAAUCCCAAAACUUCAUGAAAUUAUGACUUUGCCCAAACUUUGUGAAAUUAUAUAAUGACCCCAAAAACAUUUAAAUAAUUUCAAAUAAGUCCAAAUCUGAAAACUUUGAAAACAUUAUCAAAGCUUUUAAAAUACAUGUGGUUUGUUAUCAUCAAAAUCAAUAUUUAUAGCCAUAUAGGCUAACAAUUAAUGUGUAGACAACAGAAGUGAAUACUGAAAGGAUCAAGGCUGGAUUCUGGUUGAAAUUGAAACUUUUGCUGCACUACAGUUGACAAAUUUCCCGCCCUGAUUUCACCUGCGCAAGUAAUUUAAGAUCUGAAAUUAUAGUUUUUCCUCACUGUUCAACGAUCAAUACACAAGGGUUCUGAAAUUAUAGUUUUUCCUGACUGUUCAACAAUCAAUACACAAGGGAAAAUGGUCGGGGUCAGCAUCAGGAUCUGUGAUGAACACUUCAUCUCUAAUGUUGAGACAAAAAUUAGAAGCAACCACAAUUAGAAAACACUUUAUAGCAUUAGGAAGCAAGGAUCGGCUACAAGCAAUAGUGUCAAGUUUUUGGAUUCACUGUGUAUAUUCUAUUCGUGUGUCUUCAUUCUCGUAAUGUGCUUGAAACUCCAGCUCAGUGUGGACGUGUGUGGUUUGGUCGUACCAUGUGUAAUACAUGUUAAUGGUCAUAAUUAUCUUAAGGGAAUUCUGCAUCACUUCCAUUAGAAGAGAAGUUUGGAUGUAGGCAUCAUCGCUGCUGAAUCUACUGUUGAUUUGCUCUAUGUUUUCUAUAUUUUUUUAUUUCAAUUUCGGGGAUUGGGUUUCUAGCAUUGAUUGUUGAUACAUUAGAGGACUAAAUACAAGAAAUAGAAACUGGGGAAUAUUGCCUAAUCUUCAGAAUCUCCAAUUUUAUGGAGAUUUAAGCCCUUAUCAUUCAUAAAUAAAUUGAAUGCUGGAUUGUUAUUAUCUUAGAUUCUCUAAAUAAUAAUCCGAAUAAUAAUUAUAAAUGCUUGUUUUGAACAAAUACUACCUAUUAUUUUAAACUUUGGACUUAGAAAUUAUAAAUAGUAUUAGCAUGUGAAUUUUAAGGAAUUAGCUGAUUCUGUCCAAUUUUAAAGGUUGAUGCCUCAUGCUCACCUUAUAGUCAUUGGUUUUUGCUGAACAAAUGAAUGUGUAUCAUUUUUUUUCUUUUAUUUUCUGUUAUACUUUGAUUCCCCUGCUUCUAGCUGAUUAUGUUCUCCUUUAUAACGAGAAAGAAGUUAUUUUUUGUGCUCUUAUAUAUACAUGUUAAGCUUGGAUAUGUGUGGUUUGGUUUGUUUUAAUAAUAUGAUUGUGUGGUGUCAUCUGCAAUACUUUUUAAGGAUGCAAUCAAAUGAGUUUAUACCUUACAGUGAAUUUGGUUAAUUUCAAGAUAUCAUUUGUUGGGAUCUUCGGCUUUGGUUGCUAAUACAAAAUUCCUCAAAUCUCGAUUGGAAUUUGGGAAUCCGUCCUAAAUGAUACAAGAUUUGAUAAAAAUUUCUCAUUCUGAUUUAUUAUUCGAGUUGAGAUUCAAGAUCUAAUUUUCUUCCAACUUAAUAUUCAAGACGGGAUUUGAGAUGUCUGAAAAUCUCAUUUGAGAUCCCUUAGGCAAUCAAAUGAGUUCAUUUCCUUAUAAUGAAUAUGGUUAAUUUCAAGAUACCCUUUUUUGGAAUCUUCCGCUCUAACUGCUAAUACGUGAACGUAGGCUGGCAAAAUUAUCCAGAUACUAAUCGAGAUAGAAACCCUAUACAAGAUUUGUUACAAAUUUCUUAUCCCAAUUUUGAAUGUGGGUUAGGAUUUGAGACCCAUUUUAUACCGAUUCAUAAAUUUUUUUAUUUAGACAGUAACUGAUGACAUAUUAUUAGUUCAAAGCUCACGGAGUAAAGGUUGAAUUAUUGGUGCAAUCAUCCGUAAUUUUCUGCAAGCAUGCAACAUAUUAAGCAAGAGAAUAUUUAAUUAUUUUUUGGGUUCUGUUAUUAACAAUAAUGAUUUUGAAGAUAUUAGUGGGAGAAAAAUGGUUUUUUAAAAUCAUUUUCAAUCUUGAGAAAAAGUUUUCUUGCUGGCGUACACUGUCCUUCAUCUAUAUUCCAGUCUUCCAUUAUGUUAAAAAAAACAAAUAUGAAAAUAAAAAGAAAAUAGGACAUCAUCAAGUAUCAAUCAAAGAUCAAUUUGUUUUAUCCACUUUCAGGAAAGAAAAGGUAAAAACAAUCCCACUGGAGACCAUAAAGUUUAUCUCAAAAGAAAAAGCACUACAAUAGUCGAACACAAAGAAGAGUAAUAAUGAGAAAGGAGUUAAUUAUAAAUUAAAGAAUUGGUGUUUUUUUUUAAGGGUUCGGCAUCAUGUUUGCCUUCAUUUAGCAAAGGAUAUAUGAAAAAGAGAUGAAUAUUGCACUUUAGAUUUGAAUAAUUCCGAUUGGAUUUUGAAUUGUUUGGAUUAGGAAAAAAAAAUCAUUCGAAUCCAACCUGAAUCUCAAAUACAAUCAAUUCGAUUAAAAAUAAAUCGAUAUUUCAGAUGAAUUUGGUUUUAGAUUGUUCCGUAUUUAAAUGAUAUUUUAAAUUCAAAUGAUAUUUUAAAUUUGGAUUGAAUUCAGAUUUAGGUCUUUUUGACCAUUUUUACAAAAAAUCCAUGAAUUCUAUAUAUAUACAUACAUAUAUAUAUAUAUAUAGAUACAAUUGGAUUGUUUAGAUUAAAACAUCCAAAUUCAAAUCAGAUCUAUUCAAAUCCAAUCCAAUGCACACCUUUAGCCCUAUUGGAAUGAUCAUCUAACCAUUCAAAUUUCAAACUAUAACGUAUUCUGUUGUAGUUUGUAGAGCGCUUGAAAAGAAAAUCUCUAAACAAUAGCGACUAUUAUGCAUUUGAUGCAUCAAUGAAUCAGAUUCUAAGGUGAUGCUUUUUCUCUCUAAACAAGCUUUAUGGUCCUAGCGGAAUUAUUUUUAAUCUUUCAGUCUUUUGAGAGGGCCAAAAAGAAACUAGUCUUGAUAGCAUAUUUUACUUUCUUCAUACAUAUAUAUAUAUAUAAAACACAAAUUAUAAGACACCCUUUUAUCUUCUUGCAUAAAGAAUAUUUUAUAUACACGUACAUUAUACCUCAGGUUUUGUGCAGAAAAUCAUUAUUGUACAUCAAUAAUUUCUCAAUAUAAUUCCUCUUAUCAAUCAGUAUCCCCACGAUACCUGCAGCAUCUAGGUUUAAGAUUCAUUUUCCAGUACUGCUCUGCCUUGAUCUGUUCUACUUUGACAGCCACUUGAACUUGAUUCAACUUCUUGAGAGAAGGAGGUAUUGGUGCCAUCCUUAGUUGAUUAUGUUGACUAAUGUUGAAGUAAAAGGAGAGCUUUUAACCAUUUUUUUUAUAAUUAUUUUCUUUGCAUGCUAGGGCUGCUGGCUACUGACUACCGAGAGUGAAGGAGAUAUGGACAUCAACCUUGGACUAUUUUUAGAGAGACUGAGAAGGGUGCUAGCUGGUGAAGAAUUCACGGUGCCCGAUACCGCUGAACAACCUAUUCAGAACCUUUACACUGAGACCGAAAUCGUUGCUUCUUGGCUGAGGGACUCUGGAUACAACACUGCUUGGUUUAUGUAGCAAGUCAAUGCAGAAGACGGUCAAACUCUUGCAGAAUUAGAAGAUUUUAAGGCUAUCAUUGACAAAAUUCGUUGCUUUUCAUACGUAUAUGAGAAUGUGAUUGACACAUUUGCUAUCAGCAUCACUCAACAGAAGAGUCAAAGCGGAUGCAGCAAGGACAUUUGUGAUGCUCUGCUAGGACUCCAAAGCAAAAUCAUUGAUAUAAAACAACGGAUGCAGCAAGUUCAGCACAUCCACUCUGGAAUCGUUGAUGAGCUCAAAUCGAUUGAAGCAAAAGCCAGUAAUUUUCCUGCAUCCUCAUCUUUUAAGAAUAGGGACACGAUGGGUCUAGAUAAUAGAAUGGAGGAGUUAUUAGAUCUACUGAUAGAGGGACCGCCUCAACUUUCAGCAGUGGCCGUACUUGAUAGCAUUGGAUUGGACCAGACGGCUUUCGCUGCAGAGGCUUACAGAAGCAACUAUGUGAAGCAUUAUUUUGAUUGUCACGCUUGGGUUCAAGAGUCUUUACCAUAUGAUGCUGACCAAAUAUUAUACGACAUUAUUAAGUUUGUGAUGCCUUCACGUAGGUUGAGUGAAAUUAUGGAAGAAAGUUCGGAAAUGAAAAAAAUUAUUCUUCAUGAAUAUCUAAUGACCAAGCGUUAUUUGAUUGUGCUUGAUAAUGUGUGGAGAAUAUCAGUAUAGGAUGUUAUUCGAGAAAUACUUCCCGAUAAUAAGAAUGGAAGUAGAGUAUUGAUAACACUCAGUCGAAUUGAGAUCGUCGCCUCAUUUCAGUUCGAAAAUGGAGAGAACAUUGGGCUUGAUUUUGUGCCCAUUGGAGGACUAUUGAGAGUUACAUACCAAGGAUGGCCUUUCCACAUCUUAUAUCAUGGAAUCAUCUCACUGAACGAAAAUAUAGAGGAAGCACUUGAUGAACCCCGAGGGCUUCAACUCGUUGCAUAUUGUAUGUUACCUUUUUACUUGAAACUUUGUUGUCUCUACUUAUCUGUGUUUCCCAUACAUUUUGAGAUAUGCACCAAGCAAUUAUAUCAGUUGUGGAUAGCUGAAGGUUUCAUUCCAAACAACAACAAGGCAAUUGCUAAGAAGUACUUGGAACAACUAAUCAAUGGAGGCUUUGUUGAUGCAGAGAAGAGAAGUGAUAUAGGCAGAAUCAACACAUGCUCUAUUCUCGGGCGUUACAGCCCUGCGUUGUUGACUGUGGCUUUCGAGGGGGAAUUUAUCAUUUCCCCAAUCAUGGUUCAGGAAGUUAUAUUACGGGAAAAUGUGAAACGCUUCACCGCUCACGAAAAAUUGAAUGAUUUUGCAUUUUUAGAUGAUUUUGACUCGUUCCUCCAUUCUUUGUUGUACCUCACUUCAGGAAGCCAAUACCUUGACCCCAAUUAUUGCGAGAAAAUCUGUAAAAUGUUCAAAUUUCUCAGAGUAUUGGACUUGGGAUCUCUUGUUCUCAUUCGAUAUCUUUCCGGAAUCCAAAAUUUAUUUCUUUUGAGAUAUCUGAAGUUGAAUAUCCCUUCCCUCAAAACCCUAGCUUCGUCGUUAUUUAGCAGUUUAUUGAACCUGUACACCGUAGAAAUGCCCUUUAGCUGCAAAGAUCAUACAACAGAUGAAUUUUGGAAGAUGAGCAAACUGAGGUAUCUAAAUUUUGGCUCAAUCAUACUUCCUGCACAUCCAGGAAAAUAUUGCGGCUCUCUGGAAAAUCUCAAUUUCAUUUCAGCCUUGCAUCCUUGCCGCUAUACUGAGGAUUUAUUGGGCUGACUACCUAAUCUUUGAAAUCUCCAGAUAUGGGGAGACUUAAGUUAUUAUCAAUCUUUGUUGUCCAAAAGUCUCUGUAGAUUGAGCUGCCUCGAGUCAUUGAAGUUGGCGAAUGAAAGCAAGAUGCCACGAUGAUCCAAUAUUAUCCUUGCUGAAUACCAAUUUCCUCCAAUUUUAACCCACUUGAGUUUUUUGAAUAUUGAGCUAAUGGAUGAUCCCAUGCCCGCACUAGAAAAGCUGCCGGUUCUUCAGGUGCUCAAACUGAAGCAAAACGCGUAUUCAGGUAGAAAGCUAGCUUGUAGCCCUGAUGGCUUUCCAAAACUCAAGGUACUGCACCUUAAAUCAAUGCUAUGGCUAGAGGAAUAGACUAUGGGGAUUAGAGCCAUGUCGAAACUAGAAUGCUUGACAUCAACCCUUGUGCUCACUUAAAAAGGAUUCCUGAACAGCUCUGGUGCCUAAACAACUUUAACAAAUUAGAGUUAUGGUGGCCUGAGCCGGAGCUGAGACAAUAGCUACGGGAAUUUAAGGAUAAGGAGCAGUAUGGCAUUCAACUAUAUCCAUAUGGAAUUUGAUUAGCAUGGAUCGACUUUGAUGAAGUUUUUUUCUUUUCUAUCCAAUAACUUCAACCUCUAAUUAUUUAUCUAAUUUCAUGUAAACAUCUAUUUUCUAUGAUUGAUUCGAUAGUACGCAGUUGCCUAAAUAAUAAUUAUACCAUUAAGUGUUUUUUACAUUCUAAUUGUGGUUGCUUCUAAUUUUUGUCUCAACAAACACUUGGAAGUGUCCAUCACAUUUCCUAAUAUUGACACUAAUCAUUAAUCCCUCAUUUAUAGAAGAGGAAGAACCCGUAUGUAUUGGUUGUUGAAAUAAUCAAGAAAAACUGUAAAAUAAGAUCUUCAUUACUUGUAUGUGCAGGUCAAAGCAGAGCGGAAAAUAUCUCAGCAGCCAAAGUUUCAAUUUCAAUAAGAAUCCCGCUGUUUGGGGGAUAUACUUCGACAAGACCAGCCAUGAUGAGCAGAUAUCUGGUAGCAGGAUUCCACAAACAGGAAUAUUCUGUAGAAGUCUGGUAGCAGGUGAACACGAACAGGAAUAUUCUGCUCGUUCACAAAUGCACCAUCCACGGGGCCACAGCGGGAGCCAGCCUCCUACUAGUAGCAUAAGGCCAUUCCUGUUAGAGGUUGAGGUGGAGAGACUCGGUCAAUGACGGUUGCUAAGACGUGCACUCCUGCCCGAGAAUCAAGGCACGAAGUCCACUCAGCCACAACUACGAUAAUGAAGCAUCCACUUCCAAGAGUUGAGGGAGGUGAUAGACUUGGAUUGUAGGAAGGCCCGGAUUCAAAGGAAGGCUAUAAAAAGGUAACCAACGAAGGUAAACAGGUUAGACUUUUUGAGAUUAGAAUUGAGAAAAAGAGCUUUCUAUUGAGAGAUUAUAAAAAAGCCAUAAUAUUAGUGGCCGUGUUUCCCAGAAAGACAAAACCUACGUUUCUGACUUGAGCGUCGGAGGGUUUACGCUGGAAAAACACCCGGCGUGCUCUAACCUGUCUCUGUGUACACAUGAGUCUGCGGAGAGGAAGUCUUACGAGGAGAGAUUCUGGUCGUGGACGAGCAGAAAACCAGAAUCUCGCAUCAACAUUUUGGCGCCGUCUGUGGGGAGCUGAGCAAAAAGCUUAUGUUAAUAGAGAGAAGAAGAGGAAAGGAAGUGAGGGAACAAUCGAUGUAAGAGGAAGUAGUGUACAAGGAGGUGACUUGAGGUUUAACGAGUUCGUGAUGCUAAAAGAGAUAGCCAAUGAAGCACGGGAAAAAGUAAUGUAUGAGCGGAUGGAACGGAUGGAGAAACAGAUGGAGACCCUGACAACCAUCCUACACCAGCUGAGAAGUGAACGAAGGGGAGUUCAAGAGGAGGGGGUGAGAAGUGGCAGAAUGAUACCAGGGCACGAUAAUAUGAUGAGGUCGGACCACCAGAAGAUUUGGUGGUGAGGAAAUCCUUCGGGAAUUCAUCAAAAGGUUCCAUCGCGCUAUCCUCGAUUUGAGAGCCUUUAACCAUCCUCAGGCAUUAAGGGGAUUGAAAGAAGGGGUGAAGAUAGGACGGUUGUGGUACAAUUUGAGGAGUCCAACUAUUCAGACAUAUUCAGCCGCUUAUGAGCAGGCCAAGAAGGACAUUGAGAUUGAAGAGGAAAAGACAGCACGAAUUAAGACAGACCAGCUAGAAGGGUUGAGGAGGAAAAAGAAGAGAGCCCUACCAGGAAAUAAGGUCGAUUAAGAGGAAGGACCACCAUGCCUCAAGUAGUGGUGCAGGACGCCGGGUCACCUCUUACCAGCCUCAUCAGAGGCCACCCCAAUUUCAACGCAGCAGGGCGCAACCUCUUCGUUUACCAGCCAGGGAUUUAUGGAGAAAGCAUGACCCGACAUAUAGUCAUCCUUAUCCACACCCACACGGUGGUAGAUGAAGCAGACCAGAAGCAUCGUUACCCCCUCCAGUUCAGAACGGCACCAACAGGGAAAGGGCGGUACACAUGAUCGACUAGAGCCAAGAUUAUGGGCGAUAUACUUCCUUGAAGAUGCCCCUGGACGAGGUGUAUGAGGCCAUAAAGGAACGAGGAUUACUGUACCUCUCUACCCCAAUAACAAAGUUACCCAGCAGGAGAGAUAGGGGACGCUAUUGCAUGUUCCAUGGCACCCACGGUCAUACCACAGCUGAAUACAGAGAUCUCAAAACUCAGGUUGAAGAUUUGGUGAGAAAUCGAUACCUGGACGAGUUUGUAGAUGGGAUCUUCCCGAUGGUGGCCUCGUCAUGUGAAUGAGAGCAGAGUGAUAGGAACAUGAGCCACGAGCAGCCUAUAGUAAGAGUAAUUGCUGAGGGCCCAACAUUGGCGGGAGAUUCCAACAGAUUGAGGAAGAACUACGCUAGAUAUGCCAUGACUAGCAAAGAAGUGUUCUUCAACACCCCAGAAGUUCCGAUCAUGUGGACAUAUGAGGAUAAAGAAGGGAUUCUAUAUCCACAUGAGGAUGCCUUGGUCAUUAAAGCCACCACUACUAGCAAGAAGUUUGACCGGAUUCUGGUAGACACGGGAAGCUCGGUCGAUGUUUUGUUCAAGUCAACUCUAGAGGAGAUGGGAAUAGCAGACCUGAGGUUAGAGCAUACUAAUACCUCCUUGAAAGGAUUUGGUGGACGAAAGCUGGUUCCUCUAGGCGUGGUCGAACUGCCCAUCACAAUUGGCAGCUCCCCGAUAGAAAAGACUAUAAUCCUAGAUUUUGUGGUUGUCGAUGAAGAGGGUCCUUACCAGAUGAUUAUAGGCCGCCCCUUUUUGAGGAUGAGCAAAGCGAUGCUUUCCAACCAUUAUCUAGCUCUCAAGUAUUGGGUGAAUGGAGUGGUUGGGGUGGUACGAGGAGACCAGAGAAUUGCCCGAAGCUGUUACUCCACAGUAGUAAGGGAAGCAAUGCAGAUUACAUCACUUGAUACUCGAGUGGGAGCCAAGAAUGGCAUAUAAGAGCUUGUAGAGGAGCUGGAAAUAGUAAGCUUGGAACAAGGUGAUUCAGGAAAAACAAUAUGAAUUGGGUCGGGGCUUAAAGAAGAGCAGAAGCGGGAGCUGGUGCAUUGCUUGUGAGCUCACGCAGAUGUGUUUGCUUGGACACAUGAAGACAUGCCGGGAAUCGAUCCUGAGGUCGCCUGCCAUAAGUUGACAAUAAGGAAGGGUGCUCGGACGGUAAGGCAAAAAAGAAGGUGCUUCAACCAAGAGAGGUAUGAGGCUAUAAAUGGCGAGGUGGAGAAGCUCUUGAAGGCAGGGUUCGUUCGGGAAGUUAACUACCUUGAGUGGAUAUCGAAUGUGGUUUUAGUGAAAAAGACUAAUGGUAAAUGGAGGAUGUGUGUAGAUUUCAUAGACCUUAAUAAGGCGUGCCCGAAAGAUAGCUUUCCCCUACCCAAGAUCGACUAGCUGGUUGACUCAACAGCCGGGCAUGGCCUGCUUAGCUUCAUGGAUGUAUUUUCGGGAUACAACCAAAUCCCAGUGUUUGAGCAGGAUGAGGAGAGCACGGUAUUUAUCAGUAACCAGGGUUUGUUCUGUUAUAGGGUAAUGCCGUUCGGUCUUAAAAAUUCGGGUGCCACGUACCAGAGGUUGGUGAACAAAAUCUUUAAGCCGUUGAUUGGGAGAACAAUGGAGGUGUGUGUGGACAACAUGAUAACCAAAUCAAAAAACCCGAAGGAACAUGUCGAGUACCUCGAGGAGACAUUUGGAUUUUUGAGGAAGUACAAGAUAAAGCUCAACCCAGAGAAGUGUGCCUUUGGGGUCAAGUCGGGCAAAUUCCUUGGGUUCAUGGUGAGUCAUCGGGGGAUCGAGGUGAAUCCCGAUAAAAUCCAGGCAAUCGUGUAGAUGAGAUCUCCUCGUAACCUGAAGGAGAUACAGAGCCUUACAGGGAGGUUGACGGCAUUGAGUCGGUUCAUAUCCAAGGCGCAUAUAAGUGCCAGGCAUUCUUUCAAGUGAUAAGGAGAGGAAAGAAAAUAGAGUGGACCCCUGAAUGCGAAGAAGCCUUCCAGAAAUUAAAGCAAUAUUUGCAGCAAGCACCUUUGUUGUCCACACCGUGGGAUGGAGACAUGUUGUUCCUAUAUAUGGUGGUAUCGGAUCAUGCCACGAGUUCUGUUCUAGUGAGAGAGGAAGAAAGGGUUCAAUAUCCGAUAUAUUACACAAGCAAGGCCUUGCUCGAUGCUGAGACUAGAUACCCACAGUUAGAGAAAUGGGAACUUGCUCUUGUGGUUGCUGCUCGGAAGCUGAGGCCAUACUUCAAGCAUUCCCCAUCUCGGUAAUAACAAACCAAUUGUUACGAUAGACUCUACACAAGCCGGAUGCUUCUGGUCGGUUAGUGAAGUGGGUCAUAAAGUUGAGUGAGUUCGACAUAAGUUAUAAAUCCUGAGCAGCAAUAAAGGCCUAAGCAAUGGCCGAUUUCGUGGCAGAAUUCGCAGAGCCCGAAGUAGGUUUCAACCAGUUGGAUGCUGCUACAGUCAACAACGAAGAUCGGGUAUGGCAAGUGUCAGUGGAUGGAUUCUCAGGGGAGCAGGGGUCUAGAGCAGGGAUUGUUUUGGAAGGCCCAAAAGGGGAGGAGAUCUCUUAUGCUGUAAGGUUGGAGUUCACAACCACAAAUAACCAGGCAGAAUACGAAGCUCUAAUAACGGGCUUGAAAUUGGCUAAGACAGUGAAAGUGGAUAGGGUGGAAAUCUGAACUGAUUCCCAACUGGUUGCAAAUUAUGUCAGUGAAAGGUUUCAGCCGAGAGAUAGGAAGAUGGAACAAUAUUUGAAGAAAGUCAAGCAGAUGAUUGGGAAGUUUGAGGUGGUUGAGGUGAUACAAAUCCUAAGGGAGGAGAAUAGUCGAGCAUAUAUUUUGGCCAGGAUGACAGCUGUAAGAGAUCAAAAAAUGCCUAAGUCGGUCCCUUCGGAGGUGAAGUCCAGCCCUAACAUCGAGCAGAAUUUAGAGGUGCUGCGGAUAGAACAAAAAAGCUCGUGGAUGGACCCAAUGAUCUCGUACAUUAGGGAUGGGGUAUUAGCACCAGAUAAGUUACGAGUUCGGAAGAUCAAAGCUCAGGCGUCGAGGUACACAAUGAUUGAUGGGGUAUUAUAUCGGCGGGGAUAUACCCUACCGUUCCUUCGGUGUUUGGAUGAGGACGACGCAGAUUACGUACUGAGAGAAGUACAUGAAGGAGUUUGCGGAAACCAUUCUGGCACGAGGUCCCUUGCCCACAAGGCUCUAAGGCAGGGAUAUUUCUGGCCGACGAUGCACCAGGAUGUGCAGGAGAAAACCAGGAGUUGCAUGAGUUGCCAGAGUUUUACAAAUUUCUCUACCCAGCCACUAGAGAAGCUCACUUCUAUGGCCUUGCCAUGGCCAUUUGCUCAAUGGGGAAUUGAUUUGAUUGGGCCGUUGCCAAAGAGAUGAGGGGCAGCAACACAUGCAAUAAUAGCGAUAGACUAUUUCACGAAGUGGAUAGAGGUAGAAGCCCUCUGCAGGAUCACAGAGAAAAAGACGACUGACUUCGUAUAGAGAAACCUGGUCUGUCGGUACGGGAUGCCUUAUGCCCUGAUAGCAGACAAUGGGAGACAAAUUGACAACCAUAACUUCAGGGACUUCUGCCAGACCUCGGGAUAGAGCUGAAGUAUUGCUCGCCUGCUCACCCUCAGUCUAACGGACAAGUAGAAGCAGCUAAUAAGAUAAUCAAGAGGCUUUUGAAAACCAGGCUUGGAGCAAAAAAUGGAGCAUGGGUUGAUGAGCUACCAGGUGUAUUAUGGGCAUACAUGACAACCCACAAAACAGCAACCGGCGAAACUCCGUUCGCUUUGGCCUUCAGACAUGAAGCUGUUGUACCGAUCGAGAUAGGGGCGACCACGCACCUGACAGAUCACUUCGAUGAGUAGGAAAACAACGACCAGAUGUUCUUGAAUCUGGAUUUGCUGACCGAGAAGAGAGAGCAAGUAUUGAAGCGAUUAGCCGUCUACCAGCAGAGGGUUGCUCGGUAUUACAACCAGAAGGUGUGUAUACGACAGUUCAAGGUCGGCGAUUAGGUACUAAGGAGGGUGAAUCAGAACACGAAAGACUCGACACAAGGAGUACUUGGACCAAACUAGGAGGGGCCAUAUAGGGUCAAGCAGGUAGCUAGACCCGGAGCCUAUAAGCUUGUUCGCGCGGAUGGCCAUGAGGUGAAACGCCCCUGGAACGUAGCACACCUCAGGAAAUAUUUCCAGUAAGACCCGAUCAUACUUUAAAGUUAUUUAUAUUCGUCCUUGUUGUUAUUCGUUUUAUGUUAAAUCAAUCUCAUGUUAGCCGAAUUCAGUAAUUAAUGAAACAUUGAGGAAUUUCAAUCAGUUGUAAUGUUGUAAAGAUUUCUAAAGCAUGCAAAGGCUCACUAAGUCUCAAAGCCUGUUUUAUGGUGAGACAAGAAGCCAAGGAUGCUAAGGAUCUGCUCGACCGAGCGAGGACGAGCAGACUCUCAAAUGUUAUAAGAAUUUCUAAGGCAUGCAAAGGCUCACUAAGUCUCAAAGCCUGUUUUAUAGCGAGACCAAAAGCCAAGCAUGCCAAGGAUCUGCUCGACCGAGCGAAGGCGAGUAGACUCUCAAAUCUUAUAAGAAUUUCUAAGGCAUGCAAAGGCACCUUUAAGUCUCAAAGCCUGUUUUAUGGCGAGACCAGAAGCCAAGCAUGCCUAGAUCUGCUCAACCAAGUGAAGGCGAGCAGACUCUCAAAUGUUAUAAGAAUUUCUAAGGCAUGCAAAGGCUCACUAAGUCUUAAAGCCUGUUUUAUGGCAAGACCAAAAGCCAAAGCAUGCCAGGAUCUGCUCAACCAAGCGAAGACGAGCAAACAAUCAAACGUAAGGCAACGGGAAGCCGAACUUUUCGACACCUGCUCGACGACAAUGUAAGCGAACGAAAAAAUAAAAUAAUCUGCCAAGAGCUCGAAGCGGAGAAAGCAAAUAAGAGAAUUCUUAUUAAUCUGCCAAUAAUUAUGAAAAGCUGCUAGUCUUAACAUACAAUGUUCUAAAAAAGAAACCUACAACACAAGGUACAUUCAAGAGGACGGCAGGUCAGUAAGUUAGGCCGUCUUUACUGGCUGGUCCACCUCAGGAGCAGGGGGGUCUCACCAGUUGCUCCCGGGGGGGUACUUGCCUCGGCAACAUCAGCAGGGACUGCACGAGGAGGGGAGGGAACCUCUCCAGCUGCAUUUGGCUCCAACUCUUCGACAUCUUCUUUGGCUGCCUCCUCAUCCAUAUAUUGAGCAACACUAGCAGCAAGCUCAUCCAUCUUUAGAUCAGGAUGCUGCUUCCUUAAGACGACCAUGAUGUAGCGAUAAGAAUGCCGAAGCCCCUGGUCAUAUUGGUUGUUAGCUUCCUUCUCUAGGUUCUCGACCUGAACCUGGUGGGAAUCUUUGAGAGAUUCGAGCUGAGCCUCGUAAGUAGCCUUUUGUCUCUGCAGGUCCUUCUUGACCUUAGUCAGCUCCUCAUCAAGAGUGAUUAACUUUGCCUGCGCGAGAGACUCUAGCUCUAUCAACUUCAGAUUCUCAAGGUUGAGAUCUCUGACUUUCUUCUCGGCAGCGUUAGAUUUGGUUUUGGCCGACUAAACGUCUUUUCUCAUCUUUCGAUCAUAGCGGCUGACCUUCGCUUUAUAGUAAGUGGCCAUGUAGCCGAGAUGAAAAGCACUAUACUGCAUAGCCCCCACCAGCUCGCCCAGAGUGCUGCCAUCAAAGUCCUCUAAGUCCUUUUUUCUCACGAGCCUAGAAUACUCACUGAUAUAGGGGACCAGAUGCUCUGCUCGAUUGUCGGGCAAACGAGGUUUCGACCCCGCUGGUGGAGGAAGAGAAGUGGGAUCAGUGGCUGUUCCACUAGUUUCGCCGACUUUGGUAGGAGGAGGUGGUAGAAUCCUCAAGGGGGGACCUGCUCCGCGAUGUUCACCUGUUUCGUAGAAAAAGCAUCCUUAUUCUAGUCCUGCUUAGCAGCAGGAGGUUGAUGACGUUUUCGAUUCAAAGCCCCGAUCACAGUAUCCUCCAUCUUAAGAUCAGUGGACACCGGACGAGAUUCGAACAAGUUGUAAGUAGAUAGCAACUCUCGGCUCGAGGAGGAAUUGGCUAACACAGCCUUGACCUACUUGAGCGGCUCAGGUUUAAGCUUGUAGUGGACACCCCAAGAACCAGCAGUUCGAACAAAUAUUGGGUUAGAGAUAAAUAAAAAACGAGGACAACUAGGGAUACAAGACAUCUAAAGCGAGUAGGCAACCUAGGACUACGAAAUGGGAUGGGACGCGAUAGUUCUUCCUGUCAAUCUAUGCAACUUGACCCCAGGGACCCCCAGCAAAAAAUAAUUUUUUCUUCCAAUUCCCACCACCACCUGUUGGAAGAUCAGUUAUGUGUUUUCUAGUCUUGGUACUUGACAUGAAGUAAUACCAGCAGGUGUCUUUGGGGCUACUCUUUAGCUGGUACAAGUGCUUUACCUCAUUAAUUGUGGGCUCGCUCUGGCAGCAUCUAUCCCACAAUAUGAACAGACCAGAAAGCACCCUCCACCCAUUUGGGUUAAGUUGACCAGGAGCUAAGUUUAACCCACUAAGCAUUCGGGUAAAAUAGGGUUGUAGGGGGCACCUCAUCCCGAAUUUAAAACUUUCCAGAAACAGAGUAACGUUUCCCCUGGGAGGCCGGCUGGGAGUAUCUUUUUUUCAUAGGAUCCUAAGGGGUAUAUCAUCAGGAAUGUCAUACCUAGUCCGGAGGUCAACGAGGUCGUCUACUGUGGUCGUGCACGUGAUGAAGUCAAUAGCGUAAUGGAAUUCAAAUGGAGGGAUAGAUUUCUGCCAUAUCACUUCGCCCGCAAUUAAAUGCGACAUGACUCCUCAAAGGCUUUUCCUAUCAUGCGCAAGCCAGAACUGUUGAAUUUCUAUUGUUGGUCCACUAUGUUACCCAACACCAGAAACUGGGGGACCAAUGUUUGGGGGAUAUACUUCUACAAGACUAGCCAUGAUGAGUAGAUAUCUGGUAGCAGGAUUCCACGAACAGGAAUAUUUUCACAAGUCUGGUAGCAGGUGAACACGAAUAGGAAUAUUCUGCUCGUUCACGAAUGCACCAUCCACGGGGCCACAGUGGGAGCCGGCCUCCUGCUAGGAGCACAAGGCCAUUCCUACUAGAGGUUGAGGUGGGGAGACUCGGUCAAUGACGGUUGGCAAGACGUGCACUCCUGCCCGAGAAUCAAGGCACGAAGUCCACUAAGCCACAACUACGAUAAUAAAGCAUCCACUUCCGGGAGUUGAGGGAGGUGAUGGACGUGGAUUGUAGGAAGGCUCAGAUUUAAAGGAAGGCUAUAAAAAGGUAACCAACGAUGAUAAACGGGUUAGACUUUUUGAGAUUAGAACUGAGAAAAAGAGCUUUCUAUUGAAAGAUCAUAAAAGAGCCAUAAUAUUGGUGGCCGUAUUUCCCAAGAAGACAAAGCAUGCUUUUCUGACUUGAGCGUCAGAGGGUUUACGACGGAAAAACACCCGGCAUGCUCUGACCUGUCUUUGUGUACGCAGGAGUCUGUAGAGAGGAAGUCUGACGAGGAGAGAUCCUGGUUGUGGACGAGUUAGUUGAGGAGAGAUCCUGGUCGUGGACGAGUUAGUUGAGGAGAGAUCCUGGUUGUGGACGAGCAUAAAACUAGAAUCUCGCAUCAACACCAGCCUUCACUGAAAUUGUUUGGUUUCUUUGUUUUCAAGGAUAAUGUUAUAUUCGGAUUAAUAUUUUGUACAAAAGUUUGAUUGAUUGUUUUACUUUCUAUUUUCACAUUCAUUGGUGUGUAUUCAAUUUGUCAACAUUCAAGUUGCAUAUAUGUGAUUGUUUUUUAUUUUAUUUUUAUCUUGUUUCUAGUUUUUGAGUAGUGGUACACUUCAACUUCAAUUUCAUUACUUCAGUUUGACGAAAAGUGUUUGUGCUAUGAUCACUUCUCAUCAUCUUAAAACUGACUGAAUGAUAUUGUUAUUCGGUUUUUCAGAAUUUCACCGAUGUGUAGUUCAUUAUAAGGGUGACAAUGCUGGUCAAAAGUCAAACGGGGUUAGUUAAAAAAGUGCAGGGAAAUUUCGGGUUUGUUAGAAAUAGCCUUUGUUGUAGUUUAUAAGGCUGGUUGUUGGGUCAUCUUCACAGGUCUCAUCAAAGCCAUAGAAAGAGAGAGAGUUAAAGAGAAAAAGUUGUAUAUUCUUGGAAUGAUUGUGAAAUGGUCCUUGUUCUUCUGUGGAUGUAGGCACUUUGAUUCAAUUUUGAGUUUGGGUUUCUAGGAAUGAUUCUUGAUACGUCAAAGAGGGUCUUAGGUGUGUGAUCUUGGUACUAACAGAGGAUUAAACACAACAAAAAGAAACUGGGGCAUAUUGUCUAAUCUUUAUAGACUCCAAAUAUAUGGAGAUUUUAGCCCUAGUCAAUGUCCAACAGCCCUUGUAAAAUAAAAAACCAUCACUAAUCCUUGGUGACUUUAGGGAUCUAGUAAGGACUAGGUAGAAUUGAAGAGGAGAUUUAACGAGUGAAGUUCUGAAAGUGGAAGAUUUAAUCUAUAGCACGGAAGCUUAGUUAGAAUUGAUGACUGGAUUCUUUCUCUAUUGAUUGAUUUGCAGCCCAACUGCAUUAAGGGAAUAAAGAGGAGCUGUAGUCGUUCGCACAUUUUCUGUUCACAGCAUCCAGCGGGUGCCUUGUAAUGCAGUGCAAUGAAGUUGAUGGCACACAGGAUGUGCUGCUGCUCUCUCUCAAUUCCUUAUAAUCACAUCAAGGCCCUUGUUUGUAGCAGAGGAAUUCCCUUUUGUAUUAAAAUUGAUUCUGCUGCUCUGGUUGUCAUUGGAUUCUUAUGGUUUCUUCACUCAUUAGCCAGUAACAUAAUGUUGAGUUUAUUGAUUUUGUUAUCUUAAAAAUGUCCAAGACAUCUUGUGAUCAUGAUAUAUUGUCAUUUUAUUUUUAGACAAAAAGAUUGUUUUUCCAGUUAGCAAAUGUAUAUUGCGUUCAUUUUUGGAUUGGAAAAACAAAAAUUUGAAGAAGAAAAAUGAAAAUUAAUAAAAAAGAUUACAGGACAUCUGCAUCAUGUUCUUUUAUUUGAACUAAGUCUUUGUUUAACUUUUCUCCUUUUCCAUUUUGCAAAUUUAGUAUCUCUUUCUUUUCUUGAACCAAGAUAGUUUCCUUUACUUACAAGUAAAGUUUAAAUGACCUUGAUCUUCUAUUUUUCUCUUACCUUAUUUUUCUUUCACAAGCACGAUCAUUUUCAACGCUAUCAAAAUCAUCCAUCUAUCAAUACCCAAUUUGAAUAAAAUUCAGCAUCUUUUUUCCUUAUUCUUUCUAUGUAAUAAUUUGGUUGUGUUGCUUUUAAUCAAAAUAAAAUAUAUAUCGUCGGGAUUUCAAAGUUUGUGAUCACUUUAAGAAAAAAGCAGGUACUUUAUUAUUUGAAUUAUCCACAAAAUAACUCUAUUUUAUUAUUUUCAUCUUAUGAAUGUUAGAUGUACUAUAUAUCUGUGUUUGAUUCUUAUUUACAACCUAUGUUUUUGCUCACACGUUUCAUAUGUUGACAAGUCAGAUUAAAAAAAGAUAAAAAGAUCAACUUUCUUUUAUUCCAUUUGCAAAUGCAUUGACAAACAGUUUAAUUUGUUUAAUUAAUUUAUUUUUUUAAAAUCACGGUCUCUUUUAAUAAUUUGUUACUUUGCAUGUUAGAACAACAAGGUAAUGACAGAGGAAGAGAUAUGGACAUCAACUUCAGACUAUUUUCAGAGAGGUUAAGAAGGGUGUUAGCCAGUAAAGAAGUCACGUUGCCUGAUGCUGCAAAACAACCUAUUCAAAACCUUCUUGCCAAGAAUGAAAUCAUUACUUCUUGGCUGAGGGACUUUGAAUAUGAAACGUCCUGGCUUCUGGUGCAAAAAAUAGGAAAAGAGGAAAUUGAUGACCCUGAUCUCGGGAACAUUAUGGAUGAAAUCAAUUGCUUUCCUCAUCUUAUAUCAUGGAAGCAUCUCAUUAGAAGAAAAUAUAGGGGAAGCAAUGGAGAAGCCCCUUGGGCUUUGGUACUUCAAAUAUUGCAGGUCACCUUUUUGCUUGAAACUUUGUUUUCUCUACUUAUCUGUGUUUCCCACAUGCCUAGAGAUAUCCACUAAGAAGUUAUAUCGGUUGUGGAUAGUGUAAGAGAGAUUGUAACAUUUUUCAAUCUUUGGUUUGAUAUUCUAGAAGAAAACGGUUUGUCGUUUCUGGGGAAAAAGGCUAACUGUUUAAUUUCAGAGAGCAUGUUUUAUGUUCUAGAGAAAACGGCUAACCGUUUGGAGAAAAUGGUUAACCGUUUAGAGAAAACGGCUAACCGUUUAUUUCCAGAGAGCGUAUUUUUGCGUCAACUGAAAAAAUGGUUAGCAAGCUUGAAAAUUUCAUAUGUCAAUCGAUGCAAAUUCAAACUAAAAGAGUGCUUUGAAAUACACUCACUAAUUAAAUGUUAAAAUCGAAAGAUACAUUUUUGUAUGUAUAAGUUUAUCAUUAAUAAAUCUGAAAAAUAUUACAAUCUAGUGGGGGAUUGUAAGAGAGAUUGUAACAUUUUUCAAUCUUUGGUUUGAUAUUCUGGAAGAAAACGGUUUGCCAUUUCUGGGGAAAAAGGCUAACCGUUUAAUUCCAGAGAGCAUGUUUUCUGUUCUAGAGAAAACGACUAACCAUUUGGAGAAAACGGCCAAUCGUUUAUUUACAGAGAGCAUGUUUUCUGUUCUAGAGAAAAUGGCUAAUCGUUUAGAGAAAUCAGCUAACCGUUUAUUUACAGAGAGCAACUUAUUUGACAUUCUGGAAUAAAACGGCUCACCAUUAUUGAGAAAACGGCUAACCGUUUAUUUACAGAGAGUGUGUUUUUGCGUCAACUGGAAAAACAGUUAGCAAGCUUGAAAAUUUCAUAUGUCAAUCGAUGCAAAUUCAAACUAAAAGAGUGUCUUUGAAGAAGUGCCAUUUCUAAUGGUUGUAUUCUUUUAAAAAUAAACUUCUUCUUUAUUAAAAGAUAGACACACAAUUAGAUCAAUAUCAGAUUUUGCAGAUUUCAUGUAUGUUCUGGAAAUACAAUCUUAUUUUCUAGAGAUUGUAUUCAGGAUUUGAUAUAUCUUGGGGGUAAUUUGCGAUUAAAACUCUAUAGCAAACCAAGAUUGGUGAGGGCAAAUAAAACCUUAAAGGAAAGUAUGCAAAUACGUCUCAAAUCCUAAGAAAAUUUCUUUGUUCUUUGCCUCCAUAUUCGAAAAUUCACCAACAAUAUUUAAGGUUUUAUUUUUAUGCAAAUGGAGGCUGAGAAGAGUUUGAUGUCAUUUUUUAAUCCUAGUGUCCAUCUCGAUCGUUUUGAUGGAACUAAUUUCACUCGUUGGAAGGGAAAAUUGUUCUUCUUCCUUACUAUUCUUAAAUGGCAUAUGUUCUUGAUCCGAAAUUGGAACCAUUUCCGGAACCAAGAGAAGAUAAUACCGAAGUUGUUAAGGCUGCAAGGAAACGUCGUGAAGAAGAUGAAUUGGUGUGUCGGGGUCACAUGCUCAAUACGCUUUCUAACAGGUUAUAUGAUCUUUACAAUUCUAUGACUUCUCCAGUGGAAAUUUGGAAUGCUCUUGAGUACAAAUACAAAACAGAGAAAGAAGGUACUAACAAAUUUAUUGUCUCUAAAUAUUUUGAAUUUAUUAUGGUAGACACAAAAUCCAUUCUUGAUCAAAUACACGAGUUACAAAUUAUUGUUGCUAAGCUUCAAGAGUUAAAAGUUGAAAUUUCUUAAUCAUUUCAAGUUGGGGCUAUUAUUGCUAAAUUGCCUCAAAGUUGGAAUGAUUAUAGAAAGAAACUCCUUAAUAGUAAAGAAAACAUAACUUUAGAAGAAUUUCAAAAACACUUAGUAAUUGAAGAAGAGACUAGGUCUCGUGAAUCCAAGGAUAAGCAUGAUUCUACUAAAGUUAAUGUUGUUGAAGCUAGUAAAUUCUCAAAGAAUUUUAAAGUCAAGAAUGCCAAGAAAUUCAAGAAGUCCAACACACAAAAGUUUACUGGAAAUUAUUUCUUUUGUGGCAAGAAAGGCCAUCGCCAAAGUGAUUGCAGAUUCAAGAAGAAAAAGGAAUAAGUGAAUCCCCAUAAAGCUAAUGUUAUUUAAAAAAAUCUGAAGAGAUUUGUGCUAUGGUUUCUGAAAUGCAAAUUGGCAUGAUUACCGAAACCAAUAUGGCUGAAACUAAGUCCUAUGAUUGGUGGCUCGAUUCGGGUGCAACAAUUCAUGUUUGUAAUGAUAAGAAAUUUUUCUUAUCGUACAAAGAAGAAACGGAAGGACAAAUGGUUCUCAUGGAGAACAAUAAUGCAGCCAUAGCAGCAGGGAAAUGAGUAGUUGAGAUCAACUUCACUUCUGGAAAGAAAGUCACAUUGUAUAAUGUCUUUUAUGUACCUUCCGUUAGGAAGAAUCUUAUUUCUGCUAGUUGUAUGUGUAAGCAUGGGCUUAAGAAUAUGCUUGAGGGUAAUACUUGUAUUAUCUCAAAGAAUGGAUUAUUUGUUGGGGAAGGGUAUUCUUGUGAUGAAAUGUAGAAACUUAGCAUUAAUAAUAAUAAUAUCAACUUAGCUUAUAUUGUUGAGUCUUGUGAUGUUUGGCAUGCUAGAUUAGCACAUUUGAAUUUUAGAUCUUUGAAAUACAUGUCUAAGCAAGGUUUGAUUAAUUACAAUGAUGUUAAAGGUCAUAAGUGUAAAAUCUGCAUCCAAGCUAAAUUAACGAAGAAACCUUUUCCUAAAGUCAAACGAAAUACUCAAAUAUUGGAUUUAAUACAUACCGAUAUUUGUAAGUAUAAUGGUGUUUUAACAAGAGGAGGUAAGAGGUACUCUAUCACUUUUAUUGAUGAUUGUUCUAGAUACACUUAUGUGUAUUUACUUAGAACAAAAAAUGAAGCUUUUGAUAAAUUUAAAAAUUUCAAAUCUGAAGUUGAGAACCAAGAAGAUAAGAAAAUCAAAAUGAUUCGUAGUGAUAGAGGUGGUGAAUAUUUCUCAAUUGAAUUUAAUAAUUAUUGUGAAGAAUUUGGAAUUAUUCACCAAAGAUCAGCUCCAUUUACUCCUCAACAAAAUGGUUUGGCUGAAAGGAAGAAUAGGAUCUUCAGGGAUAUGAUAAAUUCCAUGAUCCUUAAUGCAAAACUACCAAAUAAUUUGUGGGGGAAAGUAUUACUCACUGCAUGUCAUAUUCAUAACAGAAUUACAUCUUUGAAAACACAUAAAUCUCCUUAUGAAAUUUGGAAAGGAAGAAAAUCAAACUUGAUGUAUUUAAGGGCCUGGGGUUGUUUAGCUUUUUAUAAACAUGAUCCUAAAUCAUCAAAGUUAAGUACUAGAUGUAUAAAGAGUGUUUUCGUAGGAUAUGCUGAAAAUUCCAAGGCUUAUAGGUUGUUAGAUUUAGAUUAUAAUGUGAUUGUGGAAUUUAUAGAUGUUGAAUUUAUUGAGAAUAAAUUUCAACAUGAUUCUAAUAUUGAAUUAGAAUCAAUUAUUGAUCAACCAUGUGUUAAUACUCCUGUUACCUCCACUAACAAUAAUAAAAGGAAAGAGUCUAUGACAUCUUUCGAACCAAGGAGGAGUCAACGUGAAAACAAAGAAAAGAGUUUAGCUCCAGAUUUUAUUUCAUCACAAGCACUACUCUUCUUGGUUGAAGGGGAUAGAAAGAAUGUACUUAAUAAAGUAUCAUUGUUGUUAAAUAUUGAAAAAGAUCCAAAGACAUUUAGCGAAGCUAUGUCUUCUAGAGACGCUUCUUUUUGGAGAGAGGCGGUAAAUAAUGAAAUGGAUUCGAUUAUGUCGAAUCAAACAUGGGUCUUGGUUGAUCUUCCUCUAGGAUCUAAACCAAUUAGCAGCAAAUGGGUAUUUAGAAGAAAGUACAAUAGUGAUGGUUCUUUGCAAACUUUUAAGGCUAGAUUAGUAGCUAAAGGGUUUAAGCAAAGAAAUGGUAUUGAUUAUUUCGAUACAUAUGCUCCGGUAGCAAGGUUAACUUCUAUAAGAGUGCUAUUUGCAAUUGCUUCAUUGAACAAUUUGUAUGUGCAUCAAAUGGAUGUUAAAACUGCUUUUCUUAAUAGUGAUCUUGAUGAAGAAAUCUAUAUGGAACAACAUGAGGGAUUUGUUUUGCCAGGAAAUGAGAAAAAGGUAUGCAAGUUAGUCAAAUCACUUUAUGGUUUGAAGCAAGCACCAAAACAAUGGCAUGAGAAGUUUGAUUCGGUAAUUUUAUCUCAUGGUUUUAAGCAUACUAAUACUGAUAAAUGUAUAUAUUUUAAAUUUACGAAUGAUUUUGGUGUGAUUAUAUGUGUUUAUGUUGAUGACUUGCUUAUCUUUGGAACAAAUAUGCAAGGAGUAGAUGAUACAAAGAAGUAUUUAACUUCACAAUUUAAGAUGAAAGAUCUUGGUGAAGUAGAUACUAUCUUAGGUGUCAAAGUGAAGAAACAUAGUGGGGGUUACUUAUUGUGUCAAUCUCAUUAUAUAGAGAAAGUGCUUCUUAAAUUCAAUUAUUUGAAAUUUAAAGAAGCCAAUACCUCAUAUGAUUCUAGUAUUAAAUUACUAGAGAAUUCAGGCCGAGUAGUAGCACAACUAGAAUAUGCUAGUGCUAUUGGUGGCUUGAUGUAUGCUAUGCAUUGUACGAUGCCUGAUAUAGCAUUUGCAAUUUAUAAAAUGUCAAGAUUCACGAGUAACCCUAGUGUUGAACACUGGAAAGCAAUUGGUAGGAUACUUGGUUAUCUUAAAAGGACCAUUAAUUUGAGUUUGUUUUAUAAUGAUUAUCCUGAAGUACUGGAAGGAUAUUCAGAUGCUAGUUGGGUAACCAAUACAAGAGAUAAUAAAUCCACUUCUGUUUGGAUUUUUACAAUUGCUAGAGGAGCGGUUUUUUGGACUUCAAAGAAACAAACGUGCAUAACUCAUUUAACAAUGGAAAGUGAGUUUAUAGCACUUGCAACUGCAGGCAAGGAAGCCGAAUGGCUGAGAAAUUUGUUGUUUGAUAUAAUGUUGUGGCCACAACCAAUGCCAUCUAUUUCUUUGUACUGCGAUAGUGAAGCUACAUUGUCUAGAGCUUAUAAUAAAGUGUAUUUCCAGAGAGCGUGUUUUUACGUCAACUGGAAAAACAGUUAGCAAGCUUGAAAAUUUCAUAUGUCAAUCGAUGCAAAUUCAAACUAAAAGAGUGUCUUUGAAGAAGUGAUAUUUCUAAUGGUUGUAUUCUUUUAAAAAUAAAAUUCUUCUUUAUUAAAAGAUAGACACACAAUUAGAUCAAUAUCAGAUUUUGCAGAUUUCAUAUAUGUUCUGGAAAUACAAUCUUAUUUGCUAGAGAUUGUAUUCAGGAUUUGAUAUAUCUUGGGGGUAGUUUGCCAUUAAAACUCUAUAGCAAACCAAGAUUGGUGAGGGCAAAUAAAACCUUAAAGGAAAGUGUGCAAACACGUCUCAAAUCCUAAGAAAUUUUCUUUGUUCUUUGCCUCCAUAUUCGAAAAUUCACCAACAGAUAGAUGAAGGUUUCAUUCCAGACAACAGUGAGGCAACUGCUGAGAAGUACUAAGAUCUACUAAUCAAUAGAGGCUUUGUUGAUACAAGGAAGAGAGGAGCUGGAAGCGCUAUCAACACAUGCUCUGUUCGUGGUCGUUGCCGUCCUGUGUUGUUAGCAGUGGCUUUCGAGGCGGAAUUUGUCUUUUUCCCGUUCGGGGAUCCAAAAGGUAAAUCACGAAAAAAUGUCAAACGGAUCAACGUUUUUGAAAAACAGAGUGAUUUUGCUCACCUAGAUGAUUAUGACUCGCACUUGCAUUCUUUGUUGUACUUCACUUCAAAAAGCGACUAUCUUGACCCAAUAAAUUGGGAGAAAAUUUGUAAAAUGUUAAAAUUUCUCAGAGGAUUGGACUUGGGAUCUCUUGUUCUCAUCCAUUAUCCAUCCGGAAUUGAAAAUUUAUUUCUUUUACGAUAUUUGAAGUUGAAUAUCCCUUCCCUCAAAAGCUUGCCUUCGCCAUUAUUAAGCAAUCUUCUGAACCUGUACACCCUAGACAUGCCCUUUAGCUAUAUAGAUCACACAGCAGAUGAAUUUUGGAAGAUGAACAACCUCAGGCAUCUGAAUUUUGGCUCAAUCACACUUCCUGCGCAUCCAGGAAAAUAUUGCGGCUCUCUGGAAAAUCUCAAUUUCUUUUCAGCCUUGCAUCCUUGCUGCUGUACUGAAGAUAUAUUGGGUAGACUACCUAAUCUUCGAAAUCUCCGGAUAUGGGGAGAUUUAAGUUAUUAUCAAUCUUUGUUGUCCCAAAGUCUUUGCACAUUGACUUGCCUCGAGUCAUUGAAGUUGGUGAACGAAAGCAAGAUGCCAACGCUCUCCAAAAUUGUCCUUGUUGAAUACCAAUUUCCUCCAAGACUGACCCACUUGAGUUUCUCUAAUACUGAACUUAUGGAGGAUCCCAUGCCCGCACUAGAAAAGCUGCCGCUUCUUCAAGUGCUCAAAUUGAAGCAAAAUUCGUAUUCAGGUAGGAAGCUGACUUGUGGCUCUGAUGGUUUUCCAAAUCUCAAGGUAUUGCACCUGAAAUCAAUGCUAUGGCUAGAGGAGUGGACUAUGGGGAUUUGAGCCAUGCCAAAACUAGAAUGCUUGAUUAUCAACCCUUGUGCUUAAUUGAAAAAGAUGCCUGAACAGCUCUGGUGCAUAAAGAGCUUAAACAAGUUCGAUUGCUGGUGGCCGCAGCUGGAGCUGAGACAAAAGCUACGGGAAUUCGAGGAUAAGGAGCAGUAUGGCAUUCAACUCUAUCCUUAUGGAAUUUGAUUAGCCCCGAUUGAAUUUGAUGUAAGUUUCUCUUUUUAUCCAAUUUCUUCAACUUUUAAUUAUUUAUCUAAUUUCGUAUACUUUCUAUUCAAUAUAUUUAUUUUCCUUCUCCUUCAGUUAAAUAGUUAAGCCCUCUUUAGAGUUUCUGAUAGUCACCCCAAUCAUUACGCCCUCUUUUGCCGCAGGGAGACUUCAGUACCCUUGUAUGUUCAACUAUGAGCCUAGGCGACAUUGGCAUUCAUUUGUUUUAAUAGUUAAGAUAAAAAAUGUAAUAUAAAAAUUUUUCUUUUUCACCAAUUUCUCCUAUGACUUGUGUAGGUGAAGUCCGAGCAGAAAAUAUCAAAACUGCAGCCUGUGUUUCAGUUUCAACCAGAAUCCUUUCAGUUAGUCUUCACUUCUGCUGUCUAUACAAAUAAGUCCUGAUCCUAUGGUGGACAUUUUUCUGCUUUCUUUGUAUCUACUGUCUACACGAUAAUAAGAAAUUUCGUUUCAGAUAUUCAGUUGAGCGUUGAUUGAUUGGUGCUUCGGGCCAUGGUUGGUUAAUUGUGUACAAAAAAAAUAAAUAAUAUUUGUGACGCCUUUCCAGUCUUGGAUUCAGUGGAAUGUAUUUUCUGUCUUUGUUCUGUUGCUUGCUUUGAAAUCCUUUUCUAAGACUGGGAAUGUUUGACACUCAAUAUGUUUGGUUUAUUUUGCGGAAAAGAUUGAUUAUUCACGAACUUCAUACACGGCUGACUCUCCUGGUAAAUAUUCUUGUGAAUAAGUACUAUGAUCCUCUUUUAGGCACUACAAUAAGGCCUUUUUCUCUUUUUUUUGGUGCACUAAAUUGUGUACACUAAAGCACACACGUUGUUGUGUCAGAAAAGGAUCCUUGCAGCCAUUGAGAUUAAUUGAUUAAAUGAAGUAGAAAAAAGAAAGAAAUCAAAAUCUUCAGGUCUAAUUAUCGCCAAUUCAUUCAGGAGGUAGAAUCAGAGAGGCCGUGUUAUAGCGGCAGCCUGAGAGAUCAUUUCAGCUGAAAAACUCAGAAUUUAUAAAGUUACGACUUCAUUCUCAUAAAUAUGAGGUUAAAAUGCAGAGGUUUGAUUUUAUAGGCUUCAGUCAAUGUAGUACAUUCUAGUUUUGGAUUCACUUGUAUAAAUUUUUAGUCUGUAAUUGUUUCAAAUCCUCUUAGUUUGGUUUGGACGUCAUUGGUAUCUUAUGGUUUCUUAAUCCAAUAAUAUAGUGUUGAACUAUCCGCGGAGAUGUUAACAUUCUUUUACAGGCACAAAUUGUCUGCAAAUGAAAAUAUAUAAAAUAAAAAGGACAAGUGAUAAAUGAGUUAAUCUGAGGAAAUUCGAACCUGUAUAAACAUAUUUUUAGUAUUUUGAAGGACCAAAAACCUCUCAAUACAAUUUUUCAGUUGCCAAAUAAAAUAUUUCAGCCUCCCAUUAUUAAGAUUGAUGCUAGUUUAAAUACUAACUUACAUAUAAAAUUUGAAACUAAAGAACAAGAGCAACAAUCCUAAACUAAGGCAAAUAAUUAGCUAAUUAACUAACAACUGGUUCUGGUUUAUUGAGUUCAAGUAUAUGUUAACACAUUAACCACAACCAACCAAAUAAAUAUAACUUAAAAUAAAAUAAAAUAAAAAUAUCUCAAGACUUGAAGAUCGGAUCACAUUCUCUUUUAAUAAACUAACGCAGGAAUUUCAUCUCUGUCAUCUUUUCCUUUCAAUCAAUUGUAUUCAUGUUUCUAUUACUGACUGAAAUGACCUAAAUUAGAUUGUGAAAGAUGAAAAUGAUAUAAAUGUCCAAAACAUCUUGCAAUCAGGGUUUCGUUUUCCCUUUCCUAAUCCUGUUAGCAAAAUCCUUUUAUUGAAAAAACACAAACCGGAAGAAGAAGAAGACGAUAAGCAGAUUAUAAAGGACGUCAGCAUCCUGUUAUUUUCUAGAACUAAGUCUUUGCUUUCUUUACUGUUUUUUAAGAUGCCUUCCUUUUGGUCUAGUAUGGUAUCUCUUUCUUUGCUUGAACCAACAUAUAAGUAAAGGCUAAAUGCUCCUUCCACUUUUCUCUUGACUUGUGUAAUCUUUCUCUGGUACUCAAGAUCGAAUAAAAUGCCAUUUCAGUAAAGCCAAUUAGAGUUCUUUUUGUUCCAUCGGCAAGUCAUUCUUGACUGUUUUGCCUCCGCUUGAAAGCUUCCGUGCAUCCAUUUAUCAGUACCCAAUUUGAAUACAAUUCAACUUUUUUUUUUCCCUUUUUGGUUUCUGUUUCUUCCAUGUAGUAGUUUGACUGAGAUGUUUAAGGGUGUGCUUGAGGUGUGGUAUUGCAUAGCAUUAGUGUGUAGGCCAAGCAUUACUUCAACAUAUCCCAUAUUUGACAAUUGAUUGGAAAGGAGUGAGCAGCAUUAAUCUUAGCUAAUGCGGUAGUUUGCAUUAGUUUUUUUUUUUUUUAAAUAUAAUAAUAAAAAAUAAGUAUAACUUUUAAUAUAAUAUUAAUUUUUUAAUUAUUAUAUUAUAAUUAUUAAUAUAAAUUAAUAAUUUUAUUAUUUAUUAUUAAAUAAUAUUAUAUCAUAUUUUAUUUUUUAUUAUAUAAAAAAUAUAAAUAAAAAAUAUAUUAUUUAUUUAUAUUAUAAUAAUUAAUAUAUAAAAUUGAUAAGUUAAUAAUAACUAAUAAUAAAUACUUAAUAACAUAUAAAAAUAAAAAUAUAACAUAAUAUUACAUUAUUUAAUUAUAUUAUUGUAAUUAGUAUAUAAAAAAUUGAUUAUUAUUUAAGAAUUUAAUAUAACUAAAAAUAAAUGUUUAAAUAUAAAUAGACUUGAAUAAUAUUAAUUUGAAAUUAACAAUAUAAAUAAUAAUAUAAAAUAUUAUUACACAUACUAUAGAAUUCUUACUUGGAUUAUUUUCUAAAUUAUAAUUUAAAUUAAUCACAAAAAAUUAAUACAGUCCAGUGCAACACCAAAUAUAGUAUAAUUAAAAAUUAAUACAGUACAGUAUAAUACCAAAUAUUGUACAAUAUUUUUGUAAUACAAUAUUUUUGUAAUACAAUACUAAUGCAAUAUAACAUAAUAUAAUACAUCUGCAUUAAAAGUAAUGCAAUACAAUAUAAUAAAAUGCAGUGUGCCAAACACACCCUAAGUUCAAUCACAAUAAAAUAUCGUGGGAUAUACGGAAGUCUGUGAGAGGUACUAUACUAUCUAAAUUAUCUACAAAGUAACUUCAUUUUAUUAAAUUCUUAUAAUCUGAAUAUUAGAUCCACUUGAUGUUUGUGAUUGAUUCUUAUUUACAAGGAUAAACUUUUGCUCGCAUUUUUCAUAUGAUGACAGUUGACGCAGAAAUCUGGUCGAGCUGUUUAGCGACCAGACAACACUUAGAUUUGUUGUUAUUGGGGAGACGGUUCUAUGUUGCUUCCUCACUAUCGAACAAGCUCCUACGAUCUCGAACACUUCCUCCAAGAACACUUGCAUUUAUAACAACUAGUCAAGGGACGCCACAAGUUUUUCAGGUGUAAACCCUCCGAUACUCAAGUCAGCUAUCCGGGUCUAUGAUAACUCUAUGAAAUGAGAGUUAUCAUGGUACUUUUAAACUUAAAUCAUUAUUACUUAGAGAGUAAAUGACAUGUUUUUAUUGCAUUUUAGUUAUAUCUUGCAUGAGUAUCAAUUUUAGUUUAGUUUUAAUAAAUUUUGUUGUUUUAGAAUAAUUUGUGUGCUUAGAUUGUGUGCAUAAUUGUAGAUGAUUGGAAGCUCAAAUUUAAGGAAGGAAUGCUGCUGCAAUAGGCUUGCAAAAAUGGGAAAAGAACUUGAUUACAGAAGAAUUAAAGCAAAUUUGGAACGGUGCAGUUGCUGUAUCCGUUGUUGCAGCAUCCAUUGUUGUACCAAUCCUGGAGCAUUGAUAGAGAAGAUAAAACCCAUAACUAACAUCCCCACUGCGGGUGGAAAUUGGUAAAGCAAGUUUUUUUUUUUUUGUUGGGGGUAAUUGAAGUCGAGUAAUGUCUAUAGAUGAUAGGAAUAUUCAUGUUCCUUUUGGUUUCUUGACUCAAGGUUGCUUACUGGCUUAAGACAUUUUUCAUUCUACUCACUCAGUUAAAUUAUACCAUUCCAACGUGAUCUUGGCUUAUGCUACAGAUUCCUAGAGUGUGGUCUACAACAUUAAGAGCAUAUUACUGAACAAGGUUGAGGUCACUUUAGUAAAUUCUUGCUCAUGUAGAGAUCUACUUUCUAUUUAUAGCUUGGUCGACUCACAUUUAACGUCAAACACUCACGAUAUGGAGGACGUUGUGGUCAGAGCCUUGAACAGGAAACGCCCCCAUUCUAGUGGUGCUAAAGGGAGUUUGAGCAAAUAUGCUUCUUGGAAAAGCACCUUGGUACUGCAGAAAAAGUUUCUUUUCUGAAGACUCUCCCGCCUCCUCUACCUAAGGUAAGUGAAACAAGUGGGGCUUGUUAGCCUAUACGACUAUAAAUAUUGAUUUUGAUGAUAACAAACUACAUGUGUUGGUUAAACAAAGAUUUAUGUAUUGAGAUUUUAUAAUAAGAAAAUGAUUUUAUGGAGUUAAGUUGUUUUUCAAGUUAUGGACUAAAAUGAAAUAAUUUUACAAUCUUUGAUUUUAAUAAAUAUUGUUUUGAAUUUUCGGAUUUGGACCUAUUUGAAAAUAUUUAAAUAUUUUGGGUUAUUCUAUAAUUUCACAUAUUUUGGGUCAUAUUAUAAUUUCAAAAAGUUUUGGGAUUAAUAAAACAAUAUUUAGAAAUUCCGAAAUUGGACUUAUUUGAAAAGAUUCAUAACGUUUUGGGCCAUAAUAUAGUUAUAUAAAGUUUUGGGGUCAAACUAUAAUUUUAGAAAAUAAUUCACUGUAGCAGUUACUGUAGUAAGCGGCUAUUCGAAUCCUGACAAACGGUAGACCGGAUUUGGGUAGUAAGCUUCUGGAACAUAAACGACUAUUCGGAUUUCAUAAGCGGCAUACCGGAUGUUCAAAAAUUCAAAUUUUGGCUGUAACAGUAACAUUAAGCGGCUAACCGGAUGUCCAUAAAUGGUAAGCCGGUUAUCACCAAAAUGUGCAUAACGGCUAGUUUUUGAGCUCAAACUAUAUACACUGAAAUCCAAUUCAUUUUCAAUUUCUCCAGCAAGCAAAAACAAAAAGCACACAUCAUAUCUUGAGCUCUCAAUUUACAAAUCAUUAUUCAUUGAAUCAUCUUUGUUCUUCAAUUUGUUCCUCUACUCUUUAAGAGAGUUUAUUUUGUUGUAAUUUUCAUUUCUUCAUCUUAAUUGUGAGUGUUUGAGUGUGUGAGACACUUGAGUGAAGAGAUUGAGAGAUAAUCUCUUUGUUGUAAAGGUUCAUUGACACCUUGAAGUCAAUUGUAAACAUUUGAAGUCUUGGAAGGCUUGGAUUGUGAAAUCCUCAAGCUUGGAUCUCUUGGAGGCGUGGACGUAGGCGGGGAUUGCCGAACCACGUAAAAAUUCAUGUAUUUGUUUCUCUUCUCUCUUACUCAUUUGUUAUUGUCCUUUUAUUGAACUUAUUGCUUUCGAAUUUAUUAAGGCAUUAGAUUGGAUUAUUGUGUGGUUUUGUUAGGAUAAUUUUUAAAAUACCAAUUCAUCCCCCCUCUUGGGUUGCAUACUUGUAUUUCAGGGUUGCUAGUGACAAAGGUCCCACCACAUCUCCUCAUCUUGUUGGCUAUAAAUUUCAACUUCCAAAUGAGUGACCCAAAUAUCUGGUCCUUUAUAUCAAUGAGCAUAGUAAACUAGUGAAGAAGAAAUCUGUUGAGGAUUUAAAGGCCAUACACUCGGGAUCUGGUAGGCGUUCUUCAAUUCGGUGUGUUUCAGCUGGGCAUCCUGGCCGCUUAUUACAAAGCAAAAGUUAGUCGCUAUAGGAGGAAAAUAAAUGAUGAUAUUUAAACUUUGAAGAAGAGAGCGGCCAGCUUUAUCUCAAGAACUUAAAGCUUGUGGAACAAAUGUUCUUCUCUGAAGCUAGGGUAGUCUAACUUGAGAAAGAGUUGGCCAAUAUUAAGGAAGAAUUGCCACCCAAAAAAUCUCUUAUGAUUCUCAGUUGGAAUAACUUCAAGCAGUUCACCAGGACUAGAUCAAGGCUUUAGAAAAUGAGGUUAAUGACAACUACAAUGAGGGGUUUAAACACUCUUAUCGGUGUAUUACGACUGCCUCGAGAAGCAACAUCUUGACCUAAAAAUGGAUGAACUGGCAGUCGAUAUUAUUUAAUAUAUGAAGGAACAAGCAACCAAAGAAAACGCAGAAAAAAGAGGCCCUGCUGUAACUAGCGAAACCACCACUCCUCUUAUUGCAGCUGGCGAGACUACUAUUCCUCCUACUAAAACUAGCGAGACCCCGACUCCUCCUCUAACUAGUGACAAUUCAUCGAGAGUAAACCCUCUCGUAAACACUUAAAUUUCUUAGAUGUGACAAAUUAUCUCUUUUAAUCAACAGACCUUUUGUACAAUGUUGUACUUCUUUUUCGUUAAUGUUAUAAAUGUUUUCUUGCCCUUCCAAAUUUUCAUGAUUGAUUGUAUGCUCGUCCUGUUGCUAAUGAACAAAUGUUGGUAUAUUUUGACUUUGGUCACACCUCGAGGAGGCUUCGAGACUAAAAGUCUUAUAUUUGACUUAGAAAUUUAUUUAUGUAUGAUUACCUAUUUGCCUUCAGUUGGUUGAAUAGGUUUUGGCAAAUUUGUCGUUUUAUCUCGCCUUGAGGAGGCUUUGAGACUUAAAGGCUUAUACUUGCAUUAAAAAAUAUUUAUGCAUCAUUGCCUGUUUACCUUCUUGGUUGAGCAGGUUCUGGUAAAUUGGACUUUUUAUCUCGCUUUGAAGAGGCUUUGAGACUCAAAGUCUUAUACUUGCUUUAGAAAAUAUUUACACAUGAUUGCCUGCUUGCCUUCAAUUGGUCAUGCAAGUUCUGGAAAUUUUGACUAUUUAUCUCACGCCGAGGAGGUUUUGAGACUUAAUGUCUUAUACUUACCGUAGAAAAUAUUAACGUAUAAUUGUCUGCUCACCAUCACUUGGUUGAGCAGGUUUUGGCAAAUUUGACUUUUUAUCUUGCCUUGAGGAUACUUUGAGACUUAAAGUCUUAUACUUGCCUUAGAAAAUAUUUAUACAUGACUGCCUGCUUGCCUUCGCUUGGUUGAGCAGGUUUUGGCAAAUUUGAAUUUCCAUCUCGCUUCAAGAAGGCUUUGAGACUUAAAAUCUAUGAUUUGCCUUAGAAACAUUUAAUACAAAACAAGGGGAAUAAUCAAAUGAAUGGAUUUUACUGCACCCAUCUUAUUUACAACUCUAUGAACUACAAACAAAGUAAUUUAAAGAUACUAAUUCGUUAAGAAAUUCGACCAUCUAAUUUCAUGAAAACUUUACUGAAAGUACUUCUUUAGUUGCUCUGCAUUCCAGGAUUUCUUGACUUUUCAUCCAUCUGCGUAGGCAAGCUUGUACACUCUUAGUCUAACUGCCCUUAGAACUUUGUAAGGUCCUUCCCGGUUGGGGAUGAGCACUCCAUGGUUUAGAUAUCUGGUGCUUUGAUUUAUCUUUUUGAGCACCCAAUCAUUACUUUUGAAUUGUUGUACUCAAAAGUUCUAAUUGUAAUAACAAACAAUCCUUUGUUGAUAGACUGUUACUCUUUUUAAGGUAACUGAUCUCUUAUUGGCGAGCAAAUAUAGGUUUAAGCACAUCUGUUGUUGUUUUUGUCCUCGUUAAGGCUCCUUGUCCGGUGAGUACUCAUCCUGUUUUUUGCUGGCGCGACUACCUAAUAACCAAAAGCUAAUGCAGAAAGGAUCCCACCUGUGGUGUUCUUAUGAGUAGUUCUGUAAGCCUAAAGAACACCGGGAAACUUCUCGACCCAUGCUCCCUUUUUCUCCCAUAAUCGAGUCUUCAAGAGUUUUUUAAUAGCUUUGUUUGCUGCUUCUACUUAUCCAUUUGCCUUCGAAUGAGCUGGCGAGCAAAAUCUUAGCUUGAUGUUUAAGCUCUUGUAAAAAUAGUUAUAGCUGUUAAAUUGUUUACCGUUAUUUGUUAUGAGGUUAUAAGGGAUUCCAUAUCUGCACAGGAUGUUCCUUUAAAUAAAGUCAGUCGUCUUCUUCUUUGUUAUCCUACUAAACGACUUGAUUUCGACCUACUUCGUGAAAUAAUCUAUUGCCAGAAUAAUAUGAGUGGCGGCUCAUCGCCCUUUCAGUAAAGGCCUAAUCAGGUCUAUUUCCCCACUAAGCAAAUGGCCAUAGUUUUUUCUGGCGGCUGUGCUAGAUAACAAGCAAAGCUUUGCCAACUCUUGCAGCUCCUGGUCUUUUCUUGUGCAUUUUGACCAUCAUUGGCUAGAAAUAUCCUUACCUUAGUGAAAUACAAGUAUGCAACCCAAGAGGGGGGUGAAUUGGGAUUCUAAAAAUUAUUCAAUUUAUAAAGAAAAACUUACUGCAAAUAUAAUCCAAAUUCAAAGCAAUAACAAUUAAGUUGAUCACAAUAUAAAGAGAUAAGGGAAGAGGGAUUCAAACACAGAGAUUUUUACGUGGUUCGGCCAACCUCGCCUACAUCCACGCCUCCAAGCUUUCUGGGCUUGAGGAUCCACUAAGCAAGCCUCCAAGGCUUCAAAUGCUUACACUUGACUUCCAAGGUGUCAAUAAACCUUUACAACAAGAGAUUAUCCCCAAUCUCUUAACCCAAGUGUAUCCCAACACUUACAAUCACUCAAAGUAAAAGAUUACAAAUUGAUUUGCCUCUCACAAUAUAUAGGAUUACACAAUGGUGCUUAAUAUGUGAAUAGAUGAAGCAAGAAUGUGUUCUAAGCUCUAUGAAGAUUGUAUUCUCGAAUAUUAGCUCAAUGGUCGUGUUGUGAUAAACUUUCUUUGAAUUUGAAUGAGCUAAAUGGUUAACCGUUUCGGUUGGUCAAAGUUACCAUUGGGCCAGAUUUCAAAUAAACGGUUUGCCGUUUAGGAUUAACCUUUUGCCGUUAAAUUCUAGAGACCUGCAAGAUGAACAUUAGUUAUCCGUUUACACUAAACGGUUAAGGACUUGCAUAAAGUGACUUCUCUGGAUAUUAUCGGUUAACCGUUUUUAAUAAACGGUUAGCCGUUUGUCUCCAGUAACCUGCAAACAAUUUAGCCUUAUCAGGUUUUGUUACUUAGUGCCAGAGGAGAACAACCUUCAAUUCUGGACGUUAUCAGUUAACCAUUAAAAAUAAACGGUUCACCGUUAAGUUCCAGUAGCCUUCUCAUCUUUUGAGUUUUCCGUCUUUCAUAAACGGUUAGAGCUUUAGGCAUUAUGUUGCUCUCUGGAAUUAAUCGGUUAACCGUUUAAAUAAACGGUUUACCGUUAAGUUCCAGUAACCUUCCCAUCUUUUGUGUUUUCCAUUUUUUAUAAACGGUUAGAGGUUUAGGAAAUAUGUUGCUCUCUGGCUGUUAUCGGUUAAUCGUUUAAAUAAACGGUUCACUGUUUAUAACCAGAAUUGCAUUUUAAACUAGUUUUUGCAGAGAAUCUUUUUCUAAUUUGAAAGUCCAUCUUUUAUGAAGAAUGAAUGGAAUGAUUACUAAGGCUUUCGUUUAUUAGGAAAUAGCUCCAAUAUUUUUAUCAAAAACCAUUUAAAAUUUGUUAUCAUCAAAAUCAAUAUUAUUAACAUAUUCAUGUUAACACUUAGGGCUUUGAAGGCCAACGAUCUCGCCCCUAAGUGAUUUUCGCAAACUCCUUCAUGUACAUCCCUCUGCACAUAAUAUGCCUCAUCUUCAUCCAAGCAUAGUAAAAAAGGUAAGGUAUACCCUCGCCUAUACAACACCCUAUUAAUCAACGUAUAUUUAGACAAUUAACAUUUGAGUUUUCAUGCUCGCAUCUUAUCUGCUGGUAAUGUUCUAUCUUGAAUAUAUGAAAUUAUCAAAUUCAUCCAUGCGUUUCGCCCAUCUAUCCACUUUUUUUCUGAAUCCUGCUCGAUAUGGGGAGAGGCUUUAACUUCAAUGGGAAUGGACUUUGGCAUCCUUGCAUCUGUUGUAACAGCCAUUCUAGCUAAGAUAUCUGCUCAAUAAUUAUUUGCCCUUAAGAUCUACUCCACGUCAACUAGUCAAACUUCUCAAUUAUUUGUCUAGCCUUCUUUAAGUAUUGUUGUAUCUUUUCACCCCAAGGUUGAAAGUUCUCAUUGCAAUGGUUAGCAACAAGCUGAGAAUUUGUUUGAACUCUCACUUUGCUUGCUCAAGCAGCCUAGGCCAACUUCAAUCCCACUAUGAAGGCUUUGUAUUUUGCUUGAUUAUUGGUUGCCUUAAAUUCAAACCUUAAGGCAUAAGAGAUUUAUUCUCCAUCGAGACUUUCUAAGAUCACUCAUGCCCUUACUCUUUCCUCGCUUGAAGAGCCAUCCACCGUUAUCAGCCAGACUUUAUCCCCAUUACUCCUAGUAACCGCCUGAUCACCACUAGCUUUCGUGUAUGGUUUUGUGAGUUCUACUAUAAAAUUCGCUAAUGCUUGUGCUUUGAUUGCUGCUUGGGGUUUGUAACUUAUAUCGAACUCACUUAACUCCACCGAACACUUCACCAAUCAUCCGAAAACCUCUGGUUUAUGUAUUGUGUGUUAUAACAGUUGAUCCGUAAUCACGACGAUUGAAAAGGCCUAAAAAUAUAGCCUUAGUUUUCAAGCAGCAACAAUAAGGUGAAGGGCCCAUUUUUUCAUCAUCGAAUAUCUAGUCUCAGCAUUGAGCAGGACUUUGCUAGUGUAGUAAAUCAGAUAUCCAGCCAUCGAAGGCACCAUGCGGGGCACCGGUGCUGUUCCAAUGGAAGCAUGAUGGCUCACUUCGACUCUGCAUCAACUACCGAGCCCUUAACAAAGUGACCAUGUAGAACAAGUAUCCCAUACUACUGAUUACAGACUUGUUCAACCAACUUGGAUACGCCAAGUGCUUCUCCAAGCUUGAGCUUAGAUCGGUAUAUUACCAAGUACGGAGUGCAGAGGGAGAUGAGCUAAACACCGCUUGUGUGACGAGAUAUGGGGCGUACGAGUUCAAAGUCAUGCCUUUUGGCCUCACCAACGCUCCAGCCACAUUCUACAUGCUCAUGAACUGUAUAUUCCAGCCAUACCUUGAUCAGUUUAUGGUGGUGUAUCUUGAUGACAUUGUGGUUUACAAUGGCACCUUAGCAAAGCAUGCCGAGCACUUGCGAGUUGUGUUCAGGGUGUUGCGGGACAAUGAGCUGUUUGUUAAGCGGGAGAAGCGUUCGGUCGCUAAACUGGAGGUUGAUUUUCUUGGCCACAAAAUCAGAGAUGGGACGUUGCUCAUAGACAAGGCUAAGGUCCAAGCCAUUGCGAAAUGGGAGCCGCCCUAGAAGGUGACCGAGUUGAGCUAUUUCUUAAGCCUUGCCAACUACUACCGGAGAUUCAACAAGGGUUAUUCUGCCAUUGCUGCACCACUCAUCGAUUUGCUCAAGAAGAGUAACAAGUGGGAAUGGAUGGAGAGGAGCCAACAAGCCUUCGAUGCCCUCAAGAAGGUCGUGACGGAAGAGUCGGCACUAGCGCUACCAAACCAUGCCUUACCAUUUGAGGUACACACAUAUUUUUUUGAUUUUACUAUUGGGGGUGUACUGAUGUAAGCUGAACAUCCUAUAGCCUUUGAAAGCUAAAAACUCAACAAUACUGAGCGGUGAUAUACAGUAUAAGAGAAGGAGAUCACUGUGAUAAUGCACUAUUUACGCACAUAGAGGCACCACUUGCUUGGGUCCAAGUUCAUGGUGAAGACGGACAAUGUAGCGAAGAUGAACAUCCCAUAGCCUUUGAACACCAAAAGAAACUAAGUCUGAAACAAGCGAGACGGCAUGAUUUCUUGGCUGAGUUCGACUAUGUACUGAAGUAUAAGCCAUGAAGGGCCAAUUUAGUAGUGGAUGCCUUAAGUCGGAAGGUCGAGCUUGUUGCCAUGAGCCGGAUACAAAGGGAGCUUCUUACGCUCAUAAAUGAGAGAACGUAGCAUGAUCCCUUAGCCAAACGACUGGUUUCCCUCGUGCAACAGAGGAAAUCGAAGAGAUUUUGGGUUGAGGAUGGUCUUUCGUACUCCAAGGGACGAUGUGUCUAUGUUCCAAAGUGGGGAAACUUGAUGCAGAACUUGAUCAAGGAGUGUCAUAACACCAAAUGGGCUAGACACCUAGGACAAAGGCGGGAACGAGCCUUGCUUGAGUCGGCAUACUAUUGGCCUCAGAUGUGGGAUGAGGUGGAGUAGUUUUUACAGACAUGCUUAGUGUGCCAAUAGGGCAAAGUGUAGCAACAAUGUCCCGCAGGGUUACUUGAGCCACUGCCCACACCGAAUCGAUCGUGAGAAAGCACAUCGAUGGAUUUCUUCACUUGUCUUCCAAAGUUCGAGGGGUUUGCGACUAUUGUUGUGGUGGUGGAUUGCUUCUCCAAGUAAGCCACUCUCAUUCCCGCCCCGAAGGAGUGUACAAUAGAGGACUCAUCCAAGCUUUUCUUUAAGCUUGUGGUGAAGUAUUGAGGACUUCCAAAAUCCAUCAUUAGCGACUGUGACAAUUGGUUUACAGGGAGGUUUUGGACUGAGUUGUUCAAGCUCAUGGGGUCGGCACUGCACUUCUCUACGAGAUUUCACCCACAGACCGAGGGGCCAACGGAGAGAGUGAAUGCCUUAUUGGAGUUGUACUUGUGGCAUUUUGUAAGCACCAACCAGCAUGAUUGGGCGAAGUUGCUGGACGUGCCUAAUUUUUCUACAACUUGCAAUGGAGUGAGGUUACUUCGAGGAGCCCUUUCGAGGUGAUCAUGGGACAGCAGUUGCUAACGCCAUGCACACUUAUCACAGGCUACACUGGGAGGUGUCAUGCAGCAUACUAGGUGGCUAAAUCGUGGCAUGAGCAAGCGGACAUAUCACGGGCGCACCUUGACAAGGCGAUCAAGUGGAUGAAGAAGUAGGCGGAUAACAAGUGUAGACAUUUGGAGUUCAAUGUGGGGGACAUGAUGCUAGUGAAGAUCCUACCAUCCCAACACAAGUCUACCCGUUCACUAUACAAGGGCCUUAUUCGGAAGUAUGAGGGUUCAUUUCCCAUCAUCAAGAAGGUCGACAAUGUGUCAUACAAGCUAGAGUUGCCCUCUUAGAUAAAACUCUAUCUGAUCUUCCAUGUGAGUUGCUUAAAGCCAUACCAUAGGGGUACCAAAGAUCCGAAGUGGGGAGAAUUUAAGCGCCCUCCACUCGGCAAUACGAGGGCGUAUGACAAAGAAGUGGAGACCAUCUUGGCCGAUCGAGUGGUUUGGAAGAAGAGUUUUCCGCCAUGCCAAGACUACUUUGUCAAAUGGAAGAGACUACACGAGAGUGAAGCAAGUUGGAAGCUCGCAAAAGAUUUUUGGUAGUUUUAAGACAAAAUCAAAGACUUCCACAGCGAGUCGACGAGGACGUCUCCGGAUUAGGAGGGGGAGAAUGUCAUGGCCAAAGCCUCUAAGUAACAUGGACUGGACCCAUGGAUGAUUAUAGACUUAUGUAGUGUGUAGAUAUUUCUCAUGUACUUAUUAUAGGUAGGUGGUAGGUAGUAGUUGAGCAUUAACCUACUCUAUUGUACUCUAUAUACAAGAGGGGCCUCAUUUGGCCAAUACACACAAGACAUAACAAACAAAACAACAUACAUAGCUUGUAAGUAUUUUAUCGAGCAAUAUAAGUCCUUUCCUCUUAUCUUGUGUGAGUUUGAGUGAAUACACAUUUCGAUUUUCGAAUCCAGUAACAGAUUUGAGUGUAUGGCUGACUUAGGGCCAAGAGAGUGUGAAUUUAAUGCAUAAGGCUGCAAGUCACAGCGUGGGAUAUAACUAGGCCAUUAAACAAGGCAAAAGAAAGAAAAGAUUUUUCACUCUAUUUAUUAUGCCAGCAAGACUUUUGCAUAUGAUAAAUUCAUGGCUUAUUUGGUUGGCACCAAAGUGACUGUUUAUAUAGAUCACUCGGCUAUAAAGUAUUUGAUUUCAAAGAAGGAUGCCAAACCAAGGUUGAUUACGUGGAUUCUAUUGUUACAAGAGUUUGACUUAGAGAUUAAGGACAAAAAAGGUACUGAGAAUCAAGUAGCAAAUCAUCUUUCAAGGCUGGAAGUAGAUGAAAGCACUCUGACCUAGCAACAUAUCACAUAAAUAUUUCCUGAUAAGCAAUUGUUAAUGCUACAACACUCUUAAAUGUUGCAGCAAUUUGGAUUUCCAUGGUAUGUAGAUUUUGUUAAUUAUUUGGUGAGUGGACUAUUUCCACCUGAUUUAAGUUAUCAGCAGAAAAAGAGGUUUCUUUAUGAUGUAAAAAGUUAUUUGUGGGAUGAGCCUUACUUGUAAAAGAUAUGUUCAGACCAUGUAAUCAGAAGAUGCGUACCAAAUCAAAAAAUUUCAAACAUCAUGCAAUCUUGUCAUCCUGCAGCAUAUGGAGGACACUUUGGAGGGCACAAGGCAGCAACAAAAGUCUUUCAAUCAUAUUACUACUAGCCCUAUAUUUUUAAAAAUGCUUAUGAGUUUGUUAAAUAUUGUAACAGGUGUCAAGGGGCAGGGAACAUGUCUGAAAAGCAUUAGAUGCCACUCUCAAAAGCAUGAGUAGCCCAAAGCUAUUGAACAUAUUGAAACCCCACCAAUUAGUCCAGCUCAGAGCUAGAAAAAGAAACAACCAGCUGCUAAAUCUUUAGGUUCACCUAAGGAACAUUCGCGAAGUACAAAUAAGAAGAAGUGAACCUUUUUCAGCAAGAGCUGCGACAAAACAUCCAACAACAAGGGAGUAUCCCCUGCCAACCCAAUUUAAUUUUCCAACUUCUGAAACGUUUCUUUUCUUUUAUUUAUUUUCGAUUCUUUAUUUUGUAUUUCUUUAUUGUUAGUGUAUGCAUGUUUGUCUUUGCUUUAUGUUGUGUACUUGUGAGGACACAACACCUCUCAAGUUUGAGGGGGUUGUCCUACAAUGUAAUGUGUUUAUUAAUGCAUGUGUUUGACUGUUUGUGUUAUGUGUGUAGCUCUGUUAUCCAGUAGUUGUUAGUGGAUUAUAAAACCCAAUGAGGAUAAAUUGUGUGUUAAAUGUGAGAAUGAACGACUGCCAAGUAAGGAUAGUUUAUAGAUGAAUGUUGAAGCUCUCUCUUUACCAUUAGGCUUUGGUUGAGUUUGUGAGUAUACUGUAGCAAAGCCAGAAAGACCAAAAAAGUUAGAAAAUAUCUCAAGUUUGGGGGGGGGGGGGAUUUUUUAGAUUUAUCAUAAAUUAUGCUUCAAUGGCUUAAGUUGCUGAGUAAUCAAGGCUGAGUAUGUACCCUAUAUGCAGACUUAAGUAAAAAGGCAGUAAGAGCUAUGAGCAUUACUAUAGCAACUAAAACAAAAACAAAAAAGAAAAGAAAAAAAGAGAAAGGUCCUCUGUCUAAGAUAUUGAGUAGUCAGGUCUGUUUAUGAGCCCCGUGUUCAGCCUUAAGUUAAAAGUGUCUAUAGAUAAGACUAUAUUAUAACAUUGCUGCAACAACUUUGAUAUGUACAUUGGUUAAGUAAUUGGGUGCCAUUAUUACAAGUGAUAGACAUUCACAUGAAAAAUCAAUAAUGAUACAUUAAAGAGAAUUUGACUAAAUAAAAAGAAAAAAAAACUUUGUUGUAGCACAGUUUAAACCUAUUUGUGACUUCUACUUCCUUAGAUAUGAAUGUACUUAGGUUCUAUCUUUGAGUUAUGUGUAAUGUCUGUGUGAUGCGGCAGCACCUAUAGAACUUGAAUAAAGUGACACACACUGUAAUACCCCAAAUUUCCUAAGGGUAUUUAAGUCUUUUUAGUUUUUAGUGAUCCCUUUUACCCUAGUAUAAAUAGAACAAGAUGUCUUUUCCAUUAUGAGAGAGGAAGAAGGAGAAAUCCGCUAAGACAAAAAAAAAAUGACAAAAGAGAGAGAAGAGAUAGAGAGAAAAGAGAGAAAAGAAAAGAAAAAGAGAAGAAGAAAGUCUUCUUCUUCUUCUUCUUCUUUGUUCUGCCACGACAACACAUGAGAUCAAAUUGCAUAAUUUGAAUUGCGUAUUGUUGAGAGAAGAUUUGGAUUUGCAGGUAAUUUUUAAUUCUUGGUUUUUAUUAAUUCGUUAUGGAGAAGUAUGAUUGCAAUAGAAGUAGAAACUUAAGAUUUUAUAGAAAUAUGCUGACAGUGAAUUAUUACGAAAAUUAUAGUAAUUUGUACAAAUUGAUUUUGAUUCUGAUUUUUGGAUAUGUUAAACUAGACAUCGUCUAGAACGCUUUGCAACUUGUUUCAAGUUAAUCGGAUAAGAUUUCAAUUAAUUAUGAUUUUUCAAAGUCAAGUCUGAAAACCUGGAAAUUUAUGAUUGCAAUGAAUAACGUGAAUUGCGAAAUUAGUUUUACCAUAGCUAGACUUCUUCAAAACUUAUGAAAUCUGGACCAAUGAUUUUUAUAUAUGGCUAGUAUGAUUCUGUAAUUUUUCAUGAUUUUAUGAUAACGAAAUAAAUUGUUUUGUAUUUUUAAAGCAAGUGUGUUCAAAACAGAAAACUGUUUGACAAUAUUGAUGAUGUGUGAAACAUCAAUUAUUUUCAAUCGUUUUUGAAGGAAUUAUGUUAUGAAGUUUUUAUCAAUGAACUUUCAAUGUGUCAGCAUAUGGCCUGUAAAAUUUUAGAUUAUUCCAAUAAGGGAAUAAUUUAUUACAAAUCAGAGAAUAUGGACUGUUAUGUUUUGAGGGCCGAUAAUUGAGAACAUUUGAGGUUGAGCUUAGGAGUUGUUUAAAUUGAGAUAUUUGAGGACAUUAGAGUUUAUGAUUGAGAUUUGAUUAUAUAUUAUGAGGAUUUAUUGAUGAUUUUAGGUUGAUGAUAUCAGUACGCAUUUGUUACAUGAGGAUGCCAAGAGGUAAGUAAACUAGACUUUAAAAUGAAUCACAAUAAACAAUACAUAUGUUUGACUUGUAUGAAAGGCCUACUUUGAUAUGUACGAAUAUGGAUUUAUAUGUCUCUGCUAAUGUGUUUAUGUGAUGUGUUGCUAUGUAUUGGGCGUGAUUAUGUACAUGGGCAUAUGUAUGUGUGAUGGUUCAUUGGUAUGAGCACGAAAAUACAUUGAGUUUUCUAUGAAUGAGAAAGUGGAUUUUAGCAAAUGAGAAUUCUGUUUUAUGAGAUUUUGCAUUGGGGGCCACCUCUUGAGACUAUGCGGGGGCCACCUCUUGAGGGUCAAAGCGUCGCAAAGUGCCACACAUGGUGGAAAGUGCCACGCACAGCACAAAGUGCCACAAUUGCAGAAUAUGUAUUUCAAUGAAAGAAAAUAUGAAAGUUUGAAAGCGACAGAAAGAGAUUUUGAUGAAUUUAUUUUACAAUAUUUCCAAAAGAUCAUGACAUAUCAUCCAUCUGCAUUAUGUAUAAGUAUGUAUGUACUUUCGUAUAAGAAAAACUAGUUUGCUUACUGAGUUUUAUACUCAUUAUAGUUCAUUGUGAUUCAGUUUUCAGAAGUCAGGAUUGAUUCGUGAUGAGUGAGAAGUUGAAGAUGGUAGAUGGUUCGGCUAAAUUUUUAAGUUAUUCCGCUAACUUUUGUAUUUGAGGCUCGAAUUUUAUCGUUUGUAAAGAGUUAUUUAAAUUCAUAUGUGAGUUGUGGUCAGAUUUGCCCUCGGAGUUCGGGCUGGGUGUUACACACACACUUUGGACAGUGUAAGGCCUAUGUCUUGAGUUUUAGAAAAUGUAUAUUUAUAAAGGAGAAAAUCGUCAUUUUACAUUUCAAGUUUUACUAACAACUCUUACUUUUAUGUAUUUAAACUUCUUGUAAUUUAAUUAUGUGUGUUUUAUUUUAAUUAAGUAUUUUAUGUAUUUUAGGGGCAUCAUAGUCAUUUCACAAUAAACGAGAGAUCAGACGGUAAAACAGACAUCACUUUUGAACUCAGGACGGUCGAAAACCUUAGGAGAAGCAUAAAAGAAAAAAUGGCAUUAUUCACAUGUACGGUACUGUCUACAUUACUGUUCAUGACAUUGUUCACAUACACGGAUCGAUGGCAUGGCAUUGACUGAUGAGGUGUCACGAUCCUAUUGGACUAAAAUUCUUAUGCACUGUUGAUUGGUGACGUGGCAGCAUAUCAAUGGAUCAAAAAUCGCGCGUACGGUACAUGCAUCACACAAGAUUAUUUUCAACCAAACCGCGUCACUGUUCAAUACGGGUCAAAAUCGUGUUACUGUUCAAACCGCGUACUGUUGACUGAUGACGUGGCGUAAUUCUAAGCGUCCAAACUGUUUUUAAUCCGAUGGCCAUGAUUUACUCAAUGUAUCUAUAAAAAGGGGGGCUCCCCCCCCCCCCAAUUUGAUAUCUCUGAAUCCAUUUUUAAACUCCAUUUUAUGUAAUUCCUUCUCUAUCUUGUAUUUUCUACAUAUUUUAAUAAAUUUCUAUUUUGCCCCUUGUUCAAUUAUGAGUAGCUAAUUUUCUUUCAAGCUUGGGUUGAAAGUGAAGUCUCAACAUGUGUCAUGGGUUUUAUUUGGUAAAUUUAUUUUCUCUUCCCCUCUAGGUUUUGUGGAUGUUUUGACUUCUCGUCGACAAAUAAUAAUAAUCUUGUCUAGAUACCGCCCUGGUUUCACCGGCUCCCUAGUACAAGGUUAUUAUUAUUUGGCACGAUAAGCCCUUAGCACCAUAUUGAUUAGAGUGUGGUUCAUGAGGUGUGGAUUCCCCCCUCAUGAUUUAAUUGGCAUUAAUAAGGAAUAUUUAACCCAUGGUGCAUGUUGAUACGGAUCCAGCUACCCAAGUGCCACAUUUCAAUAGAAUUCUCUUCAAUUUAUUCUCGCCAUUUCAAUUCCAAAUUUAAGAUAAUCUAAGUCACUUUCACCACAAAUCCAACCGCCCUCAUACAAAAUUAAUUCUACAUAUAAUUAAAAUCCACCUCCUCGCGAGAUCGACACUCGUCACCAUUAAUCUAUUCUACAAUAGAUUUAUGCACUUGCGAGUUCAAUAAAAUUUGCACAACAAGUUUUUGGCGCCGUUGCCGGGGAGGUAAGUUAUUUUAAUUUUUAGAAUUAAUUUUUGUGAAUAAUUUUUUUUAUUUGUUUUCUUGUAUUUUUUUAUUAAAAAGAAAAGCAAAAAAAAAGUGAAUCUGCAUUUAGAGGUUAGUAUUUCUUUUCUUUUUCUCUUUUUUAAAAUUCUGUAAUUUAAUUUUCAAGUUAUUUUUUUCUUCUUUGUAAUUUUUUUUUAUCUUACUAAUUUUUUUUAGUUAAUUUAUUUUACGUAUUUUUUUUUUGUGUGUAUUUUUAUAGUAAGGUUGUAAUAACGCGAUAAGGUUAGUACCGUAAUUUCUCCUUCUUCUUUAUUUUUUAUUUGUUUUGUUCUCAUUUAUUUUUGUGUUUCUUGCAUGCAUGAUCGUAGGUCGUUAUUACCUAAUCUUGAACCUAUAAACCUUGAACUAGAAAAAAUACUUCGCACAUACAAGCACGUUAAAAAUAAAUUUGAAAUGGAUUUGCAACAACAACAAGCACCACAUGAGAGGCCAUUUAAGGACUAUUUUAGUCCCUUAGCUAAUUUGAGUACAUCAUGUAUAAGAUACCCAAAUGUAGCUGCUAGGAGUUUUGAACUAAAACCUAGCAUGCUAAAUUGUCUCCCAACAUUCUAUGGCCUAGAAAAUGAGGACCCAUAUAAUCAUUUGAAUGAUUUUCAUGUUGUUUGUCAAACAUUUAAAUAUGAGAAUUUUUCAGACGAUGAUGUUAAACUCAAAAUUUUCCAUUUUCUCUAAAGGAUUGAGCUCGUUUAUGGCUCAAUACAUUGCCUGCCAAUAGCAUUACAUCAUGGGAAUAAAUUGUAACUAAAUUUUUGAAUAAAUAUUUCCCAGUGCAUAAAACCAAUGCUAUUCGCAGGGAAAUCUCGGAGUUUACCCAGAGAGAAGACGAGCAGUUUUUCGAAACAUGCAUUGAUUAUAGAAAGUUGAAUUCUGUCACACGUAAAGACCAUUUUCCUUUACCAUUUAUUGAUCAAAUGCUUGAUAGAUUAGCAGGCCAUGAAUUUUAUUGCUAAUGGCAACAAGUGGAGGAGAGCUAAUGUCAAAAAGUGCAUAAGAGAUUUGGGAAUUUUUCCAAUGACAAGCAGAUAAUCCCCAACAACGGAGUCGAUCACUCCGGAAUACUAGAAGAAUUAAGGGAGUAAAUGAGGUUCACAUUGGCGAGUCAACUUCGGGAAUCAAAGAAGUCAAGGAGAUGGUUGAAGGUCGCUCUCGACAAAUAGCAUCGUUAACGACUGCUACAUCAACAGAACCACAUGACCCUGACUCAUAUCCAGAUCAAGCCAAUGCUAUAGGUGCAAUGAGAAAACCAUCAAAUUACAACCCAUACUCCAACACAUAUAACCCUGGAUGGAGAGACCAUCCCAAUUUUUCAUAGUCUCAAGGAUUCUAAUAGAAUGGACCAGCAGCUCCAGCUCCACCAAUGCAACCAAUUCCUCAAGCCUCUCAGCCAUCAUUUAGACCAUACAAUUCGAACCAAAAUUACUCUCAACCCAGACCAUGGGAGGAUGCAUUCCAGAAUUUCAGGAAUGCUACUCACUCCACGAUUGAACAACAGAACCGCACCAUUGAUGGACUACGAAAUGAGUUGGGAGCAGGCUUCAACUCACAAGCUCAAUCAGUUUCAAGCCUCGAGAAGAUGGUGGAACAACUUGCUUAUUCAGUUCAGACCUUAGCAAUGACUAUUAAGAAAGGUAAAUUUCCAAGUCAACCAGUGCCUAAUCCUAAAGGAGUGCAUGAAGCAAGUACCAAUUCACCACAGCAGCAUGGAGAGGUCAAAGCAGUCAUGACCUUGCUAAAAGGAAAGGAAGACGACAACAAAGUGGAGAUACCGGUGACAAAACAAAAUCAAAUUGUAUAUGUGAAUGUUGAGGACUCAUCACCGGAGGAGAAAGAAGAAACCAACCUACGAGAAAGGAAAAUCCACAGGUGACAUUCUUGAAAUUUUCAAACAGGUAAGCGUUAACAUCCCUUUACUUGAUGCUAUAAAGCAAGUUCCAUCUUAUGCCAAGUUUCUUAAAGACCUUUGUACUAAAAAGAUAAAUAUUCAUGUUCAAAAGAAUGCAUUUUUAACAGAAAAAGUUAGUUCUAUACUCCAACACAAAAUUCCUCUAAAAUGCAAAGACUCAGGCUCCCCCACUAUCUCAUGUAGUAUAGGGAACCAAACAAUUGAGAAUGCUUUGUUAGAUUUAGGAGCUAGUGUAAAUCUGUUGCCUUAUUCAGUUUUCGUGAAACUUGGACUGAGAGAAUUACACCCAACUCCAAUGGUGUUACAGCUUGCAGAUCGGUCCACGAAAAUACCUCGUGGUAUUGUAGAGGACGUGCUUAUCUAGGUAGACAAGCUUUAGUUUCCUGUUGAUUUCAUUGUAAUUGACACUCAACCAAUAUGCAGUUGUCCUUCGACAACAUGAUUAUGGAGUUAAACAUCUUCAACAUUGCCAAAUAACCUCACAAUGUAGAUGAUAGAAUUAUCGAUGUGGAUUUAAUUGAAACAUUAGUUGAUAAUACUUUUCUUUUAAACCUUAGUGAUGACCCUUUACAAACAUGCUUAACUCACUUUGGUUUGGAUUUUGAUAUUGACAGGUCGGUCGAUGAGGUCAACGCCUUACUUGACUCAGCACUAUCCAUGGACACUAAUAAAUGGAAGUCAAGAGUUGAACAACUAGCACCAUCAGAGAAGAAACUCACCCCAUCAUCAGAAUAUAAAAGGUAUAAACCCAAUAGACUGCAUGCAUUACAUUCAUCUUGAUGAAAAUGCUAAACCUACCAGGGAAAUGCAACGUCGGUUAAAUCCUAACAUGAAAGAAUUUGUUAGAACCGAAAUCCUUAAACUAUUAGACGCAUGUAUCAUUUACCCAAUUUCUGAUAGUUCAUGGGUCAGUCCUGUACAAGUUAUCCCCAAAAAUUCAGGACUCACAGUAGUUACCAAGGCUGAUAAUGAAUUGAUACCCACUAGAGUGACUACAGGAUGACGUGUGUGCAUUGAUUAUAGAAAGUUGAAUUCUGUCACGCGUAAAGAUCAUUUUCCUUUACCAUUUAUUGAUCAAAUACUUGAUAGAUUAGCAGGCCAUGAAUUUUAUUGCUUUCUAGAUGGCUACUCAGGAUAUAAUCAGAUUCCUAUAGCACCAAAAGAUCAAGAGAAGAUCACUUUCACUUGCCCUUUUGGCACUUUUGCAUAUAGGAGAAUGCCAUUUGGAUUAUAUAAUGCACCUGCUAUAUUUCAACGAUGCAUGUUGAGCAUUUUUCUGAUAUGGUUGAACGAUUCCUUGAAGUCUUUAUAGAUGACUUUUCUGUUUUUGGUGAUUCAUUUUAUCAAUGUUUACAUCAUCUAACAUUAGUUCUGCAAAGAUGUAUCGAGAAGAACUUAGUCUUAAAUUGGGAGAAGUGCCAUUUUAUAGUAAAACAAGGUAUUGUUCUCGGUCACGUCAUUUCGAGCAAAGGUAUUGAGGUUGACAAAGCCAAAGUGGGUCUCAUUUCUAAUCUUCCUCCACCUAAAACAGUCAGAGAAGUGAGAUCUUUCCUUGGGCAUGCUGGUUUCUAUAGACGUUUCAUUAAAGAUUUUAGUAAAGUUUCUAGACCCUUAUGCAAUUUACUUGCAUAGGAUGUACCUUUUGUCUUUGAUGAUUCAUGUCUUGUGGCAUUUGAAAAGUUAAAGCAGUUGUUGACAUCAUCACCCAUCAUUCACCCCCUAAACUGGAGCUUACCAUUUGAGCUCAUGUGUGAUGCAUCUGAUUAUGCAGUAGGAGCAGUAUUAGGAUAAAGAGUUGAUCGAAUUCCCCAUGUUAUUUACUAUGCUAGUAUGACAUUGAAUGAUGCACAAUUGAACUAUUCAACUACUGAAAAAGAAAUGCUAGCGGUAGUGUUUGCAUUAGAGAAAUUCUGAUCUUAUCUCAUUCGUUGUAAAAUAAUUAUAUUCACAGAUCAUGCUACUCUUAAAUAUUUUCUCACAAAGAAAGAUGCAAAAGCUAAACUAGUUCGUUGGGUGUUACUUCUGUAGGAAUUCGACUUGGAAUUUAAAAAUAAGAAAGGCACAGAAAAUGUUGUGGCAAACCAUCUCUCUCGUCUCCAUUUUGACACAAUUACUGAACCUUUAACAUUGAAUGAGUCAUUUCCAGAUGAACAAUUGAUGAGUGUGGAAGUAUUGCCAUGGUAUGCUGACAUCGUGAAUUAUCUUAUUACAGGUCAACUUCCAGAGCAUUGGACCAAGCAAGACAAGGCCAAAUUUUUUGCAGAAAUAAAGAAUUUCUUUUGGGAUGACUCGUAUUUGUUCAAAUAUUGUGCAGAUCAAAUUGUUAGAUGAUGUGUCCCAGAAGUGAAAUUCAAAUAAUCGUUUCAUUCUGCCAUGAACAAGCUUGUGGAGGCCAUUUCAGUGCUAAGAAAACAACAACUAAAGUUUUACAAUGUGGUUUCUAUUGGCCAGCUAUAUUUUGAGACGCUUACACUUUCUGUUCUUCAUGUGAUAGGUGUCAACGAAUGGGGAGCAUUACACGAAGGAAUAUGAUACCACUAAAUCCAAUUUUAGUGGUUGGGAUUUUUGACGUAUGGGAUAUCGACUUCAUGGGACCCUUUCCUCAUUCUUUUAGCCAUCAAUAUAUAUUGGUUGUUGUUGACUACGUAUCGAAAUGGGUAGAAGCAAUUCCAUGUAGAACUAAUGAUCACAAGGUGGUGAUAGGAUUUUUGAAAAGCAACAUUGUUUCACGCUUUGGAUUCCCUUGAGCGAUAAUCAAUGAUAGUGGUGCCCACUUUUGUAACAAAGCAUUCAAAACUCUUUUGACAAAGCAUUCAAUCACUCAUAAAGUGGCGACCCCAUAUCAUCCGCAAACCAGUGGCCAAGUUGAGAUCUCCAAUCGAGAAAUAAAGCACAUAUUAGAAAAGACGGUGAGGCCAGACAGAAAAGAUUGGUCAUUAAGACUUGAUGAUGUAUUAUGGGCAUAUAGAACGGCUUUCAAGACCUCGAUUGGGAUGUCACCCUACAGGCUAGUGUAUGGAAAAGCUUGCCACCUACCCGUGGUACUCGAGCAUCAUGCAUAUUGGGCCAUCAAGAAAUUCAACUUUGACAUGCAGCAAGCUAGCUCAGAAAGAAGAUUACAACUGACAGAACUUGAAGAAAUUCGCAAUGAUGAAUACGAAAAUGCCAAGAUUUACAAGCAGCGAAUGAAAGUCUUUCAUGACAAGCAACUUAUGAGAAAAUCUUUCACUCCAGGUCAGAAAGUGCUUUUAUUCAAUUCUCGUUUGCACCUAUUCCCAGGUAAGUUACGCUCUCGAUGGUCUGGCCCAUUUAUUGUUCAUAUUGUUUUUCCACAUGGGGCAAUUGAAAUUAAGGACCUAAAGAAUGGUGUCACGUUUAAAGUUAAUAGUCAAAUAUUAAAGCCAUAUCUAGAAUACCAACCACAUGGAGAGGACACUGAAAUAAAUUUGAGUGACCCACCAGAUUUGAAUUAAGUUUGUUUUCUUUCCUUUCGGUGAUUUGAUUUUUUUUCUUCUUUCUUUCUUUUUAUUAUUCUUUUGCUAAUUAUUUUUGCAUCAGUGUGUUUGUUUAACCAUUAAGUUUUCUCUUAUUAUUGUUAAUCAUGAGUGUCAUAGCUAAACAGUUCCUCCUGAACAUUCUUAAACCACUUUAACGUGUAAAAUCUCAUCUCAAAAGAUAGAUUCGAUUUUGUAAGACACUUCGUAUUUGGGCUCUGCAACCACCAAAGUGAGUAUCCUAUGUUGAGGAUUUAGAAAGCCAACUCAGAGACAUUGAGAGAGGUGUCUACAACAUCUAGUUGGAGCUUGAGGUAAAUUCAAUAAGAGGACGAUUUUAAUUUUCUUUGUGUGUUUUAAUUUAUUUUUCUAUUUGUGUGCUUUAGUUUGUUACCCCGGUGAAGUGGCGGAUAACGGUACUCCGUGACAAUCAAGUCGGUUACUUCAGUUUCCCAUAAUAACUGAUAUUCUGAGGCGAAGGUAUGGACAUAAAUCAGAUCUUAGUAAAGCUUCACAAUCGAUUCCCUUCACUUCCUCAUAAUGCCCUCCUUACAAUCUAUAAAGCCCGGUCCGAACGCAUGUGAUUGCUCAUGAGGAAUAAUAUACCUGUUGACAUCCGUUGGUUAAUCGAGGCAAAAGUACGAUUGGCAGGUGAGUUACCUCCAAAAUUUAUUGCAUACAUGCCUGGUUAUGGUAAAGGAAAUUAUGCAAGAAAACGAAGAGCUCGAAAAAUUUAUGUUGCUUGUCAUAAGUGUGCCUGAAUGAGUUGCGAUAAAAAACCAUGUUCUUUAGGAAUGGUGUCUGAUAACAGGGAAGAUAAGAUUCAAUUCAUUAGGGAUGGCUUGAGUAAGGAGUCAUUGGAUAAUAUCCUUUUGUCUCUUGAAACGCAUCCCAAUGGAUAUGUGCAAGGAGCGAUUCUCCAGUUAUGGCCAUUAUUUCAGAAAGAGCAUGCACGAUAUAGUCUUGGGAAUCUGACUAUAAACGAUCCUGUUUGCCAGUUUAUAAGAAAAUUGGAUAGGAAGCCUAUCCUCGACCCAUAGAGGGCGUUCAAGCUGUUUCUGGACGUAAAACCAGAGGAAGAUGUGAGCCACAGUCGCAACUACCUGUAAAUAUCCUUUUACUUCACUGUUAUUUUAUUUCACUGUUGUUUUAUCAUUUGCAUUAUUGUCUUGAAUAAUUUUAUUUUAUCAUUGUUUCUUUUUCUUUUUACUGUUUCCUUUUUGACUCGCGAGCCAUGUGCUUUACACAUUAUUUGACACUGACAUGCUACCUCAUACACAGCUGUGACCCACUGUUACCAAGAUUCUUAAAUAUGAUUUUUUUGUCAAUCACUCACAAAUUAUUUUUGAGAAGUAUCCCAAUAGCAGCUACUCCCAAUAGACAAUUCAAGAACAUUUGUGUGUUUUCUGGAUUUAACUAUGGCAAACAUAAAGAGUUCGUUGAAGCAGCCAUAGAUCUUGGUCGAAGCAUAACAGAGAGAAAAUUACAUAUGGUGUAUGGAGGAGGUAACCGAGGGUUAUCAAAAUUAGUCUUAGAAGCUGUUUUUGUCAGAGGAAGUCAAGUGUUAGGCAUCAUCCCAAGAGCGCUAAAACCUUUGGGCAGUUUGUCUGACUCACCAACUGGAGAAGAGUUAGUCGUCUCAGAUAUGCAAGAAAAAAUAACUUAAAUGCUUAAUCAUGCUGAUGCUUUUAUUUUCCUUCCAGGAGAUCUUGCAACACUAGAGGCACUUAUCACACUAGCAUCUUGGGCCCAUCUGCACAUUCACCAGAAACCCAUCGGUUUGUUAAAUGUCAAUAACUUUUAUGAUGACUUUAUCGUAUUUCUUAACCAUGCAAUAAAAAAUUAUUUCAUUCCUUCCAAUGCGAAAAAACUUUUUAUUUGUGCUCACAUUGCUAAUGAGAUACUUGAUCUAUUACAAGCUUAUAAACCGGAGCCAGACCCCUGGACCUUUGUGUUAGAGCGUCUAAAUAAUGAUGGUAACAGUAGCUGCAGUAAGAAGUACAAAUUAGAUUUAACUCUCCACCUAUAAAUAUUUUUUUCUGUGUUGCACCACCCAGGUGAUGUCUUCUAAACUCUACUUCUUUCCUUUAAAAUAUUGAGGACAAUGUUUCGUUCUGGUUGGGGGGAGGGAAAAGUCGACAAUUGUGCAAUCUUGGUUGAGUUUUUACUAAUUUUUUGUUGUAGAAACUAAUUGUUGCUAACUUUUUAUGUUGAAGAUGGCUGAAUAUGGAGUGUAGUGACUCUGGAAACGCAUCCUCAUCGUUUGGAAAAAAAACAAAAAAAAAUUAAAAAACAAAAAAAAAGUUCAAACAUUUUCUUUUUCUUCAUUAAGUUUUGAUGUUCAUUUUUCUUCUUCUUUUUAAAUUAUCCUUUAUAAAUAUACAUUUACAAAUUUUUGAGUCGAAGAUGGCUAAUUGUGGAGUGUAGUGCCUCUAGAAACGCAUCAUCUAAGUUAAAAAAAAAAGAAAACCAUUUUCGUUUUCUAUCAUUUUAAGUGUAACUUUUCUAAUUAGUUUUUCUGCAUCAUUUUCACAUUUCUGCAUGCAUAUUUUCCUUUCAUGUUUAGAAUAGGUUGGGGGGUAGAAUGUUGUUUGAAAAAAAAAUUGUGUGAUUUGUUUUAACAUUGGAUGAUAUGAUGAAUUUUGAAUUUUAGUAUUUGUAUUAUCUCUGGUCUUAAGUGAUGUUACGCUAUGUUUGCUACUCUACAUGUUGAUGUCGGGAAAAAUAUGAGUUGCUUGAAGGAAUGAACAUGUCAUAAUAAGUACCAAGUAAGUUUUUGAGCCUAUCAUUUUUCUUGGAGAGUAACUAUUUUGCCCAUUCUUUAUACAGCUUAGCAAUUUAUUAUUUUAUACACGGUCUCUAGAUAUCUUUUGAGUUAACCCUUAAAAAAAAUUGUAAAAUUAAAAAAAAAAGAAGAAAAAAAAGAAGAAAAAAAUGUGUGUUGCUACAUUUGGAGGCCCAUCUAACUAGUAGAUAUGGAAGAUUAUUUAGAGCCCUAAAAGACAAUGGAAAUGCCAUCUUUGAUCCGUUUGAGCCUUUCUAGCCAUCCAUUUUGUGAAAUAUUAAUAGUUAACCCUUUUGAGCCUUUAAAAAAAAAGAAGAACAUUUUCUUUGUCAACUUAUCAUCAUGACCCACUUCGAUUUGGAGUAUUACCCGAUAUCUUAUAAGUUCCAUCACCUAUUUAUGUUUGAGAAAAAUGUAAAUAAUUAUUUUGUUAAGUGACGUUGUGCCAAAAAAAAAACAAAAAAAAAACAAAAAUUGUUGUUUCAAAAAGAAAAAAAAACAAUAAUAGGUGAAAUCUAUCUUCCAACUUUCAAAAAAAAAAAACUCUGCAUUUUUCUCAAACAUACACUUUGUUUUCCUUAUUUCCCUUCUUUGUUAGCCAUGUCUCUAACCUACAUUACGUCCUAAUAAAAGUCUUUCUUGAUUUUAGGGAACUAUAGUUUGAAGUAGAAGCUAGUUAUAUGGGCUAAAAAGAUGUAGUGGUGCAUAAAAAAAAUAAUAUAAAUAAAUAAAUAAAUAUCUUUGCCAUGACUGUUUGCAUAAUGGGGGAUCGACUUAAUUGGAGCGUUACCCAAAGGGCGAGGAGCAACUUCUAAUACUAUUGUGGCUAUAGAUUAUUUCACGAAAUGGGAGAAAGUUGAUGCUCUUAGUAAGAUCACGAAAAAGAAGACAACUGAUUUUAUUUGAAAGAACCUCAUAUGCAAGUAUGGAAUUCCUUAUGCCUUGAUAAUAGACAAUGUUAGGCAAUUCGAUAAUCACAACUUUAAAGAGUUUUGUCAUAACUUGGGUAUAUAACUGAAAUUUUGCUUGCCAACUCACUUGAAAGCCAACGGGCAGGUAGAGGCAAUGAACAUGACAAAAAAAAAAAGCUUUUGAAAGCUCAAUUAGGGAAAAAGAAUGGGACAUGGGUUGAUAAACUGUCACGUGUGCUCUAAGCAUAUAGAACCACUCAUAAGACUACCACAAGAGAAAAACAUUCGCCCUGGCUUUUGGUCAUGAAGUGAUGGUCCCUUCAGUGGGGUGACUACCCACCGAACGAAGUAUUUUAACGAGGAGGAAAAUGACAAGCAAAUUUGCUUAAACUUGGACUUACUAACUGAAAGAAAUGAGCUCGUGUCGAGAAAGGUAGUAGUUUACCAACAGAGAGUUGCUCACUAAUACAACUAGAAGGGUGAAUCAGAAUACCAGAGACUAAAGCCAGAGAGUAUUCAGUUUUAACUAGGAGGACGAGAAGCAGGGCCAAAGGCCUACAAGUUAGCUUAUACAAAUGCUCGCAAGGUCAAACGAUCAUGGAAUGCCGAGCACUUAAAGAAGUACUUCUAGUAAGCGUUCUCCGUAGUCAGCUAGUUAUUUUUUUUAUAAUUAUUUAAUGUUUAUGUUCAAUUUGUUUCUUAUACCACUUGAAGCCAAUUUAUUUCUUGUAAUUCCUGAAGUAUUGAAUAAUAUGAGCCAGAUAAAGUUCACUCAUUUAACUUUUUCUAUUUCUAAGGCAAGUAAAAGCUUGAAGUCUCAAAUCCUCCUCGAGGCGAGACAAAAGUCAAACUUGCCAAAACCUGCUCACUAAUGACAAGACGAGAGGUAGUUAAUUAUGUAAAUAUUUUCUAAGGCAAAAGAUAAAGCUUGAAGUCUCAAAGCCUCAUCAAGGCGAGACAAAAAGUCAAAUUUGCCAGAACUUGCUCAAUCAAGUGACGGCGAGCAGGCAGUAAAUUAUAUAAAUAUUCUCUAAGGCAAAUAUAAAAAUAUUUUAAGGUAAGUAAGGGCUUCAAGUCUCAAAAGAGGCGAGACCAAAGUCAAACUUGCCAGAAUCUGCUCGUUAAUGAUAAGAUGAGUAGGCGGUUAAUUAUGUAAAUAUUUUCUAAGUGAAGGCUUGAAGUCUCGGAGUCUUUUCGAGGUGAGACAAAAAGUCAAAAUUUUCAGAACCUACUUGAUCGAGCGAAGACAAGUAGGCCAUCAUGCAUUAAUAUAUUCUAAGGUAAGAAUAAUAUUUUUAAAUCAUAAAGCCUCCUCGAGGUAAGAUAAGUUUGAUAGGAUCUGCUCGUUAAUAAUAAGAUGAGUAGACAAUUACUAACGAAAACAUUCUAAGACAAGUGUAAAUUACGUAAGGCUCAAAGCCUCUUAGAGGCGAAAGCCAAUGUCUUCCAACAUAUGUUUAUUAGUGCUAAUCCGAGCAAAUAAUUAUUUGUGGGUAUUUAUAAAGACUAGGAAAUAUUCAUAACAUUGAAGAAAAAGAAGACAGUGUUUACAAAAAGUUAUUGAUUAAAAGAUAAACAUCUUAUUACAUUCAAGAUGGAGGGUCUAAGGGAGGAUCUGCUCUCAAUGAGUUGUCAUUAGUUGGAGGAGAAAUGGGAGUCUUGCCAGUUGCACCAAGAGGAGUGGUGGCCUUACUAGCAGUAAUAGAAGGAAUGGCCUUACCGGUUACAGCAAGGUCUCUUUUUUCCACAUCCCCUUUAGCUACCUACUCAUUUAUACAUUUAGUCACACCAACAGCCAACUCGUCCAUCUUCAGGUUGGGGUAUUGCCUCUCAAGGACGACCAUAAUACACCGAUAAGAGUGUCAGAGCCCCUCCUUAUAAUUAUUGUCGACCUCCUUUCCCAGGGCUUCAAUCAAAUUCAGGUGGGCUCCUCGAAGAAACUCUAACUAAGAUUUAUAAAAGUCCUUAUGGGUCGCAAGCUCUUCCUUAAUACUAGCCAGUUCCUUCUUGAGUUCAACCGCCUUGGCUUCAGAGAGAGACAUUUGCUCUACGAGCUUUAAGUUCUCGAGAUUAAGCUCUCUUAAUCUUUUUUUGGCCGACUCUUUUUUUAGCAGCUUGAAUGCCAUCCUUAAUUUUUUUGUCAUAAUGGCCAACUUUUACUUUGUAAUAAGUGGCCAGGGAGCCUAGUUAGAAUACACCAAACUAAAGAGCUUCUACCAACUCCCCAAGUGUACGAUCGUCGAAAUCCUCAAGGUCUUUCUUCUUUAUGAGCCUGCAAAACUUAUUGAUAUAGGGGACCAGAUACUCUGGUCGCUCAUUGGGAGACUGAGAUUUCUAGCCAACUGAAGGAGAAGAGGUGGCAGGGCCUUUAUUGCUUGUAGCUCCAUUUAUUUCAGCUGCCUUAGACAGAGGAGGUGAGAGAGCCUUCGAAGGGGAAUCUUUUUUUGUACUAUUGGGGCAUUUCUCUUAGGGAGUAUAUUUACUUGAACAUCCUUUCGCACUACCAGAAUAAGGGCGCUUUCUAUUCAAGGCUUGGAUUACAAUGUCUUCCAUAUCGUGGGCAUCUGACACUAGAUGUGAGUCGACCAAGCUAUGAGUGCAAAACAGAUCUCUAUAUAAGCAAGAAUUUGUUAAGGUGAUCUCAACCCUCUUCAACAAUUUUCUCUUAAUGUUAUAUAUCACGCUCAAAGAACUUGCAACACAAGCCAAGAUCGCGUUAAAAUGAUACAAUUCAACUAAGCGAGUUAAAAAAAAAGUCUUAAACUAGUAAGCAACCUGGAGUUGAGAAACGAGAAGGAAUAUGGACAUUCCCACCAUCCACAGAUGCCACAUGACCCCAGUUACACCUAGCAAAAAAGAACUUACUCUUCUAAUAUCCACCUCUAGUUGAGAGGUCGGUUAUAGGUUUUCUAGCCUUAGUACUUAACAUAAAGUAAUACCAGUCUGCACCUUUUGGGCUGCUCUUUAGCUGGUACAUGUGUUUUAUUUCAUUAAAAGUGGGUUCACUUUGCCCAUAUUUGUUCCACAAGACCAACAGAUAGAGAGCACCCUCCACCCAUUUACGCUUAAUUGACUAGGGGCUAAGUGUAGCCUUCCAAGCACUCGAACAAAAUAAGGCUAUAAGGGGAGUCUCAUCCAUAGUUUAAAACAUUCUAGGAACAAGGUGUCAUAUCCCUUAAGAGGCGGCUUGGUGUAUCCUUUUUACAUCAUCAAGAAUGUUGUAAAAUUUUCUAAGCCUAUUUAAUUCAUCUAUAAUUGUACUGCUUGCCAUUAAGUCAAUAAGGUAAUUUUUUACUAGAGCUCUACUACUUAACUUUCUUUUCUUCUCUGGUCUAACCUCAUCUGGUGAAGACUCUUUACCUUUAUCCUCAUCAGAGUCUCCCUCCUAAUAUCCACUUAAGGUCUGCUCUGUAUUAGAGGAGUCAUCGCUACUGUUUUCCGCAAAUGAGGUCCAAGCCUCAAAAGACAUCCUUCUAGCACUAUCUCUAGCAUUAGUAUCACCUAUCAAAUUUCAAGGGAUUCUCGGGUCGAAAAUGGGUUUCUUGAGUAAACUAGGCAAACACUCCAGUUCAUCAUCAUCAACCUCAAUUACUUAUUCUUUCCUCUUAAACAUCUUUUAAACAAACUUAGAACUAGAGCUGAAUAUCUUCAAACUCAAGAAAAAAUAAUACCUAAUGUUGAAGUACGAGAAACAAUACCUUAAGCGAGGAAAAGCCAGAAGCAAAGCAAUUUGUACGACUUGAUCUCCGAUGAAAAGAAUUGACUAUGUAACUGUUGGUUAAUUGUUAAUCAAAUGCUAUUGAUGCCAAUGUGCAAGUGUACACAACAAUUAAUAAAGUGAUGAGUAUUCAGAUCGUCUCCACAGGGAUUGAUGUUACCAGAAAUGCUACAGCAAUCACAAUAGUGCAAUCUACCUUUAUUUUGAAUGAACAAAUGUGAAGUUGUUUACUACUGAAAUUUAGAAUUGUGAGAAAAUAAAACGAAAUAAUGCAGUGAUGAAAUAAAGUAAAUAAAUUGCGUAGAAGGAUCAAAUGAGAAUAAGGUAGUUGAAUGAUCAAACGCUCUUUAUGGGUUGACUGUUUUUCAUCAAAUUAACAACAGUUGCUACAACACUGUCUAUAGCACUGGGCAGAAUUAUUUUGCAUCCUCAGCUGUCGCGUGUUGGAAUUCUCAUACCCUUAAGUAUCUUAGCAAUGACCAGUUGCUAUUCUACCUUCGGCAUGGCAUUACAAACAUCUAUUCUCUCCACCCUACAAGGUGAGUACUUAUGUCUAGUUUGUCACAAAUCUUAACUUCAAGUAUAGCUCUUAUGAGAUUCAAGAUAAACUUAAUCUAGGAAACUCGAAUUAAGAUCAAGUAUUACUCUAAUAAUAUCCACUAAGACAUGCCCUUUUGCGGCUCUAUCUUAACUUGAACCAUUAAAUGAGUGGUCAAUUGAAAUAACAGUUAUAAUAAUAGCUACUAAAGUAAAAUGCUAUAGCAAUUAUAUAGCAACUCAUAAGAACAGUAAAAAAACCCAUUAGAUUGUUUGUCACUCAACUACAAGCAAGUUUAGUUCAUAUUUUGAAAGAGAAAAACAAACAGAAACAUAUUAGUCCCGAAAUACAUUGGUUCAAUCAAAUAGUGAAGAAAAGAAUAAGUGGAGAACGACAAAAAGUGAAUCUAAAUAACUCUGCUCGAUUCUUCAAUGAUGCAGCAUCGGUUCCUUUAAAUUCUGAUCUUCUUCUUCUUUUUCUCUUGAUUUUCUCAAUGUUAAUUCCUUGUCGCCGUUUUAUGUGACGCGCGCCCCUUUUUGUAACGAUUCUUCCACCUUCAUAUCACAAUCUCAAUCAUGCAAAAUGGCCAUAGUAGAUCAGUUUUAGACUUAAGCUUCCUUCUGUCCAAAGUGUGUGUGUGCUACUUUGAUUGAAUUCUAGAGAUGCUACAACAUUACCAAGAGAUUUCAUGUAAUUCAGAGGUAGCACAAUUUUAUUCAGAUAUGGGGUAGCAGAAAUCUCACAUACUCAAACUGUGCUAUAUUUAAGAACAAAAACUUAAGAGUACUCAACUCUCUUCACUGCAACAUUUAUUUUUCAUAUGAAUGUUAAUCAAUUGGAGCAGAAUUUAUUUCAUAGCAGGUACAGUCCAACAAAAUUUUCCCCCAAACUUAAGAUAUUUUCUAUUCUUUUGGCUCUACUACAACAUUCUCAUAAAACUCCACCAAAGUUUAGGUGUCAGGACAUAAUUUCACUCUCCAUCUAUAACUAUCUUUACUUGGCAUUCUUAUAAUCACUACUUAACACUCAAUUUAUCUUCAUUAGGUUUUCAAAUCCAUACACAAAUAUUAGAUGGCAGAGCUUCACACAACACACGCAUAAACACAUAUUCAUAAUACACAGAAACACAACCCCCCCAAACUUUAAAUGGUGCUCUAUCCUCACAAGCACACAAAAAAAAACCACACAACCCAACAAGGACAUGGAGGAUGAAUUAGAAAAUAAACCACACAAAAUAAAAAUAUAAUGAAAGAAAAGUUGUUUAGAACUAAAUAGAAUGACUAGUAGGAAUGGGAUACUCCCCUGUUGUUUGGACACUGCUGCAACAUGGUGUAAUGACUUCAGCACUUUUUGGAUGCACUUCGCAGCUUAUUGUUGUGCAAAUUUUAAUGUACUCGCAAGCGCACGAAUCUAUUGUAGUAUAGACUAAUGGUGACGAGUGUCGAUCCCACAAGGAGGUGGAUUUUAAUUGUGUGUAGAAUUAAUUUUGUAAAUGGGUAGUUGGAUUUAUGGUGGAAAUGAUUUGGAAUAUGCUAAUACUUAAAUUAAAAUAGCGAGAAUAAAUUCUAAAAUUGGAAUUGCAAUGGAGAGAAUAAAUUGAAGAGAAAAUCUAUUAAAUUGACGUACUUGGGUAUCUGGAUCCGUAUCAACAUGCAUUAUGGGCUAAAUAAUCCGUAUUAAUGCCAAUUAAAUCAUGAGGGGGGAAUCCACACCUCAUGAACCACGCUCUAAUCAAUAUGGUGCUAAGGGCUUAUCGUGCCAAAUAAUAAUAACCUUGUACUAGAGGGCCGGUGAAACCAAGGCAGUACUAGACAAGAUUAGUAUUAUUUGUCGACGAGAAGUCAAAACAUCCACAAAAACUAGAGGGGAAGAGAAAAUAAAUUUACCAAAUAAAGCCCAUGACACAUGUUGAGACUUCACCUUCAACCCAAGCUUGAAAGAAAAUUAGCCACUCAUAAUUGAACUAGGGGUAAAAUGAGAAUUUAUUAAAAUACGAAGAAAAUACAAGAUGGAGAAGGAAUUACAGAAAAUGGAUCCCAAAAAUGGAUUGAGAGAUAUCAAAUUAGGGGGGGGAGGCCCCCUUUUUAUAGAUACAUGGAGUAAAUCAUGGCCAUCGGAUUAAAAACAGUUUGGACGCUCAGGAUUUCGCCACGUCAUCAGUCAACAGUACGCAGUUUGACCACGCGGAUGAACAGUAACACGGUUUGACUCGGAUGAACAGUAACGCGGUUUGACUCGGAUGAACAGUAACGCGGUUUGGUUGAAAAUAAUCUUGUGUGAUGCAUGUACCGUACACCGGAUUUUUCGUCCACUGAUAUGCUGCCACGUCACCAUCAACAGUACAUAAGAAUUUUAACCCAACAGGAUCGUGACACCUCAUCAGUCAAUGCCACAUCAUCGGUCAAUGCCACGUCAUCGAUCCAUCUAUGUGAACAGUGUUGUGAACAGUAACGUAGAUAGUACCGUACACGUGAAUAGUACCGCACAUAUGAAUAGUGCCAUUUUUCCUUUUAUGCUCCUCCUAAGGUUUUCGAUCGUCCUGAGUUCAAAAGUGAUGUCCGUUUUGCCGUCUGAUCUCUCCUUUAUUGUGAAAUGACUAUAAUGCCCCUAAAAUACAUAAAAUACUUAAUUAAAAUAAAACACAUGUAAUUAAAUCACAAGAAGGUUAAAUACAUAAAAGUAAAGGUUUUUAGUAAGACUUGAAAUGUAAAAUGACGGUCUUCUCCUUUAUAAAUAUGCAUUUUCUAACACUCAACACACUCCCCAACCAACUUAUUGCUAGUCCCUAGCAAAUAAAGCGAAAACAAAAUUCAAAUUCAAAAUAUUUUUUUUUUAAUAAAAACACUCGUAUUUAUUCCAUCAGAUUAAUGAUAGCAAUCAAAUAAAAGUAUAAGCAUUAUCUCCAGUCUAAAGCAACAUCACACCCACAUCAACCAUCCACAUGAAUCAGCCCAGUAGACUUUGUUAUAGCUACUUUCAAGAAUGACAUGUCAAACCCCAAAAUCUCACUGGAAGUAGUGACACUCUCACAAAGAAAUUAAAACCAAUAAAAAUAGUCACUCCAAUGAAUGGUAAUUAAGAGAGAAAAUAAUAAAGAAGUGAUAUCACAUGCCCUCACCAAGAUGAAAUAAAUAUGCCCUCAGCUUAGAAAUAAUACGAUCUCAAGUCAAAUAAAAAUGCUAGUCAACCCAAUUUAUUUAUCUUUUUUAUUUAUUUAUUUAUUUAUUUUUAUUAUGCACCACUACAUCUUUUUAGCCCAUAUAACUAGCUUCUACUUCAAACUAUAGUUCCCUAAAAUUAAGAAGGACUUUUAUUAGGACGUAACGUAGGCUAGGGAUAUGGCUAACAAAGAAGGGAAAUAAGGAAAACAAAGUGUAUGUUUGAGAAAAAUGCAGAGAUUUUUUUUUUUUUGGAAGUUGCAAGGUGGAUUUCACCUAUUAUUUUUAUUUUUUUAUUUAUUAUUUUUUUAAACAACAAUUUUUGUUUUGUUGUUUUUUUUUUUUGCUUUUAUUUGGCAUAACUUCACUGAACAAAAAUAGGUGAUGGAACUUAUAAGACAUUAGUAAUACUCCAAAUCGGAGUGGGUCAAGAUAAGUUUAACAAAUAAAAGGUUUUUUUUUUAAAAGGCUCAAAAUGGUUAACUAUGGAUAUUUCAUAAAAGGGAUGGCUAGAAAGGCUCAAACGGGACAAAGAUGGCCUUUCCAUCGUCUUUUAGGGCUCUAAAUAAUCAUCCAUAUCUACUAGUUAGAUGGGCCUCCCAAUGUAGCAACACACAUUUUUUUUUCUUUUUUUUUCUUGUUUGUUUUUUUUUUUUAAGGGUUAACUCAACAGAAAUCUAGAGAUCGUGUAUACAAUAAUAAACUGUUAAGCUGUAUAAAGAAUGGGCAAAAGGGUUACUCUCCAAGAAAAAUAAUAGGCUCAAAAACUCACUUGGCACUUAUUUAUGACAUGUUCAUUCCUUCAAGCAACUCAUAUUUGUCUCCGACAUCAACAUGUAGAGUAGCAAAUAUAAUGUAACAUCACUUAAGACCAAAGAUAAUACAAAUACUAAAAUUUGAAAUUAAUCAUGUCAUCCAAUGUUAAAACAAAUCACACAAUUUUUUUUUUAAACAACAUUCUACCCCCCAACCGAUUCUAAACAUGAAAGGAAAAUAUGCAUGCAGAAAUGUGAAAAUGAUGCAUAAAAACUAAUUAGAAAAGUUACAUGUAAAAUGAUAGAAAACGAAAAUGAUUUUUUUUUAAGAAGAUGCGUUUCUAGAGGCACUACACUCCAUAUUCAGCCAUCUUCGACUCAAAAGUUGGAAAAUGGAUAUUUAUAGACGAGAAAUUAAAAAGAAGAAGAAAAAUGAACAUAAAAACUUAAUAAAGAAAAAGAAAAUUUUGUUUUUAUUAUUUAGUUUUUUUAGUUUUUUUUUUUAAUUUUUUUUAAACGAUGAAGAUGCGUUUCUAGAGUCACUACCCUCCAUAUUCAGCCAUCUUCAACACGAAAAGUUAGCAACAGUUAGUUUCUACAACAAAAAAUUAGUAAAAACUUAACCAAAAUUUCACAAUUGUCGACUAUUCCCUCCCCCCAACCAGAACGAAAUAUUGUCCUCAAUGUUUGAAAGGAAAGAAGUAGAGUUUAGAAGACAUCACCUGGGUGGUGCAACACAGAAGAAAAUAUUUAUAAGCGGAGAGUUAAAUCUAAUUUGUACUUCUUACUGCGGCUACUGUUACCAUCAUUAUUUGGGCGCUGCAACACAAAGGUCCAAGGGUCUUACUCCGGUUUAUAAGCUUGUAACAUAUCAAGUAGCUCAUUAGCAGUGUGAGCACAAAUAAAAAGUUUUUUCACAUUAGAAGGAAUGAAAUAGUUUUUUAUUGCAUGGUUAAGAAAUGGGAUAAAACCAUCAUAAAAGUUAUUGACAUUUAACAAACCGAUGGGUUUUUGGUGGAUGUGCAGAUGGGCCCAAGAUGCUAGCGUGAUAAGUGCCUCCAGUGUUGCAAGAUCUCCUGGAAGGAAAAUAAAAGCAUCAGCAUGAUUAAGCAUUUCAGUUAUUCUUUCUUGCAUACCUGAGACGACUAAUUCUUCUCCAGUUGAUGAGUCAGACGAACUGCCCAAUGGUUUUAAGACUCUUGGGAUGAUGCCUAACACUUGACUUUCUCUGAUAAAAGCUGCUUCUGAGACCAUUUUUGAUAACCCUCGAUUACCUCCUCCAUACACCAAUUGUAAUUUUCUCGCUGCUAUGCUUCGACCAAGAUCUAUGGCUGCCUCAACGAACUCUUUAUGUUUGCCAUAUGUAAAUCCAGAAAGCACACAAAUGUUCUUGAAUUGUCUAUUGGGAGUAGCUGCCAUUGUGAUACUUCUCAAAAAUAAUUUGUGAGUGCUUGACAAAAAAGAAAUCACAUUUAAGAAUCUUGGUGACAGUGGAUUACAGUUGUGUAUGAGGUAACAUGUCAGUGUCAAAUAACGCGUAAAGCACGUGUCUCGCUAGUAAAAAAGGAAACAGUAAAAGGGAAAAAGCAAACAGUAAUAAAAUUAUUAAAGACAAUAAUGCACACAAUAAAACAAUAGUGAAAUAAAAUAACAGUAAAGUGAAGGGAUAUUUACAGGUAGUUGCGACUGUGGCUCACAUCUUCCUCUGGUUUUACGUCCAGAAAUGGCUUGAACGCCCUCUAUGGGUCGAGGAUAGGCUUCCUAUCCAGUUUUCUUAUAAACUGGCAAACAGGGUCGUUUAUAGUCAGAUUCCCGAGACUAUAUCGUGCAUGCUCUUUCUGGAAUAAUGGCUAUAACUGGAGAAUCGCUCCUUGCACAUAUCCACUAGGAUGCGUUUCAAGAGACAAAAGGAUAUCAUCCAAUGACUCCUUAUUCAAGCCAUCCCUAAUGAAUUGAAUCUUAUCUUCCCUGCUAUCAGACAUCAUUCCUAAAGAACAUGGGUUUUUAUUGCAACUCAUUCUGGCACACUUAUGACAAGCAACAAAAAUUCUUCGAGCUCGUCGUUUUCUUGCAUAAUUUCCUUUACCACAACUAGGCAUGUAUGCAAUAAAUUUUGGAGGUAACUCACCUGCCGAUCGUACUUUAGCCUCGAUUAACCAACGGAUGUCAGCAGGUAUGUUAUUUCUCAUGAGCAAUCGCAUGCAUUCAGACCGAGCUUUAUAGAUCGUAAGGAGGGCAUUCUGAGGAAGUGAAGGGAAUCGCUUGUGAAGCUUCGCUAGAGUCUCGUUUCUGUCCAUAUCUUCGCUUCAGAAUAUCAGUUAUUAUGGGAAACUGAAGUAACUGACUUGAUUGUCACGAAGUACCGUUAUCCGCCACUUCACCGGGGUAACAAACUAAAGCACACAAACAAAAAAAAAAUUAAAACACACAAACAAAAUUAAAAUCGUCCUCUUAUUGAAUUUACCUCAAGCUCCAACUGGAUAUCGUAAACACUUCUCUCAAUGUCUCGGAGUUGGCAUUCUAAACCCUCAACAUAGGCUACUAACUCUGGUGGUUGUAGAGCCCAAAUGCGAUGUGUUUUACAAAAUUGAAUCUACCUUUUGAGAUGAGUUUUGACACGUUGAAGUGGUUUAAGAAUGUUCAGGAGGAACGGUCUAAGUAAUGUACUCAUGAUUAAAAAUGAUAAAAGAAAACUUAAUAGUUAAACAAACACAUUUAUGCAAAAAUAAUUUCAAUUAGCAGAAGAAUAAUAUAAAGAAAGAAAAAAAAUCAAAUCAACGAAAAGAAAAAAAAAUCAAUUUAGAUCUGGUGGGUCACUCAAAUUUAUUUCGGUGUCUUCUCCAUGUGGUUGGUACUCUAGAUAUGGCUUUAAUCUUUGACCAUUAACUUUAAACGUGACACCAUUCUUUGGGUCCUUAAUUUCAAUUGCCCCAUGUGGAAAAACAGUAUGUAUAAUAAAUGGGCCAGACCAACGAGAGCGUAACUUACCUGGGAAUAGGUGCAAGCGAUAAUUGAAUAAAAGCACUUUCUGACCUGGAGUGAAAGAUUUUCUCAUAAUUUGCUUGUCAUGGAAGACUUUCAUUCGUUGCUUGUAAAUCUUGGCAUUUUCGUAUGCGUCAUUGCGAAUUUCUUCAAGUUCUGCCAGUUGUAAUCUUCUUUCUGAGCUGGCUUGCUGCAUGUCAAAGUUGAAUUUCUUGAUGGCCCAAUACGCACGAUGCUUGAGUUCCACAGGUAGGUGGCAAGCUUUUCCAUACACUAGCCUGUAGGGUGACAUCCCAAUCGGGGUCUUAAAAGCCGUUCUAUAUGCCCAUAAUGCAUCAUCAAGUCUUAAUGACCAAUCUUUUAUGUCUGGCCUCACCGUCUUUUCUAAUAUGUGCUUUAUUUCUCGAUUGGAGAUCUCAACUUGGCCACUGGUUUGCGGAUGAUACGGGGUCGCCACUUUGUGAGUGAUUGAAUACUUUGUCAAAAGAGCUUUGAAUGCUUUGUUAAAAAAGUGGGCACCACCAUCACUGAUUAUUGCUCGAGGGAAUCCAAAGCGUGAAACAAUGUUGCUUUUCAAAAAUCCUGUCACCACCUUGUGAUCAUUGGUUCUACAGGGAAUUGCUUCUACCCAUUUCGAUACGUAGUCAACAGCAACCAAUAUGUAUUGAUGGCCAAAAGAAAGGGGAAAUGGUCCCAUGAAGUCGAUACCUCAUACAUCAAAAAUCUCAACCACUAAAAUUGGAUUUAGUGGCAUCAUGUUCCUUCGUGUAAUGCUCCCCAUUCGUUGACACCUAUCACAUGAAGAACAGAAAGUGUAAGCGUCUCGAAAUAUAGUUGGCCAAUAGAAACCACAUUGUAAAACUUUAGUUGCUGUUUUCUUAGCACUGAAAUGGCCUCCACAAGCUUGUUCAUGGCAGAAUGAAAGAAUAUUCUGAAUUUCAUUUUCUGGGACACAUCGUCUAACAAUUUGGUCUGCACAAUACUUGAACAAAUACGGGUCAUCCCAAAAGAAAUUCUUUAUCUCUGCAAAGAAUUUAGCCUUAUCUUGCUUGGUCCAAUGCUCUGGAAGUUGACCUGUAAUAAGAUAAUUCACGAUGUCAGCAUAUACCACAGUAAUACUUCCACAUUCAUCAAUUGUUCAUCAGGGAAUGACUCAUUUAAUGGUAAUGGCUCUGUAGUUGUGUCAAAAUGGAGACGAGAGAGGUGAUCCGCCACAACAUUUUCUGUGCCUUUUUUAUCUUUGAAUUCCAAGUCAAAUUCCUGCAAAAGUAACACCCAACGAAUUAGUCUAGCUUUUGCAUCUUUCUUUGUGAGAAGAUAUUUAAGAGCAGCAUGAUCUGUGAAUAUAAUUAUUUUACAACCAAUGAGAUAAGAUCGAAAUUUCUCUAAUGCAAACACUACUGCUAGCAUUUCUUUUUCAGUAGUUGAAUAGUUCAACUGUGCAUCAUUCAAUGUCAUACUAGCAUAGUAAAUAACAUGGGGAAUUCGAUCAACUCUUUGUCCUAAUACUGCUCCUACUGCAUAAUCAGAUGCAUCACACAUGAGCUCAAAUGGUAAGCUCCAGUUUGGGGCUUGAAUGAUGGGUGAUGAUGUCAACAACUGCUUUAAUUUUUCAAAAGCCACAAGACAUGAAUCAUUAAAGAUAAAAGGUACAUCCUUAGCAAGUAGAUUGCAUAAGGGUCUAAAAACUUUGCUAAAAUCUUUAAUGAAACGUCUAAGAAACCAGCAUGCCCAAGGAAAGAUCUUACUUCUCUGACUGUUUUGGGUGGAGGAAGAUUAGAAAUGAGAUCCACCUUGGCUUUGUCAACCUCAAUACCUUUGCUCGAAAUGAUGUGACCGAGAACAAUACCUUGUUUUACCAUAAAAUGGCAUUUCUCCCAAUUUAAGACCAAGUUCUUCUCGACACAUCUCUGCAGAACUAGUGUUAGAUGAUGUAAACAUUGAUCAAACGAGUCACCAAUGACAGAAAAAUCAUCCAUAAAGACUUCAAGGAAUCGUUCAACCAUAUCAGAAAAAAUGCUCAACAUGCAUCGUUGAAAUGUAGCAGGUGCAUUGCAUAAUCCAAAUGGCAUUCUCCUAUACGCAAAUGUGCCAAAAGGGCAAGUGAAAGUAGUUUUUUCCUAAUCUUUUGGUGCUAUGGUUAUCUGAUUGUAUCCUGAGUAGCCAUCUAGAAAGCAAUAAAAUUCAUGACCUGCUAAUCUAUCAAGCAUUUGAUCAAUAAAUGGUAAAGGAAAAUGGUCUUUACGUGUGACAGAAUUGAACUUCCUAUAAUCAAUGCAUACACGCCAUCCUGUAGUCACUCUAGUGGGUAUCAAUUCAUUAUCGGCAUUGGUAACUACAGUGACUCCUGACUUUUUGGGGACAACUUGCACAGGACUGACCCAUGAAUUAUCAGAAAUGGGGUAAAUGAUACCUGCAUCUAAUAGCUUAAGGACUUCUGUUCUAACAACUUCUUUCAUAUUAGGAUUUAACCGACGUUGCAUUUCCCUAGUAGAUUUAGCAUUUUCAUCAAGAUGAAUGUAAUGCAUGCAGUCUACUGGAUUUAUACCUUUUAUGUCUGCUAUGGUCCAUCCUAAUGCCCCUUUGUGCUCUUUUAAAACAUCCAACAACUUACCUUUUUGUUCAUCAUUGAGGGAUGAUGAGAUGAUUACCGGCAGAGUACUUUCUUCUCCUAAAAAUGCAUAUUCCAAAGUGUUGGGCAAUGGUUUGAGCUCGAGUUUCGGUGGUGAUUCUGAUGAUGGGAUGAGUUUCUUCUCUGAUGGUGCUAGUUGCUCAACUCUUGACUUCCAUUUAUUAGUAUCCAUAGAUGGUGCUGAGUCAAGCAGGGCGUUGACCUCAUCGACCGAUCUGUCAAUAUCAAAAUCCAAACCAAAGUGAGUUAAACAUGUUUGUAAAGGAUCAUCGACCGAUCUGUCAAUAUCAAGUAGGGUGUUGACCUCAUCGACCGAUCUGUCAAUAUCAAAAUCCAAACCAAAGUGAGUUAAACAUGUUUGUAAAGGAUCAUCACUAAGGUUUGAAACAAAAGUAUCAUCAACUAAUGCUUCAAUUAAAUCCACAUCAACAAUUCCAUCAUCUGCACUGUGAGGUUGUUUGGCAAUGUUGAAGAUGUUCAGCUCCAUAGUCAUGUUGCCGAAGGACAACUGCAUAUUUCCAGUCCUGCAUUGAAUGUGAGCAUCCGCAGUUGCCAAGAAAGGUCGGCCUAGAAUAAUGGGGAUGUGCUUCCUCGAGUCCUGUAUUGGUUGAGUAUCAAUUACAAUGAAAUCAACAGGAAAAUAAAACUUGUCUACCUGGAUAAGCACGUCCUCCACAAUUCCACGAGGUAUUUGUUGAGUGUUAGAAAAUGCAUAUUUAUAAAGGAGAAAACCGUCAUUUUACAUUUCAAGUCUUACUACAACCCUUACUUUUAUGUAUUUAACCUUCUUGUGAUUUAAUUACAUGUGUUUUAUUUUAAUUAAGUAUUUUAUGUAUUUUAGGGGCAUUAUAGUCAUUUCACAAUAAAGGAGAGAUCAGACGGCAAAACGGACAUCACUUUUGAACUCAGGACAGUCGAAAACCUUAGGAGGAGCAUAAAAAGAAAAAUGGCACUAUUCAUAUGUACGGUACUAUUCACGUGUACGGUACUAACUACGUUACUGUUCACAACACUGUUCACAUAGACGGAUCGAUGACGUGGCAUUGACCGAUGAUGUGGCAUUGACUGAUGAGGUGUCACGAUCCUGUUGGGCUAAAAUUCUUAUGUACUGUUGAUGGUGACGUGGCAUCAUAUCAGUGGAUGAAAAAUCUCGCAUACGGUACAUGCAUCACACAGGAUUAUUUUCAACCAAACCGCGUUACUGUUCAUCCGAGUCAAACCGCGUCACUGUUCAUCCGAGUCAAACCGCGUUACUGUUCAUCCGAGUCAAACCGUGUUACUGUUCAUCCGCGUGGUCAAACCGUGGACUGUUGACUGAUGACGUGGCGCAAUCCUGAGCGUCCAAACUGUUUUUAAUCCGAUGGUCAUGAUUUACUCCAUGUAUCUAUAAAAAGGGGGCCUCCCCCCUUAAUUGGAGAUCUCUGAAUCCAUUUUUGGGAUCCAUUUUCUGUAAUUCCUUCUCCAUCUUGUAUUUUCUUCGUAUUUUAAUAAAUUCCCAUUUUGCCCCUAGUUCAACUAUGAGUGGCUAAUUUUCUUUCAAGCUUGGGUUGAAGGUGAAGUCUCAACAUGUGUCAUGGGCUUAAUUUGGUAAAUUUAUUUUCUUUUCCCCUCUAGUUUUUGUGGAUUUUUUGGCUUCUCGUCGACAAAUAAUACUAAUCUUGUCUAGUACUGCCUUGGUUUCACCGGCCCUCUAGUACAAGGUUAUUAUUAUUUGGCACGAUAAGCUCUUAGCACCAUAUUGAUUAGAGCGUGGUUCAUGAGGUGUGGAUUUCCCCCUCAUGAUUUAAUUGGCAUUAAUACAGAUUAUUUAGCCCAUGAUGCAUGUUGAUACGGAUCCAGAUACCCAAGUACGUCAUUUUAAUAGAAUUCUCUUCAAUUUAUUCUCGCAAUUUCUAUUCCAAUUUUAGAAUUUAUUCUUGCCAUUUUAAUUUAAGUCUUAGCAUAUUCCAAAUCAUUUCCACCACAAAUCCAAUCACCCAUUUACAAAAUUAAUUCUACACAAUUAAAAUCCACCUCCUCGUGGGAUCGACACUCGUCACCAUUGAUCUAUACUAUAAUAGAUUCGUGCGCUUGCGAGUACAUUAAAAUUUGCACAACAAGUUUUUGGCGCCGUUGCCGGGGAGGUAAGUAAUUUUAAUUCAUAGAAUUAAUUUUUUGGAAUAAUUUCUUUUAUUUGUUUUCUUGUAUGUUUUUUUAUUAUAAAAAGAAAAAAAAAGAGUGAAUCUACAUUUAAAGGUUAGUAUUCCUUUCCUUUUUCUCUUCUUUAAAAUUCUGUAAUUUAAUUUUCAAUUUAUUUUUCUUUGUAAUUUUUUUUGUUUAUUUUAUUAAUUUAAUUUUUAGUUAAUUUAUUUCACGUAUUUGUUUUUGUGUAUUUUUAUAUAAAGGUUUUAAUAGCGCAAUAAGGUUAGUAUCGUAAUUUCUCCCUCUUCUUUAUUUUUAUUUGUUUUGUUCUCAUCCUUAUUUUUUUUUUAUUAUUUGUUUUGCAUGCAUGGUCGUAGGUCAUUAUUACCUAAUCUUGAACCUAUAGACCUUGAAUUAGAAAAAACACUUCGCACACACAAACAAAUUAAAAAUAAAAUAGAUUUACAAGCACCACAGGAGAGGCCAUUUAAGGACUAUUUUAGUGCCUUAGCUAAUUUGAGCACAUCAUGCAUAAGAUACCCAAAUGUAGCUGCUAGGAGUUUCGAAUUAAAACCUAGUGUGCUAAAUUGUCUCCCCACAUUUUAUGGCCUAGAAAAUGAGGAUCCAUAUAAUCAUCUGAAUGAUUUUCAUGCCAUUUGUCAAACUUUUAAAUAUGAAAAUUUUUCAGACGAUGAUGUUAAACUUAGACUAUUCCCAUUUUCUUUAAAGGAUAGGGCUCGUUCAUGGCUUAAUACAUUGCCUGCUAAUAGCAUUGCAUCAUGGGAACAAAUGGUUACAAAAUUUUUGAAUAAAUAUUUCCCAGUACAUAAAACCAAUGCUAUUCGCAGGGAAAUCUCGGAGUUUACCCAGAGAGAGGACGAGCAUUUUUUCGAAACAUGGGAGCGAUUCAAUGGGCUACUCUUGAAGUGUCCACAUCAUGGGUACGAGAAAUGACACCAAUGCCAAUACUUUUUGGAGGAAUUAUUGCCGAAUGUGCAAGAAUGGCUAAUGGCAACAAGUAGAGGAGAGCUAAUGUCAAAAAGUGCAUCAGAAAUUUGGGAAUUCUUCCAGCGACAAGCAGAUAAUUCCCAACAACGGAGUCGAUCACUCAGGACUACUAGAAGAAUUAAAGGAGUGAAUGAGGUUCAAAUUGGCGAAUCAACUUCAGGAAUCAAAGAAGUCAAGGAGAUGGUUGAAGGUCUUGCUCGACAAAUAGCAUCGUUAUCGACUGCUAAAUCAACAUAACCACAUGACCAUGACUCAUACUCCGAUCAAGCCAAUGCCAUAGGUGUAAUGAGAAAACCAUCGAAUUAUAACCCAUACUCCAACACAUAUAACCCUGGAUGGAGAGACCACCCCAAUUUUUCAUGGUCUCAAGGAUUCCAAGAGAAUGGACCAGCAGCUCCAGCUCCACCAAUUCCAUAAAAUCCUCAAGCCUCUCAGCCCCCAUUUAGACCAUACAAUCAGAACCAGAACUACUCUCAACCUAGACCAUGGGAGGAUUCAUUCCAUAAUCUCAAGAAUCUUACUCACUCUACGAUUGAGCAACAGAACCGCACCAUUGAUGGACUACGAAAUGAAUUGAGAGCAGGCUUCAACUCACAAGCCCAAUCAGUUUCAAGCCUUGAGAAGAUGGUGGGACAACUUGCUUCUUCAGUUCAAACCUUGGCAAUGACCGUUGAGAAAGGUAAAUUUCCAAGUCAACCAGUGCCUAACCCUAAAGGAGUGCAUGAAGCAAGUACCAGUUCACCACAGCAGCAUGGAGAGGUCAAAGCCGUCAUGACCUUGCGAAAAGGAAAAGAAGUCGACAACAAAGUGGAGAUGCUGGUGACAAAAGAAAAUCAAAUUGUACCUGUGAAUGUUGAGGAAUCAUCACCGGAGGAGAAAGAAGAAACCAACCCACGAGAAUACGUUCCGAAAGCUCCAUUUCCUCAGAGGUUAGCGAAAGGCAAGAAGGGAAAAUCCACAGGUGAGAUUCUUGAAAUCUUCAAACAGGUAGGUGUUAACAUCCCUUUGCUUGAUGCUAUUAAACAAGUUCCAUCUUAUGCCAAGUUUCUUAAAGACCUUUGUACUAAAAAGAGAAAUAUGCAUGUUCAAAAGAAGGCAUUUUUAACAGAAAACGUUAGUUCUAUACUCCAACAUAAAAUUCCUUUAAAAUGCAAAGACCCAGGCUCCCCCACUAUCUCAUGUAGUAUAGGGAACCACACAAUUGAGAAUGCUUUGUUGGAUUUAGGAGCUAGUGUAAAUCUGUUGCCUUAUUCAGUAUUCGUGAAACUUGGACUGGGAGAAUUACACCCAACUCCAGUGGUGUUACAACUUGCAGAUCGGUCCACGAAAAUACCUCGUGGUAUUGUGGAGGACGUGCUUAUCCAGGUAGACAAGUUUUAUUUUCCUGUUGAUUUCAUUGUAAUUGACACUCAACCAAUACAGGAUUCAAGGAAGCACAUCCCCAUUAUCCUAGGCCGACCUUUCUUGGCAACUGCGGAUGCUCACAUUCAAUGCAGGACUGGAAAUAUGCAGUUGUCUUUCGGCAAUAUGACUAUGGAGCUAAACAUUUUCAACAUUGCCAAACAACCUCACAAUGCAGAUGAUGAAAUUGUUGAUGUGGAUUUAAUUGAAACAAUAGUUGAUAACACUUUUCUUUCAAACCUUAGUGAUGAUCCUUUACAAACAUGUUUAACUCACUUUGGUUUGGAUUUUGAUAUUGACAGAUCGGUCGAUGACGUCAACGCCCUGCUUGACUCAGUACCAUCCAUGGACACUAAUAAAUGGAAGUCAAGAGUUGAACAACUAGCACCAUCAGAGAAGAAACUCAUCCCAUCAUCAGAAUCACCACCGAAACUCGAGCUCAAACCAUUACCCAACACUCUGGAAUAUGCAUUUUUGGGAGAAGAAAGUACUCUGCCGGUAAUCAUCUCAUCAUCCCUAAAUGACGAACAAAAAGGUAAGUUGUUAGAUGUUUUGAAAGAUCACAAAGGGGCAUUAGGAUGGACCAUAGCAGACAUUAAAGGUAUAAACCCAGUAGACUGCAUGCAUUACAUUCACCUUGAUGAAAAUGCUAAAACUACUAGGGAAAUGCAACGUCGGUUAAAUCCUAACAUGAAAAAAGUUGUUAGAACUGAAGUCCUUAAGCUAUUAGACGCAGGUAUCAUUUACCCCAUUUCUGAUAGUUCAUGGGUCAGUCCUGUGCAAGUUGUCCCCAAAAAGUCAGGAGUCACAGUAGUUGCCAAUGCUGAUAAUGAAUUGAUACCCACUAGAGUAACUACAGGAUGGCGUGUUUGCAUUGAUUAUAGAAAGUUGAAUUCUGUCACACGUAAAGACCAUUUUCCUUUACCAUUUAUCGAUCAAAUGCUUGAUAGAUUAGCAGGUCAUGAAUUUUAUUGCUUUCUAGAUGGCUACUCAGGAUAUAAUCAGAUUCCCAUAGCACCAAAAGAUCAAGAGAAAACUACUUUCACUUGCCCUUUUGGCACAUUUGCAUAUAGGAGAAUGCCAUUUGGAUUAUGUAAUGCACCUGCUACAUUUCAACGAUGCAUGUUAAGCAUUUUUUCUGAUAUGGUUGAACGAUUCCUUGAAUCUUUAUGGAUGAAUUUUCUGUCUUUGGUGAUUCGUUUGAUCAAUGUUUACAUCAUCUAACACUAGUUCUGCAGAGAUGUAUCGAGAAGAACUUGGUCUUAAAUUGGGAGAAAUGUCAUUUUAUGGUAAAACAAGGUAUUGUUCUCGGUCACAUCAUUUCGAGCAAAGGUAUUGAGGUUGACAAAGCCAAGGUGGAUCUCAUUUCUAAUCUUCCUCCACCUAAAACAGUCAGAGAAGUAAGAUCUUUCCUUGGGCAUGCUGGUUUCUAUAGACGUUUCAUUAAAGAUUUUAGCAAAGUUUCUAGACCCUUAUGCAAUUUACUUGCUAAGGAUGUAUCUUUUAUCUUUAAUGAUUCAUGUCUUAUGGCGUUUGAAAAAUUAAAACAGUUGUUGACAUCAUCACCCAUCAUUUAGGCCCUAAACUGGAGCUUACCAUUUGAGCUAAUGUGUGAUGCAUCUGAUUAUGCAGUAGGAGCAGUAUUAGGACAAAGAGUUGAUCGAAUUCCCCAUGUUAUUUAUUAUGCUAGUAUGACAUUAAAUGAUGCACAGUUGAACUAUUCAACUACUGAAAAAGAAAUGCUAGCAGUAGUAUUUGCAUUAGAGAAAUUUCGAUCUUAUCUCAUUGGUUGUAAAAUAAUCGUGUUCACAGAUCAUGCUGCUCUUAAAUAUCUUCUCACAAAGAAAGAUGCAAAAGCCAGACUAAUUCGUUGGGUGUUACUUUUGCAGGAGUUUGACUUGGAAUUCAAAGAUAAGAAAGGGACAGAAAAUGUUGUGGCGGACCACCUCUCUCGUAUCCAUUUUGACACAAUUACAGAAUCAUUACCAUUGAAUGAGUCAUUUCCAGAUGAACAAUUAAUGAAUGUGGAAGUAUUACCUUGGUAUGCUGAUAUAGUUAAUUAUCUUGUUACAGGUAAACUUCCAGAGCAUUGGACCAAGCAAGAUAAGGCUAAAUUCUUUGCAGAGAUAAAGAAUUUCUUUUGGGAUGACCCGUAUUUGUUCAAGUAUUGUGCAGACCAAAUUGUUAGACGAUGUGUCCCAGAAAGUGAAAUUCAGAAUAUCCUUUCAUUCUGCCAUGAACAAGCUUGUGGAGGCCAUUUCAGUGCUAAGAAAACCGCGACUAAAGUUUUACAAUGUGGUUUUUAUUGGCCAACUAUAUUUCGAGAUGCUUACACUUUCUGUUCUUCAUGUGAUAGGUGUCAACGAAUGGGGAGCAUUACGCGAAGGAAUAUGAUGCCACUAAAUCCAAUUUUAGUGGUUGAGAUUUUUGAUGUAUGGGGUAUCGACUUCAUGGGACCCUUUCCCCCGUCUUUCAGUCAUCAAUACAUAUUGGUUGCUGUUGACUAUGUAUCAAAAUGGGUAGAAGCUAUUCCAUGUAGGACCAAUGAUCACAAGGUGGUGAUAGCAUUUUUGAAAAGCAACAUUGUUUCACGCUUUGGAUUCCCUCGAGCGAUAAUCAGUGAUGGUGGUGCCCACUUUUGUAACAAAGCAUUCAAAGCUCUUUUGACAAAGUAUUCAAUCACACACAAAGUGGCAACUCCGUAUCAUCCGCAAACCAGUGGCCAAGUUGAGAUCUCCAAUCAAGAAAUAAAGCACAUAUUAGAAAAGACGGUGAGGCCGGACAGAAAAGAUUGGUCAUUAAGACUUGAUGAUGCCUUAUGGGCAUAUAGAACGGCUUUCAAGACCCCGAUUGGGAUGUCACCCUACAGGCUAGUGUAUGGAAAAGCUUGCCACCUACCUGUGGAACUCGAGCAUCGUGCAUAUUGGGCCAUCAAGAAAUUCAAUUUUGACAUGCAGCAAGCCAGCUUAGAAAGAAGAUUACAGCUGGCAGAACUUGAAGAAAUUCGCAAUGAUGCAUACGAAAAUGCCAAGAUUUACAAGCAACGAAUGAAAGUCUUCCAUGAUAAGCAAAUUAUGAGAAAAUCGUUCACUCCAGGUCAGAAAGUGCUUUUGUUCAAUUCUCGCUUGCACCUAUUCCCAGGUAAGUUACGCUCUCGUUGGUCUGGUCCCUUUAUUGUUCAUACUGUUUUUCCACAUGGGGCAAUUGAAAUUAAGGACCCAAAGAACGGUGUCACGUUUAAAGUUUAUGGUCAAAGAUUAAAGCCAUAUCUAGAAUACCAACCACGUGGAGAAGACACCGAAAUAAAUUUGAGUGACCCACCAGAUUUGAAUUGAUUUUUUUUCUUUUUUUUCGUUGAUUUGAUUUUGUUUUCUUUCUUUAUAUUAUUCUUUUGCUAAUUGAAAUUGUUUUUGCAUAAGUGUGUUUAUUUUAUCAUUAAGUUUUCUCUUAUCAUUUUUAAUCAUGAGUCUCAUACUUAGACCGUUCCUCCUGAACAUUCUUAAACCACUUCAACGUGUCAAAACUCAUCUCAAAAGGCAGAUUCAAUUUUGUAAAACACAACGCAUUUGGGCUCUACAACCACCAGAGUUAGUAGCCUAUGUUGAGGGUUUAGAACGCCAACUCAGAGACAUUGAGAGAAGUGUUUACGACAUCCAGUUGGAGCUUGAGGUAAAUUCAAUAAGAGGAUGAUUUUAAUUUUCUUUGUGUGUUUUAAUUUGUUUUUCUAUUUGUGUGCUUUAGUUUGUUACCCCGGUGAAGUGGCGGAUAACGGUACUCCGUGACAAUCAAGUCUGUUACUUCAGUUUCCCAUAAUAACUGAUAUUCUGAGGCGAAGGUAUGGACAGAAACGAGAUUCUAUCGAAACUUCACAAGCGAUUCCCUUCACUUCCUCAGAAUGCCCUCCUUACAAUCUAUAAAGCUCGGUCCGAACGCAUGCGAUUACUCAUAACGAAUAACAUACCUGCUGACAUCCGUUGGUUAAUCGAGGCUAAAGUACGAUCGGCAGGUGAGUUACCUCCAAAAUUUAUUGCAUACAUGCCUGGUUGUGGUAAAGGAAAUUAUGCAAGAAAACGACGAGCUCGAAGAAUUUCUGUUGCUUGUCAUAAGUGUGCCAGAAUGAGUUGCAAUAAAAACCCAUGUUCUUUAGGAAUGAUGUCUGAUAACAGGGAAGAUAAGAUUCAAUUCAUUAGGGAUGGCUUGAAUAAGGAGUCAUUGGAUGAUAUCCUUUUGUCUCUUGAAACGCAUCCCAGUGGAUAUGUGCAAGGAGCGAUUCUCCAGUUAUGGCCAUUAUUCCAGAAAGAGCAUGCACGAUAUAGUCUCGGGAAUCUGACUAUAAACGACCCUGUUUGCCAGUUUAUAAGAAAACUGGAUAGGAAGCCUAUCCUCGACCCAUAGAGGGCGUUCAAGCCGUUUCUGGACGUAAAACCAGAGGAAGAUGUGAGCCACAGUCGCAACUACCUGUAAAUAUCCUUUUACUUUAUUAUUUCACUAUUGUCUUAUUGUUUGCAUUAUUGUCUUUAAUAAUUUUAUUACUGUUUGCUUUUUCCUUAUUACUGUUUGCUUUUCCCUUUUUACUGUUUUCUUUUUUACUCGCGAGCCACGUGCUUUACGCGUUAUUUGACAUGGACAUGUGACCUCAUACACAACUAUGACCCACUAUCACCAAGACUCUUAAAUGUGAUUUUCUUUGUCAAUCACUCACAAAUUAUUUUUGCGAAGUAUCACAAUGGCAGCUACUCCCAAUAGACAAUUCAAGAACAUUUGUGUGCUUUCUGGAUUUACAUAUGGCAAACAUAAAGAGUUCGUUGAGGCAGCCAUAGAUCUUGGUCGAAGCAUAGCAGCGAGAAAAUUACACUUGGUGUAUGGAGGAGGUAACCGAGGAUUAUCAAAAAUGGUCUCAGAAGCAGCUUUUAUCAGAGGAAGUCAAGUGUUAGGCAUCAUCCUAAGAGUCUUAAAACCAUUGGGCAGUUCGUCUGACUCAUCAACUGGAAAAGAGUUAGUCGUGUCAUGUAUACAAGAAAGAAUAACUGAAAUGCUUAAUCAUGUUGAUGCUUUUAUUUUUCUUCCAGGGGAUCUUGCAACACUAGAGGUACUUAUCACACUAGCAUCUUGGGCCCAUCUGCACAUCCACUAAAAACCCAUCGGUUUGUUAAAUGUCAAUAACUUUUAUGAUGGCUUUAUCGCAUUUCUUAACCAUGCAAUAAAAAACUAUUUCAUUCCCGCUAAUGUGAAAAAACUCUUUAUUUGUGCUCACACUGCUAAUGAGCUACUUGAUCUGUUACAAGCUUAUAAACCGGAGCCAGACCCCUGGACCUUUGUGUUGGAGCAUCCACAUAAUGAUGGUAACAGUAGCCGCAGUAAGAAGUACAAAUUAGAUUUAACUCUCCGCCUGUAAAUAUUUUCUUCUGUGUUGCACCACCCAGGUGAUGUCUUCUAAACUCUACUUCUUUCAUUUCAAACAUUGAGGACAAUGUUUCGUUCUGGUUGGGGGGAGGGAAUAGUCGACAAUUGUGGAAUUUUGGUUAAGUUUUUACUAAUUUUUUGUUGUAGAAACUAACUGUUGCUAACUUUUUGUGUUGAAGAUGGCUGAAUAUGGAGUGUAGUGACUCUAGAAACGCAUCUUCAUCGUUUAUAAAAAAAAAAAUUCAGACAUUUUCUUUUUCUUUAUUAUGUGUUUAUGUUUAUUUUUCUUCUUUUUAAUUUCUCCUCUAUAAAUAUACAUUUUCCAACUUUUGAGUCGAAGAUGGCUGAAUAUGGAGUGUAGUUCCUCUAGAAACGCAUCUUCUUUAAAAAAAAAAAUCAUUUUCGUUUUCUAUCAUUUUACGUGUAACUUUUCUAAUUAGUUUUUAUGCAUCAUUUUCACAUUUCUGCAUGCAUAUUUUCCUUUCAUGUUUAGAAUAGGUUGGGGGGUAGAAUGAUGUUUAAAAAAAAAAUGUGUGAUUUGUUUUAACAUUGGAUGACAUGAUUAAUUUCAAAUUUUAGUAUUUGUAUUAUCUUUGGUCUUAAGUGAUGUUACGCUAUGUUUGCUACUUUACAUGUUGAUGUCGGAGACAAAUGUGAGUUGCUUGAAGGAAUGAACAUGUCAUAAUAAGUACCAAGUGAGUUUUUGAGCCUAUUAUUUUUCUUGGAGAAUAACCCUUUUGCCCACUCUUUAUACAGCUUAGCAGUUUAUUAUUUUAUACACGAUCUCUAAAUUACUUUUGAGUUAACCCUUAAAAAAAAAAAGAAAAAAGAAAAAAAGAGCGUGUUACUACAUUUGGAGGCCCAUCUAACUAGUAGAUAUGGAAGAUUAUUUAGAGCCCUAAAAGACGAUGGAAAGGCCAUCUUUGAUCCGUUUGAGCCUUUCUAGCCAUCCCUUUUAUCAAAUAUCCAUAGUUAACCCUUUUGAGCCUUUAAAAAAAAUAAAAAUAAAAAAAACCUUUUUCUUUGUCAACUUAUCAUCUUGACCCACUCCGAUUUGGAGUAUUACCCAAUGUCUUAUAAGUUCCAUCACCUAUAUAUGUUUGAGAAAAUGUAAAUAAUUUUGUUGUUCAGUAAAGUUAUGCAAAAAAAAAAAACAAACAAACAAACAAAACAAAAGUUGUUGUUUCAAAAGAAAAAAAAUAAAAAUAAUAGGUGAAAUCCACCUUGCAACUUCCAAAAAAAAAAAAAAUUCUCUGCAUUUUUCUCAAACAUACACUUUGUUUUCCUUAUUUUCCUUCUUUGUUAGCCAUGUCCCUAGCCUACGUUACGUCCUAAUAAAAGUCCUUCUUGAUUUUAGGGAACUAUAGUUUGAAGUAGAAGCUAGUUAUAUGGGCUAAAAAGAUGUCGUGAUGCAUAAUAAAAAAAAAGAGAUAAAUAAAUUGGGUUGACUAGCAUUUUUGUUUGACUUGAGAUCGUAUUAUUUCUAAGCUGAGGGCAUAUUUAUUUCAUCUUGGUGAGAGCAUGUGAUAUCACUUCUUUAUUAUUUUCUCUCUCAAUUACCAUUCAUUGGAGUGACUAUUUUUAUUGGUUUUAAUUUCUUUGUGAGAGUGUCACUACUUCCAGUGAGAUUUUGGGGUUUGACAUGUCAUUCUUGAAAGUAGCUAUGACAAAGUCUGCUGGGCUGAUUCAUGUGGAUGGUUGAUGUGGGUGUGAUGUUGCUUUAGACUGGAGAUAAUGCUUAUACUUUUAUUUGAUUGCUAUCAUUAAUCUGACGGAAUAAAUACGAAUGUUUCUAUUAAAUAAUAAUAAUAAUAAUAAUAAUAAUAAUAUUUUGAAUUUGAAUUUUGUUUUCGCUUUAUUUGCUAGGGACUAGCAAUAAGCUGGUUGGGGGGUGUGUUGGGCAAUGGUUUGAGCUCGAGUUUCGGUGGUGAUUCUGAUGAUGGGAUGAGUUUCUUCUCUGAUGGUGCUAGUUGCUCAACUCUUGACUUCCAUUUAUUAGUAUCCAUAGAUGGUGCUGAGUCAAGCAGGGCGUUGACCUCAUCGACCGAUCUGUCAAUAUCAAAAUCCAAACCAAAGUGAGUUAAACAUGUUUGUAAAGGAUCAUCGACCGAUCUAUCAAUAUCAAGCAGGGUGUUGACCUCAUCGACCGAUCUGUCAAUAUCAAAAUCCAAACCAAAGUGAGUUAAACAUGUUUGUAAAGGAUCAUCACUAAGGUUUGAAACAAAAGUAUCAUCAACUAAUGCUUCAAUUAAAUCCACAUCAACAAUUCCAUCAUCUGCACUGUGAGGUUGUUUGGCAAUGUUGAAGAUGUUCAGCUCCAUAGUCAUGUUGCCGAAGGACAACUGCAUAUUUCCAGUCCUGCAUUGAAUGUGAGCAUCCGCAGUUGCCAAGAAAGGUCGGCCUAGAAUAAUGGGGAUGUGCUUCCUCAAGUCCUGUAUUGGUUGAGUGUCAAUUACAAUGAAAUCAACAGGAAAAUAAAACUUGUCUACCUGGAUAAGCACGUCCUCCACAAUGCCACGAGGUAUUUGUUAAGUGUUAGAAAAUGCAUAUUUAUAAAGGAGAAAACCGUCAUUUUACAUUUCAAGUCUUACUAACAACCCUUACUUUUAUGUAUUUAACCUUCUUGUGAUUUAAUUACAUGUGUUUUAUUUUAAUUAAGUAUUUUAUGUAUUUUAGGGGCAUUAUAGUCAUUUCACAAUAAAGGAGAGAUCAGACGGCAAAACGGACAUCACUUUUGAACUCAGGACAGUCGAAAACCUUAGGAGGAGCAUAAAAGGAAAAAUGGCACUAUUCAUAUGUACGGUACUAUUCACGUGUACGGUACUAACUACGUUACUGUUCACAACACUGUUCACAUAGACGGAUCGAUGACGUGGCAUUGACCGAUGAUGUGGCAUUGACUGAUGAGGUGUCACGAUCCUGUUGGGCUAAAAUUCUUAUGUACUGUUGAUGGUGACGUGGCAUCAUAUCAGUGGAUGAAAAAUCUCGCGUACGGUACAUGCAUCACACAGGAUUAUUUUCAACCAAACCGCGUUACUGUUCAUCCGAGUCAAACCGCGUCACUGUUCAUCCGAGUCAAACCGCGUUACUGUUCAUCCGAGUCAAACCGUGUUACUGUUCAUCCGCGUGGUCAAACCGUGGACUGUUGACUGAUGACGUGGCGCAAUCCUGAGCGUCUAAACUGUUUUUAAUCCGAUGGCCAUGAUUUACUCCAUGUAUCUAUAAAAAGGGGGCCUCCCCCCCCUAAUUGGAGAUCUCUGAAUCCAUUUUUGAGAUCCAUUUUCUGUAAUUCCUUCUCCAUCUUGUAUUUUCUUCGUAUUUUAAUAAAUUCCCAUUUUGCCCCUAGUUCAACUAUGAGUGGCUAAUUUUCUUUCAAGCUUAGGUUGAAGGUGAAGUCUCAACAUGUGUCAUGGGCUUAAUUUGGUAAAUUUAUUUUCUUUUCCCCUCUAGUUUUUGUGGAUGUUUUGACUUCUCGUCGACAAAUAAUACUAAUCUUGUCUAGUACCGCCUUGGUUUCACCAGCCCUCUAGUACAAGGUUAUUAUUAUUUGGCACGAUAAGCUCUUAGCACCAUAUUGAUUAGAGCGUGGUUCAUGAGGUGUGGAUUCCCCCCUCAUGAUUUAAUUGGCAUUAAUACGGAUUAUUUAGCCCAUGAUGCAUGUUGAUACGGAUCCAGAUACCCAAGUACGUCAUUUUAAUAGAAUUCUCUUCAAUUUAUUCUCGCAAUUUCUAUUCCAAUUUUAGAAUUUAUUCUUGCCAUUUUAAUUUAAGUCUUAGCAUAUUCCAAAUCAUUUCCACCACAAAUCCAAUCACCCAUUUACAAAAUUAAUUCUACACAAUUAAAAUCCACCUCCUCGUGGGAUCGACACUCGUCACCAUUGAUCUAUACUAUAAUAGAUUUGUGCGCUUGCGAGUACAUUAAAAUUUGCACAACAGUAUUUUCGUGGACCGAUCUGCAAGUUGUAACACUACUGGAGUUGGGUGUAAUUCUCCUAGUCCAAGUUUCACAAAUACAGAGUAAGGCAACAGAUUUACACUAGCUCCUAAAUCCAACAAAGCAUUCUCAAUUGUGUGGUUCCCUAUGCAACAUGAGAUAGUGGGGGAGCCUGGGUCUUUGCAUUUUAAAGGAAUUUUAUGUUGGAGUAUAGAACUAACAUUUUCUGUUAAAAAUGCCUUCUUUUGAACAUGCAUAUUUCUCUUUUUAGUACAAAGGUCUUUAAGAAACUUGGCAUAAGAUGGAACUUGUUUUAUAGCAUCAAGCAAAGGGAUGUUAACACUUACCUGUUUGAAGAUUUCAAGAAUCUCACCUGUGGAUUUUCCCUUAUUUCCUUUCGCUAACCUCUGAGGAAAUGGAGCUUUGGGAACGUAUUCUCAUGAGUUGUUUUCGUCUUUCUCCUCCGGUGAUGAUUCCUCAACAUUCACAAGUACAAUUUGAUUUUCUUUUGUCACCGGCAUCUCCACUUUGUUGUCGACUUCUUUUCCUUUUCGCAAGGUCAUGACUGCUUUGACCUCUCCAUGCUGCUGUGGUGAACUGGUACUUGCUUCAUGUACUCCUUUAGGAUUAGGCACUGGUUGACUUGGAAAUUUUCCUUUAUCAAAAGUCAUUGCCAAGGUCUAAACUGAGGAAGCAAGUUGUCCCACCAUCUUCUCGAGGCUUGAAACUGAUUAGGCUUGUGAAUUGAAGCCUGCUCUUAACUCAUUUCGUAGUCCAUCAAUGGUGCGGUUCUGUUGCUCAAUCGUGGAGUGAGUAACAUUCUUGAAAUUCUGGAAUGCAUCCUCCUAUGGUCUGGGCUGAAAGUAGUUCUGGUUCUGAUUGUAUGAUCUAAAUGGGGGCUGAGAGGCUUGAGGAUUUUGAGGAAUUGGUGGAGCUGGAGCUGGAGCUGCUGGUCCAUUCUGUUGGAAUCCUUGAGACCAUGAAAAAUUGGGGUGGUCUCUCCAUCCAGGGUUAUAUGUGUUGGAGUAUGGGUUGUAAUUCGAUGGUUUUCUCAUUACACCUAUGGCAUUGGUUUGAUCUGAGUAUGAGUCAUGGUCAUGUGGUUCUGUUGAUUUAGCUGUUGAUAACGAUGCUAUUUGUCGAGAGAGACCUUCAAUUAUCGCUUUGACUUCUUUAAUUUCUGAACUUGACUCGCCAAUGUGAACCUCAUUCACUCCUUUAAUUCUUCUAGUAUUCCUGAGUGACCGACUCCGUUGUUGGGAAUUAUCCGCUUGUCGCUGGAAGAAUUCCCAAAUCUCUGAUGCACUUUUUGACAUUAGCUCUCCUCCACUUGUUGCCAUUAGCCAUUCUUGCACAUUUGGCAAUAAUCCCUCCAAAAAGUAUUGGCAUUGGUGCCAUUUCUCGUACCCAUGAUGUGGACACUUCAAGAGUAGCCCAUUGAAUCGCUCCCAUGUUUCGAAAAAUUGCUCGUCCUCUCUCUGGGUAAACUCCGAGAUUUCCCUGCGAAUAGCAUUGGUUUUAUGCACUGGGAAAUAUUUAUUCAAAAAUUUAGUUACCAUUUGUUCCCAUGAUGAAAUGCUAUUGGCAGGCAAUGUAUUAAGCCAUGAACGAGCUCUAUCCUUUAAAGAAAAUGAGAAUAAUCUGAGUUUAACAUCAUCGUCUAAAAAAUUCUCGUAUUUAAAAGUUUGACAAAUAGCUUGAAAAUCAUUCAGAUGAUUAUAUGGGUCCUCAUUUUCUAAGCCAUAGAAUGUAGGGAGACAAUUUAGCACACUAGAUUUUAAUUCAAAGCUCCUAGCAGCUACAUUUGGGUAUCUUAUACAUGAUGUGCUCAAAUUAGCUAAAGGACUGAAGUAGUCCUUAAAUGGUAUCUCCUGUGGUUGCAAAUCCAUUUUAUUUUUUACUUGUUUGUGUGUGCGAAGUGUUUUCUCAAGUUCAAGGUCUAUAGGUUCAAGAUUGGGUAAUAAUGACCUUCGACCAUGCAUGCAAAACAAAUAAAAUAAAAAAUAAAGAUGGGAACAAAAUAAAUAAAAAUAAAGAAGAGGGAGAAAUUACGAUACUAACCUUAUUGCGCUAUUACAAACUUUCUAUAAAAAUACACAAAAAUAAAUACGUGAAAUAAAUUAACUAAAAAGAAUUAGUAAGAUAAACAAAAAUUACAAAGAAAAAAAAAUAACUUGAAAAUUAAAUUACAGAAAUUUAAAGAAGAGAAAAAGAAAAGAAAUUACUAACCUCUAAAUGCGGAUUCACUUUUUUUUUUAAUAAAAAAUACAAGAAAACAAAUAAAAGAAAUUAUUCACAAAAAAUUAAUUUUACGAAUUAAAAUUACUUACCUCCCCGGCAACAGCGCCAAAAACUUGUUGUGCAAAUUUUAAUGUACUCGCAAGCGCACGAAUCUAUUGUAGUAUAGACUAAUGGUGACGAGUGUCGAUCUCACGAGGAGGUGGAUUUUAAUUGUGUGUAGAAUUAAUUUUGUAAAUGGGUAGUUGGAUUUAUGGUGGAAAUGAUUUGGAAUAUGCUAAUACUUAAAUUAAAAUGGCGAGAAUAAAUUCUAAAAUUGGAAUUGCAAUGGAGAGAAUAAAUUGAAGAGAAAAUCUAUUAAAUUGACGUACUUGGGUAUCUGGAUCCGUAUCAACAUGCAUCAUGGGCUAAAUAAUCCGUAUUAAUGCCAAUUAAAUCAUGAGGGGGGAAUCCACACCUCAUGAACCACGCUCUAAUCAAUAUGGUGCUAAGGGCUUAUCGUGUCAAAUAAUAAUAACCUUGUACUAGAGGGCCGGUGAAACCAAGGCGGUACUAGACAAGAUUAGUAUUAUUUAUCGACAAGAAGUCAAAACAUCCACAAAAACUAGAGGGGAAGAGAAAAUAAAUUUACCAAAUAAAGCCCAUGACACAUGUUGAGACUUCACCUUCAACCCAAGCAUGAAAGAAAAUUAGCCACUCAUAAUUGAACUAGGGGUAAAAUAGGAAUUUAUUAAAAUACGAAGAAAAUACAAGAUGGAGAAGGAAUUACAGAAAAUGGAUCCCAAAAAUAGAUUUAGAGAUAUCAAAUUAGGGGGCGAGGCCCCCUUUUUAUAGAUACAUGGAGUAAAUCAUGGCCAUCGGAUUAAAAACAGUUUGGACGCUCAGGAUUUCGCCACGUCAUCAGUCAACAGUACGCGGUUUGACCACGCGGAUGAACAGUAACACGGUUUGACUCGGAUGAACAGUAACGCGGUUUGGUUGAAAAUAAUCCUGUGUGAUGCAUGUACUGUACACGGGAUUUUUCGUCCACUGAUAUGUUGCCACAUCACCAUCAACAGUACAUAAGAAUUUUAACCCAACAGGAUCGUGACACCUCAUCAGUCAAUGCCACAUCAUCGGUCAAUGCCACAUCAUCGAUCCGUCUAUGUGAAUAGUGUUGUGAACAGUAACGUAGAUAGUACCGUACACGUGAAUAGUACCGCGCAUAUGAAUAGUGCUAUUUUUCCUUUUAUGCUCCUCCUAAGGUUUUUGAUCGUCCUGAGUUCAAAAGUGAUGUCCGUUUUGCCGUCUGAUCUCUCCUUUAUUGUGAAAUGACUAUAAUGCCCCUAAAAUACAUAAAAUACUUAAUUAAAAUAAAACACAUAUAAUUAAAUCACAAGAAGGUUAAAUACAUAAAAGUAAAGGUUGUUAGUAAGACUUGAAAUGUAAAAUGACGGUUUUCUCCUUUAUAAAUAUGCAUUUUCUAACACUCAACACUUAUCCUUAAGGGAUUCUUGUGGGGAGGUAGCUGGCAACGUCUUUUUCUUUUUCUACAAUGGGCUAGUGGGAGGAGUUGCCAUUGGGGCAACCUGUUUGGUUGACACAUAUCUGGUUCUUUUUGGUUUUGGUGAGGCUGCGGCAGCAAUGCCUCCAGAAGUGCCUCCCUUUCUUUUGGUAAAUCCUCUAGGACUAACACAAACAUGUUUAUUGAGAGUUUGCUGUGAAGGAGCUGGAGCUGGGGCAUUAGUUGCAUGUCCCUCAGCUGUGAUGGUGGCAAUGAUGUCAAGCAGCUGCUUAGCUUCUGUGGGUGUACGAGUGACUUUGGUUGCUGCAGCUUCCAACUCUACAUCAACUUGCUCAGCUUCAUCUUCAGAGGCAGGAGGGGUAGCUAUUUUUUCCUUGCCCUUUCUAGAAAUGACUGGAAUAAAGGGCUCCUCUUCAGGUUCAUCUUCUUUCUCUUCUUGGAUAAGGUGUUUUUUUCUAGAUUUGGAGGAGGUCCUGACUAGGGUUCCUCACGUUCUUUCUCAGACUCUUCCUCUGCCUCUGUUGGUGAACUAUCAGUUGCAGAAUUGUCACCCUCUUCCUCAUGUUGGUCAGAUUGUUCAGCAGCUUCUGAGUUAGCCUCUGCUUGUGGGUUUACUGCAGCUUCCUCUUCUGGUUCAUCCAUGUCAGUGGCUUCUUUACUGACCUUUGCUGGGGCCUCUAUAGUGUUGGUGUCAAAAUUAUACUGCUGGAGCAAUGAAUCGGGGAAAUUCCGGUGGGUACUUUUCAUGUAUAGAGAAAAUUAGUGUAAGUGGCUUUCCAGGUGCUGUAAGUAGCUCCAAAACCGAUCGUUUUCCCUCUGCUAAGCCUCAGUACAUUGAGUGAUGCUAGUGCUCAGUGCUUGUAUUCUCUGAUAGUUCACCAACAGAGGCAGAGGAAAAGUCUGAGAAAGAACGUGAGAAACCCCAGUCAGGACCUCCUCCAAAUCUAGUUCACCAACAGUUUGUCACCCUCUUCCUCAUGUUGGUCAGAUUGUUCAGCAGCUUCUGAGUUAGCCUCUGCUUGUGGGUUUACUACAGCUUCCUCUUCUGGUUCAUCCAUGUCAGUGGCUUCUUUACUGACCUCUGCUGGGGCCUCUGUAGUGUUGGUGUCAAAAUUGUACUGCUGGAGCAAUGAAUCAGGGAAAUUCCAAUGGGUACUUUUCAUGUAUAGAGAAAAUUAGUGUAAGUGGCUUUCCAGGUGCUGUAAGUAGCUCCAAAACCGAUCGUUUUCCCUCUGCUAAGCCUCAGUACAUUGAGUGAUGCUGGUGCUCAGUGCUUGUAUUCUCUGAUAGUUCACCAACAGAGGCAGAGGAAAAGUCUGAGAAAGAACGUGAGAAACCCCAGUCAGGACCUCCUCUAAAUCUAGUUCACCAACAGACUUGUCACCCUCUUCCUCAUGUUGGUCAGAUUGUUCAACAACUUCUGAGUUAGCCUCUGCUUGUGGGUUUACUACAGCUUCAUCUUCUAGUUCAUCCACGUCAGUGGCUUCUUUACUGACCUCUGCUGGGGCCUCUGAAGUGUUGGUGUCAAAAUUGUACUGCUGGAGCAAUGAAUCAGGGAAAUUCUGGUGGGUACUUUUCAUGUAUAGAGAAAAUUGGUGUAAGUGGCUUUCCAGGUGCUGUAAGUAGCUCCAAAACCGAUCGUUUUCCCUCUGCUGAGCCUCAGCACAUUGAGUGAUGCUGGUGCUCAGUGCUUGUAUUCUCUAUUCUAGCCCAAUAGCUCGUCUCGCUCAUGUUGCAGCAGCUGGUUUAGAUGUGGCUCCAGCAGUUUCACCAGCAAUUCUCUCAAUAGUGCGUGCUGUAAGGGCACCAUCAUUCUUGACAUGUUCAUCUUUUGCAUCAAGACAAACUCCUGAUACUACACAGAUGCUGGUGAAGAGUGAAGGAAAUAGCAAGGCAGCACCUUUGUGGUUCUUCAUGGCACAGUCCCAAAUUUUAUUUUUCGAUAAUGCUUCCCACAUCUAUGGGAAGCCCUCUAAUAAUAACAUACAACAAUACCAACCUUUCUUAUGAGACAUUAGUGGUGUGGGUGGUUGGCAUAAGCCUGGAUUUCAAAUAUUUCACCUACACCUUAGCAAUGGGUUUUAAAUCUAUCUUGUUAAUUACAUGCCCUUCCUCAUUAGCCCACGAUGUACCCUUUACUGUAAGUGUCGUGAAAAUUGUGUUCCAUCUUUGCGGGGUCAAUUUGUCAAGCAACUUGGCAUACUCACAAUUAAUUUCAGCAGGUAAAUUAUAGAAAGCAUUUAUAACUCGAGAGUCUAAUGGAACAAGUGAGUUUCUUACCCAAGCAUUGUGCUGACCAGGGCUUACCAAAUUGGCGUAAAAUUCUUUUACAACUGGCAGCAUAGGGUCUCGAGGAUGGUUACAAAACUCUAGCCACCCACGCUUUGCUACAGCAUUGUGUACUGAUUGCACAAUUCCUUGGGUUGAGGUGGGAAUUGAAACCUUUUUUCUUUCAGAAUUUUGCGUGGUUCAAUGAAUUCUUCAUAUUUUUCUUCCGCAUCGUAACUUUGGAAGCGUGAAGGAUCUUUUUGUCGACUGGCUGUCCUUUUAUACCUUGGCAUUGCUAUAGCAGUAAGAAUUCGAUGGUAAUAUGCCUGAGAGUAAAAUGAGAAGAAUGAGUUAAGAAUUAUUGGAGUCGUGAUUUCGAAGGAGAGGGGAAAUAGUGUCAGAAGUCACUAAGCACCGUAACUCCCUUUUAUAGUUGAAAUUAAAUGAAAAUAAAUCCGGUAAAGAGAGAUAAAUUAGGGAAGAAUAUAUUUUAAAUUCAUUAAGCAUAUCCCAUAAAAAUAGGCAAGAGAAAUUAGUGCAUUAAUUUUGAAGAUUUUUCUUCUUCAAUUUCUAUCCAAAUUCAUUCAUCCAUCUGGCACAUGUUAUCCCCAACGGUAAGUGAGAGGCUCCCUCUUUAAGUUACUGUAACGGUAAUAUUGGUUGUUGCAGCACCCAAUUGUUUGCUCUAGUAAUGGUUACAUAGUCUUCUCCAAUAGCUGCUGACACAUGGCUUGCCACUGUACUCUAUUAACAACACAGCCCCAAUUGUUGGUAUGGAAUCCAUUUUUCACACACGUCUCGUGAGAGUUUCAAAAAUAAAUAAGACCAAUCCUAAACUACAGAGAAAACCAAUUUUAAAAGACAACACAUAAAAGUUAAACAAUCCUAAAUAAAAGAAAUAGAAAUAAUUAACGGAAAUAACAUAAAUAAAAAUUAAAAUAAAGUAAAUUAAGAGGAAAAAAAUAUUUAUUAAAACCAAGGAUGAUCCUUCUUGUUUGAGGUGAUUGCCUCCGCAAUGGGUUGCCUCCCAUUGAGCGCUUGAUUUAAGGUCCUUCAGCCUGACCUUUCUUGAGUGUUCAUAAACUCGGUUCUUUGAAGAGUAAGACCUCCUUUGAGCAAUCCGCAGCUGAGUGUAUGUAAUGCUUAUCUCUGUGCCCAUUGACUUGGAAUUCCUGGCCUGUCUUUUCAUCUAAGAGAUCAACAACCCCAUGAGGAUAAAUUCUGAGCAGCUUGAAGGGUCCAGACCAUCGAGAUUUCAGUUUCCCUGGAAAUAGUUUAAGCCUCGUAUUAUGGAGCAGUACUAGUUGACCAGGGAUUAAUUUCCUUGGUUGGAUAUGUUUGUCAUGCCAGUGCUUUGUUCUCUCUUUAUAAAUUCUUGCAUUUUCAUAUGAGAACAUACGUAAUUCAUCAAGCUGACAUAGUAGAAGCUUCCUUUGCUCUGCUGCAGCAUGUAUAUCUCAAUUUAAUUGCUUCAGUAUCCAGUAUGCUUUAUGCUCUAGCUCAAGUGGCAAGUGACAAGCUUUCCCAUACACAAUUCGGUAGGGAGACAUGCCAAGUGGUGUUUUGUAUGUUGUUUUGUAGGUCCAUAAGGAGUCAUGUAAACGCAAGGACCAAUCCUUCCUGGAUGGAUUCAUCACUUUUUCUAAGAUUUUCUUAAUCUCUCUAUUAGACACUUCUGCUUGGCUAUUUGAUUGUGGGUGAUAUGUUGUUGUUACUUUAUGCCUGACUCCAUAUUUUACCAUAGUCGCAGCAAAUACUUUGUUGCAAAAAUGAGUACCCUCAUCACUAAUAAUUGCUCUUGGAGUGCCAAACCUGGAAAAAAAAUUUCUGAAGAAAGUCCACUACUGCUUUAGCAUCAUUGGUAGGUAAUGCUGCAGCUUCUACCCAUUUGGAGACAUAAUCCACAACAAUCAGGAUAUUUAAGUUCCCAAAGGAUGGUGGAAAAGGACCCAUGAAAUAUAUUCCCCAUACAUCAAAGACUUCUACUUUCAGAAUGUUUGUCAAUGGCAUUUCAUGUCUUUGAGUUAUUUUUCCUGUCCUUUGACACCUGUCAGAACAUUUAGUAAAUUCAUAAGCAUCUUUAAAAAUAAAAGGCUAGUAAUAACCUGAUUGCAGAACCUUAGCAGCUGUUCUGUGACCACCAAAAUGUCCUACAUAUGUUGCAGCAUGGCACAAUUCCAGUAUAUGAGGAAUCUCUCCCUCUGAAGCACAUCUUCGUAUACUUGAUCUAAGCAUAACUUAUACAAAUACAGGUCAUCCCAUUGGUAGCUUCUAACAUCAUGAAGACAUUUCUUUUUCUCUUGAAACUUCAACUCAGGUGGUAGCAAUCCACUUACUAAGUAGUUAGCAAAAUCUGCAUACCAUGGAGGUCCUGCUUGCUGCAACAUUUGUGCUUGCUGUACAACUAACAGUUGUUCAUCAAGAAAAGUUUCAGUGAUGUCCUUUCUUGUCAAUGUGCUUGUUUCUGCUUCUAGGCUCGACAGAUGGUCUGCUACUUGAUUCUCAGUCUCCUUUCUAUCUUUAAUUUCCAGAUCAAACUCCUGAAACAAUAAGAUCCAUCGUAUUAAUCUUGGUUUAGCAUCAUUCUUUGAGAUUAAGUACUUUAUGGCUGUAUGGUAUGUGUACACUGUCACUUUAGUACCCACCAAGUAAGCUCUAAAUUUAUCAAAAGCAAAUACUGAAAUGCAAGUAACACAACCCAAGAGGGGGGGUGAAUUGGGUUUGUAAAAAUUAUGCAAUAUAAUUCGAACAACAAAUCAAUCUAACGCCUUAAUGAAAUAGAGAACAAUAAAUUCAAAUAAGCGUAAACAUAAAAGAGCAAGGGAAGAGAAAAACAAACAUGCGGAUUUUUACGUGGUUCGACAAUCCCCGCCUACAUCCCCGCCUCUAAGCCAACCAAUCUCGAGGAUUUCACUAUCCAAGCCUCCCAAGGCUUCAAGUUCUUAUAAUUGACUUGCAAGGUGUCAAUGAACCUUUACAAUCAAGAGAUUAUCUCCCCAAUCUAUUCACCCUAAGUGUUUCCCACACUUACACACUCACAAUUUGAUAAGAAAUGAAAAUUAUAACAAAAAAACUCUCUCUAAGAGUGGAUAUGCAAAUAAUAGCUCAACAAUGAUUCAAUCUAUGAUGAUUUGCAUUUUGGAAGCUCAAUAUAUGCUGUAUGAUCUUAUAUUUGCUUGCAUUAGUCCUUAGAAUGAAGUUUGAGUUGACUUUUUAUAGUUGAAGCACGAAAACUAGCCGUUAUAGGCAAAUUCCCGCGCCCAAGCCGUUAGCCGCUUGAUUUAUCCGGCUAGCCGCUCAGAAACAGUGAUAUUACUGUUAUUUUUUAAUUUUGCUACAGUAAUACUGUUCACUAAAAUUACAGUUUGGCUUAAAAUUUUUUGUAAUUAUACUAACGCCCAAAAUGUUAUAAAACUUUGCAAAUAAGUCCAAUUUCAGAACUUCCGAAGAGUAGUUGUCUUUCCCAAACUUUCUAAAAUUAUGAUAUGACCGCAAAGAUUUUAUUAUUUCGCACAAAGGUCCUUUUCAACAUAAUACCCAUAUUUUUCAAAGUUCUCAAAACCUUUCACUUUAGUCCAAAAUAUUCAUAAAUUAUAGUAUGGCCCAAAACAUUUCAAACGUUUGUAAUAACGUCCAACUCCGAAAUUUAAUACUUAUUUAAAAUCAAAGAUUUCAAAACUUAGCAUUUAAGUCCAAAUUACUCAAAUCCACAAAAUACUUUACUUUAUAAAAAUAAAACCUUUUAGUUUAUGAAAAGUAUUUAAUUAAAUUAAUCUCUUGAGCUUCUCAAAUGCUAAAUCAUGCAUCAAUUAAAUCAUACCGGCUUUACAAGAAUUUAUCGCACUAAUUUGUUCGUUGAGCUCUAAACUAUAUUCUUGAUGUCGCCGUUGUCCGUUGAGUGUCUUCAAUCUUGAUUUCACUUGAUUCACUUGCAUAAAUAUUAUCCUUCAAAAACUAGUGAAAAUGUGAAAUACAAUAUUUAUUAUUUUUACUUAAGACCCAUGUUUGUUAUCAUCAAAAUUACAUUAUGUGUAGCCUUUUAGGCUAACAAUCUCCCCCUUUUAGAUGAUGACAAACAUCUCAUGUAUUUUGACAUUAAACUCCCCCUCAAUACAUGGCAUACAUGACUUCAACUUAUAAAUCAAAUUUAAGAAUAAAACUCCCCCUAAAUAUAUGAUCUAUUACAAUUUGUAAACUCCCCGUUAAUAUUUCAUAACCAUGCACAAAUAGUUUAAGAUUAAAAUACAUAUUAUAUGUCUCUGUAUUCAAAAUACAUGAUCUCUCCCCCUUCAUCAUCAAAAUUACUAGAAAUUUAUGCCAAUUAAAAAAAUAGAACCAAAAUUACAUUAUCAAAAACUUAUCAUAUUUAUUUCCCCCUAAAAAAAAUAGAUAUAUGCAAUUUGAAACAAGAUCAUCAAAAAUAAUUAAAUGAAGAUAUACUCAUUGUGUGCGAGCAAAACUUUCGGCAGAGUCUCCCCUUAAAAAAGAACAAAUCCUCAAAUACAUAAUGUGGUUAAAAACACUUCCAUAUAAGCUUAAACAAGUAUAACAAACCAACAACUCCACCAAGUCAUCAAGCAACACAUAAGAAUUAAGCAUAUAAUAACCAAUCCGAAAACAUCAUCCAAAUAUAACAUAUCCGAAGAUCAAAUAACAAGCAUCCUUAAUCCACAAAUUAAAAACAACAUAUCCAAAUAUCAAACAACAAGAUGUCAUCCGCAAAUGAAAUAUAACAAUGCAUGAAGAAAUGUAGUGCAGAGUGACAAAUAAAAAAAGAUAGAGUGCUAAGGAGAUGGUGGAUGUGAUGAAGAGGAUGGUGGUGGAAAUCCAAGAGCUGCAAAAAGUUGCUACUGGCCAUCAAGAAGCUGCUCUUGUUGAGCAAAGAGACGCUCUCGCUCGAAAAUGGACUGAAGUUGAAAAGCUUCAAGCAUAGACUGAAGUUUGUCUUGCCGCUCAGAAAGUGAAUCCACUUUAGUUAACAGCUGCUGUAACGGAUCCUCAGAGUCAGCUGAAAUUGAGUGGGAAGGACCCUCGGAAGGUGGAGGUCGUGAGAGAUAUGGAGCACUAAGAUUAGGAAGCAAGUGUGGGGGACAGACAUCGUUAAAGAAACGAUGAUCUGUAGGAGCAAUGUCCCCAACCUUUUUGUUUCUUUCAUCUUUAUGCCAUUGAUCAUCCCUCCAAUAAAAACCCAAAUUAGCAAUUGAUUAAUCGCCUAAUUCCCUCGAAUUCAAGGAGAUUGGCUCAGUUAUAGGGACACGGAAAUACUCUAGAAGUCAGGUAAUAAUACUAGCAUAUGGAAGGGAUCUUUUGGCUAAGUUGGGAGUACUAAGCAUGUGAUGAAGGAUAAUAUACCCAAUAUUUAGCACCCUCUCCUCUAGAAUACAAUCCAAAAUGGCUACAUCUAAACGGCUAACUCCAUCCGCAUGACCGGCCCUAGGAGUAAUCACAUGAUGAAGAACAUAAUGAAGGAUUCGAGUUUGAAGAUGUAAGGCUUGAGAUUUCAAAGGUGAGUUACAGAACGCAGUGGACAAAUCAUGCCGUAGACAAAUUUUUCGAACGGCAUUUUCAAGUGAGAACCAAGGUUGUUUGAUUUUGGCUCUAGCACUAUAUAGUACCAAUCCCUCAUUUGGAGUGCCAAUGAUAGAAUUUAGCAAAGCAACAUCAAAUUCAAUAUGAACUCCCCCAACAUUAGUAACAAUUCUAUUCGAAACUUCCGUAUCCAUAUUCGAAUAGAAAACCUUGACUAAAUUUUCAUAGUAAUGUUCAUUAACAACCAACACAUUCUUCCAUCCCAUAGCAAUAAGUAAAUCUUUAAGAGAUUUAUCACAAAUUUCUAAAUUCUCCAUAUUUCUGAGAUUGACAAAAUAAGGAGUAAUGACCGACCUUGGCUUGAAAUGGUCGAGAAAAUGUUUCCGAAGUUGGAGUUGUGGAAAAUGAAUCAACAUAAAGUCUGAAUAAUCUCCAUGAUCAUCCUUACGCUUCUUGGCCACGUGUUUUCCCUUGGACUUGUCACCACCCCCAUUGUUGGAAGAAAAAAGAGCUUAAAAAUGCAAUUUCGGGUUUAACAAAAAUUGAGUGAAAUGGAUAUGUUUGAGGCAAGAAAAUCAAUCCUAGAGAUGAAUGAAACUAAUUUAUGAUGUAGAUUGAAUUAAAAAUGGGCUAAAGGAAGCUUGAAAAUGAAGAGAGAGAAACGGGUUGAGUGAGAUUUUUUAUUUUGGGUUUUAUGUGGAGAGUUGAUGAAAUGAUGUUUUGAGAGUGAAAAUUGAAGGAGUAAUGGAUGAAUAAUAAGUUGGAUGAUUGAUUUUAACAAGAAAAUGAGUGAAAGAUGAAGAUAUUUGAGAAAGAAAAUGAAGAACACUAUUCACGCGUGAAUGGAAUGAGGAUGGAAUGAUGAAGAACAAGUGAAGAAAUCAUGAUGGAGAUGUGUUUAAUGAAGAUGAAAUGCAUGGGUAUUAGUUUGAAUGGUUGAUUUGGGCAUAAAAAUGGAUGAAAAAGGAAGAAAUUGGAAGUGAAAAUGGAUGGGUUGUUCACGGUUUUGAGUGAAGGAGAAAACAAGUGCAGAAAAUUAAAAAAGGAAGAAGAAGAAGCAAAAACAAAUUGCCAAACCCGUGACAAAGCGGCUAGCCGCUUGCUCUCGGGUUUGGGACAGUUUUCCAAGCGGCUAGUCGGCUAGCCACUUGGAACAGGCGGCUAGCCGCCUGGUUGCUGUCCACCUGCACGCUACUUGCUUUCCGGCUAGUUUUGAUCAAUUCCGUGACCAUUUUGUGAUCCUAAAACAUCUCAAGAGCCAAUUUAAUGCAUGAUUCAAUAUUUUAAACAUCCAAAAGAUGAUUAAUUCAAACUAAUAAUCCAUCCAACAAACAUAUAUUCAUGAAGCACAUAAGCAUUCAAAAAUUAAUAAAUCAAACACCUCAUAUAUCUAAUAUGCGCAAACAAUUCAUAAACAUUAAAAACCAUCAAGCAAACAAUUUUAGUAGAUUCAAUAACAUAAAUAGAGAUGUUAAUGCGAAAAUUUCAUCAUCCCAAGUUCGUGCCAAAUUUUUGAAAAUUGUUCUUCGCAAAGGUGUUUUGUAAAAAUAUCGGCAAGUUGUUUUUCCGUAGAGAUAAAUUCUAAUGCAAUAUCACAUUUUUGAACAUGAUCUCUCAAGAAAUGAUGUCUAAUCUCUAUAUGCUUGGUUCUAAAGUGUUGAAUGGGAUUCUUUGAAAGAUUUAUGGAGCUAGUAUUAUCACACUUGAUAGGAAUUUGUUCAAGAUUAAUACCAUAGUCUCUAAGUGUUUGUUUCAUCCAAAGUGCUUGUGCACAACAACUGCCUGCGGCAAUAUAUUCUGCCUCAGUAGUUGAGAGUGCCACCGAAUUUUGUUUCUUACUAAACCAUGAAACAAGUGAAUGACCUAGAAAAUGGCAAGUUCCACUAGUACUUUUCCUAUCAACCUUAUAACCGGCAAAAUCGGCAUCCGAAUAACAAGUUAAAUCUAUAUGAGUUCCUCUAGGAUACCAAAGGCCAAUAUCUAUGGUUCCACUCAAAUAAUGAAAAAUUCUUUUAACAGCAAGCAAAUGAGAUUCCUUGGGACAUGAUUGAAAUCUUGCACACAAACAUACACUAAACAUGAUAUCGGGUCUACUUGCGGUUAAGUAAAGUAAAGAUCCGAUCAUACCUCGAUACUUUUUAAUAUCAACCUCUUUAUCAUCUUUAUCAAGCUUGAUUGUUGUACUCAUUGGAGUAUUCUGGUGUUUGAUUCAUCAAUGCCAAAUCUCUUGAGCAAGUCUUUGACAUACUUAGCUUGGUUGAUGAAGAUCCCCUCAUUGUUUUGUUUGAUUUGAAGUCCAAGGAAAUACUCCAAUUCUCCCAUCAUGCUCAUCUCAAAUUCCUUACUCAUACAAGAGGAAAAUUCUUUGCACAAAGAUUCAUUAGUAGAACAAAAAAUAAUAUCAUCAACAUAAAUUUGAACAACAAGUAUAUCUUGAUUUUUAUUUUUAAUAAAAAGGGUAGUAUCCGCUUUUCCCAUCGAAAAACCGUUAUCCAACAAGAAAUUUUUAAGCCUAUCAUACCAUGCUCUAGGUGCUUGUUUUAAUCCAUACAAAGCUUUUGAUAACUUAUACACAUGAUUUGGAAAUUUUUCAUUUUCGAAACCAGGGGGUUGUUUCACAUAAACUUCCUCCAUAAUAUAACCAUUUAGGAAAGUACUCUUGACAUCCAUUUGAAAUAAAAUAAAAUCUUUAUGGCAUGCAAAUGCUAACAACAUCCUAAUGGAUUCUAAUCUAGCUACAGGUGCAAAGGUUUCAUCGAAAUCGAUUCCUUCUUCUUAGUUGUAUCCUUGAGCCACUAAUCUAGCUUUAUUUCUUACAACCACACCGGAUUCAUCCAUUUUAUUUCUAAAUAUCCAUUUAGUGCCUAUAACGGAUUGAUGUUCCGGUUUAGGAACCAAUUCCCACACUUUAUUUCUCUCAAAUUGAUUUAACUUCUCUUGCAUUGCUAUAAUCCAAAACUCAUCAUUUUCAGCAUCCGUAAAAGAUUUGGUUCAAUUUGAGAAAUAAAUGUAGCAUGCUCACAUGUGUUUCUAAGUGAUGAUCUAGUUGUAAUACCUCUUGAAGGAUCACCUAAGAUUAAAUCCUUAGGAUGAGAGGAAAAAUACCUCCACUCCUUGGGGAGUGUUUGAGAAAUACCUUCUUGUUGCUCCAGCUCCAUAUUUGAUUGUUCUUCUUGUCCAUCCUCUUGAUUUUCUUGUGGUGCAUUCUCUUGUUUCUCUUUUGAUGAUUCUUCUUGUAACUCUCCAUCUGCAUCAUCAUUAACAACUCCUUUCUCCACGGAGGAGGGGUUAGAUUCAUUAAACGUAACAUGCAUGGAUUCUUCCACAACUAAAGUUCUUUUGUUAUAAACUUUAUAAGCUUUGCUUUAGUUUGAAUACCUGAGAAAGAUGCCAACAUCAUAUUUUGGAUCAAAUUUACCAAGAUUAUAUUUUGUGUUUAAAAUAAAACAUUUGCAUCCAAAAACUUUGAAAUAACCAAUGUUGGAUUUUCUAUCUUUCCAAAGCUCAUAGGGAGUUUUAUUGAGAUGAGGUCUAAUCAACACCCGAUUUAAAACAUAACAAGCGGUGUUGACGGCUUCGGUCCAAAAAUAUUUUGGUAAUGCAUUUUCAUUUAACAUGAUCGUAGCCAUUUUUUGAAUAGACCUAUUCUUCCUCUCAACAACUCCAUUUUGUUGUGGAGUCCUAGGUGAUGAAAAUUGAUGCUCAAUGCCAAAAUCAUUACAAAAGUUUUCAAAUGCAUGAUUUUCAAACUCUCCACCAUGAUCACUUCUAAUACAAGUAAUAGAAUAACCCUUUUCAUUUUGAACAUUUUUACAGAAAAUUCUAAAUGCAUCAAUGGCAUCAUCCUUAUUAGCUAAGAAUAAUACCCAUGUGUAUCUAGAAUAAUCAUCUACAAUUACAAAUGCAUAAAAUUUUCCACUUAAACUAGCAUAUCUUGAGGGUCCAAACAAAUCUAUGUGAAGUAAUUGAAGAGGUUUUGAAGUAGAGAUAUGAUUCUUGUUUUUUAAAGAGGUUUUGAUUUGUUUUCCAAAUUGACAUGCUUCACAAAUUCUAUCCUUUUGAAAACCAAUUUUUGGAAGACCUUUAACUAAAUCAUUUUUCGAAAUUUUUGAAAUUAAAUCCAUGCUUGCAUGUCCUAGUCUUCUAUGCCACAACCAACUAUCAUCAUGCAAUGCCGAAAAACAUUUAUCAUGAGUAGAUGCACACUCUAUAUUAAUCGUGUAAACAUUGCCACGUCUAUUUCCCAUAAACAAAAUUUUCCCAUCACAUGCAUUCUCAAUAACACAACUUGAUUUAUCAAAGGCAACUUUAUAACCUUUGUCACAUAAUUGACUAAUGCUAAUCAAAUUAUGUUUCAAAUUUUCAACCAAACACACAUUUUCAAUUAGAGUUGAAGAAAUUUUACCAACAUUUCCAAUUCCGAGAAUUUUUCCUUUUGAGUUAUCUCCAAAGGAUACAUCUCCACCAUUUUCGAUUUUGGUGAAACUUGAGAACUAUGCAUAGUUUCCAGUCAUAUGCCUAGAACAUCCGCUGUCCAAGUACCAUUUAUUUUUCUUUUUCUUCAAGCCCUGCAGAGGAAAUCUUAUGUCUUAGGUACCCAAACCUUUUUGGGUCCUUGAGCAUUAGCAACGGUUCCUUUUGGAACCCAAAUACAUUUGACACCAUAAUAUGCAUUCCUUUUUACGGGACAUCUAUAUUUCAUGUGACCAUUUUGAUUACAAUAAUGACAAACACUCUUAAAAAUGAUCACUUGUGGAUGUAGCUUUAACAAAAUAAUUCUUGUAAUGCUUUUGCUUCAAGUUAGACUUAUACCCAAGUCCUCAUUUAUCAAAAACACAUAUUUGAGAAUUAAACACGUUAUCCAACAUCUUUUGCCCAUUUGUAAAUUUUAGAACAACAUUACUAAGUUCAAUAUUCUUUUUCUUGAGCAUUUCAUUUUCCUUUUUCAAAUCAUGUACAUGUGACUCUAAAUGCUCAUAUGAAGUGCUAGGUUUUUCAUUUGAUAAUGCAACUCUAUUAUGCAAGGUUUUAUUAUCUAAUUCUAAUCCUUUAAUCUUCUCAUUCAAUGACUCAUUGUAUCUUUGCAUGGCAUCCUUUUCAUUUGUAAAUUCUAGCAAUUUCUUUUUAAGGCAUGCAUUCUUUUUACCAAUUUUCAUCAACUCAUCAUGCAUUUCUUUAAAAGCAUCAUACAAUUCAUCAUAGGUUAGAUCACUUACCUCAUUAAGAUCAUCAUUAUCUCCUAGUGCCAUAAAUGCUAGGUUUGAUACUUCUUGCGACUCUUCUUCAUCACUUGAAUCUUUGUCGCUAUCAUCCCAAGUAGCAACCAUAGCUUUCUUCUUGAGUUUGUUGAGAAGUGGGCAUUCCGAUCUUAUGUGGUCGGGCUUUUUGCAUUCAUAACAUAUGAUUACCUCUUUCUUCUCCUUUUGGUUUUUGAAGUUUCUAAAUUUCCUUCGGUCAUCGGUUUUCUUGAAAAAAGUUUUGAACCUCCUUGCUAGCAUAGCCAACUCCUCAUCAUCCGGCUCACUUUCCCCAUCACUCUCAUAUUUUGUGGCUUUGAGAGCAAUAUUUUUCUUCUUUUCCUCAUUUCCUCUUUCGGCUGCCAAAUCUUCCUCAUAAGAAAUAAGAGAACCAAUUAAAUCAUCAAUAGGUAAGAUAUUCAAAUCUUUAGCUUCCUCAAUGGCAGUCCUUUUUGGUCUCCAUUCCUUAGGUAAUGACCUAAUAAUUUUCUUAACUUUUUCGCUAUUUGAAAAGGUCUUUCCUAGGGCUCCUAGAGUAUUUACUAUGUCCGUAAAUCUAGUAUACAUAGAAUAUAUACUCUCAUUUUUUUCCAUUUGGAAUAAUUCAUAUUACCGAGUGUACCUACUAAUCUUAGACUCUUUCACUUGAUUCAUGCCUUCAUAAACAACUUCAAGUUUGUGCCAAAUUUUAUUAGCACUUUCACAACUAGACACUCUAUGAAACUCUUUCUUAUCGAGUGCACAAAACAAGGCAUUCAUGGCUUUGGAAUUUAGAGAAGCUUUUCUCUUUUCCAAUUCAUUCCAUUCCCGUGAAGGUUUUGGAAUGUCUUCCCCGAAUUCAUUUUUAGUCAAAGGCAUAAAUGGACCAUCACAUACAACUUCCCAAAUUUCAUAAUCUAGUGCUUGUAAAUAAAUUCUCAUCCUAGUUUUUCAAUACGGGUAGUCAUUUCCGUCAAAGAACGGUGGCCUAGUUGUGGAUUGUCCUUCCCUAAAGGUUGAAUCAUUUUGGGUUGUCAUGGAUCUUUUACUCUAGACGGUUAAGUCCUAAUAAGAGAACCAAGCUCUGAUACCAAAUGAAAUGCAAGUAACGCAACCCAAGAUGGGGGGUGAAUUGGGUUUUUUAAAAUUAUACAAUAUAAUUCGCACAACAAAUCAAUCUAACGCCUUAAUGAAAUAGAGAACAAUAAAUUCAAACAAACGUAAACAUAAAAGAGCAAGGGAAGAGAAAAACAAACACGCGGAUUUUCACGUGGUUCGGCAAUCCCCGCCUACGUCCACGCCUCCAAGCCAACCAAGCUUGAGGAUUUCACUAUCCAAGCCUCCCAAGGCUUCAAGUUCUUACAAUUGACUUCCAAGGUGUCAAUGAACCUUUACAAUCAAGAGAUUAUCUCCCCAAUCACUUCACCUCAAGUAUUUCCCACACUUACACACUCACAAUUUGAUAAGAAAUGAAAAUUACAACAAAAAAACUCUCUCUAAGAGUGGAUAUGCAAAUAAUAGCUCAACAAUGAUUCAAUCUAUGAUGAUUUACGUUUUGGAAGCUCAAUAUAUGUUGUAUGAUCUUAUAUUUGCUUGCAUUAGUCCUUAGAAUGAAGUUUGAGUUGAGUUUUUAUAGUUGAAGCACGAAAACUAGCUAUUAUAGGCAAAUUCCCACGCCCAAGCGGUUAACCGCUUGAUUUAUCCGACUAGCCGCUCAGGAACAGUGAUAUUAUCGUUAUUUUUGAAUUUUGCUACAGUAACAAUGUUCACUAAAAUUGCACUUUGACCUAAAACUUUUUGUAAUUAUACUAAGGCCCAAAAUGUUAUAAAACUUUGCAAAUAGGUCCAAUUUCAUAACUUCCUAAGAAUAGUUGUCUUUCCCAAACUUUCUAAAAUUAUGAUAUGACCGCAAAGAUUUUAUUAUUUCGCACAAAGGUCCUUUUCAACAUAAUACUCAUAUUUUUCAAAGUUCUCAAAACCUUUCACUUUAGUCCAAAAUAUUCAUAAAUUAUAGUAUGGUCCAAAACAUUUCAAACGUUUGUAAUAACGUCCAACUCUGAAAUUUAAUACUUAUUUAAAAUCAAAGAUUUCAAAACUUAGUAUUUAAGUCCAAAUUACUCAAAUCCACAAAAUACUUUACUUUAUAAAAAUAAAACCUUUUAGUUUAUGAAAAGUAUUUAAUUAAAUUAAUCUCUUGAGCUUCUUAAAUGCUAAAUCAUGCAUCAAUUAAAUCAUACCGGCUUUACAAGAAUUUAUCGCACUAAUUUGUUCGUUGAGCUCUAAACUAUAUUCUUGAUGUCGCCGUUGUCCGUUGAGUGUCUUCAAUCUUGAUUUCACUUGAUUCACUUGCAUAAAUAUUAUCCUUCAAAAACUAGUGAAAAUGUGAAAUACAAUAUUUAUUAUUUUUACUUAAGACACAUGUUUGUUAUCAUCAAAAUUAUAUUAUGUGUAGCCUUUUAGGCUAACAAAUACUAUUGCUAGCAACUCUUUUUCUGUAGUGGUGUAAUUAAUCUGAAUUUGAGUAAGAGUUUUACUUGCAUAGUAUAUAGAUUGAAAAAUCUUAUCCUUCAUCUGCCCUAACACUGCCCUAAUAGAAUGGUCACUGGCAUCACAUAUCAGUUCAAAUGGUAGAGUCCAAUCUGGUGAUAUAACCACUGGUGCAGUGAUCAAAGCUUUCUUUAACUCUCCAAAAGCUUGCAGACAGUCUUUAUCAAAAUGAAAAGGCUUGUCAUGUUCCAGCAAUGAGUAUAAUGGUUUAGCUACCUUAGAGAAGUCUUUAAUGAAUCUUCUGUAAAAUUCAGCAUGGCCUAAGAAACUCCUAAUACCCUUGAUUGAGGUGGGGGGUGGCAGUUUAUCUAUCACUUCUAUCUUUACUUUAUCUACCUCAAUACCAUUCUUGGACAACUUAUAACCCAACACUAUGCCCUCUUGCAUCAUGAAAUGAUAUUUUUCCCAAUUGAGUACUAAGUUAGUCAUCUCACAUCUUUUAAGAACUUCUUCCAAGCUAUGUAAACAAUCAGUAUAUAUCUCUCCAAAAACUAAGAAAUCAUCCAUGAAAACUUCCAAUGUUUGCUCCACCAUAUCAUAAAAUAUAGACAUUAUACAUCUCUGAAAAGUUGCUGGAGCAUUGCAUAAACCAAAUGGCAUCCUUCUGAAGACAAAAGUUUCAUAAGGACAGGUAAAUGUAGUCUUUUCCUGAUCCUUUGGAGCUAUAGCAAUUUGGUUGUAGCCUGAAUACCCAUCUAGGAAACAAUAGUACUAUUUUCCAGCAGGUCUGUCCAAUAUCUGAUCUAUGAAUAGGAGUGGGAAGUGAUCAUUCCGUGUGGCUUUGUUGAGCUUCCUGUAAUCCAUACAUACCCUCCAUCCAGUCACUAUCCUUAUAGGAAUAAGUUCAUUCUUCUCAUUUGCUAUCAAUGUUAUUUUUCCCUUCUUUGGAACACAUUGGACUGGGCUCACCCAUGAGCUGUCUAAUAUCGGGUAUAUGAUUCCAGCAUUCAACCAUUUGAUGAUUUCCUUCUUCACAACUUCCUUCAUAAUAGGGUUUAACCUUCUCUGUUGCUCCACUGAAUUACUGUAACAGUCUUCUAACAGAAUUUUAUGCAUGCAUAUGGAUGGGCUAAUCCAUUUGAUGUCUGCCAUAGUCUAUCCAAUUACUCUUCUGUAUUUCCCAAGCACGUCUACUAGGCUCUAUUCUUGACCUGCAUCCAAAGUAGAUGAAAUUAUUACAGGGAGUGUGUUGUUUUGACCAAGAUAAGCAUAUUUCAAAUAGAUGGUAAAGUUGUUUUUACUUCCCUGUCUGAAAGAUUCAGAUGCUCAACAAAUCUGUUAUGUCUAUCAGAUUUCUUUCCCUCCAUCCAAUCUAUCUGGUUUGCUGCAACAUCUUCUUCUUCAAAGCUCUCAAAUGUGGUAACUUUGAUGAUCUCAUUACUGCAGUAUCUGUCGAUUCUGUCUGCUACAACAAAAUCCACAACACUCAGGAAAUUGCAAUCUUCUGCUUAUCAGGUUUCUUCAUAGCCUCUAAUACAUUAAAUGUAACUUGCUGAUCAUUCACUCUCAUUGUUAGCUCUCAUUUCUGCACAUCUAUCAGAGUUUUUCCGGUUGCUAGGAAAGGUCUUCCAAGUAUAAUGGGUACUUCUUUAUCAGCUUCAAAGUCUAAAACAAUAAAGUCCACUGGAAAGAUGAAUUUGUCAACCUUCACCAAUACAUCCUCAAUUUUUCCUUCAGGAAAUGCAUGAGAUCUAUCAGUUAAUUGUACAGUGACUGUUGUUGGCCUGCAUUCUCCUACUCCCAACUGCUUAAAUACAGAUAAUGGCAUCAGAUUAAUACUGGCUCCCAAAUCACAAAGUGCUCUGCCAUUAUACCUAGUUCCAAUGGAACAUGGUAUUGUGAAGCUUCCUGGAUCCUUCAAUUUUUGAGGAAUCUUACUUUGGAGCAUGUGACUGCUUUCCUGUAUUAAAGCAACCAUUUCAAAUUCUCCCAAUCUUCUCUUUCUUGCCAAAAUGUCCUUUGGGAAUUUCACAUAAUUAGGCAUUUGCUCCAAUACUUCCACAAAAGGGAUGGUAAUGUGUAAUUGCUUCAGCACUUCCAAGAAUUUACUAAACUUCUUGUCUUGUUUUUUUUUUUGGAAUCUUUGUGGGAAAAGAGGUGGCUGCCUAAAUUGCUGAGUAGCUUCAGGAAGUGCCAAUCUCUGCUCAUUUGGUUUGUUAUAAGCUGUUACCAUUGGUGUUGCAACUUUUUUUUCAGCAUUUAUUGGUUGAUUCCCUUCUAUAGUAACUGCAGUUUGACCACUAACAUCAGUAUCUUGAUGGCUGGAUUGUUCUAACAUACUCUCCUCUUAAGGUGGUUCUUGUGAGGAAUUAAGUUCCACCCAUUUUUAGUCAUAUUAACAAGAAUAUCAACAUUAUUUCCAGAUCUUAAGUUGAUGACCUUGCAAUGUUCCUUUACCUCUCUCUUUAGAUCUUCUGUGUUGCUGGGCAAGCUUCCUUAAGAUCUGUUACUCAUUGCUGUGGCAAGCUGACCAAUUUGGUUUUCCAGAUUUCUUAGAGAUACGGCUUGACUUUGCACAAUUGCUUCAUUCUUUGCAAUGUAUUCCUUAAUCAGUGUUUCUAGUGAAAUGAGAGGAUUAUGUCUGGUGUGUUUUUGCCCUUGAUUUUACUGAUGAAAACCAGGUGGUUGAGUAUUUCUGUUCCGUCCACUCAAUGCUGGAGCAUUUUGAUUCUGAUUACUCAACGAGAAAUUUGGGUGUUGCUUCCAUCCAGGGUUGUAAGUAUUUGAGUAUGGGUUGUUUUGAGGCUGUCGGUUGUAAUUACCCAUAUAAUUUACUGAUACUGGAUUUCCAGGACAGUUAUCAAAUUCAUGUUCUUCACCACAGUACACGCAAGACAAUUCAGCAACUUGCUUUACUACCGCUGGAGCAGAUGUCAUGGCUUUCACCAUGUUAGUCAAUGAAGUUACUUGUGCUGAUAAAUCUGUAAUUGCAUCUAUAUUAUGUACCCCUACUGCUCCUCUUGCUACUGGCUGUCUAGUUGAUGGCCACUGAUAAUUAUUUUUGGCAAUUCUCUCCAAAAUUUCAUAAGCUUCAGUGUAAGAUUUGGAUAACAAGGCUCCACAAUCUGAAGCAUCAACCAUCAAUCUCGUACUUGGAUUCAAUCUGUUAUAGAAAGUCUCCAAUUGUAUGCAACAAGGAAUGCCAUGAUGAGGACACCUUCUGAGCAAUUCUUUGAAUAUUUCCCAAGCCUCAUACAAAUUCUCAUCUUCAAGUUGAUGGAAAGAAGUGAUCUCAUUAUGCAAUUUUGCAUUUUUUGUUGGUAGAAAAUAUUUCAUUAAGAAUUUAUCGGCCAAUUCAUUCCAUAUAGUGAUGGAAUCAGAUGAUAAUGAAUUCAACCAUGCUCUUGCUCGAUCUCUUAAGGAGUAAGGAAAAAGCCUUAGUCUUAAAGCAUCUUGUGUUGCUCCAGCAAUUUUAAAAGCAUCACUCACUUCCAAAAACAACUUAAGAUGGAGGUGAUGAUCUCCAUUUGGCAGUCCAUUGAAUUGACCCACUGUUUGCAACAUUUGAAACAUCAUUGGCUUCAGUUCAAAGUUUGCGGCUUCCACUUCAGGUCUGAUUAUCCCAAGGUGUACAACUUGAGGAGUUAACACAGUAUAAUCUCUGAUAGCCCUGUCUCUGUCAUUUGCCAUGUAAAUGAUAUUAUUGUUGCCUGGCUAUCUCUGGUUAACAUGCUUAUUCUGCUCCUCUUGAAUGUUGACGGGUUGUAAUGGCCCGUGAGGGUCUAAAUUUCCCAUAUCCUGCAAAUUAUCCAUGUCUGAAACAUUUUUUGAAUUCUUUUGUUCUCUUCGCAGUCUCCUUACAGUCCUUUCAAUCUCAUGAUCAAAUUGGAACACAACAUACCUGUCUUUGCGCUUGCAAGUGUUGAUCUGUUAAUAAAUAGAACAAAUCAAAUCAAAUUGGCACUAUCAAGACUUACUUCACACUUCGAAAAUAAACAAUCAAUCCCCGGCAACGGUGCCAAAAACUUGUUGGUUAAUUUUUAAUCAAAUGAUAUUGAUGCCAAUGUGCAAGUGUACACAACAAGUAAUAAAGUGAUGAAUAUUCAAGAUUGUCUCCACACGGAUUGAUGUUACCAGAAAUGCUACAGCAAUCACAAUAGUGCAACCUACCUUUAUUUUGAAUGAACAAAUGUGAAGUUGUUUACUACCAAAAUUUAUAAUUGUGAGAAAAUAAAACAAAAUAAUGUAGUGAUGAAAUAAAGUAAAUAAAUUGCGUAGAAUGAUCAAAUGAGAAUAAGGUAGUUAAAUGAUCAAACUCUCUUUAUGGGUUGACUGCUUUUCAUCAAAUUAACACCAGUUGCUACAGCACUGGGCAGAAUUACUUUGCAUCCUCAGCUGUCACGUGUUGGAAUUCUCAUACCCUUAAGUAUCUUAGCAAUGACCAGUUGCUAUUCUACCUUCGGCAUGACAUUACGAACAUCUAUUCUCUCCACCCUACAAGGUGAGUACUUAUGUUUAGUUUGUCACAAAUCUUAACUUCAAGUAUAGUCCUUAUGAUAUUCAAGAUUAACUUAAUCCAGGAAACUCGAAUUAAGAUCAAGUAUUACUCUAAUAAUAUCCACUAAGACAUGCCCUUUUGCGGCUCUAUCUUAACUUGAACCAUUAAAUGGGUGGUCAACCGAAAUAACAAUUAUAAUAAUAGCUACUAAAGUAAAAUGCUAUAGCAAUUAUAUAGCAACUCAUAAGAACAGUCAAGAACCCAUUAGAUUGUUUGUCAUUCAACUACAAGCAAGUUUAGUUCAUAUUUUGAAAGAGAAAAACAAACAGCAACAUAUUAGACACGAAAUACAUUAGUUCAAUCAAAGAGUGAAGAAAAGAAUAAGUGGAGAACGACAAAAAGUGAAUUCAAAAUAACUCUACUGGAUUCUUCAAUGAUGCAACAUUGGUUCCCUUGAAUUUUGAUUUUCUUCUUCUUUUUCUCUUGAUUUUCUCAAUGUUAAUUCCUUGUCGCCAUUUUAUGUGAUGCGCGCCCCUUUUUAUAACUGAAAACUAGGGUAAACAAAAGCCUAAGGUGUACAUGAGUCAAAUUAGGAAACUGCAGAUUGCAAUUCUGCAGCUAUCUCGCACUAAUUUUUCUCCCUCAUUGUUCUAGGAUUGCUACAGCAAUGGUUGCUCCAACAACGGCUAUAACACUGCAUUAUUCUAGGUUGUGUUUCACUUCUUUUGUGGCCAUAUUCUUUCUCCUUCUUGCUAGACUAAUGCCUCAGCAUCCCUUCAUGGAUUAUAAACUUCUGAAAACCUACAAUUAUGCACAUGUUUCAAACACAAAUUACUUUAAAUUAAGCAAAACUUAUUAAGACUAAAUUAAAAUGGAUGUUUAUGCAAAACAUAAACAAAAUGUAAUAAAAACACAUCAUUUACUCUCUAAAUGGUCUUGAUAAGUCUAGAAUUACCAUAAUAACUCUCAUUUCAUAGAGUUAUCUGUAACCAAUAAAAGUAGAUGAAAGCAAAGAGAGAAAGAAUGAUUUAAGAAAUUAGGGAUUUUAGAGAUAUGAAAAGUUUUUGCCGCCACAUGAUUUAAGAACGCGUGCCUUGAGGGUGUUAUAACAGCCCGUUUGAAAUAUAAAUGGUUAGUCUGAAUGUGUGCCACAUCACACGCAUUUAAAAACAAUGUGACUCCUCGAAUGAAUGGACACCAUCAACCCAUGAAUGCAAAAAAUGCUUUUGGCAGCCUCCUGCUAUAGAGUCGAGCAACCAGGAAAGUAGGUCGAAAGGAUACAUAUUAAGUUUCUAGUUUUGAUUCGUUUAACUCUCAACACUAGAAACUAGGGGACUGUUGUUUAAGGAAGAAAAAACACCGCGACUAAGAUAGCGCGAGCAGAACAUGCUCCCCUGGGCUUAAGGGGAGGCUGAGGCGGAUUGCACGAGUACAAUAGGCCUGAGAGGGUGUGAGGAGGGGACAAAAUUAAGUCAGAUCAAAGACUUGGUCAAAGGUCAACAUGCAGAUUACCUCCAAAGAGCUUAACCACAAAGCCUACUCAACAAUCGUUGUAACAUGUAGGUUAUCUCCAAGGGGCUCUGACACGAAACCCACUCAACAACAAUUAUGUUGUUUAUUUACCCAUGAUUGUAUUACUAUGCCAACAAUGAUCGUGGGGAAGAGGAAGCCGAUAAUUUUAGUUGGGUAUAAAAGCUACAAUAAACGAAAGUAAAGGGGGUCAGACGAUUUCUGACUGGACUUAAAAAAUACUUUCUCUUUCUCUCACCCUCUUGAUAAUUCUAUACUAUGUCUAUCUUUCUCUCUGAAAAUUUAGCUUCUCAAUUUAAAGUAAAUAUAGUUAAGCCACGAGUUUAUGGCAUAAGUUUUUUCAAAAAAGGCUCGAUUACUGACUUGAGCAUCCAAAGGUUUUCACCGGAAAAACAUUCAACGCCCCUCUAACUGGAUAUUGUGAGUCCAGGUUAUCCAGAGUGAGUUUGUGGUCGACAUUAUCUAUUCGAGUGGGAUAGCAGCAAUGCUGAGUCAUUUCCCCAACAAACCAAAUUUAAACGUUGACGUGGACACCUAGUUGCAACUCUAUUGACCAUAUUCUUGCAUUAACACUCAUGUUCAUCAUCAUGUUCAUCCACGCUUGUAGAACUUCUACCAAAACAUAAAAGAGCUUUAGAAAACAUAUUUUGACAACACACAAAAGUUUAAGGCACCUAAAUUUUUAAUACCAAAUAAUUACUAAUUCAAAUGCUUAAAAAUACAGACAAGUAAAAAAGUGAAACUCACUAAGGCAUGUUUUUUACAGCGCAUGCAAACUGAGACUCCGCUAAGAGUGUGUCGACAAAGGAUAAAGAAGUGCAGGGAGAAGAAGAAGAAGAUGAUGAUGAAAAAGAAUGAACUAAAACUUUUAUAAGAAUGAAAGAGGAUGUUUUUAUUGGGUUCUGGGUUUUUGUUUUAUGAGUGGAAAUAGGUUAUGUUGGUGGGUUAGCUGUUUGUACAGAAGACAUUUGAAGGAAUAACCCAAUGAGAAGAACUACAUUGCUACUCUGCUUUACUCAGAUAGUUGUUUAUCUAAGGGUGGGUCUUCGACUCACAAAGGACUCAAAUUAUUUAUUUUCUAUCGCAAUUUAGUUCCCUCCCUUCUAAGUAGGAAUAAAUAUCUGGAGUAAACAUUUCAUCACUAAUCAGUGUUGAUCUGCAAGCUCUCUAAACUAUUAUAACAAUUCAAGAAAACUAUAAUUAUUUAUUAACAUAAAGCGGCAAGUCAAUUGGAUUGGAUUGGAUUGGAUCUAAUAAUUCAAUAUUGUUUCACCUUCACACACAUUGACAAGAGCUAUUGCCACCCUAUAAAACUUUCAUAAAACCGUGCCCCGAAAAAGAAUAGAGUGGAGUUAUUGGCACCUCUAAAAGAAUUCUUGUAUUUUCAAUUUACAUUUUUAACUUUAAUCAAAUCGUGUUUGACAAUUCAUCUCUCUUCCUCUAGCCUUACAUGGGUUUUAUUUUUAUUUUUAUUCUUGAAUUAGUGGUUUCUGUUGGAUUGAAAUUUUUAGUUCAUUAUUUUCAAAUUAUGAAAGGCUUAUUUUCUUUUACCAUUAUAGCUCUUGAUUUCAUUGAUUUAUGUGUCCAUAUAAAAGCACGUAGAAUUGUCACAUUCAAAGCAUUAGAUGAUAUUGGAUUAGCUUCUAUCAAUCUUUUUGAAUAUAAAAGAAAUAUUUCUUUAUUAUUUUUUCUCUCUCUCGUACUGAAGUUAGUGAGAACAUUUGUUGAAUUAAAAUAGCUCCGCUCAAGAGAAUAGCCUAGAGUAUUUCCUAUCUAGUUUUUAGAUUCUAUUUUUUACUGGUUUAACUUACUUCAUAGAAAUAGUUUGAUAUCUUUUCCCAUGGAAUGAUAAAAUAAAGUAAUAAUAUGAAUUCUAUCUUAUGAGAAUCAUAUAUACAUAUAAGAAUAAGAAUAAAAAGAUGGAAAAAGAAGUUCAAAGAAUUCUAAACUGAAAAGUUGAUUCUUAUGGACAGAAAAGGGCUUUUAAUUAAAUUGGAGAAAAAGUUUUGUAAUAAAAGAAUUUCGUUUUCAUAUGAUUUCUCAAGAAAAAAAGAGUAUAUAAGGUUAUUUCUGAAAUUAACAUAGGUGUUGUUAAAAGUAAAGUGAUUUACAUAUGUUUUUAAGAGUCAUUUAGAAGAGAGGUUUUAUGAGGAGUUUAAAGUGGUGCUAAUAGUAAUGGGUCAAAAAGAACAUCCAAAAGAUACUUGUAAUGAAACAAAAAAUAAUUAAUUAUAUUUUACAACUCAAAAUACGCUAGAAGAUCUUUAAUAUUUCUUAGUUUACUCUAUGUUACUAUAAGUACAUAAAAUGUUUGGCUGAUAAAAUGGGGCAACCACAAUCAAGCUUUCCUUGAAGCUUCCUUAUGAUUGCCUUGUCACUUAAAACGGCCUGAAGGAAAUUUGGCGAGGAGGAGUAGGCAGGAGGUAGUUACUUCGAACAAACCUAGUCAAAACAACAUUUCCACUUCAUCUGGAAACCCAGGGACUUAGUUUUAUCCACAAAACCCACAACUCCAUGAUCCUAAAGAGUAAAGAAAAUGGACUUAUAUCCAAAUAACUCAUCAUCCUAGAAUUUAUGGGAGAUGAAGGAGGAGCCCUAUCCAAAAACCCACUUCACUGAGAUCUAAGGGAGAGAGAUUUUCAACUCCUAUAAAAUUCCCAAAGGGCAAAAGGAUAAGGGUCCAUAAUUUGAAUACCCUGGACCCUUGUUUAAUAUUUGGAAAUUCAAAGAUUUAUAUUUGAUUUUCUUUACCCCUUUUAUUUUUUUAUCAUCAUCCCUUUGUAUCAUCAUCUUUUCUUAUUUAAGGGAGAGUUUCUUCUCACUUUUCUCUUUUUGAUUCACUUUGAUUGAUUUAUUUUAGGUAGACAUUCAUAUACUCAAUUAUCCCACGAAAAUCCAUGAUACUGACUUGAGCAAGGUUAACGUUGAAAAACCUUUUGGCACCCCAGACCAUUCUUUUUGUUGCAAGUACUCGCCAGGACAACACCAUGCUUGCCAAUUCCUGCUCAGACUUGUCGAAUACUUGGUUGCCAACUUUCAUUCAAGUUACUAAAUUGAGGUUAGAAACUGUCUAUCCACACGAACAAAUUCAAAUGCUAGCGUUGGAAUCUGGUAGGUAGCCCACACACUGACACAACUAGAUUUUGGGGUCAACAUAUAACAAAAUAAAAUUUAUUGAUUGGUACCUUAUACUUGAUAUAAAUAAAGUAGAAAAUCUUCCACCUCAUAAAAUAUAUGGUAUAUGACAAAGUUACAUCUAAUUUUCUGCAUGCAUAUGGAAAAACAUUAAUUAUUUAAAUUUCUAAUUUAUCAUAUUGAGGUUUGAUUUCUGAAUUUUUUAGUUGUCAAAUGGAUUAAAUUUUCCCCUAUAAACAUUGUCUACAGAAACUCACGAAUCUAAACAAACCAAACCAAUAUUGUUUGGUGAAUGAAAUAAUGUGACCCCAAUAAGGUGUUUGCUCAGACGUCAUUGUACUCUCCUCAAAGUAAAAAGCGAGCAAAUAGUCGAUAGGCUAGCAGGAGAAAAUUCUAGUGACCUUGAGUAGACCACCUUGACCAGGUGCUUAUUUUGAUGAUCUCGAGUAGAUUACCUCGACCAUGAUGUUAUUUUGUGACCUCGAACAGAUUACCUCGACCAGGAGGUUAUUUGAUGACUCAAGCACAUCAUCUUGACUAGAAGAUGAGUCUGGUGACCUUGAGUACGUCACCUGGACCAGAAGGCAAUUCUAAUUACCUCGACCAGAUAAGUUUUGAAGAGACAUUGGACAAAGUCACCAAGAAGCAAGACAAAGUCAAAACUUCUCUGAAAUACUAGGGACCAUAUUCUUAGUGGCCUAAAAAUUAGUGGUCUUCCUUAGAAUUCUAGAAGGAGGAUUCAGCCAAGUGGAUAACAUCCAGUUUGGGGAUUGGUACUUGGUUUUAUUUUUUCAAGCUUUUGAUCUCUGUUUUUGUUUGAAAUAGAAAUUAUUUAUUUUGAUUCUAGUAAACCUAUAAACUGACUUGAGCAUUGAAGGGUUCACAUCGAAAAAACUUCCAAUGCCUCUUACCAUCUUCUAUGAUUUUAGGUGUUCGCAGGUUAUUUAUGAGUGGUCGCAGGGCAUUCUUGACGAUUGGCAAGCCCUUUCACCACUAAAUAAAUUUAAUGCUGAUGCAAGGAUAGGUAUUGAGUCACUAACCAACUCAACCGAAUUUCGGCAUCAACAUACUUUAUUAAUAUUUUUAUCCUCAGACUCUCGGUUUUGCACUUCUGCUUACUAAUACAUUAUGGAACUUAUAUCCACAUUUUUCAUCACUCUUUUGCUGGCCUCAUGUUUGUUCCUUAAUCUUCUCUUCCUCAUCUUUUCACAUCAAUGCAUGCAUAAUUAAUUAUAAUAUGAAGGUAUUAGCAUUAAGCUAAUUAAUUGUUUGGCAUUUAUAUAUACAGGUGUGUUGUUUUAUAUUUCCAUGCCAGUGCUCAACCGGAAUCAAAAGUAGUCACAUGUAAAAGCAAUGCUGACUAUGACAAUUGCAAAAUUCGUUUGAAUGUGAUCUUGAUACCCAAGGGCAGAUUUAUUAUAAGACCAGUGGGGACUUAAGUCCCCACUAGAAAAAAAAAUCUUUUAAUAAUUAAUUUAGUUUGCCUAAAUUCCCAACAAAUUUCUCUCAAGCCCGCAAUACAUAGUUACACUUAAAUUCUUACGCUCUAAAUUUUUAAGUUCAAAUCAAAAGAGAUGGGCUUUGCAAACUAAAAUUAAGCCCAUAAAUAUUAAUAUUAAUUUAAUUUUUAGACAGCCCACAAACUCAUUACUAAUUUUUUAUUAAUCUUACAUUUUCCAAUUCCACCACUAGUCCAACACCCAUCAAAAAUCCCUAAACAUCUUUUUAUGUUGGUUUUAUGUCAAUUGUUUACAUAGAAAAAGACUUAUUUAAUAAUAUUGAUAAUGAAGUUCUAAUGCAAUGUAUCAAUGUAUGACAACUCGCAAAGGACAAUUGUAAACAUAUACUGAAGUAUUAUAAAUCUUUCAAAUAUAUAUAUUUAUUACUUUUUGAAUUUUUUUUAUUUUGUCAUUGAAUAAGCCCCCCAGUCAAUCAAUAUGUUGUCUCUGCCCUUAUUGAUACCCAUCUCUACGUUUGUGUUCCUGGCUAAAAUUCGACGUGUUGUUGAAGAAAUUAAAGCUUGUAUUGCAAGUUCUAGUGAUAUUUUGGAUGCUGAAUUGCAAAAUUUGUAAUGUUUUUUGCAAUCUUUGUUUUAUUUCUUACAUUAUACUCUCUCCGGAUAUGCAUAUUAACAUUGUGUACAAAAAUUUACAAACCAUCUCCAUGUGAUUGGUCCUAUACAAUGUCGUGCUAUACAUUUGGAGAAGUCUCUAAGACUUGGAAUUAGGGAUGGCAAAACACUGGGUUUUAUUAGCCAAGCCAAGAGCCUGAAGUUUACAUUCUAUAUUUUCUAAAAACUUUUUUUAUUAUAUUUUGUAAAUUUAUAGUGUAUAAAAUUUAGUUUUGUUUUGGUUAGAUUAGGCUUUAAAAGUUGGACUUGAAUGAUUUAAAAUUUUAAAUAUAUGUAAAUGGAUUAAAUAUAUGUUAAAAGUUGUAUUUUAAUUAAAAUAUAUAAUAUAUAUUUUUAAAAUUUUUAAGUAGCUUUUGGGCUUUCGAGUUGGACUCAGGUUUUUUUUACAAAGCUCGAGUGCAGCCACAGUACUUAGAAAACAUGCUCUAGUUGGAUUGGAUUUUUCUGCCAUUCCUACUUGGAAUUCGAUUAUCAUUGAUUUCAUUAAUUGAUUGUUAUUUUUUUAACAUUAAGGACCACUACUAGAAAAAUAGGCUUUACUGACACCAAUUUAGUGUCAGUAAUUACUUUUACUGACACUUGUUAAUUGUGUCAGUAAUGCUUAAGCCAGAACACACUGACACUAAUUUUUUGUGUUAGUGAUUUUUGUGUCAGUAUCUUGUGUCACUAUAGUAUCACCACAAUAGUGAUACUAUGGUGUUAGUAUCAGUUGAUACUAUUUCUAUGUCAGUAUUUUGUGUCACUAGAGAGUCACAAGGAUGGUGACUCAAUCGUGUUAGCAUUUAAUGAUACUAUUUACAUGUCACUGAUUUAUGUGACUACAAAAUCAGGAAUCCACUGACUCAGUAACAUCAAAAAUUCUUAUCGUCAUUUAAAUAAUUAGUAUGAGUAUUAACGGUGCUAUACCGGUUGUGUUUUAUUUUUUUUAAUCACAUUAUUCCUGUUUAUUUUACAAUUAAAAUAAACCCAAAAUAUAUUAAACAUACCAAAUCUUGUAAUGCAAUUCACAUAAUACACAUUUCAAAUACAUCAGUUAAAUUAAAAUAGUUCAAAUACAUCAUUGUUUGGGGGUAAAAAACAAGUUCAAGUACUAAAUUAAGCUUUGAACAAGUAGUAUACACGAUAAAGUACUAAAUUAAUUUUGGAAAAUUUAGCCAAGAAGAAAAAAUAGAUAACAAUGUCAUUGAUUUUGGAGUCACUGAUUUUGGAGUCCGCAUAUGCCUUCAUUUUUUUUCCACCUACAAGUAUAUAAAAUCAAUUAGCACAACACAAAAAAUAAGUCUUGUAUAUUUUUAAGGAAAAAUAAUCAUAAAUUACUUGUAUGUCACCUCACGAUUGUAGGCUGUAAUUAACUUGGCAACGUAUGUAGCCCACUGAUCACGAAGUCGUGAGAGGUCCUUGACAGUGUAUUCCUCAACUCCCUUGAACUUUAAUUUUAAAACAACAAGUUAUUCACCGAAAAUCCUUGACUAAACCACUUAAUUAUCAUUCAUUUAAAUAUAUUUGUGUGUUAACAAUUAAAGCCAACAAAUAAACUCCAACAAUGUUACUAUUUUAUCCAAAAUUAUAUAGGUAAAUACUGAACAUCCUGAUCAUGGUAAUUCCAAAAAAAAAAAAAAACAACUUGUGAACCCCAACAGCAACAAUAUUUGAUAGCCGAAGCAACUUGUGAACCCCAACAGUACGCGAUUUAAUACAAAUAUGGAUGUAGAUACAAAACCUUAAUUAGGAUGACAACUUAUCCUCAUCAAAGUAAAGUACAAGCAACGACACCAUAGCACAUCCCCACUAACAACUACUUUGCAACCCAAACAAUUGUUUUGUGUUGGGAUAUGCAGUACAUUGUGUAUAUCCCAAAUCCUAAUUCAUGUCUAUAUGGAUAUUCAUAUAAUCUAUUCAACAGUAUGCAACAUAGUCACCGUUAUAAGUACCCUCACAGUUUAUAAAAUGCAUAAAAUACGCAAUAAAAAGAUAACUAUAAAGAAGCACACAAUAGGUGUUUGAGCUGAUUCAUUUCACAAUAAAUUAAAACAAUAUGAUGCAGUAUUGUAAAAAUCGUUUUCAAUACUUACAUUAUUUUUCAGAACGUUCACAUUUGUGAUGAUAUCUUGCAUGUAUUUCAUCAUAUAGUAACCACAUUCAAAGUUGCUCGGCUGCCUCGAACACUACAGGAUCAAAAUUACAUUAAUUUUUUACUGUACGUUAACAAUAAUUAGUUAGGUUUGUCUGAUUUUUACCUUGACAGGUAUCCAUUGAACAUUGGCCUUUGCAUCAAAAUUUAAACUCUGAUGUAUUCGAAUCCCCCUACAAUUAAGAGACAUAGCAAACGUUAGCAAAUAAUUAGCAUAAGACAUAAAAAUAAAACAGCAUGAUCAAAGAUACAAAUAACAAACUUAACUGAUUGACAAUCUGCAUUAGCUCUUCAUCAGGACUACCUUCCAAAGGAUCAAGAUAAUAGGUUGUACGUCUCACCAUAUCAAUUGCCAAUAACACCCAGUGGGCACUAAACAAAGUAAAAAUUGUUCUCACACAUGAAUUACAAGUAAAAGUUUUUAACUUCAUGAUUAAUCUACAAAUUAAAGAAUAUAACUAGCAAAUGAAAAAGGUUAUACCCAGGGUUAUACGAGAAUACGAUGACUUGUCCCAAUUCUGCCAAGCCUAACAGUUUUGAAAUGUAUUGAGUCUUGUCUUUGAAGCUGACCCUUGGAUAUAGCUUCUCAAAAAGCCCAAACGGAACUGGUUUAGUACUUUCAUUGCUCUCCGUCUCCUCAUACAGGUGUCUAAGAGGAAACAAAUAUAUAUAAUGAAGUAAGUUUGAAUAUAGGAAACAAAAUAAUAGGGCCAAGUUUACUAAAACAUAAGUUAUAAUUUACCGUACUUGAUCCAUAUGUUAAUGAUGCAGUUUGAGACCUCUUUAAACUCGAUGAUUUCAGCACAAAUCAUUUUUUCCAAGUGUGUUUCCCAAAUUUCACCAAAGGUUGCUGUGUCAUGCCGAAUCCUGAUCAACCGAGGUAAAGAAUUCUCGAUGAACAUGGUAAACAUGUUCAUAUAUUCACUCCUGUCAUUCUUUCUUGAUCGUGCUGCUGCCCGUGUAUUCUUCACACGUACAUUGAGGUCUUUUACUGCUGGUCUGAUGACUCAGGGUUCUUUUUUGGUUACUUCUGCUGGUCUGAUGACUCUGGGUUCUUUUUUUUUCUACUUCUGCUGGUCUGAUGACCAGUGGUUCUUUUUUGGGUACUUCUACUGGUCUGAUGACUAGUGGUUCUUUGUUGGGUACUUUGUCAUGAUAGGAGAACUGCCUAUCUAGUACUUUAGAAGUUAGUCUAGGAGAUCUUCUCGGUGUGGGCUUUGAAGUAAUUUCACACUCUACUUUUUCGGGGGUUUGUUGAGGAGUUGCUUGAGAAAUUGUGGUGGGACUGUCCUUGAUUUUACUCUUCACAGAUUUUGGAGUCGACUUACCCGAUGGGAAAUCAGCCUAUGCAAUAAUCAAAAUACAUACCAUUAGUAGUAAUACAUGCAUAUACAAAUAGAAAUAAAAUAAUGACAUGUAACAGGCCAUAUACCUUUCUUUUUCCAAGAGUUUCAGGGGAUUGUUGAUCAUUGUCAAUCUGAACACCAGUGGAAGUUUUGGGCUUAGGAAAGUUAGAACUUCCAACUUCAGUAUUGCUGUAUGCAUUUAACCUUGCAUUCAUGCGUUCUAAUUGAGCAGACAUGAAUUGGAAACUCUCUUGAUACAUCUUUCUUUCUCUUGCUAACUCAAUGGCAUCAGGGACAUGAAAGUACAUAGAUGGGGUGACGAAUUGCCCCACUCCUUACACCCUGCUUCCAUUUGGCUGCUUCUGAAGAGCUUCACCUAGAAUGUCAUGUGACCCUUGUGAUUGGAAUGUUCCUUGUUCAACCUGACUCUUCAGCUCAUUCUACAAAAAAAAAAUAUUGUAAAUCCGCAAUUACGAGUACAAGACAUCAGCUAAAUUAAAAUUCAUAAGAAUUAAGUAUACAAGUGACUUACUAUUUUCUCAGCAAUUGGCAUCACAUCAGAAGCAUAUUUACCAUCUCGGUCUGCUCGUGCCAUUAACCAAGCUUCACUGCGAUCAAUCUCCCGCUCAGAAACUCCACUCUCUUUUUUCUGUUACAAGGUGACAUAAAACAUAAAUAAUUGGUUCUAUUAUAUUAUACGUAUUAGAUUACUUAUGUUACUGUAAUUACUUCAUAUUACCACACUUACUUUUCUAUACAACAUGCCACCAUAUCUUGUGCUACCCAAGCGAUGGUUGUAGACAUUCUUUGCUCUUUUGUCUUUUGCCUUCUUACUUUUUUCCUGCACAAACAGUUUAUAUGAAGAACAAAAAGUUACCAUUGAUUAUUAGUAACUACUAACAAUUAAAUCAGGCAAUAUUAACAAACAACACACCUGAAAUUGUUCAGACAAAACUUUGUCAACAAAAAGUUUCCAAUCUUCUUUUUUAAUGCUUGGAUAUUCAAUAGGAGGCAACUUUAGUGACUUUCGAUCAUCCUUGUUAGGUAGAACUAAUUCAGUUGCCAGUUCACAUUGAAAGUUUCUUGAUGCAACCCCCAUCCACUUUAAUACUUGGCUUUUGCAUUUCAAGCUCAAUUUGAAUUAUUUUCUGUAAACCAAUAACAUGGAUUAGAAACAACUUUAAACAAAUCUGGAAGUUAUAUAAAAUCUUUAAACAUACUAUGAAACAAGAAAACAAAACCUGAAAAUGAACCCACAAAGUUUCCUUCAUCUCUAGUGGCACACGCCUCCAAUCAUCAAGUAAAAUUGAAAUUGUUUUACGUACAAUGACUCCAAUGUAACUCCUAAGAUCAUUUCUUCCCUUUCCAACUGGAACACCAUAAGAAUUGUACUCAAUUGCAGCUUCAUGACUAACUUCUUAUUUUUAGAAACCUUUUUUUUUUGUUUGUUUUCUUCUCCUUGGUCUUCCGUCGAGCUCCGGAAGAGUGAACUCAACAUCGUCAGCCAUCUCCUACAAUCCUGAAAAUGAUUAAAAUAAAUAAGUAUAUCAUUUAGAUUAAUAAGUUAAUACAAGAGCAAUAGCAUAUAAUGAAAUAAAUAAAUCACUUACUGGAAAACUGUGAAAAUUAGUGCUGGAAACUAACUACAAUAAUGCAUUCACUGAUUUUCUAAAUCAAUAUCUAUUGGAAUAACAUCAGAAUCUUUUUUGUCAUAAAUUCCUUCAUCAUCUUUCUCAUCCAACUCACAUAUUGGAAGUUUGUUAGAUAAUGGAGAAAAUACAUCCACAUCUUCACAUCUUUCCCCAUUUAACUUAUAAGCUUUGUCGGUCACUAAACAAACUAUUGAUUUAUUAUUAUCUAACUGGUCCUUUACAUAAAAUACUUGCUUUGCAUGACAAGCCAGAAUAAAGCAAUCAGAUUUAUAGCCAAUCCGAUUUAAAUCAACUACAGUAAAACCUAAAUUGUCAGUGCAAACCCCUCUAUCAUCUACCCAAUCACACUUGAAAAGUAUUUUUUUAACCCUCAGAUAAUCAAGCUACCAAAUCUCAUCAAUGACUCCAUAAAACGUCAUGUCUCCAAAAUGAGGACUUUUAUCUUUUGAGCUUGAAAUCUGUAGAGUGUUAGCAACAACCCUAACAUCACUAUUUUGGGUCACACGAUUACAAUCCUGGUCCCUCGUUGUAAAAUUGAAGCCAUUUAUCUCGUAGCCAGAGAAGGUCACCACGCUUGAGCGUGGUUUGUUUGACAACCAGCACGCUAUUUCGUCAAUCGGCACAUUAUUUGCUUUAUCAUGUGCCACCUAUAAAUUAAAUUAACAAGUACAAUAAUUAAUAACAUGUAGAAAAAUCUUGUUAAGUUUAUAUCCUAUAUUGUAUUUAGUUAAGUAAUUCUAACCUUUGCUUGUAACCAACCAGAAAAUGUACGUAUGUGUUCAUUUUGCAACCACAUAUUUGUUUUUGGCUUAUAGGGGUUUCUUGAUGCCAAAUAAUGCAUAUGCUCCCUACAGUGAGACCAUAUUAAGAUUUAAAAACUAGUAUAUUAAUCUAAUAAUACAAUAGUAAUAUUUUUUUUGGAAAAAUUAACAACUUACUCGAUAUAUAUUUGGAUUUCAGGGGUGUUCAUUAGAACACACCGGUGUGCUUGUGCCAACAAAUGAUCAUCAACCACCUUUAUGUUUGCACCUCCCAAAGGCUUUUCGAUAGAUAAAUCAGUUGGACAACCAGUAGGCAGCCCAAUAACAUCACAAUUUGAGAGGUACUCAGCACAAAAUGCAAGUGCUUCUUCUGCAAUAUAACUUUCUACAAUACAACCCUCAGGGCGGUAGCGAUUACGAACAUAAUCCUUGAGAGUUUUCAUUUGUCUCUCAAAAGGAUACAUCCAUCGAAGAUAAACAGACCCACAUAACCUAACUUGUUCAACUAAGUGGACUGUUAAAUGGAUCAUUAUGUCAAAAAAGCUAGGUGGGAAGUACUACUGCAGUAAGCAUAAAGUGAUUACAAGUUCCUCUUGCAAUUGGUCAAGAGUAUUAGGAUCUACCACUUUACAGCAUAAUGUAUUAAAAAAGAAGCACAUCCUGAUUAUGGCCCUUCUCACAUUUAUAGGCAAACAGUUUCGAAUGGCUAAUGGUAGAAAUUAUUGCAUCAAAGUAUGACAGUCAUGGGACUUAAGGUCUUGAAGCCGACAAUCAUCUAUUGAAACAAGGUUUUGGACAUUGGAAGAAUACCCAUCAAGGACUUUCACACUCAGCAAGGUUUCACAAAACUAUUUUUUUUCUUUUUUACUCAAAGUAUAGGGAGCUGGAGGUAGGACUUUGUUUUUUUUGUUUGUUUCAUCAGGAACUAGUUUUCUAGCAUUAAUCCCAUCUUUUGUUUUGCCUGGUUGAUGAAGUAAUGUGCCAUAUAUGUUCUCGCACACAUUUUUUUCAAUGUGCAUCACAUCUAAUUGAUGGCGAACUAAUAAAUGCUUCCAAUAAUCUAACUAAAAAAAGAUUGACUUUUUUUUUGUACAACUUUUCAGUUAUGUUCUCAUCACCAUCACCGCCACCGCCGCCAUCAUGUUUCCGCUUUUUGGCCUUCUUUUUCCUAAACUUAAUAUCUAUAUCUUCCACCAUAUUAAAGAUUUCCUCACUACACAAAGUUUUAGGAGGCUCAUUCCACUCUUGCUUCCCAUUAAAAACCUUUUUCAGUUUUCGAAAUAGGUGACCGAGUGGUAGAAAGCGGCGAUGGCCCAUAUAUGACAUUUUCCUACUAUGUGGCAACCAACAUGCACAAGUGUCUAUCCCACAAAUUGGGCAAGCAUAAUAGCCCUUAACAGUACAACCAGAGAGGUUUCCGUAUGCUGGAAAGUCACUAAUUGUCCACAUCAAGAUAGCCCGUAAAUUAAAUGUUUCUUUUCUAUAAGAAUCAUAAACAUCAAUACCUACAUCCCAUAGAGUUUUUAAGUCCUCAAUCAAAGGUGUUAGGUAUACAUCUAGAUCAUUUCCAGGUUAUUUAGGGCCAGAUAUCAAAAGUGACAACAUCAAAAACUUUCUCUUCAUACACAACCAUGGAGGAAGAUUAUAUGUUAUUAAUAUAACAGGCCAACAACUAUAAGUAGUGUUAAGUGUACUAUGUGGGUUAACCCCAUCAGUUGAGAAAGCUAAACGGAGAUUUCUAAGUUCUUGUGCAAAUUUUGGCCACUUAUUGUCAAUUAGUUGCCAGGCAGGUGAGUCUGCUGGGUGGUAAAGUUUGCCAUCUCUAAUUCUUUUAUUACCAUGCCAUGUUAAAUUUGAGUUGUUUGUGGUGAUUGAAACAAUCUUUUCAACCUAGGAAUAGGUGGAAAAUACCAUAAUACCUUUUUAGGAACCCCUUUCCUAAAUUUUGUUGAGCUAUCUUUUUUUAUUUGAUACCUAGAUGCUCCACAAUUUGGGCAUUCAGCAAGAUCAGCAAUUCAUUCCUAUACAAAAUGCAGUCAUUUGGACAUGCAUGUAUUUUUUCAUACUCUAAGCCUAGCACUUUCAUUGUUUUCUUAACCUCGUACAUUGACAUAGGUAGAGUAUUAUUAUUUGGCAAAAUAUCACCAAGGACUUCUAACAAAGCAGAAAACCCUUUAUCGGACCACCCAUAGUUCCCUUUCACAUUGUAAAGUCUCAUUAAACUAGAUAACUUUGAAUGUUUUGCACCCGGGUACAAAGGCUUUUCAGCAUCUUCAAGCAUAUCCUUAAAAGAACUAGGAUCUCUAUCACAAUGCUCGUAAGCAUCUUCGACCAUGUCAAUUAUAUUACUGUAAUCAUGACAUCUAAAUCUUUGACUAUGUGAAUGGUCUUCACAGUUUAUAAAUGUAGAUUUAGAGUCAGUCUCACCAUGCCAAGUCCAAACAAUAUAUCUUGGGAGAAAACCUUUUUCAAAUAAAUGAUCCUUCAUCGGUUGAGGAGUAUGAAACUCCAUAUUACAACAAAAGGUGCAAGGACAUCUAAUUGACAUCCGAUUUUCAACAUUCAAAAUGGCAAAAUCUAAGAAAUCAGCAACUCCAGAACGAUACUCUACAGACAAUCUAUCACAAGUUAUCCAACUUCUGUCCAUUUCAAAUAUUUUACCUAUUCACAUAUGUAAUGUCAGUUUAAGUUUAAUUAAAUUGCAUGAUUAAUUUAAAGUUCAAUGUUAUUAUGAUUAUAGUUGCAAUAAUAAACUUAUAAUUCUGGAAAAUCAUUAAUAGCCCCUAUAAAUCAUUAAUUAUAAUAAUAAUUUAGACAAAAUCCUAAAAUUGAAAUAAAAGAAGUUUUGAAACUUAAAUAGGAGAUUAAUAGGUAAGAUGGGUAAUAAUGGCUUUUUAAGUAGUCGAACUAAUUCAUAAGUCAAGUAACUAACAAAAGUUAAGAGUUCAAAUAAAUAAUGUCUUCAUACCACUUUGCAAGCCAUUUUUAAAGAUUCUAUAAAUCAUUUUUUAACUUCAAAUACAACAUGCAAAACUACUUUAAAACAAGCAUUUCUUUAUUGAAUCAAACACAAAUCAUCAACUUUAUACAAUCUCAAAAUACUCACAACCACGAACUUAAUUAAUUCAUAUCAUAGUCAUUGUCUCUAGUACAAAUCACCCAACCAAAACAGAAUAAAUAAACAAGUAGGAUUAUAUAACAAAAUUUGCCUCUCUUCACAUGAAACAGAGAUGUAAAUAGUUUGUAACCACUAAAUACACAGUCAUUCAGCCAAUAUAACACCCAAACAAUCAUCUCCUAAUCACAAAGGCAAAAGCUAAAAUGAAAUUUCAUAUUUUAGUACAUUCAAAAUCAACUAACUUAUUGCUCAAAGUUAAGAAACGGAGCUAACAGUUUAUUUCAGAAACUAAAAAAAAAUGCACAUUCUUAGUUUUAAAUAACAAUGACUGUAAAUCACAUGCACAAAAGUUUGAAACUGACCUCAAAUGUGGCAGAAAAAAACAGAGUCGCAGUAGCAAGUGUUUUGAGUUUAAGUAAUGCACCACUUAAAAUGCCUGUAUUUUUGGACUGCAUGUGAGUGAAGAUAUAGAAAAAUAAGAACAAAAAUUUCAAGUUAAAAAUAAAUAAAAGAAAAAAAAAGAUUUGGAAAACAAAACCCACCAGGGUUGCACUACUGUUCAAUUUCUGAAUAUCUGAAACAACCCAAAAAUAAUAAUUCAAAAAUAUUAUUCAUAAGCCAAAUUAAAACAAACCCAAUAAUUAAAUUGCCCAAAAAAAUAAAAUAUUCUGCCAUUACCAGCUGAUAACCUCCUCUACAGUUCUUUCUCUAGACUUAACUUGUCAAAGAGAAUGAGAUUACCUGAAUACGGAACCGAUGGUGCCACUUCACCCCUUGUCGAUGGCUUUUACUUGCUUGCCUAGUAUAGGCACUGGAUGGUUUAGUUGGAGAAAAACCCCUUCGAUAACAAGCGAUUAGGGUUUUGGUUUGUGUUUCAAUUUGGGGAAAAUGGAAAUACGAAACAGAGUUUUAAUUUUUCAUUAUCUAUCUAAAUUAAUUGAAUUUAAUUCGUAAAUGGAUAGUGCAAAAUAGAAGAGAUCGAGAAGAGAAGAACGAAAGAGAAAGUGAACGAUGAAAGCAAGAUAGAGACAGUCGAUAUAGUCUAAAUGGGGAAAAGUCAAGUGUGUUUUAUGUUGUUGUUAUUUAUAUUUUCAUUUUUUAAUAAUUUAAAUAUUAUUAUGACUUUGACUCAUCGAGAUUUGAUGGUCUGUGCUCCAAACAUUAAAGCUUUAAAUCUUAGAGCUCUCAGGUUCGAGUUGGAGGUAAAACAAAAUUUUUAUGAAUUUUUUUAUCAUUGAUACUUUAGUGUUAGUGAUUUUUUAUGUUUAGUUUACUGACACCCUAGUAUCAUUAAUCUCUGAUUCCUAUUUGUCAAAAGCGGAAAAUGGUGCAUAUGUACAUAAGUACUGACACUUUUUGCAAAGUGUCAGUAAAGCUUAUUUUUCUAGUAGUGGACUCAAAUGAAAAUAAUUAUAAAUAGUGUCUUAAGAUAUUAAUCUUUUCAAAAAGACGAGGAUUCAUAUAUUACGGAUACUUGAAUCGAAGAAUGAUGCAAUGGUGACCAAACAACUGUAAAAUCAUAUAAUGUUAUAGUGUUAAAUAAAAAAAAAUAUAACUAUUUUUCAAUCAACAUUGUAACACUACACAAUUUACAAUUAUUUUUGUCACCCUUAUGUCUCUGUUAGAACUCUAUCAUUUUUCAUUUCUUAAAAAAAACAUGCUUAAAAGAUCCCCAAAUUUCUGUGGUAUAUGUAUAUACUUUUAAAAUGAAGAUAUAAUAAAUAUAAAAUUUUACAAACGAUCUAGUACUUUUUCUAAAUUUCGUUGAAGAAAUAAGAUACCAUCGUACAUGAUUAAUCACGUAUAUUCAUUUGAGUAAUUUUACAUUUAUAACCUUGGGAUACAAAUUUUGUUUGUGAUAUACAUGCAAGUCUCGUAAUGUAUAAUUCGUCAUCGAGGAUUUAACACAUCAACAACGGCUGAUGCUGGUAAUUAUUCUUCUGUAUCUUCAGGAUUUAAGAAGAGGGUCACAGUGGGUCUAGAUAAUAGAAUGGAGGAGUUGAUAGAUUUAUUCAUUGAGGUACCACCUCAACUUUUAGUAGUGGCCAUCCUUGAUAGCGUAAAAUCAAGUUUGUAUCAGGCCAUGAUUCUUCUCUAGGGAGGAGGAGGGAGCAGAUGAACAAGAAACCCCCGUGUAGUGGGUUGAGAGGAUUAGAUGGAGAUGCUGUUAAAACUAAGGUACGAGGCAGAGAAGCAAGCUGUGGAAGCCAAUUAGGGUGAAGACUCUCAAAAAGCAAACACGAUGAUUAGCAGUAUGUCUUUGCCUCGGCUCAUAGUGCUAACUACUUCAACUUUGUCUGUUACUUGGAAACUUUGGUGCCUUCCAUGACAAUCAUCUUGUGGCAGCAAGGUCAAAGAUUCUAUUGCUUUUGGUUUCAAUGAACAGAGCUAGCUUACCAGACAGGGUUAGCAUUUUAUUAAUUGCAAGUGGUAGCAUAUUUAUUCAUUAGCGUCACCUUCCCCUCAUCUUCUCCAACCUUGCUGCAAGUGGUAGCAUAUUUAUUCAUUACCUACAUUGAUAAAGUUUUUAAAAAUUUCCUUUUCACGAGAAAUAGUCACGGAAAAACUUGUGCAUGAUAGAGCAGUCAGUGACUAACUCCAUGAAAUAAUUAUAAAAUCAUUAUUUGUCUUUAAUUUUCAUCAUAUUAUUUGUCUUUAAUUUUCAUCAUACUCAUUAAAAAAGUAUUAUGAUUACAUAGUCAGUGUUUUAUAUUCACAGAUGACAAAAGUAACGAAGUACUGCCAUUUUGGAUUUAAUUGCAAGUUGUAUAAUUUAUUAUGCUCCAAGUCCAUAUCACAUAAACCAAUACCCAAUCUCUUUUCUACAACUACUUCCGUAUUGUACAUAUUAUCAAAAUUCUAUAAUAAAACAUCAUUUAUGUAUAGAAGAAAUUAUUGACUAAACUAACAUGCUCACACUACUUGAGUGCUGAGAGAAAGAGUUGCGUCGGUCAACCUACGACCAAUUCCAUUCAUCAACAAUAAAUGUUUCAGCGGACACAUAAAUAUUUGAAUUAAGAGCUAAGAAGUUUUAACAAUGAUUUUUUUUUUUUAAACAAAGAUUCUGCCUUGAUAUGUUCUAAUUUGAGAGUCAACGAUCUUGAUUUAACUUCUUGACUGGAGAACUAGCUAAGAGAAGGGAGGUACGGGAGCCAGCACUAAUGUUUGAAUUGAGAUCUUUAAAGCAUAUUUUCUUUUUCCCCUCUCUCUUUUAAUUAUUUCUUUGCAUGCUACAAGACUGAUUUCAGGGUGAAUCUGAGAGAGGAGGAGAUAUGGACAUCAGCUUCAGACUAUUUUCAGAGAGGCUGAGAAGGGUGUUAGCUGGUGAAGAAGUCAUGUUGUCUGAUGCUGCGAAACAACCAAUUCACAACCUUAAUGCGGAGGUUGAAAUCGUUACUUCUUGGCUGAGGGAAUUUGAAUAUGAUAUCUCCUGCCUUCUGUUCCAAAAAAUAGCAGAGGAGGAAAUUGAUGACCCAGAUCUUGCGACCGUUAUGCACAAAAUCAAUUGCUUUACGUAUGAAUCUGAGAAGGUCAUUGACACAUACAUCAACAGCAUCACUCAACAGAAGAGUCAAAGCAGAUACAACAAGGACAUUUGUGAUGCUCUGCAACGACUCCAAAGCAGAAUCACUGAGAUUAAGCAACGGGUUCAACAACUUAAGCACAUCGAUCCCGAAAUCAUGGACAACUUCAGAAGUGUUGAAGCUGAAUCCGGUUAUUUUCCUGCAUCUUCAUCUUCUAAGAAUAGGAACACGGUGGGCCUAGAUGGUAGAAUGGAGGAGUUGUUAGAUCUAUUGAUCGAGGGACCAACUCAGCUUUCGGUGGUGGCCAUACUCGAUAGCAUUGGGUUGGACAAGACGGCUUUCACUGCGGAGGCUUAUAACAGCAGUUAUGUGAAGCAUUAUUUUGAUUAUCUCGCUUGGAUUCCAGCGCCUUAUCAAUAUGACCCUGACCAACUAUUAGAUGUCGUUACUGUGAUUCUAUUGCCUUUUUCUAUGUUGAGUAAAAUAAAGGAUAAAGAUUAUGAAAUGAAAAAAGUUAUUCUUGGUGAAUAUCUAAUGACUAAGCGGUAUUUGAUUGUGCUUGAUGAUGUGUGGAGCGCAGAUGUAUUGGAUGCUAUUCAAGAAAUCCUUCCGGAUAAUCAGAAUGGAAGUAGAGUGCUAAUCACACUCACUCUAAUUGAGAUGGUCACCUCAUUUCAGUUCGAAAAUGGAGAGAACGUUCGCCUUGAUAUAGUGCCCACUAGAGGACCAUUGAGGGUUAGUUACCAAGGAUGGCCUUUCCUCAUCUUAUAUCAUGGAAGCAUCUCAUUAGAACAAAAUAUAGAGGAAGCAAUCGAGGGACCCAUGGGGCGUCUAACCGUCAUAUCUUGCAAGCUACCUUUUCGCUUGAAACCUUGUUUUCUCUACUUAUCUGUGUUUCCCGCACACCUAGAGAUAUCCACCAGGCAGUUAUAUCAGUUGUGGAUAGCUGAGGGUUUCAUUCCAGACAACAGUGAGGCAACUGCUGAGAAGUACUUAGAGCAACUAAUCAAUAGAGGCUUUGUUGAUGCAAGGAGGAGAAGAGCUGGAGGCACUAUCAACACAUGCUCUGUUCGUGGUCGUUGCCGUCCUGCGUUGUUAACAGUGGCUAUCGAGGCGGAAUUUAUCUUUCUCUCGUUCAUGGUUUCAGAACGUAAAUCAAAAAAGAAUGUUAAACGGAUCAACGUUUUUGAUAAACAGAGUGAUUUUGUUCACUUUGUUGAUGAUGACUCGCACAUGCAUUCUUUGUUGUACUUCACUUCAAAAAGCGACCACCUUGACCCAAUAGAUUGGGGGAUAAUUUGUCUAAUGUUGGAAUUUCUCAGAGUAUUGGACUUGGGAUCUCUUGUUCUCAUCCAAUAUCCAUCCGGAAUUGAAAAUUUAUUUCUUUUGAGAUAUUUAAAGUUGAAUAUCCCUUCCCUCAAAAUCCUGCCUUCAUCAUUAUUAAGCAAUCUUCUGAACCUUUAUACCCUAGACAUGCCCUUUAGCUAUAUAGAUCAUACAGCAGAUGAAUUUUGGAAGAUGAACAAACUCAGGCAUCUAAAUUUUGGGUCAAUCACACUUCCUGCGCAUCCAGGAAAAUACUGCGGCUCUCUGGAAAAUCUCAAUUUCAUUUCAGCCUUGCAUCCUUGCUGCUGUACUGAAGAUAUAUUGGGCAGACUACCUAAUCUUCGAAAUCUCCGGAUUCGGGGAGAUUUAAGUUAUUAUCAAUUUUUGUUGUCCCAAAGUAUUUGCAGAUUGAGCUGCCUCGAGUCAUUGAAGUUGGUGAAUGAAAGCAAGAUGCCACGGAUCUCCAAAAUCAUCCUUGCUGAAUACCUAUUUCCUCAUAGUCUAACCCACUUGAGUUUUUCUAAUACUGACCUAAUGGAUGAUCCCAUGCCGACACUAGAAAAGCUGCCACUUCUUCAAGUGCUCAAACUGAAGCAAAACUCGUAUUCAGGUAGAAAGCUGACUUGUGGAUCUGAUGGUUUUCCAAGGCUUAAUGUAUUGCACAUGAAAUCAAUGCUAUGGCUAGAGGAGUGGACUAUGGGGACUGGGGCCAUGCCAAAACUAGAAUGCUUACUUAUCAACCCUUGUGCUUACUUGAAAAGGGUUCCUGAACAGCUCUGGUGCAUAAAGAGCUUAAACAAAUUCGAUUGCUGGUGGCCUCAGCCAGAGCUGAGACAAAAGCUACGGGAAUUCAAGGAUAAGGAGCAGUAUGGCGUUCAGCUUUAUCCUUACGGAAUUUGAUUAGCCCUGAUUGAGUUUCAUGUAAGUUUUUUCUUCUUCCCCAAUAACUUCAACCUUUAAUUAUUGAUCUAAUUUCAUAUAAAAGUUUUUUUUCCUCCACAAUAGAUUUGAUAGUAUGCAGCUGCCUAAACUAUAAUCAUAAUAUAAAGUGUUUUCUACAUUCUAAUUGUGGUUGCUUCUAAUUUUUGUCUCAACAUAAACUUGAAGUGUCCAUCACAGUUCCUGAUGCUGACACCAUUCAUUAAAAACUGUAUGAUAAGAUCUUCUAUCAGUUGUAUGUGCAGGUAAAAGCAGAGCGGAAAAUAUCUUAACUGUACUGCAGCCAAAGUUUCAAUUUCAACCAGAAUCCAGCCUUCAUCCUUUCAGUGUUCACUUCUGCUGAGUUGUCUACACGUUGUUUGGUUUCUUUGUUUUCAAGGAUUUGCAUGCUAAAGUAAUAAUGUCAUGUUCGGAUUAAUAUAUUGUACAAAAGUCUGAUUAAUUGUUUUACUUUCUAUUUUCAGUUUCACUGGUGUGUAUUCAAUUUGUCAACAUUCAAAUUGAUAUAUGUUAUGUUUUUAUUUUUAUUUUAUUUCUUUCUCUAGUUUUUAAGUAGCGGUACAGUUCAACUUCAAGCUUAGUACUUCAGUUAGAAGAAUAGUAUUUGUGCUUUGAUCUCAUCUCAUCAUCUCAACACAGGCAGAACGACAUUGUUGUUCGGUUUUUUGGAAUUUCACCGACGUGUCGGUCAUUAUAAGGGCGAGAAUGCUGGUCAAAAGUCAGUUGGGGUUAGUUAAAAAAGUGCAGGAAAAUUCUGGGAUUGUUAGAGAUGGCCUUUAUGAUAGUUUAUAAGGCUGGUUGAUGGGUCAUCUUCUCAGAUCUCAUCAAAGCUAUGGGGAGGGAGGGAGAGAGAGAGUUAAAGUAGAAAGUUGUAUAUUCUUGUUCUCUGUAACAAGCUCUACAUCCUGGUAACCUUGAUUUGCGACAUAGUGAAAGCUUGAAAGCUUGUAUCCUUGUUCUUCACUGGAUUUAGGCACUUUGAUUCAAUUUUUAGUUCGGAUUUCUGAGAACGAGUCUUCAUACAUCAAAUCAAAGAUGGUCUGAGGUGUUUGAUCUUGGUACUGUCAGAGGAUUAAACACAACAAAAAGAAACUGGGACAUAUUGCCUAAUCUUCAUAGUCUUGAGAUAUAUGGAGAUUAAGCCCUUGUCAAUUUGGGUUGUCCAACAACCCUUUUAAAAUCGAAAACCAGCACUAAUCCUUGGUGAUUUGGAGCAGAAGAUUUAACGAGUAAAGUUCCGAAAGUGGAAUCAUACCAUUACCAAAGCCCUCUUUUGCAGCAGAGAAAUCCCUUAUAGCCAUUGAGAUUAAUUGAUUAAAUGGAGUUGACAAAUGAAACAAAAACGAAAAAAAAAAAAAAAACUUCAAUUCUACCAAAAUCAUUCAACCAUUAAUACCCACUUUGAAUAAAAUUCAACAUCCUUUUUUCUAUCCCUUUCAGGUAAUAAGUUGCUUCUGUUGUUUUUAAUCUCAAUAAGAUAUAUAUCAUCGGCAUAUUGAAGUUUGUGAUUAUUCUAAGAAAAAAUAGGUGCUUUAUUAUUUGAAUUAUCGACAAAAUAAUUCCAUUUCAUUAUUUUGUUAGAUCCACUAUAUGUACAUGUUUGAAUCUUAUUCACAAGUUUUGAUUUCACUCUCACGUUUCAUAUGAUGUCAAAUCAGAUAAAAAGAAAAAAAAAAAUGAAAGCUAGCUUGUCGGUAGCAAUUACAUUAGCAUUUAGCAAAUGUUAUUUUGAGUACAAGCACAAUUUGGCUCAUUUUCCAGGACCAACUAUCUUCCAUUUAGAAAUGCAUUGACAAACAGAUUAAUUGGUAAAAUGAUGGUUUCUAGAUAGAAUCUUUCCAAGUUGCACUAAACUCCUUUCCUCCAAGCUAAACAUUAAUUAAUUUGCAUUUGAUAAAAUUUUUCUUUCUAUUCUUUUUGCAUAACGAUUGGUCACCAAUCUUGAUUCAAUUUUUUGAAUGGCAACUUACUGCUGGAUUAAUUAGAGAAUCAGACAUCACUCAUAAGGCAUCAAUCGGGUAAAGUUAUUUUCAUACAAUUACUUUCUUCAUAUCACAUCAGUCUAUACAAAUUUAUUUAUACAAGAUAGUUGUUACUCUAUCAUUAUUCAUCAAGAGAUCUAAAGAGAUAUAUAUAUAUAUAUUGGGGAUGGAUCAACAGCCCCCUAAAAAUACUCUUAAUUUUACACUAAUUAAUAUUUAUUAGAUUUGAAUUGAAUCAAUGGAUGUGAUUAAUUGAAAUUAAAUCUUCAAGACCUUUUAAUAUUCUCUCUCUCAAUGUGGUUCCCACUUAAAAUUUUUCUCACUCUUUUAUUUUUUCCCUUCGUUCACGUGAUGUGCUCUCUCUCUCUUCUCUUCUCUUGUUCUUUUUAAUCUAUGAUUUUUCGUUUGCUUUUUUCUUUCUUCCUCAGUCAUAAAAAGUCUUAACUCUCUCUAGCAAAAAUUCUUUACUCUCUCCAACUUUUAACUCCACAACUCUUUUUUUCACUUUUUUUUCUCUCUCCACAUACCAUUUGAAAGCACAAAAUUAUUAAUUUUAACCAGCGGAACUAGUCCCCCAGCAAAACAAUCAUCAAACUCAAGUUUAACAAAAAAUUCUUGUGAAAAAGGAUGUCUAUUGACAACGACAUGGCAUUAGAAGUUUUUCUUCAAAUCUCAAGUAUAGAUUUGAUUGGUACAAAGAUUUACCACAUAUUAUGAAUAAAAAUAUUAUAAUCUUAAGUAUAUGAAAAAAAUAUGUGCGAAUGGGAAUAUGAUCUCUACUGUAUAUUAUGAAUAAAAAUAAAGAAAGAGAAAAUAAUAGCAAUUUUGAGCAAACAAAUAGAAACCUUGCCUUAUGCUAUUUAAAAUUAAUAGUAUUACGUCAUAAUUAAUUUGAGAAUUUGCUUUAAGUGGUCCAUAAAGUAAGUCCAAAAUGACUGAAUAAGACAAAAUUACAGAGACUUCUUUAACCAAUGAAACAAGUUGGUUGCUUCAAUAUUCCUCGUCAAUGAUUUUGGUGCCCAACUCCUUGAGUCCUCCUGGAAGGAUUUCAACAACAAUGCUACGCAAAACUGACAAUAAAAGAAAAUAAGAGGGGAAACGAAUGAAAACAACAAUGAAGAAAAAUAAGUACCAUCAAUGGUCUGCAGGAUACAACUUAAGCCUAUAGCUUGAGGCAAUCACUAUGCACAAUAAAACUCAAAUCACAUAUACAAGUGAAGAACUAAAAAUUGAAGAAGUUGGCUAUUAAACAUAUAAAUUUCAAUGAACAUAAUCAAUCAAAAUCUAAGCAUACUUACAACAAUUCUCUUCGUGAUUAUAUUGAUAUCAAUUUAACUCAUUUCUUCAUUCCGUAAUAUUUUUGCAAAUAAUCAAAAAUAAACUUUUUAGAGAGAUCUUUAAUAUUGAAAGGUAAUUAUUACAAGAUUUUAUUUACAAUUUACCUAGAUUUGAUAUUUCAAUGCUUUUUCUACUUGGAUUUAAAGGACAAAUACGCUUAUCAUGUCCAAGUUUGCCGCAUGAAUUGCACUUCCUCUUCUUCUUGCCAAGAGCCAACUCAAUACCACUUUUGAUUCUGCCAGUGUUGUUAACAUCUUUCUUCCGACCCUUGGUUUGUGAAAUAUUUGGAUCCAAAAGUAAUGGCUGAGAUGAACUAAUGCUAAAACAAGGAUCAUCUUUCUGUUGGCAAACAGUGGCUGGUUGGUUUGAAAUAUCUAACAACUUUUUUGCUAGCUCAUUUAUACCAUCCAUGUAAAUCAAGUAUGCCUCAUUUGAAGAUGCAACAGCACAUGCUAAUUUAGUAGUUUGGUGGCACAUAUGGCUUAGUCUCAAAGCCUCUAAUUCUUCUUUACCAUCAUUUUUCAAAAAAUCUCUCAAAUCAAUCUUUCUAAAUUUAUUUGCCUCUUGUCUCCAUCUUGGAAGAAUAAAAUGAUUCGGCAGCUUAUCAAUGUCUAAACGAACAAACACUUUCAGCAUAUGUCUGCAAAGUAUUCCAACGAACUCAAAUUUUUUACAAUCACAAGUACCCUCAUAAGUUUACGGAUUUAACUUCACCAUAAACUCUUCAGAUUCUCCAAACUUUGUUCUCACUAGGUACUUGAGAAAUUCAGCAUCACAUCCACUCUCUUCAACUUUGUAUCGAUUAACAUGGCUCCAUUCAUCCUUGAAUUUAUUAAAAACAUUUAUGGUAUACAAUUGGGAUGCAUGUUUCAAAAGAAAUUCUCCAUCAUUGACAAUUCGAUAUUUAUGUUAUGAUUCAAAAUCUUCAUCACUUUCUUUUUCAAUAAUCCUUUUCAACGCUCCUUCAUAUUUCACAACAAACUCUCUAAGAUUUGUCGAGGAUGUUACAAAACCAUUAAAGAAUGAAUUAAUGCCCUCACUCCGUCCUGUAGUAUUCAUUCCAGCAAAAACAAUACUACGAUUAUAAAUAGGUGCCCAAGAAGCUUGUAUUUCAUAUAGAUGAUUUAGCCAUUCAUUGUCUUCCAAUUUAUAUUCUAUAAUCAAACUCUUCGAAGUUUCUUCAAAUUCCUCUACUUUGUAAGUAGACAUAAUACAUUUUUUUCAAUCCGAUCUUGAAUCUUGACUUCUUGAAGUACACAUAUGACAACUUCUCGGCAAACUUCUUCUUAAUAUGCCAAAGGCAUAAUCGAUGGUGAGUAUUUGGAAAAACUGUCACAAUUGCUCUUUUCAUUGCCAAGUCUUGGUCAGUAAUGAUAGAAACUGGAGGAUGUCCUCCCAUAGCUUCAAGCCAUGUCUCAAAAAGUCACUGAAAUGUUACCUAUGUUUCAUCUUGUAGAAGUGCACAAUCGAAUUGUAUUAACUGUAAGUGGUGGUUCACUCUUGUGAAUGGUGCGAACGACAUAUCGUACUUGUUUGUUCUAUAAGUUGUGUCAAAUGAAACUACAUCCCCAAAACAGUGAUAUGCCAACCACGAUCGAGCAUCUACCCAAAAAAAUUUGGUUGCUUGCCCUUUUUCAUCACAUUGGAUUGCAUAAAAAAAUUUGAGGGUUCUCAGCUUGCUUUUUCCUGAAAUAUAUAAGGAUUGAUUGGGCAUCCCCUCCAUCCAAUUACCUAUGACACACAUUCCUUAAGUGAUUAUAGCAAUCUCUGUUGUUAAAGCCCAUUUACGAACCUCCUAGAAUUGAACAAACUUUUGCAAUAGGCAAAUUUUCUCUAUGAAAAGCUUCAGUCAAAUUCUUAGCAGCUUUAGGCAUGUGUUUGUUUGACUUCAUCUUUAUUCUUCUAGCAGGAGUAACUACUUUAUGAUUGUGAGAAUCCUUGAAAACCAUAAUCUUCCACUUAUUUGACCAUUUGUCAUACAUAACCCGCAUACUAGCUUCACACCCACAUUUGACAGUUGAACAAUUUCUACUUCUUUUUUUUUUUUUGUAUUUACCUCACUUGCAUCUUUUUCAUAGUGUUCUUCCAUAAAAUUAGGCUUAUUAAUCUUUGGCACAUGCUUCCCUUGAUGGGCAAAGUAAAUUGUCCACUAGUCACCUCAUUGCAGCCUACUCUACUCUUGGAAGAAGAUCGAGUUCGAAUCCAAAACCCCUCCUAUCUACCAUAAUCUUCAUAGUAGUUUCUAGCUUGCUCUAAUGUUUCAAAAAGCAUCCCCACAUAUGGUGCCUCUAAUUGUUCAAGAUUGUUUUCAACCUCUUCGCCAUUGUUCCCCUGUAAUGUGUCAAACAAUUGAAAGAAAAAUAAAUAAUAUAUAAAAAGAUAAAAAUAUUGAAAAAAUUACGAGUUAGAAAAGUUAGGUAAAAUUAAUUGUAAAAAAAAAUAAAUAAAUUAUAAAAGCAUGACACAUACCAAAUAUUCAUUAUUUUCAGGCAUUUUCACGAAGAGUUGUGGAGUUAAAAGUUGGAGAGAGUAAAAAAAUUUUGCUAGAGAGAGUUAAGACUUUUUAUGAUUGAGGAAGAAAGAAAAAAGCAAAUGAAAAGUCAUAGGUUAAAAAGAACAAGAGAAGAGAAGAGAGAACACAUCACGUGAAGGAAGGAAAAAAAUAAAAGAGUGAGAAAAUUUUAGGUGGGGAUUACAUGCAGAGAGAGAAUAUUAAAAGAUUUUAAAGAUUUAAUUUCAAUUAAUCUCAUCGAUUGAUUCAAUUCAAAUCUAAUGGAUAUCAAUUAGUGUAAAAUUAAGAGUAUUUUGAGGGGGCUGCUGAUCCAUCCCUAUAUAUAUAUAUAUAUAUAUAUAUUUUAUCAUGAUGUCUUUUAAUUAUUCAUUGAUUUGCAUGCUAGGACUACCACGUGAUGAGAGGGGAAGGGAAGGAGUCACGUUGCCCGAGGCAGCUAAACAACAUAUUCAAAACCUUCACGCAGAGAUACGAAAUCGUUACUUCUUUGUUGAGUGCCUGUGGAAACAACACAGCUUGGAUUAUGCUGCGAUCAAAUGCUGAAAAAGAUCAAAAUUGAUAGAGAAUUAGAAAAAGAUCUUCAGCCCAUUAUUGAAUUAGACUGUUAGCUCUCUCAAAUAGACUUGCUCACAUCGUUCCAACUGAAAAAUGGAGAGAACAUUGGGCUUAAUUUAAUGCCUGCAGGAGUACCACUAAAAGUUACCGAUGGCCUUUUCUCAUCUUAUACCAUGGAAUUGUGUCAUUAGAAAAGAAUUGACUAGAUACUUGGCAUAUCUCCAGUGGGUAUUAAAUGUUCGCAUAUUCCACAUUUUAGGAUUCUAUACCGAUCUGACCUACUACAAUUAUGUAAUUAUGUGUUAUUAUAUGAAAUAAAAUAAUGUAAAUCUUGACUGUAUAUAAAUAAAAAUACACAUAUAUCAGAAGAUUCUUCAAAACCCAGAUAAGUUCAAAUUAAAAGAGGAUUUAAUACCAUCUCACAUUACCUUUUUUCUUGAAACCUUAUUUUCUCUACACGUCUGUCUUUCGUUUUUAUUUCGAGAUAUCAAACAGGCAACUGUAUCAAUUGUGGGUAGCUGAAGGUUUCAGUUCAAACAAUAAUGAGUCAACUGCUGAGAAGUUCUUGGAACAACUUGUAACGCCACAAAUUCCCAUACAUAUUAAAUUAUGGAAAUUGGGCUUUCAUUGAGAAUUAUGGGUGGCCUAUAACCCUUAUUUAGAAAGGGGUACUAAUUAAAUAGAGGUUAUUUAUGAGAUCAUUUUGGAAAAGGGCUAGUUUUCCUUAUUGAAUAGGGUUUCUUAAGAUCCCCUAUAAAUACAUACUUUUCCCCCUUCCAUAACCCUAAGUUCACAACGUUUAUCCUUCUUCUCUGCUGCUCUUUACGCUCCUACCCAAAUCUUAGGAUUCAAACCUUUGUUUAGGAGAGACUCAAAGCGACGGGUAAGUUCACAACGUUUAUUCUGAACAGCAUGAGUAUCUCGAAUUUUUAAAGCUAUAUUUUCUGAACGAAUUUUCUUAUAAAAUUUAUAUUUCUGGAAACUAGACAUGUAGGGCUUCUUGAUUAAAUUUUAUUUCAUUAAAUUCAACUUCGUUUUCAAUUUUAUACGUAUUUUGGAAAUAGAAACCACUGCACUGGAAAUCCACGAUUCCAGUAUUGUGAUCAGAUUCAAAAGACUAUUUGUACCACCAAAUGAACUCAAAAAAUUCUGAAAGUUUAUAUGUAUGUUAAUAUAUGUGUCUAGGAUUCGCAGUUUUAAUUUCAUAAUUUUCUGAUUAGUAUUUUAUUUUAUAAAAAUCACGGAACCCAUUCUGUUUGGUUUAGAUUAUGUGAAAACAGUUUCGAAUUUGCUGAGAAGUAAAUAGUUUUUAAAAUGUUUUUGAUAUCGGAUUCUCUUGUAAAUUUUACAUGGGGUACUCAUGGAUGUCCAGAAUGGUUCCAUAGGAUUUUAUAUCAUUCUGAGACUUGGAUUAAGAGUUAAAAUUCUGAGAAUCAGACCUGUACGGGUAUGAAUUAGAAAAUCAAAUUCUUAGAAUACGUUAUUGAUUGUCAUAUCUUGUAUUUGUUUAAGGUUUUGAAGGUGUUUGAGGCUCUUAGAAGCUUAGAGGUGUGUUAAUCCAAGUUCAUUUGUCGAGGUAAGUAACUUCAUUCCUAGUAUACUGGAUAUGUAUAAGUAUUUUGAUAUUAUUGUUAUAAGUAUAAAUGUUUUUAUACUACUUAAAGGAUUAAUUGAUUUUGAUAACAAAAUUAGCUUUAUGUAAAUGUUUUCAAACCAUUCUUUUUAACAAAGUAUUUUAUAAAUGCUUUUUAAUAUGUAAAUGAUUUUAUGACAUGACAACCUUUUAUGAUUUUAUCUUUAAAAUGUUAUGCAAGCCUAAAUUAUUGUUAUGAACUUUUAUGAAACUGAUAUGAAUGUUUUGUACCUAUGUUUGAUUUCAAUUAUUGAUGAUUGUAUGAGAUUCUUAAUGCUUUGGCUCAUUGUCCAUAGUUAGUCUGAUUCUGAUUCUGAUUCUGAUCGUAAUAUACGAUAUAUCCGUCUGGACCAGUACUGGGUUUUUGUUCUGAAUGUACACACGAUAUUCUAAUUAUGUUUCUGGCCGGGUCACCGGGACUAUAGGUGACACUAUGUGACAUGAGCUAACCUGUUUGUUUUCUGUAUACGUAUUACAUGAGUUGAUUCGUAAGUAAAUAUGCUUUUGAAUAUUCUGAAUUAUUAAGAAUUUAUCUUAUGUUAUUGUGAUAUAUCGUUUUAUGAAAAUUAUGGAUUAUGAUAUAUGCUUUAAACAAAAGAAGGCUUGCAAUAUUUUUGGUAUCAAUAGGCCUAGUGUGUUAGGAAUGGUUUUACUUACCGAGUUGACGGCUCACCCCUCGUCAUUACUUUUUUGCAGAUUAAGUUUCUUUUGAGAGGUGCACUUAGCUUUGGAGUUAAUGAUUUCCAGUUUCCGUUUGCUAUUGAAUAAGAGGAGGAAUAGACUUGUGUUUCUAUUUAGUUACUUUUAUUAUGAACGUGUAAUUUGGAGUUUGAGACUUUUGUUAUUAUUUUUAUAUGUCCUCGAGAGAGAUUAUUUAGUAUUUGACGUUUGGAUUUAUGGAUUUAUUUGAAUAAGAAUUGGAGGAAUUUCAGUUUGAAACUUAUGAGUAAAGAUUAUGAUUUGUGAGUAACCUCCUUCUUCACGUGCUCCGCACGUGUUAGAUUUGGGGUGUUACAAUUGUGGUAUCAGAGCAACUAGGUUAGGAUUCUGUAGACUUUCUUUUACGGUUUAAUUAGAUUGUCUAAUUAAAUCGAUUACAUUUGUUUUGUAGACAUGAAGAAGGACAAUAUGGGUAUGAAAAGUGUCAAGAAUAAGGGAUGGACAGAAAUUGAUAGGACCGAACAAUUUAUCUUAGGAGGAGUUCUUGUCAAAGAUCUUAGGAGACUUCAUAAGCAGUGAAUGGAUGAUAGACUAAGACGGACUAUAGAGGUCUACAUCGAUACUCCUCCAGGACCUGGAGCUUCAAGAAAGAAGCUCAAUGAGGCUAUACGUGGACUACGUGUUUAUGGCAAGGGAGCUAACAAGAAUAAGCUUGUAAUACGUCGCCUAUUUUGGACAGGACCUCGAUUUAAGCCUUACUAUAGCAAAGGAUGGGUAUCUCCAGGUCUAAAUAAACUACCUUAUAGAACUCCUAAGGAAAUCGAGACAGAUGGAGUCACGACUAAGGAAAGGAAAGUAAAGAUAGAUCCUUUUCCUAUCCGGUUGAGUACACCUAUGAACUUUGUGGCUGUAGGACAUGAAACUCUGUAGACUUUAUUAAGGUUAAUAGAGUGAUUAAAUAUUUUAAGGCAAGGAGUAACUAGUAAUUCUAUUUUGGUCUUUUUGGCUUUCUAUGUUGCUUGUGACUUUGUAAUAACUCUUGUUAUAUGAUCUUUGGUAUUAACGUAGAAUGAAAUAUUUAUUGCUCUUGUUUACAAUAUCAAAUUUUCUUAGCUACACUACUUAUUCAGUACUCUGCGCGCUUGCACGACCUUUAGCUAUGAAUUAUUUACCCCUUUUUAAUUAUUUAUUUAUUCUCCGUGUUAUAGUCAAGAGAUGUCACGUAAGGGAGGUGCUAGGCAUGCCUCUAGCUCGAGAGAUGUUUUAGGUAUCGCUGACGACGCUGACCCAACCUUGCACGAGAUGGCUAACGAAGGAAAUCCUAUGAUGCGCGCAAUGCUUAGAUUGAUGGAACAACAAAGUAAGUUAAUUCAAGAUAUGGCUAGAGGCAGAGUUGGGGCACAAGAGAAUGUGCCAGUUGAAAGGCAAGGUGGCGCAAGAGAUCAUGGGGCUAUGGUGAACUUAGAACGAUUUAAGAAAUUGGGACCACCUACCUUUCAGGGGACUGCCGAUUCCAUGGUUGCAGAGGCAUGGCUAAAACAGAUGGAGAAGAUAUUUGUGGCUAUGGGUUGUAAUGAUGAUCAAAGGGUAAUAUUAGCCUCAUUUGUCCUUCAGGGUGAGGCAGACCACUGGUGGGAUGCCAAAUCUCGUCUCAUAAGGGCUGGCUUGCAAGAUGCACCCAUUACUUGGGAGUUAUUUUUGGAGGCUUUUCAUGAAAAGUAUUUUCCUGAACGAGUUCGACAUCAGAUGGAGGCUGAUUUCUUGAGGUUAACUCAAGGAACAAAGUCUGUUGCGGAGUAUGAGGAACAAUUUACUGCCCUCUCUCGUUUUGCUCAUACCUUGGUUGCUAAUGAAGGUAGUAAGUGUAGGAAGUUCCUGGAAGGGUUACGUCCUAACAUUAAAGGGCGAUUGACCAUCCUUAAGAUUAACAAUUAUGCCGAUUUGGUGGACCGAGCAAUUCUUGCGGAGAAGGAUAUUCUUGAAGCCCAAGUUACAAAGGAUCAGAGAAAUAAGAAGAAUCAACAAGGUGGACCGCGAAAUGGAAGUUCCUUUAGGCAGGGCACUCACUCCCAGAAGUAUAAUGGUGGAGGUAACAAAUGGGAUAACAAGGGUGUUACUGGUGACACCGCUCGGAGGAACUACCCCAUUUGUCGACAUUGUGAAAGGAGGCACCCUGGUGAAUGCCAUUGGAAAACUGGAGCUUGUUUUGCUUGUGGAGAAUCUGGGCAUAGGAUUAUGGAUUGCCCAAAGAGACGUAGCGAGACUACAAAUACUCAGACUAACGAAGGGCAGAGGAAGAAACCGAGGGUACAAGGGCGUGUUUUUGCACUAACAGAAAAAGAUGCUGAGGUGUCCAAUGAUGUAGUAUCAGGUACAUUGUCUUUAUUCUCUAGAGAAGCCAAAGUUCUUUUUGAUCCUGGUGCUACACAUUCAUUUGUAUCUUGUGUGUUUGCCCGUUAUGCUAAUGUGCCUAUCACACCACUGGAUGUUCACGUGACAAUUAGUACCCCUAUGGGGGAUUGCUAGUUUAUAGAUCAUGUCUAUAAGUCAUGUGUGAUCAGAUUGUGUGAUAAAGAAUUCCUUGUGGAUCUCCUACCUUUAGAGAUGCACGAUUUUGAUUUGAUUUUGGGGAUGGAUUGGUUAGGACCUUACCAUGUUUCAAUAGAUUGUUUUGCUAAUUAAAUUAUUUUUCGCCUACCUGGCGAGGAAAAAUUUCAUUUUCAAGGGAAUCAUAAGAGUCAUAAAGCUUUGAUUUCUAUGGUUAAGGCAAUGAAAAUGCUAAAGAAGGGGUGUGAAGGAUUUUUAGCGUAUAUAGUUGCUGACCAUCCCGAUGGGGCGUGCCUUGAAGACAUACCUAUUGUAAGGGAGUUUAUUGAUGUAUUUCCUGAAGAUCUUCCGGGACUACCCCCAGAUCGAGAGGUUGAGUUUACUAUAGAAUUAGUUCCUGGUACUACACCUAUAUCCAAGGCACCAUAUCGGAUGGCACCCAUUGAAUUAAAAGAACUAAAGGUCCAGCUACAAGAAUUACUAGAUAAGGGUUUCAUUCGUCCUAGUGUGUCGCCUUGGGGUGCUCCCGUUUUGUUCGUAAAGAAGAAAGAUGGUUCAAUGAGGUUGUGUAUAGACUACCGGCAGUUGAAUAUGGUUACCGUCAAGAAUAAAUACCCUCUUCCCCGAAUUGAUGACCUCUUUGAUCAAUUACGAGGUGCAGCGGUAUUCUCUAAAAUUGAUUUACGAUCUGGCUACCAUCAAUUGAAAAUAAGAAGUGAGGAUGUAUCGAAGACAGCUUUUCGAACUCGUUAUGGACACUAUGAGUUCUUAGUUAUGCCUUUUGGAUUAACUAAUGCUCCUGCAGUGUUCAUGGAUUUGAUGAAUAGGAUCUUCCAACCUUAUCUUGACCAGUUUGUCAUCGUCUUUAUUGAUGACAUAUUAAUUUACUCUAAGAGUAAGAAGGAGCAUGAGUCGCACCUGAGGAUUGUAUUAGAAACAUUGCGGAAGAAGAAGUUGUAUGGAAAAUUUAAGAAAUGUGAGUUUUGGCUUGAUCGUGUGAUGUUUUUGGGACAUAUAGUGACGAAGGAUGGUAUUUCAGCAGAUCCAGCCAAAGUGGAGGUAAUUGUGAAUUGGGAAAGGCCUGCUAGUGUGACUGAAGUAAGGAGUUUCUUAGGAUUGGCAGGUUAUUAUAGGCGCUUUGUCAAAGGAUUUUCUAGCAUAGCAGCACCAUUGACUAAUUUGACUAAGAAGAAUGUGAAGUUCAAUUGGGAUGAGGCAUGUGAAAAGAGCUUUUAAGAGCUCAAGAGUCAUUUGGUGACUGCCCCCGUUUUAACUCUCCCUUCUGAAGGUGGAGGUUUUGUGAUUUACAGUGAUGCUUCCAGAAAAGGUUUGGGUUGCGUUUUAAUGCAACAUGGUAAGGUUAUAGCAUAUGCUUCUAGGCAGCUAAAGAAUCAUGAACAAAACUACCCAACACAUGAUUUGGAAUUGGCUGCUAUAAUGUUUGCUCUAAAAAUCUGGAGACACUAUUUGUAUGGGGAGACUUGUGAGAUCUUCACCGAUCAUAAGAGUUUGAAGUACUUGUUUACUCAAAAGGAAUUGAAUUUGAGGCAAAGAAGAUGGUUGGAGUUGGUAAAGGAUUUUGAUUGUUCUAUUAAUUACCAUCCAGGUAAGGCAAACGUAGUAGCGGAUGUCUUGAGUAGGAAAUCAUCUGGGUGCAUGGCUCAUCUUAUCACCAUGCAAUCUCAUUUGGUAAAAGACUUGAGGAGAUGUGGGAUUGAGGUAGUUACUCAUGGGCAAGCAGACGUGUUAGCACAUUUGACAGUCCAACCCACUCUAAUUGAUAGAGUUAAGGUAGCUCAGAAGAACGACAUAGAACUCAAUAAAAUCCGUGAAGAUGUGAGCAAAGGACAUAAGCCCGGAUUUAGACUUGAUAAUGGGGAUGGAUUAUGUUUGGGACAAAGGUUAUGCGUGCCAGCAGACGAAGAGUUGAAGGCGGAGAUCUUAAGAGAAGCUCAUGAAUCAUCUUACAGUAUGCAUCCUGGUAGUACUAAGAUGUAUCGUGAUCUAAAGCAAAGUUUUUGGUGGAGGAAUAUGAAGAGAGAUAUUGCUGCUUUUGUGUCUCGGUGUUUAGUCUGCCAACAAGUAAAGAUUGAGCAUUAAAGACCAGCAGGAACUUUACAAACGCUUCCUAUUCCUCAGUGGAAAUGGGAACACAUAACAAUGGAUUUCGUUUCUGGAUUACCUCGUUCUAGGAGGGGAUGUGAUUGCAUUUGGGUAAUUGUUGAUCGAUUGACGAAAUCAGCUCAUUUCUUGGCAAGGAAGAGUACAGACAAUGUAGGGCAACUAGCUAAGUUGUUCAUUAAGGAGAUAGUGAGGCUUCAUGGGGUUCCAGUGUCAAUAGUGUCUGAUAGAGAUCCACUGUUCACUUCAAGAUUUUGGGCUAGCUUACAUAAAGAGUUGGGGACGAAAUUGAGAUUUAGCACUGCUUUUCAUCCACAGACAGAUGGGCAAUCCGAAAGGACUAUUCAAACCCUUGAGGAUAUGCUUCGAGCUUGCGUCCUAGACUUGAGUGGUGGUUGGGAAGAGCACCUAAUGUUGAUCGAAUUUGCUUAUAACAAUAGCUUCCAUUCGAGUAUUGGCAUGGCACCAUUUGAGGCAUUAUAUGGAAGAAAGUGUAGGUCCCCAAUCUGCUGGGAUGAAGUUGGUGAAAGAAAACUUUUGGGUCCAGAAUUAAUACAGAUUACUGUUGAUAAAAUCAAGUUGAUUAGAGGACGUCUUCAAACAGCUCAGAGCAGACAGAAGAGUUAUGCAGAUCGUCGUAGACGUGAGUUGGAAUUCGAAAAAGGAGAUUUUGUUUUCUUGAAAGUAUCGCCAUGGAAAGGGGUGUUUCGGUUCGGGAAGACAGGAAAGCUUAGCCCUAGAUUUAUUGGACCAUUUGAGAUUUUAGAGAGAAUUGGUCCGGUGGCCUAUCGCAUAGCUUUACCACCAAGUCUGUCUAGGCUUCACAAUGUAUUUCAUGUGUCUGUGUUAAGAAAGUACAUUGCAGACCCUUUACAUGUGCUAGACUAUCAACCGAUUCAGAUAAAUGAAGACAUGUCGUAUGAGGAACAGCCUAUUGAGAUUGUCGAUCGAGACGAACAAGUAUUAAGGAAUAGAGUUAUUCCCCUAGUGAAGGUACGAUGGAUGAAUCAUUCUAUUGAGGAAGCCACUUGGGAGAGAAGCAGAAAUGUUGGAGAAGUAUCCUCAACUCUUCCAUGCAUAAGGUAACCUUUUAAUUUCGAGGACGAAAUUUUUGUUAGGAGGGGAGAAAUUGUAACGCCACAAAUUCCCAUACAUAUUAAAUUAUGGAAAUUGGGCUUUCAUUGAGAAUUAUGGGUGGCCUAUAACCCUUAUUUAGAAAGGGGUACUAAUUAAAUAGAGGUUAUUUAUGAGAUCAUUUUGGAAAAGGGCUAUUUUUCCUUAUUGAAUAGGGUUUCUUAAGAUCCCCUAUAAAUACAUACUUUUCCCCCUUCCAUAACCCUAAGUUCACAACGUUUAUCCUUCUUCUCUGCUGCUCUUUACGCUCCUACCCAAAUCUUAGGAUUCAAACCUUUGUUUAGGAGAGACUCAAAGCGACGGGUAAGUUCACAACGUUUAUUCUGAACAGCAUGAGUAUCUCGAAUUUUUAAAGCUAUAUUUUCUGAACGAAUUUUCUUAUAAAAUUUAUAUUUCUGGAAACUAGACAUGUAGGGCUUCUUGAUUAAAUUUUAUUUCAUUAAAUUCAACUUCGUUUUCAAUUUUAUACGUAUUUUGGAAAUAGAAACCACUGCACUGGAAAUCCACGAUUCCAGUAUUGUGAUCAGAUUCAAAAGACUAUUUGUACCACCAAAUGAACUCAAAAAAUUCUGAAAGUUUAUAUGUAUGUUAAUAUAUGUGUCUAGGAUUCGCAGUUUUAAUUUCAUAAUUUUCUGAUUAGUAUUUUAUUUUAUAAAAAUCACGGAACCCAUUCUGUUUGGUUUAGAUUAUGUGAAAACAGUUUCGAAUUUGCUGAGAAGUAAAUAGUUUUUAAAAUGUUUUUGAUAUCGGAUUCUCUUGUAAAUUUUACAUGGGGUACUCAUGGAUGUCCAGAAUGGUUCCAUAGGAUUUUAUAUCAUUCUGAGACUUGGAUUAAGAGUUAAAAUUCUGAGAAUCAGACCUGUACGGGUAUGAAUUAGAAAAUCAAAUUCUUAGAAUACGUUAUUGAUUGUCAUAUCUUGUAUUUGUUUAAGGUUUUGAAGGUGUUUGAGGCUCUUAGAAGCUUAGAGGUGUGUUAAUCCAAGUUCAUUUGUCGAGGUAAGUAACUUCAUUCCUAGUAUACUGGAUAUGUAUAAGUAUUUUGAUAUUAUUGUUAUAAGUAUAAAUGUUUUUAUACUACUUAAAGGAUUAAUUGAUUUUGAUAACAAAAUUAGCUUUAUGUAAAUGUUUUCAAACCAUUCUUUUUAACAAAGUAUUUUAUAAAUGCUUUUUAAUAUGUAAAUGAUUUUAUGACAUGACAACCUUUUAUGAUUUUAUCUUUAAAAUGUUAUGCAAGCCUAAAUUAUUGUUAUGAACUUUUAUGAAACUGAUACGAAUGUUUUGUACCUAUGUUUGAUUUCAAUUAUUGAUGAUUGUAUGAGAUUCUUAAUGCUUUGGCUCAUUGUCCAUAGUUAGUCUGAUUCUGAUUCUGAUUCUGAUCGUAAUAUACGAUAUAUCCGUCUGGACCAGUACUGGGUUUCUGUUCUGAAUGUACACACGAUAUUCUGAUUAUGUUUCUGGCCGGGUCACCGGGACUAUAGGUGACACUAUGUGACAUGAGCUAACCUGUUUGUUUUCUGUAUACGUAUUACAUGAGUUGAUUCGUAAGUAAAUAUGCUUUUGAAUAUUCUGAAUUAUUAAGAAUUUAUCUUAUGUUAUUGUGAUAUAUCGUUUUAUGAAAAUUAUGGAUUAUGAUAUAUGCUUUAAACAAAAGAAGGCUUGCAAUAUUUUUGGUAUCAAUAGGCCUAGUGUGUUAGGAAUGAUUUUACUUACCGAGUUGACGGCUCACCCCUCGUCAUUACUUUUUUGCAGAUUAAGUUUCUUUUGAGAGGUGCACUUAGCUUUGGAGUUAAUGAUUUCCAGUUUCCGUUUGCUAUUGAAUAAGAGGAGGAAUAGACUUGUGUUUCUAUUUAGUUACUUUUAUUAUGAACGUGUAAUUUGGAGUUUGAGACUUUUGUUAUUAUUUUUAUAUGUCCUCGAGAGAGAUUAUUUAGUAUUUGACGUUUGGAUUUAUGGAUUUAUUUGAAUAAGAAUUGGAGGAAUUUCAGUUUGAAACUUAUGAGUAAAGAUUAUGAUUUGUGAGUAACCUCCUUCUUCACGUGCUCCGCACGUGUUAGAUUUGGGGUGUUACACCACCCGUUUUUGUGGCCUUUUCCCGCUGGACGAACUUGGCGCCCCGGCCUUCAGGCACUUGCUCAAUUCCUUCUCUGCAAAUUUGAACGCUUGAACACGCACCGUCAUCCCAGUUCCUUGCAGUCGUCUCGAAGCCCCUGCUUUCAGUAGAGGAAAGACGAUUCUGUAUAGCCAUCAAACAGAUAAGAAAAUUUGAAACAAUCCAAGGUUUCUCAGAUCAAAUGAAACCCCAAGAUCAAUCAAGACCAAUGGAUGAUCUUGUACUUAGCUCUAAAACAAACAAGUAAAACCAUCGAAGAAAUUGGAUCAAAACCAGCAGGUUUAGAUUGAUUAUUUAUAAACAUCAUACUUGCCACACUCUUGGCGUGUAAAUCCUUAGAUUCACAGGUCUUAUAUCACAUGAAUGAAGAUGCUAGUGGUGUGCCUCCAUGGAUCUCUUAGUUUUCAAGUUGUUUUAUUUGACUGACCACCUAAGUUUGAAUCGUGGUGAGGGAAGAAGAUAAAAAUUAAUUUGAUCUUUGCACCUCACUACUUUUAAAAGAGCUCAAACUUCAGACUCAGUUUUGAAUUUUAAUUAUUUUAAAUUGAAACGCUAAUUCCAUAUAUUAUAUAUAUGAGUUUUUUUUCCCAAGGUUGAAUUAAAAUAUAUAUUUACAAAAUUCUCGAGAUAUGUGAUUUUUCAAGAUUUAAUAGAAUCAUAAGUACUAGUUAUAUAUACAUCUUAAUAAAUGUUUGCCAGACCUUUAUUUGUACUAAAAUUAUAUAUAUAUCUAGACUCCCAUUACACUUUAGAUUGUAACAAUUUAAAUAAAAAUAUUUUUUUUGGUGGAAGUCGUCUAGAAUUCUAAGAUUGAAAGUCAAAUUUCAAUAAAAAAAAAAUUAAUUUAAUAUAUAUAUAUAUAUAGAGAGAGAGAGAGAGAGAGAGAGAGAGAGAGCUUCUUAAGUGCAUAUACUUAAGGGAGUCCCUAUGUUACAUUUAAUGUACCAUACACAACCCACAAGAACCACAUAAAUUGUGGGAUCCACAUAAUUGUGUGGUUCUUGUGGGUUGUGUAUGGUACAUUAAAUGUACAUUAAUAUUAUGUGGUGUUAUAGCGAAUCUACACAAAAUCUGCAUUUAGUGCAUCCACACUUGAGAAUUUCUAUAUAUCAAAACUUUCAAAUGCAGAAGUCCAAAUAUAGAUUUCGUGCGGAUUCACUACAAAAUCAUAUGAUGUUAACAUGUUUUUACAAUUGACUAUAAUACCACAUGAUGUUAACAUGUUUUUACAAUUGACUAUAAUACCACAUGAUGUUAUAGAAAAUCCACACGAAAUCUAUAUUAUAUAAAGAGAGAGAUCUCGCUUUGCUUUAUAAUUGCGGUGAUAUUCCCACCCCUCAAAUGUUGUAAACUUACCUCACCUUAAAAAAUUAAAUCAUAAAAAAUUCACAUUAUUUUUAACGAUUUCAAAUUAGUAAGAAUAAAAUUAAGCAAUUGACUAAUUAAAUCCUCAUUAAAUAAUUAAAAUACAUUUAUGAUAUGAUAUUUCAAAAAAUUUAUGCUAUUUUUCUCAUGAAAUUUAUUAAAUAUAAGAAGGAUCUGAUUGAUUAAUUGUUUAAAAUUUUAUUUAUUUUAAAUUAAAAAAUGUGAAUUAUUUUUUAAAUAAUUCUUUGAAAUGAUUUAAAUGCGGCACGUGUCCCAUCAAGUUAAAACCUAAAGUUGAUUUAAAAACGGAAACCAAGUAGCGAGGCCCCGUUCUUCAGGAAAUUCCGAGCUAAGUUAAUCAACAUUUCCACUAAUUAUUUUUAUUUUCUUCCAAAGUUUAUUUAAUUAGAUCAAUUUCUGGCUUCCUACUUAAAUUGCAUAUCCAAUUUGGGGGUUGAUUUUUGGAGAUGGAGAUAAACUGAAACAUUAAUUGAAAUCGAUUGAGAAAAAAAAAAUCGAUUGAGAUUGAAAGUUCUUUAUUACCCAACAUACAGAAUACAUAUGCAAUUAAUUCAAAUUUCUAAAAUUACUGUAAUUGUUGGCAAUGUGGGUUUUUUUUUUCGUUGGGGGGGGGGGUGUCUGAAAUUUGCAUGCAUGCCUUAAUUGAGUUUUAUCACUUUAAAUCCUAAUUACUAAUGUUUUUUCUGUUAAUGGUUGAAAAUAAGAUAAGAAGAGAGAAGGUGAACUUGAAGAAGUAUAAGAAGACAAGACAUGUAAUGAUGUUGAUGUGUUUAUGUGAAUAAAGAGAACAACGGAGGUGGAACCAUUGGACAAAUGGAAAUGGAAUCUUUGUCCAAGUUUUUCCCUUGAUGUUCUAAAGUUUGCAUAUAUAUGUUUCAAGAAACAAAUGGAAAUUAAAUAGUACUUAAAGGUGAACUCACAUCGUCAACUAGAGGUUACACUACCAUUUGCCCAAUGGUUCCAUUUCUAUUAUCAUUUUCUUUAUUCACAGAAAUAUCAUCGGCCUCAUAUUCAUCAGUAUAAGAAGAGGGACAAGGACAAGGACAAGGACAGGGUGAGUCUAUUGUAAGACUACAGCAAAUCUACAAUUUAGUUUUAUUUUUGCUGCUACACCCAGGAAUCACUAGCAUCAACCACCUCCUUUAUUGCCCUUGAUUCAUUUUUCUCCUGAAGAUUGUUGACCUGAUGAAAUAACACUUAAAAUGAGGCUGCCUUAGACGAAGCAUAUAUGUUAAUCACCUGUUGUAAUCUCAUGCCAAAACAUUUCAGUUCCUGCUCAUAAAAUUAGUUACUUCAACCUUUGUCAUAUGUAUUCUCCACUGCUUCAAGAUACUUAGAUAGUGAAUGUGUCUAAAGUCCAACUCAAAAGAUUCAUUUGAGAAAAAAUUCUUCAGAUGGUCAUGUAGAGUUCUAAUUUAUCUCCGCAUCAUACACAAAAUACUUGAAACCUACACAUCAAUGAUCAAUGUUCAUCUUUUAUUGACAAUCCCAAUUCUCAAGUGUGUUUGGAAAGAAAUUAGAUUCACAGGCAUUCUAGAAAUAUCUGGUGUAUGUCAAUGACAAUGAUGCCAAGUCAUGUCUCAUGGCGUCCAAAAAAAAAAAAUGGUGAUGUAUGUGGAGGAAGAUCGUCAGCUCAAUUAAAACUACACCUCGGUCAUUUCUGGACUCGUCAACAAGAGGUAAUUUCUUACUUUGUGAACAAAUUUUGUGUCUUAUAAUUUUUUCCGUAUUUAUAUACUUACAUGCUGUUUUGUAAUUAUAUAGCCACCAAAGCCUGGACAUGGAGAUGUGUGUUUUGUUAUGUUUAGUCCAUUUAUAAGAUCACGUGUCAUGUGAUUUAUAAGUCUACUUAAUGGUUGCAAUCAAAUGAGUUCAUGUCCAGAUUUUGAAGUUAGUUAAUUUCAACAUAUAGCAAUGAUUGUAUCCAUUGCUUUUAUGAAGUUGCUAUGUUAUUGCUUCUUUAAUAAGUGGCAGGCAUGAUUUUCUAUUUUUCCACAGCUUAAAUUGUUAAAUAAUUGAUAAUGCUCUUGUGCUUACUCUGUUCUUUUCUUUUUAGAUAAGCUUUAUGGUCCCAGUGGAAUUGUUUUCACCCUUUCUUUAUUGACAGUGGAUGUAUAAAACAAAUUGGUCUUGAUUGAUACUUGAUGAUGUUGUAGUUAUUUCUCUUUGCUUUAUUCUUUUUGCAACAUAUGGAAGACUGAGUAUCGUGAGAUUCAUUUCCCGCACUGCUCUGCCUUGAUCUGUUCUAAUUUGAGAGUCAGCAAUCUUGAUUCAACUUCUUGGGUGGAGUACUAGCUAAGAGAAGGGAGGCAUGGGAGCCAGCACUAAUUUUUGAAUUGAGGAGAUAUGGGCAUCAACUUCAGACUAUUUUCAGAGAGGCUGAGAAGGGCGUUAGCUGGCGAAGAAGUCACAUUGCCUGAUGCUGCAAAACAACCUAUUCAGAACCUUUGUGCCGAGGUUGAAAUCGUUACUCCUUGGCUGAGGGACUUUGAAUAUGAUAUGUCCUGGCUUCUGUUGCAAAAAAAUAGGAGAAGAUGAAAUUGACAACCCAGACCUUGGGACCAGAAAUCAAUUGCUUUACAUAUGAAUCUGAGAAGGUCAUUGACACAUUCUCAACAGCAUCACUCAACAGAAGAGUCAAAGCAGGUGCAACAAGGACAUUUGUAAUGCUCUGCUAGGACUCCAGAGCAUAAUCAAUGAUAUAAAACAGCGGGUGCAACAACUUCAGUACAUCGUUUCCGGAAUCAUUGAUGAUUUCAAAAGUAUUGAAGAUGAAGCCGAUUAUUUUCCUGCAUCAUCAUCUUAUAAGAAUAGGGGCAUGGUGGGUCUAGAAGACAGAAUGGAGGAGUUGUUAGAUAUAUUGAUAGAGGGACCACCUCAGCUUUCAGUGGUGGCCAUCUUGAUAGCAUUGGGUUGGGCAAGGUGGCUUUCGCUGUAGAGGCUUACAGCAGCAGUGAUGUGAAGCAUUAUUUUAAUUGUCACACUUGGGUUCCAGAGCCUUACAGCUAUGAUGCUGAUGAUGACCAAAUAUUAGAUAUCAUUAUUAAGUUUCUAAUGCCUUCAUCUAGGUUGAGUGUAAUAAAGGAUAAAAUUUAUGAAAUGAAAAAAAAAUCUUCAUGAAUAUCUAAUGAUAAAGCGGCAUUUAAUUGUGGUUGAUGAUGUGUGGAGAAUUGAAGUGUGGGAUUUUAUUCGAGAAAUACUUCCGGAUAAUCGGAAUGGAAAUGGGGUACUAAUAACACUCAUUCAAAUUGAUGUCGUCAUCUCAUUUCAGUUCAAAAUCGGACAGAAUAUUUGGCUUGAUUUAUUGUCCACUAGAGGACCAUUGAGAGUUGUUUACCUUUUUGCUUAAAACUUUGUUUUUCUUACUUAUCUGUGUUUCCUGUACAACUGGAGGCAUCCACCAGGUAGUUUUAUCAGUUGUGGAUAUCUGAAGGUUUCAUUCCAGACAAUAGCGAGGCAACUACUGAGAAGUACUUGGAACAACUAAUGAAUAGAGUCUUUGUUGAUGCAAGGAAGAGAAGCGAUGGAGGCAGAAUCAACGCAUGCCCUAUUCGUACUCGUUGCUGGCCUUCAUUGUUGCAAAUGGCUCUCAAAGCAGAAUUUAUCUUUUCCCCUAUCCUGGAUCAAAAAGGUAAAUCAGAAAAAAAUGUCAAACGUGUCUAUGUUUUUUUUUUAAAACAGAGUGAUUUUGCUUACUUAGAUGAUUGUGACUUGCACCUGCAUUCUUUGUUGUACUUCAGAAAGCGACCACCUUGACCCCAUAGAUUGGGUGAAAAUCGGUUGAGUAAUGGACUUGGGAUCUCUUGUUCUCAGCCAAUUUCCAUCCAAAAUUGAAACUUUAUUUCUUUUGAUAUUUGAAGCUGGAUAUCCCUUCCCUCACAAGCCUGGCUUCAUCAUUAUUAAUAAAUCUCUGAAUCUGUACCCCAUAGCCAUGCCCUUUAGCUACAUAGUGUAAAUAUUUAGAGUCUGAAAAUACUAUUUUCUUCUUUCAUUCAUUCUACAAGUUACACUUAAAUAGAAUGUAGAAAACAAACUCCUAAUAGAUAUCCCUUAAUUGUAGGAUACUUAUCUAAGCUUGAAUUUUAAAAAAUGAUUAUCUAAAACUUUAUUUCGAUAAGACUUUAAAACUAAACUAAUUAUCUAAAACUUUAUUCUGAUAAGACUUUCAAACUAACUGAAAAAUCCUAACUUCUUAACACUCCCCCUCAAGUUGGUGCGUAGAUGUCAAUCAUUCCCAACUUGCUGACAAGAUGUCCAAAGUUAGUUUUGAGGAGUCCCUUGGUUAGGAUAUCAGCUAUUUAUUGUUUUGUUGGAAAAAAUAAUAGGCAGAUAAUCUUAUUCUCAAGUUUCUCCUUGAUGAAGUGACGGUCAAUUUCAACAUGCUUGGUCCUAUCAUGUUGUACUGGGUUAUGUGCAAUGUUGAUUGCUGCUUUGUUGUCGCAGUAUAACCUCAUAGGUAAAACUAUAGGUCUUUUCAAAUCCUCGAGAACUUGUUUCAGCCACAAUACUUCACAAAGCCCAUGUGCCAUAGCUCUAAAUUCAGCUUCAGCAGUACUUCGUGCAACCACAUUUUGUUUCUUACUCCUCCAAGUCACUAAAUUACCCUAUACAAAAGUGCAAUAGCCAGUAGUAGACUUCCUGUCUGUAACUGAACCUGCCCAAUCAGCAUCAGUGUAUACCUCAAUACCUCUCUAUUCUCUGUUUUUCUAAACAAAAGUCCCUUUCCUGGAGUACUUUUUAGAUAUAUGAGAAUUCUGUAAACAGCUUCGAGAUGUUCUUCCCGAGGAUGAUGCAUGAAGCGACUUACUAUACUGACUGCAAAAGCGACGUCUGGUCUAGUUUUAGAUAUCGUCGUGCAUCCACUAAGGCUUUUUCUCCUUCACAUAGUUUUAGAUUGUACUCCACAAGCGUAUCAAUUGGUUUGCAGCCACUCAUUCCAGUUUCCUUCAAUAAAUCAAGGAUGUAUUUCCUUUGUGAGACAACUAUACCUUUCUUGGAACGAGCAACUUCCAUUCCAAGAAAGUAUUUCAAGGCACCUAAGUCCUUGAUUUCAAAAUCAGUGGCUAGGCUUUGCUUCAAUCUGUCCAUUUCAACUAAAUCAUCUCCAGUGAGAAUAAUGUCAUCCACAUACACUAUAAGCACAAUGGUUUUACCUUUAGCUGAAACUCUAGUGAACAUUGUGUGAUCAGCCUGACUUUUUUUGUAACAUUGUCUAUUCACAGAUGUAGUAAAUUUCUCAAACCAAGCCCUAGGCGAUUGUUUGAGACCAUAUAAGGACUUUUGCAACUUGCACACAUUUGACCUAAAUUUUUCAGAGAAACUAGGAGGAGGAUCCAUGUAUACUUCCUCUUUUAAAUCCCCGUUGAGAAAUGCAUUCUUCACAUCCCAUUGUUGUAAUGGCCAAUUUAGGUUUGUAGCAAUAGACAAGAGAACUCAUACAGUGUUUAACUUUGCUACUGGUGCAAAUGUCUCUGAAUAGUCAAUCCCAUAGGUUUGAGUAAACUCCUUUGCCACUAGGCGAGCCUUGUAUCUCUCAAGUGAACCAUCUGAAUUGUAUUUGAUAGUAAAUACCCACUUGCAGCCAACUGUUGACUUCCCUUUAGGCAAAUUGACCACCUUCCAAGUCUGAUUCUUCUCAAGAGCAUUCAUCUCUUCAAGGAUAGCUGCCUUCUGUUGAGUGUUAGAAAAUGCAUAUUUAUAAAGGAGAAAACCAUCGUUUUACAUUUCAAGUCUUACUAACAACCCUUACUUUUAUGUAUUUAACCUUUUUGUGAUUUAAUUACAUGUGUUUUAUUUUAAUUAAGUAUUUUAUGUAUUUUAGGGGCAUCAUAGUCAUUUCACAAUAAACGAGAAAUCAGAUGGCAAAACGGACAUCACUUUUGAACUCAGGACGGUCGAAAACCUUAGGAUAAGCAUAAAAGGAAAAAUGGCACUGUUCACUUGUACGGUACUAUUCACGUGUACGGUACUGUAUACGUUACUGUUCAUGACACUGUUCACAUAGACGGAUGAUGACGUGGCAUUGACCGAUGAUGUGGCAUUGACUGAUGAGGUGUCACGAUCCUGUUGGACUAAAAUUCUUAUGUACUGUUGAUGGUGACGUGGCAGCAUAUCAGUGGACGAAAAAUCUCGCGUACGGUGCAUGCAUCACACAGGAUUAUUUUCAACCAAACCGCGUUACUGUUCAAAGUCGGGUCAAACCGUGUUACUGUUCAUCCGCGUGGUCAAACCGUGGACUGUUGACUGAUGACGUGGCGCAAUCCUGAGCGUCCAAACUAUUUUUAAUCCGAUGGCCAUGAUUUACACCAUGUAUCUAUAAAAAGGGGGCCUCUCCCCCCUAAUUUGAUAUCUCUGAAUCCAUUUUUGGGAUCCAUUUUCUGUAAUUCUCUCUCCAUCUUGUAUUUUCUAUGUAUUUUAAUAAAUUCCGAUUUUGCCCCUAGUUCAAUUAUGAGUGGCUAAUUUUCUUUCAAGCUUGGGUUGAAGGUGAAGUCUCAACAUGUGUCAUGGGCUUAAUUUGGUAAAUUUACUUUCUCUUCCCCUCUAGUUUUUGUGGAUGUUUUGACUUCUCGUCGACAAAUAAUACUAAUCUUGUCUAGUACCGCCUUGGUUUCACCGGCCCUCUAGUAUAAGGUUAUUAUUAUUUGGCACGAUAAGCCCUUAGCACCAUAUUGAUUAGAGCGUGGUUCAUGAGGUGUGGAUUCCCCCCUCAUGAUUUAAUUAGCAUUAAUACGGAUUAUUUAGCCCAUGAUGCAUGUUGAUACGGAUCCAGAUACCCAAGUACGUCAUUUCAAUAGAAUUAUCUUUAAUUUAUUCUCGCCAUUGCAAUUCCAAUUUUAGAAUUUAUUCUCGCCAUUUUAAUUUAAGUUUUAGCAUAUACCAAAUCAUUUCCACCAUAAAUCCAACAACCCAUUUACAAAAUUAAUUCUAUACACAAUUAAAAUCCACCUCCUCGUGGGAUCGACACUCGUCACCAUAGAUCUAUACUACAAUAGAUUCGUGCGCUUGCGAGUACAUUAAAAUUUGCACAACACCUUCCAUUCAGGUACACUUAGAGCAUCCUGUACAUUUUUUAGAAUUUCUACACUAGAAUGCUGUGAGGUAAAUGCAUAGAAAGGAGGUGAUAGGUUGUGAUAUGAAACAAAGUUAGACAAUGGGUAUUUGGCACACACUAUUAAAAAAAUGACUUUUACUGACACUUUGGAAAAAGUGUCAAUAAUUACCUAAUUAUGCAUCAUUUUCCGCUUUUUACAAAUAGAUGUCACAAAUUAUUAAUAUUAAUGUAUCAAUAAAUUAAAUAUCAGAGAUCGCUGAUACUUCAGUAUCAGAGAUUUAAAAAAAAUCAUUAAAAUUUGUUUUGAUUUUUACUCGAACCUGGACUUCUAAAACUCAAAACUUUUACGUUUAGAUCGCAAACCGCUGGACGCCAUAAAAUUGAAUUGGAAUUACAAUGUUAUAUAAAAUGUUGACAUAUAAAAAACCAAACCCUAAUUCCCCUUCUCCAUUGUGCAAUAGAGCCCAUGCCGCAGCCGCUGUGUAAUUUCCUUGUCUUUCUUGACUUCUUCUCUAUCGUGAAAGAUGGAGAAUGACCAAGCCCAAACGCCCACAUCCACGGCCGCGCCCAACCUCCACGGCCACGCCCAACCUCCACGGCCACGCCCACCCCCACGUCGUUGCCUCUAUCACUUUCGUUCAAGUGGUUCGACACUGCAGGUACUAAAUUAAGAAUUUAAAGCAUGUAAAACGAAAGUAAAACAUAUCCCAAACUUAGCAAUUGUCCCCAUCUCGCUGUCUUUUAUACACACAAAUCUCUAACCCAAACUCAAACCCAAAAUUGUCUCUUGCCUUUCUCUUUCUCUUUCCUUUUUCUCUUCUCGAUCUCUUCCUUUUUUUUUUUUGGUCCAUUCACAAACUCGUUCAUUUAACUCAAAUAGAUAAUAUAAAGCUAAAACCUAAAGUGAGGCUUUUCUUUCCUUUUUCCUUUUUUUCCCAAAUUGAAAAAUGGAUCAAAACAAUAAUCGGGGCUUCUUUCAGCAAAUUAUUUUUCUUUUUAUGGUCAAAUUUCACUUUUUUUUGUUCAAUAUUCGAAACCCAUUUGCUUGAAUUUGAAUAAAAUUAUUGAGAAAUUAGUUAAUUUUCUUGCUAUGGAAGAGAUACCGCACCUUAUACGUAGACAUGUGAAGGAGAUUUUCAAUGACUCUAAGGGCAAACAGGUUGCCUUGAUUAAGGCUUUAACUGUUGGUAAUGGCUUAAUAUUUUAUUUUCUUUGUCAAAUUAAUUAACAGGUUUUUUUAUUUUAGCUUAUGAUUAUUAGGGUUUUUUGUUAAUUUUAAUUUUCUGGGUUGUUGCAGAUGUUGAGAAACUCUACCAGUGUGCAGUCUUGGUAGGAUUUCUUUUCCAUAUCUAUUUUUUGUUUAUUUAAUUGUAAUUUGAAUUUUUUUCUUUUUUUCCUAUAUUUCUAUAUUAUAAAGAUUGAAUGGUUGUGUAUUUAGUAAUUAUUACAUGUUAUUUACUGCUCUGUUUCAUGUAAAGAGAAGCAAAUUAUGUUAUAGAAACCAACAUGUUUAUUUAUUUAUUUUUUUCGGUUGGAAGAUUUUUAAUAGAGUCAAUGACUAUGAUAUGAAUUACCUAAGUUCAUGCUUGUCUGAAUGUUUUGAGAUUGCACAAAGUUCAUGAUUUGUCUUUAAUUCAAGAAGAAAAUGCUUGUUUUUAGGUAGUUUUGCUUGUUGUAGCACUUGGAGACUUACAUUUUCUUUCUUCAUUUGCACGGUUAGUUUCGCUCUUAUUCAAAAGUUUAUGUGUUUCCUCACUUGCAUGGUCAUUAAUUCAUUCCAUGAUUUUUCUUCUAUAAACACACUUUUAUUUGCCUUUCACUAGUUUGAAGGACUUUAUUUUUUUUAAUUAAAAAAUUCCAAAGAUUGAAAUGAAUUGAAAUUGCUGCUAUAAUGUACUUUCUUUGCUGCUGAAGUUCAAGGAAUGUCUAUUUAAAUGAACUAGAACUUGAAAAAUCUUGUAGUGUUGUUGUACCCAUAGACUUCAUUUUUUUUCUUGCACAUUACACUUAUUUUGUUCAUCUUCUUACCUUCAAUUUGUCGUAGAGGUAAACAAUGCUUGACGGGAAAUGGAGGUUUGCAUUUACAGCGGCUGAAUCUCAUGAACAAGAAGUUGGCAAACUGAGGUCUAUAUUUUUUCCUCAAAUUCAUAGUUGAAUUCAUAGUAAGCUCAAAGCAAUUGAUUGAGGGAGAAAGUAAAUUGAGUUUUAUUUAUUAGUACAAUUUUUGUUAUUCAGUGCUUUACACUCUUCAUGACAACUUCUGCGAUCUUGUCCUAUUACCUUAAGGUACUACUGGAUAUUUGAGAAAAAAUUAAAAAUGAUUAAGCUUAUCUUUCUUUGAUGGUAGAAUUACAGUAUGUCUCCUCACUUAUUGUAGUUCAUCCAAUUUUAUUUUUGUUGCGCAGUCUGUGGAAAUCAGAGUACCACAUUUAAGAGUUUUUAUAAAAUGUCUCCUUUACCUUUCCUAUUAUUUAAACUAAUUUCAUGUGUUUUUCUUUAGUUAAUGAUUGAUUUUCAAGCAAUUGAAGGAAAGUAACUUGUAGAACCUCCUUCUAAAAUUGGUCUGGAACCUUUGUGUGCAAUGGUUAGUGAAAUCAUAAUCCGUGGCUUGUGUUAAUAUGCAUCGAUUGUGUGAAAACUAUUGUUUACUAUUUUCUGUGGCUGGUUAUUAACAUGAUUCACAGAUAAACAACAAUAGACUCAUACCCAUAUGCUUGCUUGCUUUCAACAUGCACUUUCUUUCUUUUUUUCUGUAGUUUUUUUUAUGCGUCUCUCUUUGAAGAAUAAUAUUAUUAGCUUACACGAAAAGGGGGAAAUUGCCGUUAUCUUGCUGCAAGUUUUGUCCCGGUUCUAUAGUUCUACUAUUUUGUAUCACCUUGGAUGACAUGUCGAGUGAAUCCUGAAACAUCAUUUGUCAACCUUUUGAUUCAGUAAUAAUUUAUUAAUUUUGAGAAAUUAGUUUCAUUUUAUCUUGUUUGUACCUAUAAUGCAUUGUGUUCAAUGUUCUUGAAAUUUUUGGGCAUGGCUGCAAACAAAUUUAGCAGUUUUUAAUAGCCAACUAUAGAGACACUUUAAAAUUUGUUUGGGUGAUGAGUUUUUAUGGUUUUGUAAUUGGGGUGAAGGGUAGCAAAUAUCAAUCUUGUCUAAAGAGCACUUGUGUAAGAUUACUUUUGAGUAUAGUGGGGCAGCCUAUAUUAGUAUUUUUAUGAAAUAAGCAGAAAAAGGAAUCCCUUUCUGCUGUUAGCAAUAAAAAUAAUUUUCAAAAAUGUAAAUACCAAGCUUUCUAGUUGUCACCGUUAUUUGCAAAGAUCUUUUCAAUGUAUUUGUAGAUCCCAACAUAUCUUGAUGCAUGAUCAAUUAGUAUAUGAUAGCAUGGGUGAUGAUCUUUCCAUUUGCUUCUCUUUUUCUAUUUUUUUUGGGCAUCAUCGUCUAACGUAAGCAGGCCUCCUCCAUGUUGAUUUUUUUUAAAGAGUUUGGAGCUUAUGCAUUCGCAAUUCUAAAACAUGGGCCAAUAUGCUUUCUACUUGUUAAUCUAUUUACUUAUUGUCAAUUUUGCAGGUUAAUUUUGAAGAUGCGCAGAGAGGUUUUGUAGAGGUUGGGAAGGUAUUUAAAACUUAAAGCUUUUAAUUCUUCUUUCCCCUGCUUAAUAUAUGUUUUCCCUAUAUAGUGUUUCAACAUGACCUGAUUUCAUGCCGCCUCAUUUAUUCCAACAUCCAUAAACACUGAAAUUGACCUGAUUAGUUUUUCUCCCAAAAAUCCAAGAAUUAUUUUUUUGUGGUAUACUAAUUGAUUUUAUGUACUUGUAGGUGGAAAAAGAAAAAUGAAGCCGCUUGUGGAUGUUCAGUGACAUUAUGUGCUUCUUUUUGUUGGUUAAUAUUUGUUGAAUCUUAGCUUAGUACUUUGUAGUUCAGAGCUUGUCCAAGACUUAAUUUAGUACUUAUAUUUGUCUUUUCCAAACAAUGAUGUAGUUGAAUUAUAUGAAUUUAAGUGAUGGAUUUGAGAUAUUUCUUAUGUAAUUGUGUUGCGAGAUUUUGUAUAUUUUAAUAUACUUUGAGUUUUCCUUUGGUUGUAAAACGAACAAGAAAAUAUAAUUAAAAUAAAAGUAUACUAUUAACCAAAAGAAUCAUAACAUCAUUGAAUACUGACACUAAAUGUUUAAAAUGACAUUAAUAAUUUUUGAUGUUAUUGAGUCAGUGUGUUCUUGAUAUUGUAGUCUCAUAAAUUAUUGACAUAAAUAGUAUCAUUAAAUACUAAUGCUAUCGUGUCAUUAUUUUAGUGAUACCAUAAUGACAUGAAUUACUGACACAAAAAUCAUUGACACUAAAAAUUAGUGUCAGUGUGUUUUGGCUGGAGCAUUAUUGACACAAUUAACAAGUGUCAGGAAAAGUAAUUACUGACACUAAAUUAGUGUCAGUAAAGUCCAUUUUUCUAGUAGUGACAACUUCUAGUACCUUUCCUAAGAGCAAUAGGUAUGUCCAGAUCACUAAGAACCUGAGAAUUUAAAUUUAACUCACAAGAAGGAUUAGAAUUACAAUUACCUGAGGAAGAAGAAGUUUGAUUUGACCUUGGAUUGGAAUCAUGGCCUUGCUGCAAAGUAGGGUUUUCUCUUCUUUGAUUAGUACCCUUUCUUGAGUAAACAAUAAACUCAGAUUGUUUAUUACCCUGUCUUGCACACAAAUCUGGUUCUAAUGGCACAUUAGAGGGCUGUCCAGGUUGAUUAGCAUUUACAUUAUCAGAUUUAGUGAGGUUUUCUUGUGGUUCGGGUGCAUUAGGUUCUAAUAUGGGAUCAAGAAUGGUAUAACCAGGUAUAGCAAUGUUAGGAACAUGUACAACAGUAUUAGGUUCAGGUAUGGCAGCCUCGAGACUUUUUUCUGGACGGAGGGAGUCUAGCACAGAAGAAAUAGAAGGGUUUUCUAGGUGAAUAGUGUUAAAGAUAGAAGGGGUUUCUAGGUGAGUAGUGUUAAAGAUAGAAUCUUCACUCCUAUUCUCCCCCUGAAGAUGACUAUCUACAUAAUAUCUUCGUUUUUCAAAAAAUGUAACAUCCAUGGUAACAAACAUUUUUUUUUAAAAUAGGAUCAAAACAUUUAUAACCCUUUUGUGUUGGAGAAUAUCCAACAAAAAUGCAUUUUCUAGCCUUUAGAGCAAGUUUGCCCCGAUUCUGGUUGUGAAUAUGAACAAAAGCAACACAACCGAAUAUUUUGGGCGGAAGUGUGACUGAAAUUCGUGAGGUAGAGAAACAUUGAUUAAAGAAAUCAGAUAGAGUUUAAAAUUGUGGAACUUUUAAAGGCAUUCGAUUUAUCAAAUAGGCAGCGGUGAGUACAGCUUCCCCCCAUAAAUACAUAGGAACUUGAUUUAUAACAAGUAAGGAUCUAGCAACUUCAAGAAGAUGCUUAUUUUUGCGUUCAGCAAUUCCAUUUUGUUGGGGGCUAUCCGUACAUGAACUUUGAUGAAAUAUGCCAUUUUCCACAAAAAAAUCUCCCAAAAACUUGUUAAAGUAUUCUUUCCCAUUGUCAGUUCGGAAAACUUGAAUUUUAGUUUGAAACUGAGUUUGUACCAUGUUGUUAAAAGUUAAAAAUAAUUCACACCUAUGAUUUUUCCUUCAUUAAAUAUACCCAAGAAAUAUGGGUAUGAUCAUCAAUGAAGGUAAUAAACCAUCUUUUUCCUGUUAAUGUAGAAAUUCUAUUAGGUCCCCAAACAUCACUAUGAAUCACAGAAAAAGGUUUUGAGGCUUUGUAGGGUUGGGAAGGAAAUAAUGCACGAUGAUGUUUUGCUAAUUCACAAAUUUCACAUUUAAAGGAAGAAGAACUUUUAUUAGCAAACAAGUUGGGAAAUAAAUAUUGCAAAUACUGAAAACUAGGAUGGCCUAACCUAAAGUGCCACAACAAAACUUCAUUGUCAUUAUUAACAACAGAAACAGAAUUGAAACAAAUACGUGGAGGUUGUUGUCUCAAACUUGGUACUUCUUCAAAGAAAUACAGCCCCCCACUUUGUCUAGCACUGCCAAUCAUCUUCCCCGAGGUCAAAUCCUGAAAUUCGCAAUGAUUUUGGAAGAAACUAGCACAACAGUUCAGGUCAAGAGUUAAUUUGCUAAGGGACAAAAGAUUGCAAGAUAGGUUAGGAACAUGCAGAACAUUAUGAAGAGUGAGAGUGGAAGAAAGAAUGAUAGACCCUUUUCUAGCAAUAACCGAAAGGGAUCCGUCAGCGAUCUUAAUUUUUUGAUUUCCUGCACAUGGCUUAUAGGCAGAAAACAAAGAUGGAGAGCCUGUAAUGUGAUCGGUUGCUCCUGAAUCGAUAAUCCAAGAACAAGGAUUCGAAUGAUGAGAAACAAGGGCAGCAGAAAGAUAAUUACCUUUUUGAGUUAAUGAGCAAGAGGGAGUAGAUGAAUUGAAGGAUGAGGAUUGAAACAAUUUAUACAAGUGCUCUAAUUGAUCCUUGGUGAAAGGUGAUGACUCUGAAGAACCUAAUUUCUCUUUAUCUGAAGUAGCUUGGAAGGCUCGUCCAUCACCUCCUUGUUUCUUCUUCACAUGAGGAGGCUUGCCAUGUAACUUCCAGCAAGUUUCUCUUGUAUGCCAAGCCCUUUUACAGAAGUUGCACCAAGGUUUCUUUGAAUUCCUUCGAUCUCCAUCAGGUUCAGGUGCCUUUAAAAUAAGAGCAGAACUCUCUGAACUCUCUACUUCACUGGUGGCUUUAACAUCAUUAAGCAUGACAUUCCGUCGCGCUUCUUCUCUUCUUACCUCAGAAAACACUUCUCAAAUAGAUGGAAGGGGUUUCCUGCUCAGAAUUAUGCCUCUCACUUUGUCCAAAUCACGGUUUAGCCCAGCUAAGAACACAUAUACUUUGUCAUUUUCCAACAUCUUUUUAUACCUUACACUAUCACUCGAACAGUCCCACUGCUCAUCAUAGCAAAGAUCUAAUUCCUGCCAAAGGAUCAACAGUUCAUUAUAGUAAGUUGUGACCAACCAAUUACCUUGCUUGGAUUGGCACAAUCGAGUUUUCAACUCAAAUAUCUGAGAUGAAUUUUCUAAAUCAGAAUAGGUAUCUCGGACUGCAUCCCACACCGCCUUGGCUGUCGGUAAGAACAGAUAAGGCUUACCAAUCCUAGGCUCCAUUGAGUUUAUCAACUACGCAAUAACCAUCGAAUUUGUUGAUCCCCAGGUCGAAAGAGAAGGAUCUCCAGUAAUUGGUUUUGUUACUUCACCAGUCAAAUGCCCCAGCUUUCCCUUUCCAUCAAUUACCAACUUAACGCACUGUGCCCACUCUAAGUAAUUUUUUCCAUUCAAUUUAUGAACAAUUAGUUGCAAAGAAAAGCUAUCCUGGUUAUAUUCAGACUGCUGCAACAGCGGCUGAGGAGUUCUGGUGUUACUAUCAUCAUCUUCGGCGGUAGAUGCCGAUGAGCUCUUUGUAGCUCCAGUCAUGGCAGUUUUCACCAUUGAAAAAUAGACCUCUAAAUAUUCAUUGCUCUGAUACCAUGUAAAUAUUUAGAGUCUGAAAAUACUAUUUUUCUUCUUUCAUUCAUUCAACAAGUUACACUUAAAUAGAAUAUAGAAAACAAACUCCUAAUAGAUAUCCCCUAAUUGUAGGAUACUUAUCUAAACUUGAAUUUAAAAAAAUGAUUAUCUAAAACUUUAUUCCGAUAAGACUUUAAAACUAAACUAAUUAUCUAAAACUUUAUUCUGAUAAGACUUUCAAACAAACUGAAAAAUCCUAACUUCUUGACACAUAGAUCAUACUGCAGAUGAAUUUUGGAAGAUGAACAAACUCAGGCAUCUAGUCAUUGAAGAUGGUGAAUGAAAGCACGAUGCCAAGGCUCUCCAAAAUCGUCCUUGCCAAAUACCUACUUCCUCAAAGUCUAAUCCCCUUGAGUUUCUCUAAUACUGAACAAAUGGAUGAUCCCAUGCCUGUGCUAGAAAAGUUGCCACUUCUUCAAAUGCUCAAACUGAAGCAAAAAUCAUAUUCAGGUAGAUAGCUGACUUGUGGGUCUGAUGGUUUCCCAAAGCUCAACAUAGUGCACUUGAAUUCAAUGCCAUGCCAUUUAAACAAAUUCGAGUGUUGGUGGCCUCAGCCGGAGCUGAGACAAAAGCUACGGGACUUUGAGGAUAAGGCGCAGUAUGACAAUCAAGUAUAUCAUUAUGGAAUUUGAUUUGCAUGGAUUUAAUUAGAUGUAAGUUUUUCAUUUUAUACAAUAUCAUCAACCUUUAAUUAUUAAUCUAAUUUCAUACAUAUGUUUUUUCUUCUCCUCAAUAUAUUUGAUAGUACGCAGCUUCCUAAUGCUAUCAAGUGUUUUCUAAUUGUAGUUGCUUCUAAUUUUUGUCUCAACAUUAGAGAUGAAGUGUUCAUCACAGUUCCUGAUGCUGACCCCGACCAUUUUCCCUUGUCUAUUGAUUGUUGAACAGUCAGGAAAAACUAUAAUUUCAUUUCAGAACCCUUGUGUAUUGAUCGUUGAGCAGUGAGGAAAAACUAUAAUUUCAUAUCUUAAAUUACUUGCGCCGGUGAAAUCAGAGCGGGAAAUAUGUCAACUGUAGUGCAGCAAAAGUUUCAAUUUCAACUAGAAUCCGGCCUUGAUCCUUUUAGUAUUCACUUCUGCUAUCUACACAUUAAUGAGUCCUUAGGAUUGAUGCAGGAUAUUAUUGGGUUUCUUUGUUUUCAAGGAUCUGCUACAAGCAAUAAUGUCAAGUUUUUGGAUUCACUGUGUAUAUUUUAUUCAUGUGUCUUCAUUCUUGUAAUGUGCUUGAAACUCCACCUUAGUGUGGACGUGUGUGGUUUGGUCGUACCAUGUGCAAUACAUGUAAAUUGUCAUAAUUGUCUUAAGGGAAUUCUGCAUCACUUCCAUUAGAAGAAAACUUUGGAUGUAGGCACCAUUGCCGCUGAAUCUACUUUUGAUUUGCUCCAUGUUUUCUAUAUUUUUUUAAUUCAAUUUUGGAGAUAGGGUUUCUAGCAUUGAUUGUUGAUACAUCAGAGGACUAAAUACAAGAAAUAAAAACUGGGGCAUAUUGCCUAAUCUUCAGAAUCUCCAAUUUUAUGGAGAUUUAAGCCCUUAUCAUUCAUAAAUAACUUGAGUGUUGGAUUGUUAUUAUCUUAGAUUCUCUAAAUAAUAAUCCGAAUAAGAAUGUUGGAAAAAUAUUGAUUAUAAAUACUUGUUUUGAACAAAUACUACCUAUUAUUUUAAAUUUUGGACUUAGAAAUUAUAAAUAGUAUUAGCAUGUGAAUUUUAAGGUAUUAGCUGAUUCUGUCCAAUUUUAGAGGUUGAUCCAUCAUGCUAAACUUAGUCAUUGGUUUUUGCUGAACAAAUGAAUGUGUAUCAUUUUUUUUUCCUCUUUUUUUUCUGUUAUACUUUGAUUCCCCUGCUUCUAGCUGAUUCUGUUCUCCUUUAUAACGAGAAAGAAGUUGUCUUUUGUGCUCUUAUAUAUACAUGUUAAGCCUGGAUAUGUGUGGUUUUGUUUGUUUUAAUAAUAUGAUUGUGUGGUGUCAUCUGUAAUACUUUUUAAGGGUGCAAAUCAAAUGAGUUUAUACCUUAUAGUGAAUUUGGUUAAUUUCAAGAUAUCAUUUUUUGGGAUCUUCGGCUCUAGUUGCUAAUACAAAAUUCCUCAAAUCUCGUUUGGAAUUUGGGAGUCCGUCCUAAAUGAUACAAGAUUUGAUAAAAAUUUCUCAUUCUGAUUUAUUAAUCGAGUUGAGAUUCAAGAUCUAGUUUUCUUCUAAUUUAAUAUUCAAGACGGGAUUUGAGACGUCUGAAAAUCUCAUUCGAGAUCCCUUAGGCAAUCAAAUGAGUUCAUAUCCUUAUAAUGAAUUUGGUUAAUUUCAAGAUACCCUUUUUUGGAAUCUUCCGCUCUAACUGUUAAUACGUGAACCUAGGCUGGCAAAAUUAUCCAGAUACCAAUCGAGAUACAAACCCUAUAUAAGAUUUGUUACAAAUUUCUUAUCCCUAUUUUCAAUGUAGGUCAGGAUUUGGGACCCCAUUUUAUACCGAUUGAUAAAUUUCUUUAUUUAGACAAUAACUGAUGACAGAUUAUUAGUUUAAAGCUCAUGGAGUAAAGGUUGAAUUAUUGGUUCAAUCAUCCGUAAUUUUCUGCAAGCAUGCAAUAUAUUAAACAAGAGAUUAUUUAAUUAUUUUUUGGGUUCUGUUAUUAACAAUAAUGAUUUUGAAGAUAUUAGUGGGAGAAAAAUGGUUCUUUUAAAUCAUUUUCAAUCUUGAGAAAAAGUUUUCUUGCUGCCAUACACUGUCCUUUCUCUAUAUUUAUAUUUAAUUCAUAUGUACAUAUAUCAUACAUACAUUAAAUGAGUGUAAUUCAAUAAAAACAUUCUAUGAUCUUUCUGCUAUAUGAAAAAUAACCUAAAAAAUAUAUAUAUACAAUUACACAAGCUCUAUUAAUACUCUACCAAUUAAAUUGAGCACGUGUUCUUUUUAAUAUCCUCAUUUCAGCUAAUUGUAUCCAGCCCAGUGGCCGCAUUUUUUUUUUCUCUUUUUGUGUGUGUGUGUAACCAAAGCUUUUUAUCUUUCAUUUGCAAUUUGAGAACCCAUUAGCCAGACAAUUAAAUGCAGAUUCCAUGAAUUUUGCACCGUUGACUUAACUCGAAGAGUAAGACUUCGAUGUAACUACGGAGUCAACAAAUAUGCUUGUCAUGGAAAAUCUCAUAACGCGUACAUUUACUUUUUCAUAUAUUGUGUCUCUAUUCUACCUCUCCAACUUAAAAUUCCUUGCUCGUGUUUUAAACAUGACAUAGAAGUUCUGGUUUGGAAAUGGUAGAGAUAGUUAGAUGUCACAGUUGCAUACAAGUGUACACAAUUUCUUUGUCAAAUAAAAUCUAGUCACAUAUUUAUUCUAAAACUUAAUUAUAAACUAUGAAUAAAUAAAAAACAGUGGACAUAAUUUUAUUGACUGUCCCAUUAAAUCCGUCGCACCUAAUUUUAUUUGCUUGCAGUGGGACGACUUUAAAUGUUGUCAUGUGGCUGCACAAAUGGACUAAUUCCUGUCACAACUUGAUAGUCUAUAUUAGCGCGGACUGUUGUGACAAAUGAACCUCUAUUUCGAUUGCGUACUCCAAUAUGUUAAAAAAAAGAAAAAAGAAAAUAAAAAGAAAAUAGGACAUCAUCAAGUAUCAAUCAAAGAUCAAUUUGUUUUAUCCACUUUCAAGAAAGAAAAGGUAAAAACAAUCCCACUGGGGACCAUAAAGUUUAUCUCAAAAGAAAAAGCACUACAAUAGUCGAACACAAAGAAGAGUAAUAAUGAGAAAGGAGUUGCAUAUAAAUUGAAGAUUUUUAUUUUUUUUAAAGAAGGGCCCGACAUCAUGAUUGCUUUCAUUUAGGAAAGGAUAUAUGAAAAAGAGAUGAAUAUUGCACUUUAGAUUUGGAUAAUUCCGAUUGGAUUUUGAAUUGUUUGGAUUAGGAAAAACAAAUCAUUCGAAUCCAACCUGAAUCUCAAAUACAAUCGAUCGGAUUUAAAAUAAAUCAGAUCUGAUAAAUAUUUCAGAUACAUUUAGUUUCAGAUUGUUUCGGAUUUAAAUGAUAUUUUAGAUUCAAAUGGUAUUUUAAGUUCAGAUUGAAUUUGUAUUUGGGUCUUUUUGAUAAUUUUUACAUAAAAUUCAUAAAAUCUAUAUAUAUAUAUAUGAGUAGUGCUAAAUGUCGGGAAGGCUGAGAUAACCCUGAGAGAAAUGGUAGCUUGUGCUGCCAUUUCGCGCGUGUUCUCUUGGCCCCGCCCCCCAUGUUUCUUUCUCUUUUCUUUUUAACUUAACGUUUGCUGUAGUCAGCCUUUUGCUGCAGUCAACUCAUCUCUCCAGCACCAAAAACUACCGUAUCUUCUCCCUCCCCUCAAUUUCAUCGGCACUCUCUCUCAUCAACGGCAUCGUUACCGACAGCCACCUCUUUCUCUUCAGCUCGUCACGACAGACACCACCAGUUUGGUUCGUCACUUCGUCCGGAUCUCUCCAUUAUUCCAAGUGUGUUUCCCCUAUUUUUUGUUCUAAAAAACCCAAAAAAAUGAAGAACAACACCUGUAUUGAUUUCGAUUUUUUGAUUCCAAGUCAAAGGGGUGCUUGACUUUUAAUUAUACAAGAUAGAAGAUGAAACCAAAUUUUGAUGUUGAUGAAGAAGAAGAAACAAAACUGACAGGAGGAAGAAGAAGAUAAUUGUGAUGAUGUUGUUGAUGAAGAAGAUGAAAUUGACGAUGGAGAGAAGUAACGAAGAAAUUGGAGAAGAGAGAGAAAGAAAAAAGAGAAGAAGAAGAAGGUAAAAGAAGAAAAAAAUAUAAGAGAGAUAAAAUAAUAUAAAAAAAAGAGGAAAUGUUUAAAGUAAAGUGGGGGUGGGGCCAAGAGAACACGCGUAAAAUGGCAGCACAAGCUGCCGUUUCUCUCAGGGUUCUCUCAGCUUUCUCGACGUUAAGUAUUUUCCUAUAUAUAUAUAGUAGUGCAAUCUAAUCGAAUUGUUUAAAUUAAAAUGGAUCCAAUCCAUCGAAUGCACAAAUUUUAUCCAAUCGGAUAUAAAUGGCAACAUCCAAAUCCAAAUCAGAUCGAAUCAUAUCUAUCCGAAUCUGAUCCAUGCACACCUUUAGCCCUAUUGGAAUGAUUAUCUAACGAUUCAAACUAUAACGUAUUUUGUUGUAGUUUGUAGAGCGCUUGAAAAGAAAAUCUCUAAACAAUAGUGACUAUUAUGAAUUAGAUGCAUCAAUCAAUUGUUGAAAAUUGAUUAAAAACAAAAAAAGAAAGGUUGUUGACCAAAAUUUGUUGAUCAAAUUUGAUGGCUAAGCCACCAAUUUUGAUCAAAAUUGGUGGGCAUAGUUAGGCAAGUUUUUGCCUAUAAAUAGGAGGGUGCUCCUCCUCACUUUUGUAUCCAAUUGAGAGCAUUCAAUUGGUGAAUGCAAGAAAAGCAUUGAGAGCUUCUAAUGGGAGAGAAAUAAUCUUAAGCAUGUAGAUGUAUUAUAGGAGUAUUUGGCUCCUCAAUGUGGGUAUUACGGGUUUGCUCUGUUAAAGAAUAUUUUUCGGGAUCAUGUAUUUGGGGCUUGGGUGAGAAAAAUUAUUUCUGAAAGUGUGGUUGUAAUAAUUUUUCACAUAAUGAAUAUUUUUUUCUCUGGUUGUCUUUUGAUAACGGCCGUAGUUUUUUUUCUGGAUUUAGAGUUUUCCAUGUAAAUCUUGUAUUGUGUGACUAAUGUAUUCUCCGUUUAAUUUUUUCUGUUAAUUUAUUGUUUGACAAAUUGUUUGUAGUGAUCUUGGGAGAAAACUCAAUUUCCUAACACGAAUCAGAUUCUAAGGAGAUGUUUUUUCUCUCUAUACAAGCUUUAUGGUCCCAGCGGAAUUAUUUUUAAUCUUUCAGUCUUUUGAGAGGGCAAAAAAGAAACUAGUCUUGAUAGCCUAUUUUACUUUCUUCAUACACAUAUAUAUAAAACACAAAUUAUAAGACACCCUUUUAUCUUCUUGCAUAAAGAAUAUUUUAUAUACACGUGCAUUAUACCUCAGGUUUUGUGCAGAAAAUCAUUAUUGUAAUGUUUUGGGAGAGAUUAUUUAGUGUUAGACAUUGGAAUUUGUGGGUUUGUUUGAAUAAGAAUUUGAGGUAUUUUAGUUUAGAAUCUAUGAGUAAGGAUUACGAUUUGUAAGUAACAUCCUUCUUCACGUGCUCCGCACGUGUUAGUUUUGGGGUGUAACAUAACUAGAUCCUAAGAUCUCGAUCCACAGCUUAGUAAUCUGCAGAUACUUCAUACGAAGCCGAAUCCGCUGAAUCAGGAGUAAGAAUCUUAUAUACGUGUAAGAAUAAAAAUAAAAAGUUGGAAAAAGAAGCUCAAAGAAUUUUAAAUUGAAAAGUUGAUUUUCAUGUGCGGAACAAGGGCUUCAGAUUAAAUUGUUGAAAAAGUUUUGUAGUAAAAUAUUUUUGUUUUCAUAUGAUUUUUUAAGAAAAAAGAAUAUAUAAGGUUUUUUGUGGAAUUAACAUAGGUGUUGUUAAAAGUAGUGUGAUUUACAUAUAGGGGCGGGCAAAAAAAUCGUGCACUAGAGAAAACAAAACUGAACUGAUCCGAACCGUUCCAUUCGGAUCAGUUUUAAUUUUAAAAAAUAAACGAAAUAUAUGGUUUGUAAAAAGAAUCGAAAUGUAGGUUUGGUAUUUGGUUCACUUAGCUGAACCAAAAAACCGAACUAAAAAACCAGAUUGUUCUUGGAAUUUUAUUUAAAUAGACAUGUGUUAAAUUUUAAUUGGUUGCGUAAGAUAACUAAAAUAGGCAUGCACACACACGAUUAUGGGUAUAUAUAUAUGUUACAAUUUCUGCACCCAAAACAAACCUAAAGGCUAAAAUCAAAAACGAAAUCAACUCGCAAGCCAAAUCCUUUUAGGAGUUCUUUAACUCAUAAAACAGUCAAGUCAUUAAUCUGUACUCAAAAUUGGUUUUACUCAACUCUCUUAGGAGAGCAUACAAUACAACCAAGUCAGGAGGAAGCUGAAUUCUAUGAAUUAGUUGAAACAUGUAAUAUUGUAAUUUAUUAUGUUAUUUUUUGUUACUUAUAACAUUUUGUAUAUUAGAAUUAAUGAUUUUAAUAUAAUUGUUUCAAUUUCUUGAAGAAUUGUUUAGGCUAAUGCAAUCUCAACAACAACAAGUAGCUGAGGAGUAAAUGACAGUUGACUGAUGUUGCUGACCAGUAAGUUUUCUUUAUUUUUUUUUAAAAAAUAGUAUCUUAUUUAUAUAGAUUUUUAUUUAAUUAUUUAUUUUUUUAAAUUUUUUUUAUAGAUCCAAAUAUUGAGUUGGAAAAUGCCUAAAGUUGAUACUGAUAUUGAUGGGGAUAGGAGAAUGUUGUUGUCAUUUGUUUGCAAUUUAAAAAAAAAAAAUUUUGUGAAGAUGGGAGAAUGUUGUUGGUGUUUGUUUCCAAAUUUUCUUUUUAUUUUGUGUUGUAAGUUUUAAUUGUUGUUAUUUUUAUUUGUCUUUACAACAUUAUGUUUAUGUAAAUGGAGUAUUGGAGUUUAAUUAUGUAUUUUGAACUCUUAAUAUUUCAUAUUUUGUAAGUAUCUUAUUAGUAGUUAGUAAGAUAUUAGUGAUAAAAUAUGUUUUGAAUAUUUUGUAUUUAUUGUUAAUAUUUGUAAUGAAAUUAGGAUAAAUUAAUUGUUGAAAAAAAUAAUUACAUUCAUGAGGCCUAAUGAGCUAAAAAUUUAGAAAUUCAAAAUAGGCCCAAUAGGCCCAAAACCGAAAAAAUCGAACCGGACCGAACCGAUCUGAGAAGAUCCGUUUAUAUUCGAUUUUUAUUGUGUUCGGUUCUUAUUUGGUUCUUUUAAUAAAAUAACCUAUUUAAAUCGAUUUUGCUUAAUUUCGAUUCGAACCAAACCAGACUGAACCAUGCCCACCCCUAUUUACAUAUGUUUUUAAUCGUGUACUUUUAGAAGAGAGGCUUUACGAGGAGUUUAAAGUGGUGCUAAUAGUUUCACUUAUUGACAAAUGGGUCAAAAAACAUCCAAAAGCUUCAAAGACCUUUCAUAAUACUUGGAACACAAAAUAGUUAAUUAUACUUUACAAAAAAAUUUGUUUUUUAACAUUUUACAACUCAAAACACGCUAGAAGAUCUUUAAUAUUUCUUAGUUUACUAUAAGAUACUAUAAGUAUAUAUAACAAAACAAGAAUAUAUUGAUUGAUACCAUAUAUUUGAUACAAGUGAAUAGAAAAUCUCUCACUUGAUAGAAUAUAUAUAGCAUAUGACAAGUUACAUACAUCUAAUUUUCUGCAUGCAUAUGGAAAAAAAAUUAAUUGUUUAAAUUUCUAAUUUGUCAAAUCAAGGUUUGAUUUCUGAAUUUUUUUAGUUGUUAAGUGGAUUAAAUUUCCCCCCAUAUACACUGUCUAGAGAAACUCAUGAAUCUAAAUAAACCAAACCCAUAUUAAAUUUAAUGAUAUCAUUAUCCUCAGACUCUCAGUUUUGCACUUUUGCUUACAUAAACAUUAUGGAACUUAAACUUAAAUCCACUUUUUUCAUCAUUCUCUUGGUGGCCUCAUGUUUGUUCCUUAAUCUUAUUUUCCUCAUCUUUUUAAUGCAUCCAUAAUUAACUAUAAUAUGACAACUAAUUGGCUGGCAUUUAUAUAUGCAGGCGUGUUAUUAGCAUUAGGCUAAUUAAUUGAUUGCCAUUUAUAUAUGCAGGUGUGUUGUUUGAUAUUUUCAUGCCGGCAGUUGAUGCUCAACCGGAAUCAAAAGCAGUCACUUGUAAAAGCAAUGCCGACUGUGACAAUCCCUGUCAGUCGUUUCGAAUGCGAUCUUGAUACCCAUCUCUGCGUUUGUGUUCCUGGCCGCAAUUCGAUGGGUUGCUGAAGAGAUUAAAGCUUGUAUUGCAAGUUCUAGUGAUAUUUUGGAUGCUGAAUUGCAAAAUUUGUAACGUUACAAUCUUUGUUCCGUUUCUUACGUCAUGUGUCAAAUAAAAGUAUCAACUAAGAUUGCUGCCUCUCUUCUGAUAUGCAUACUAAAAUUGUGUACAAAAAUUUACAAAUCAUCUCCAUGUGAUUGGUCCUAUUAUACAAUGUUGUACCAUUCAUUUGGAGAAGUCUUUAAGGCUUGGAAUUAUACAAUUUUUAAAAUUUUCAGUAUUUUUUUUGGCUUUCGAGCUGGGUUCGGACUUUUAACCGGAGCCCAAGACCAGCCAGAAUACUUAGAAAACAUGCUCUAGCUACACUUGAUUUUUCUGCCAUUCCUACUUAGAAUUCCAUUAUCAUUGAUUUCAUUGAUGGAUUGUUAUAUUUUUCACACUAAGUGCUCAAAUGAAAAUAAUUAUAAAUAGUGUCUUAUGAUGUAAUCCUUUCAAAAAGGUGAGAGUUCAUAUAAUACUGAUAUUUGAAUAAAAAAAUGAUACAGUGGUGAGAAAACAACUAUAAAUUUUAUUUAUAAUGUUAAAUAAAAAAUUAUAACUAUUUUUCAAUUAAUAUUGUAACAUUGCACAAUUUACUAUUAUUUUUGUCACCUGUUGUUAGAACUCUUUAUCAUUUUUCAUUUCUUAGAAAAGAAUGCUAAAAAGAAAAUUUAACAUAUAUUAACUAUAAAAUUUUACAAACGAUUUAGUACUUUCUCUAAAUCUAGUUGAAGAAAUAAGACAGCAUCACACAUGAUUAAGAAUGCAUAUUUAUUUGAGUAAUUUUACAUUUAUAACCCUGGGAUACAAAUUUUAUUUGUGAUAUAGAUACAUGCAAGUCUCGCAAUAAAUUUAACAAUUAACACCAGACAUGAUUUUGCAUUUUUCCACAGCUUAAUUAUUAAUUAUUAAAUAAUUGAUAACGCUCUUGUGCUUGCUCCGUUCUUUUCUUUUCAGACAAGCUUUUAUAGUCCCAGUGGAAUUGUUUUUACCCUUCCUUUCUUAAAAGUGGAUGUAUAAAACAAAUUGGUCUUGAUCGAUACUUGACAAUGUCCUGUUUAUUUUUCGCUGCUUUAUUCUUUUUUCAUCAUAUGGAAGACGAGAUUAUUGUAAGAUUCUGCCUUGAUAUGUUCUAAUUUGAGAGUCAACGAUCUUGAUUUAACUUCUUGACUGGAGAACUAGCUAAGAGAAGGGAGGUAUGGGAGCCAGCACUAAUGUUUGAAUUGAGAGCUUUAAAGCAUAUUUUCCUUUUCCCCUCUCUCUUUUAAUUAUUUCUUUGCAUGCUCUUAGACAGAUUUCAGGGUGGAUUUGAGGGAGGAGGAGAUAUGGACAUCAACAUCAGACUAUUUUCAGAGAGGCUGAGAAGGGUGUUAGCUGGUGAAGAAGUCACGUUGCCUGAUGCUGCAAAACAACCUAUUCACAACUUUCAUGCCGAGAUUGAAAUCGUUACUUCUUUGCUGAGGGACUUUGAAGAUGAUAUCUCCUGCCUUCUGGUGCAAAAAAUAGGAGACCUUGAAAUUGACAACCCAGAUCUGGCGACCGUUAUGGACGAAAUCAACUGUUUUGCGUAUGAAUCUGAGAAGGUUAUUGGCACAUUCAUCAACAGCAUCGCUCAACAGAAGAGUCAAAGCAGGUACAACAAGGAUGUUUGUGAUGCUCUGCAAGGACUCCAAAGCAGAAUCACUGAGAUUAAGCAACGGGUUCAACAACUUAAGCACAUCGAUUUUGAAAUCAUGGAUGGGUUAAGAAGUGUUGAAGCUGAAUCCAGUUAUUUUCCUGCAUCUUCAUCUUAGAAGAAUCGGAACACGGUGGGUCUAGAUGAUAGAAUGGAGGAGUUGUUAGAUCUAUUGAUCGAGGGACCACCUCAGCUGUCAGUGGUGGUCAUACUUGAUAGCAUUGGGUUGGACAAGACGGCUUUCGCCGGAGAGGCUUACAACAGCAGUUAUGUGAAGCAUUAUUUUGAUUGCCACGCUUGGGUUCCAGGGACUUAUCCGUAUGAUGCUGACCAAAUGUUAGAUAUCGUUAUUAAGUUUCUGAUGCCUUCAUCUAGGUUGAGUGAAAUAAUGGAUAAAAAUUAUGAAAUGAAAAAAAUAAUUCUUCAUGAAUAUCUAAUGACCAAGCGGUAUUUGAUUGUGAUUGAAGAUGUAUAGACCAUUGGUGUGUGGGAUGUUAUUCGAGAAAUACUUCUGGAUAAUCAAAAUAGAAGUAGAGUAUUAAUCACACUCAGCCGAAUUGAGAUUGUCACCUCAUUUCAGUUCGAAGACGGAGAGAACAUUGGGCUUGAUUUUGUGCCCACUGGAGGACCAUUGAGAGCUACAUACCAAGGAUGGCCUUUCCUCAUCUUAUAUCAUGGAAGCAUCUCAUUAGAAGAAAAUAUAGGGGAAGCAGUGGCGAUACCCCUUGGGCUUUGGUACUUCAAAUAUUGCAGGUUACCUUUUUGCUUGAAACUUUGUUUUCUCUACUUAUCUGUGUUUCCUGCACACCUAGAGAUAUCCACCAGGCAGUUAUAUCAGUUGUGGAUAGCUGAAGGUUUCAUCCCAGACAAUAGUGAGGCAACUGCUGAGAAUUACUUGGAACAACUAAUCAAGGGAGGCUUUGUUGAAGCAAAUAAGAGAAAAGCUGCAGGCACUAUCAACACAUGCUCUAUUCGUAGCCGUUGCCAUCCUGUGUUGUUGUCAGUUCCUUAUAGGGUGGAAUUUAUCUCUUCCCCUUUCCUGGAUCCAAAAGGUAAAUCACCAAAACAAGUCAAACGGUUAAACGCUGUUAAAAGACAGGAAGAUUUUGCUUGCUUAGAUUAUUAUGACUCGCAACUGCAUUCUUUGUUGUGCUGCUCUCCAGAAAGCCGCCACUUUGACCCCAUGGAUUGGGAGAAAAUUUGUGGAAUGUUCCAACUUCUCAGAGUAUUGGACUUGGGAUCUCUUGUUCUCAUCCAAUAUCCAUCCGGAAUUGAAAAUUUAUUUCUUUUGAGAUAUUUGAAGUUGAAUAUCCCUUCCCUUAAAAGCCUGCCUUCAUCGUUAUUAAGCAAUCUUAUGAACCUCUAUACCCUAGACAUGCCCUUUAGCUAUAUAGAUCACAUGGCAGAUGAAUUUUGGAAGAUGAAAAAACUCAGGCAUCUAAAUUUUGGGUCAAUCACACUUCUUGCGCAUCCAGGAAAAUAUUGUGGCUCUCUGGAAAAUCUCAAUUUCAUUUCAGCCUUGCAUCCUUGCUGUUGUACUGAAGAUAUAUUGGGCAGACUACCUAAUCUUCGAAAUCUCCGGAUUCGGGGAGAUUUAAGUUAUAAUCAAUCUUUGUUGUCUAAAAGUCUCUGCAGAUUGAGCUGUCUCGAGUCAUUGAAGCUGGCGAAUGAAAGCAAGAUGCCACGGCUCUCCAAAAUCGUCCUUGCUGAAUACCUAUUUCCUCAUGGUCUAACCCACUUGAGUUUUUCUAAUACUGACCUAAUGGAUGAUCCCAUGCCGGCACUAGAAAAGCUGCCGCUUCUUCAAGUGCUCAAACUGAAGCAAAAUUCGUAUUCAGGUAGAAAGCUGAAUUGUGGCUCUGAUGGUUUUCCAAAUCUCAAGGUAUUGCACCUGAAAUCAAUGCUAGAGGAGUGGACUAUGGGGAUUGGAGCCAUGCCAAAACUAGAAUGCUUGAUUAUCAACCCCUGUGCUUACUUGAAAAAGAUGCCUGAACAGCUCCGGUGCAUAAAGAGCUUAAACAAGUUCGAUUGCUGGUGGCCUCAGCCGGAGCUGAGGCAAAAGCUACGGGAAUUUGAGGAUAAGGAACAGUGCGGCAUUCAACUAUUUCCCUACGGAAUUUGAUUAGCCCCUAUUGAAUUUGAUGUAAGUUUUUUCUUCUUCCCCGAUUACUUCAACCUUUAAUUAUUGAUCUAAUUUCAUAUAAAUGUUUUCUUCUCUACAAUAGAUUUGAUAGUACGCAGUGCCUAAACUAUAAUCAUACUAUAAAGUUUUUUCUACUAAUUGUGAUUGCUUCUAAUUUUUGUCUCAACAUAAACUUAAAGUGUCUACCACAGUUCUUGAUGCUGACAGCAUUCAUUAAAAACUGUAUGAUGCGAUCUUCAAUUAGUUGUAUGUGUAGGUAAAAGCAGAGCGGAAACUAUCUUAACUGCACUGCAGCCAAAGUUUCAAUUACAACCAGAAUUGAGCCUUCAUCCUUUCAGUGUUCACUUCUGCUGGGUUGUCUACACGUUGUUUGGUUUCUUCAUUUUCAAGGAUUUGCAUGCUAACAGUAAUAAUGUCAUGUUCGGAUUAAUAUAUUGAACAAAAGUCUGAUUAAUUGUUUUACUUUCUAUUUUCAGUUGCACUGGUGUGUAUUCAAUUUGUCAACAUUCAAAUUGAUAUAUGUUAUUGUUUUUUUUUAUUUUAUUUCUUCCUCUAGUUUUUAAGUAGCGGUAUAGUUCAACUUCAAGCUUAGUACUUCAGUUAGAAGAAAAGUAUUUGUGCGGUGAUCUCAUCUCAUCAUGUCAACACUGGCAGAACGACAUUGUUGUUCGGUUUUUUGGAAUUUCACCGACAUGUCGGUCAUCAUAAGGGUGAGAGUGCUGGUCAAAAGUGAGUUGGGGUUAGGUAAAAAAGUACAGGAAAAUUCUAGGAUUGUUAGAGAUAGCCUUUAUCGUAGUUUAUAAGGCUGGUUGAUGGGCCAUCUUCUCAGAUCUCAUCAAAGCUAUGGAGAGAGAGAGAGAGAGAGAGAGAGAGAGAGAGAGUUGAAAUAGAAAGUUGUAUAUUCUUGUUCUCUAUAACAAGCUCUACAUCCUGGUAACCUUGAUUUGUGAAAUAGUGAAAGCUUGAAAGCUUGAAAGCUUGUAUCCUUGUUCUUCACUGGAUUUACGCACUUUGAUUCAAUUUUUAGUUUGGAUUUCUGAGAAUGAGUCUUCAUACAUCAAAUCAAAGAUGGUCUAAGGUGUUUGAUCUUGGUACUGUUAGAGGAUUAAACACAACAAAAAGAAACUGGGGCAUGGAGAUUAAGCCCUAGUCAAUUUGGGUUGUCCAACAGCCCUUGUAAAAUCGAAAACCAGCACUAAUCCUUGGUGAUUUGGAGCAGAAGUUUAACGAGUAAAGUUCUGAAAGUGGAAGAUUUAAUCGAUAGUGCUGCACGUUUUGGAAGCUCUGUUAGAAUUGAUGACUGAAUUCUUUCUCUAUUGAUUGAUUAGCAGCCCCAUAGCAUGCUAAUGGUUUUCACAUUUUUCCCUCCACAGCAUGCAGAGGGUGUCUGUAGUGCAAAGAAGUUGAUGGCACGCAAAUAAGUUGCUUGUGUUGUUUUUAAUCUCAAUAAGAUAUAUAUCAUCGGCAUAUUGAAGUUUGUGAUUAUUCUAAGAAAAAAUAGGUGCUUUAUUAUUUGAAUUAUCGACAAAAUAAUUCCAUUUCAUUAUUUUGUUAGAUCCACUAUAUGUACAUGUUUGAAUCUUAUUCAUAAGUUUUGAUUUCACUCUCACGUUUCAUAUGAUGUCAAAUCAGAUAAAAAGAAAAAAAAAAUGAAAGCUAGCUUGUCGGUAGCAAUUACAUUAGCAUUUAGCAAAUGUUAUUUUGAGUACAAGCACAAUUUGGCUCAUUUUCCAGGACCAACAAUCUUCCAUUUAGAAAUGCAUUGACAAACAGGUUAAUUCGUAAAAUGAUGGUUUCUAGAUAGAAUCUUUCCAAGUUGCACUAACCUCCUUUCCUUAAAGCUAAACAUUAAUUAAUUUGCAUUUUAUUAAAUUUUUCUUUCUAUUCCUUUUACAUAAUGAUUGGUCACCAAUCUUGAUUCAAUUUUUUGAAUAGCAACUUACUGCUGGAUUAGUUAGAGAAUUAGAUAUCACUCAUAGUGUGUCAAUCGGAGUUGAGUUUCAUCAACAACUAAAGUUAUUUUUAUACAAUUAAUCUUUUCAUAUCACAUUAAUCUGUACAAAUUUAUUUAUGCAACCCCAGCUGAGGUUGGCAUGGAGACACACCGCACAAAAUAUUAUGAUGAGACAGUAAACAUGGAACAUAUGUUGUUGGAUUUAGAUUUGCUUGAUGAGAAGAGAAAGGCGACAAGAAGUCGAGCAACAAUUUACCAGUAAAAAGUGGCUAAGUUCUACAACAAGAAUGUCAGGCUACGACAAUUUCAGGAGGGGGACUUGGUGCUCCGUAAAGUCAACCAAUCAACCAAAAAGCCAGCUGAUGGAGUUUUAGGGCUGAGCUGGGAAGGACCAUACAAAGUACUACACUCAUUUGGUAAUGGCUCAUAUAAGUUAGGUUAUCCAGAUGGCAGGGUCGUCGGCAAGGCAUGGAAUGCAGAGCACCUACGAAAAUACUAUCAGUAGGCCAAUCCUAUUUAUGAUGUUCUUGUUUGUUUGUUUUCUUUAAAUAUGUUAUGAUAGUUUGUUUCUUUGUUAUUUUAAUUCGUUAUGUGUUCAAUUUUGUAAUUUCUGCUAUAUUAAUAUCAAUAAGGUUAUUGAAAAGUGUGACUCUAUUUCUUACCUACUUGUGACCGGUCUUAUUUGAGAUCGGCAUAUUUGGGCCUUAUUGAGGUCUAACAUAAAAAUUUUGAUAAAAUCUUAUUGAGAUUGAGAUCAACAUUUGGGCCUUGUUGAAGCCGAAUGUGAAAAUUUAUCCAAUCUUAUUGAGAUUGAGAUAGGCAUUUUGGCCUUAUUGAGGUCCAACGUGAAAAAAUUUAUCCAAUCUUAUUGAGAUUAAGAUCGGCAUAUUUGGGCCUUAUUGAGGUCCAACGUGAAAAACUUGAUCAAAUCUUAUUGAGAUUGAGAUCGAUAUUUAGGCCUUGUUGAGGUCGAACAUGAAAAAUUUAUCCAAGCUUAUUGAGAUUGAGAUCAACAUUUUGGCCUUGUUAAGGUCCAACGUGAAAACUUGUUGAGGUCGACCAUAGCCAUAACAUUUAAGUUCUACAAUUUUCAACUUGUUGAGGUCGGUCGUACCCAUAACAUUUAAGUUCUAUAAUUUUCAACUUGUUAAGGUCGGCCAUAGCCAUAACAUUUCAGUUCUACAAUUUUUAAUUUAUUGAGGUCGACACUUUAGAUUUGUAAGGCCUAUGGUUGGGGUCGACAGUUUAGUUUUGUGAGGUCUACAAUUGAGGUCGACACUUUUGCGUUGUGAGCUCUACAACUGGGUCGACAUUUUAGUUUUGUAAAGCCAACGGUUGAGGUCGACACUUGCUUUGUGAGCUCUAUGGUUGAGGUCGACAUUUUAGUUUUGUAAAGCCAACAGUUGAGGUCGACACUUGCUUUGUAAGCUUUACAUUUGAGGUUGACAUUUUAGUUUUGCAAAGCCUACGAUUGAGGUUGACACUUGCUUUGUGAGCUUUACGGCUGAGGUCGACAUUUUAGCUUGGUAGGAUCUAAAACUGAGGUCGACACUUUAGAUUUGUAAGGCCUACGGUUGAGGUCAAUAUUUUAGCUUGGUAAGAUUUAUGAUCGAGGUUGACACUUUUGCUUUGUGAGCUCUACAUUUGAGGUCGACAUUUUAGUUUUGUAAAGUCUACGGUUGAGGUCGACAUUUUAGUUUGGUAAGAUCUACAACUGAGGUCGACAUUUUAGUUUUGUUAAGCCUACGGUGAAGGUCGACACUUGCUUUGUGAGCUCUACAUUUGAGGUCGACAUUUUAGUUUUGCAAAGCCUACAGUUGAAGUCGACACUUGCUUUGUGAGCUCUACGGUUGAGGUCGACAUUUUAGCUUGGAAAGAUUUAUGGUCGAGGCUGACACUUUUGAGUUGUGAGCUCUAUGAUUGAGGUCAACAUUUUAGUUUUGUGAGGUUUACAAUUGAGGUUGACACUUUAGAUUUGUAAGGCCUACGGUUGAGGUCAACAUUUUAGCUUGGUAAGAUCCAUGGUUGAGGUUGACGAUUUUGCUUUGUAAGCUCUACGGUUGAGGUCGACAGUUUAGUUUCUUGAGGUCUACGAUUGAGGUCGACACUUUAGAUUUGUAAGGCCUACGGUGGAGGUCAACAUUUUAACCUUGUAAUAAUUUAUAAUGAAGUCAGCUUCGCGCUUCUUAAGGUCGACUUUCCAGCCUAGUUACAAUCGGCAAUAGCCUAAACAUCUUCAGUCUUGUUGUGGUCGACAUUAGCUUUGUUAAAAAUUAGCGUCUAGGCUAUGUAACAAUUAUCCGAAUACAAAAACAAAAUGAAAGCUCAACAAGAGUUAUCAGUUUGUAACACUACAAAAAGGAAAGCCUUAUAACAACUUUUCAAAUCUACUUAGGAAGCAUUCUCCUCGUCUUCAACAACUCUGCUAGUUAAAGAUGUCUCACCCUUAACUCUAAUCUCAUCACCCUUAAGAACUCGAUUUGCUUUUUGAUCCGUACUCGAUGACUUCUUUUUAGCCUUUUCUUUGCUCACAUAAGCAGUCAACAUCCAUUGAAAGUCCAUGUCCGGGUGUUUCUCUUGGAACAAUUCGAUACAUGUCUGAAUGACAUCCGCCUUCAGUUGCCUUUUCUCCAGUCGAAUGCAUUGAUCAACAUCAGACUUAACUUUUUCCAACUCAUAGCUAAGAUCGGCAAUCUUGGAGUCUUUGCCCGCAUUAGAUUUCUUUUCGGCUACUAAGUCUUCUGCCAAGUGAGUAUUUUCAUCGUUGCGAGCAUUGAGGUCACGCUUGAGCCGAUCUCGCUCGCUUGCCGUCUUUUCAUUCGUGAGGUUUUCUUUUAUCAAAGUGCGCUCGAGUUCUUCUAUUUUUGCAUGGCCUUUCAAUGACUUUGCAAACAUCUCAAUAUGCGCGGCCAUGAUCAAGGAUUGCUGGGAAAGAAAGCAUGACGGUUAAGAUGAAAAGUAUAAACAUCAAAGAAAUAAAGAUUGUGAAUUAAUACCCACCUCAGCUUGGUUUUGAGCAAGCGCUUCAAGGGCAUGAGUAGCUGACAAGUGGGAAAAAUUCUUGAGGGUAUCCUGGCUCACAAAUCAAGUAGCUAAGUUCACCAUGGGUAGUAAGUCUUCUUCUCUUCCUUGCUUUGACUCUAUGAUGUCACUGCUUUCAAGCAAGCUUCCUUUUGGACAUAUCGGGGAAGGGGUAGAUGGUAAAAUGCACAAGGGACGAGAGUCGCUAGCUCGGUCACUUUUGCUCUGAGGUAGCAUGUUGCAAGCAGAAACAGCGGGUUAUUUUUCUUUUUUCUCAUCAGCUUUGUUUUUAUAUGAUGCCUACCGUGGUUUCUUACUAUGUGGUUCGCCUUCCUCGUCUGAUAUCUCCUCGAUCAAGGCUUUUGCAAUUUCUGCAGGGGUACACUUGGUGGUAGACAUGUUUCCUGCAUUUAGCAAUCCUUUCUCAACUCUAGCACUCAGCUUGUCACUUAUAUUAAUUUCUUCUUCCAAGUCACUAUAGUAAAAACAUGUGUUAGAUUGUAUCCUUAUUUUGACCUCAACCUGAACAAAACUUGAAUUACCUGGUCUACUAAAAUGAGUGGGAACUUUAAACCAAUCCUUGGUCAGCUCUACACCCCUACCCUAAUUUCCACCCACCACGAAAUACUUAUUUUUCGAACCUCUACAUGAGCCUGGAAAGUCAAGUACUAUUCUUCUACUCGUUGAUUUUGACAUAAAAUAGUACCAUCCUUUGUGAUUGAUCCCAUGCUCAUUACAAAAAUAUAAGUGAGUAAACUCCUUAAAACACGGCUCGGUUCUAUUCUGCUCAGCCCAUACAACAUACAUACCACCUAAAACCUUCCAGCCAUUUGGGUCAAGUUGACUUGGACUGAAACCCACUCUCACCAACAUUCGAGCAAAAUAAGGUUGAAUGGGCAACCUAAAACCAAGUUCAAAAAUUUCCAGAUAAAUCGCAGUCUCUCUAUUACCCAAUUUACUUGCCACCUCAUCUUUGCCCAACAACUUAAGUGUAAUAUGGUCUGGAAUAAGAUAUUCCUUCCUCAACUCUUCAAUCUCUUUCUCUGUUGCAUCAAAGUUUAGUAUGUUCACGCCGUAUUCUUCAUGCUCAUCUCCCUCAUUUUCAAAUUGUGCACAACUCGAUUCCUCAUUCACCUUAUUUCCGCGUCUUAUUCCAUAUUACAAUUUAAUUCUACAUUAUCUUCCCUGACUUUUCCAUUAUCAUCUACACCCAAUGCAAUAUCACUGAGCCCAUCCAACAACUCCUUAUUCGCAUUUUACGAAUCGCUACAAAGUGACCCAUCUUCACUCCUUAAUUCUAUUACUGCCUAAUGUUACAUUUAACAAAACCUCAUUUCCAGCCAAUAUUAACACCCAGUAUGUAAACAGCAAAUUACAAGCAACCUUUCAUUGUCAACAUCACAUCCAACACAAUACAAAACACAGCAACAAGCAAAUGCGCUUGGGAUGAGACAACUCACCGAAUCUCCUUUAGCCAGAAUGGAUUCCAAUUUUGCUGAUGGUCAACAAUAGUAACAUCAUUCAACAUUGGUUCUACAUCAACAAAAUGCAACAUUAGCUAAGAGUAGUUUAAAAAAAAAGAAAAAGAGAAACACAGCAAAGAGAAGAAGAAGUUCGGGUUUCGACAAUAACAAAGAGAGAGGGAGAAUGCAAAAAAAAAAAGAGAGAGAGAGAGAAACACAACAAAGAGAAGAAGAGGUUGAGUUGUGACAAAAACAAAAAGAGAGGCGAGUUCUGUUUAUAUAAAAAAAAAAAGGCAUUUGGUUUCAAUACACAUAUAUAGAUAUGGUAUUUAUUAAAAAAAAAAGCACUCAAAAGAGAAGAUGGCGCGCGAGGUACUCACCAACAGGUUUGAUUAUGGCUCAGUAGCGUCGUUGCUCAAUUUGCCCAAAAAUUGCAUGACGACGACAGCUCAAUAUUUCACUUUUAUUGUGAAAAAGUGUGGAGGAUGAGGAAGAAAUGGAAGCCCAAACGAAACAGAAGCCAAAAGGUAUUGAGAAAAGACAAAAUGUAUGUUUUCAAUUUGCCUUUAUCAACUAUUCCACAAUUAUCAACUAUUCCCUCCCCCCAACCUGAAAAAGACAUUGUCCUCAAUGUUUUAAAAGGAAAGAGAAAGAGUGUAGAAGAAAUACAACAUAAACUCCAUAAGCAUUUUCCCUCUCUCCCUCAGAAUGCCCUCAGGAAAAUUUACAAAGCUCGUUGUGAACGAUUGCAUUUGUUAAUGAUCAAUGGCAUUCCUUCUGACAUUUGUUGGUUAAUUGAAGCAAAGGUCCGAUUAGCAGGUGAGUUUUUUGGUCAAUUUGUUUCUUACAUGCCUGGUUUUGGUAAAAGUACGUUUGCUAAGAAAAGGAGAGCUAAACGACUUGGCUCAAAAUGUCAUAACUGUGUAAGACUUGGUUGCAAACGACCAGAUUGUAAAUCUUUAGGAAUGGUUUCUGAUACUCGUGAAGAUAAAAUUAAAUUCGUUAAAGAUGGCAUGAGUAAAGAAUCGUUGGAUGAUAUCUUACGAUCUCUUGAGACGCAUCGAAGUGGAUUUGUGCAACGUGAGAUUUACAAUUUGUGGAUACUAUUCCAAAAACAAAGUGCACAGUUUAGUCUUGGGAAUCUGACUCAAAAAGACCCUGUUUGCCAGUUUAUAAGAAAACUGGAUAGGAAGCCGAUCCUCGACCCAUAGAGGGCGUUCAAGCCGUUACUGGACGUAAAACCAGAGGAAGAUGUGAGCCACAAUCACAACUACCAGUAAAUAUCCUUUCACUUCACUGUUAUUUUACUUUACUGUUAUUUUAUCAUUUGCAUUAUUGCAUUUAGCGAUGUGAUUUUGUAUUUAAUAAAUAUUUGGUUUUCUUUUACUGUUUGCUUUUUCUAAUCAUUACUUUCUUUUUACUGUUUGUUUUUGAAUUAUUGAGCCACGAGCUUUACUCGUCAUUUAACAAAUAUUGCCAACCCAUUUACAGCUGUUUCUCAUUAUUUAUGUUACCAAGAUCUUUAAAUAUGAGCUCAUUUUUCAAACACUCACAACUUGUUUUUGAAAAAUUAGUCCAAUGGCAUCAUCUUCGAGUAAACAAUUCAAAAACAUUUGUGUGCUUUCUGGGUUUCACUAUGGAAAGUACAAAGAGUUCGUUCAGGCAGCUGUAGAUCUUGGUCGUGUCAUAGCAGAGAGGAAACUGCAUCUUGUAUAUGGAGGAGGUGAACGAGGGUUAUCAAGACUUGUCUCAGAAGCUGUUUUUACCAAAGGAAGCCAAGUACUCGGCAUUAUCCCAAAACCCAUGAAACCGCUAGUGUGCAUGUCUGGCCCACCAAUUGGAGAAGAAUUAGUGGUAUCAAGUAUGCAAGAGAGAAUAUCUGAAAUGAUGAAUCAUGCUGAUGCUUUUAUUUUCUUGCCAGGAGAUCUUGCAACUUUUGAGGCACUAAUUACAUUUGCAUCUUGGGCCCACUUGAACAUUCAUCAAAAACCCAUCGGUUUGUUAAAUGUUAAUAAUUUUUAUGACGGCUUGCUAACUUUUAUUAACCAUGCAAUAAAGAAUCAUUUUGUUCCACAUUCUGUAAAAAAACUAUUUAUCUCUGCUUCUACUGCUAAUGAGUUACUUGAUCUUUUACAAGCUUAUACACCAGAGCCAGAUCCACAGACUGUUGCACUGAAUUGGUCGACUAAUGAUGGUAACGGUAACAGUAGCAGUAAUAAGAAGUGCGAUUUAGAUUUAACUCUCCGUUUGUAAAUAUUUUAUGUUGUAGUGUUCAUGUGAUGUCUUCUACACUCUUUCUCUUUCCUUUUAAAACAUUGAGGACUAUGUCUUUUUCAAGUUGGGGGGAGGGAAUAGUUGAUAAUUGUGGAAUGUCUUGGUCCUGGUUAUGUGUUUACAAGAAAAAAAAAACAUUUUUUUUUCUGUAAAGACUAACUUAGGACAAAUUUGAGUCGAAGAUGGCAGGAUAUAGAUAAUGUAGUUUCUCUAGAAACGCAUCUUCUUAAUCUUAAGAGUGUUGUUAAAAAAAAAAAUUGACUUUUUCUUCAUCUUUGUUAUCUACUUUUAAGCUUCUGCAUCAAGUUCAGGUGAGAUCUCCUCUUCUUCUUCUUUUAUUAUUCUCUUUUAUUUUUAUUUAUUUAUUUAUUUUUAUUUUUUGCAUAUCUGUAAAAUUAUAAAAUGUUAAGAUACUUUUUAGAUUAGGUUGUGGGGUGGGGAUAAUUGACGUAUGUUUUAAAUAUGUGUGUUGUAUUUCUCUUUUCUCUUUUCUUUUCUUUGUUAAAAAAAAACCAAAAAAAAAAUUGUUUUUUGUCUAGGAUGGCCGUGUAAAGAGUCACGACUUUUGAGACACAUCCUAAUAGUCUUGUUGUAUUAUAUUUUGAUUUUGAGAUUCAUAGUAAGUUGUUUUUGUUCCCUUUUCUUUGAAUUACUCAAAUUUGUGAACUCUCCACUUAGUUAUUAAGUUAUUUAAUUGUUUACUCAUUUAACAGGUAUUAUUGAAUCAUUCUUCACACACACAUUAUGACACAUACUAGUGGGUUGUAAGUUAAAAUUUUACAGCAUUUAGUUCUUUUGAUUUAUUAGGAAUAGUAUCUAAGGUGGUAGAAAGUGUAUAUUUCUAAAAAAAAAAAUUAAAAAAAAGAAAAAAAAUGUUUUUAAUUUUGUUAUAUCUAGAAACCCGAGUAAUUAAGUCCAUAGGGGUGCUUCAACACCUAGUGCCCUAAGGUCAACUGGUCUGGGAGUCACUGGCCUAAAGCUCGCUACAUGGGUAAUAGAUAUAUUGUUUGUUUAUUAGAAACCCGAGUAAUUAAGUCCGUAGGGGUGCUUCAACACCUAGUGCCCUAAGGCCAACUGGUUUGGGAGUCACUAACCUAAAGCUCGCUAAACGGGUUAGAAAUGUAAUAUAUAAAAAAAAAAGUGUGAAUAAUCUAUUGCCUAAAGAUAUAAUUUCUAAUGAAUUUUAGAACGAAAAUGUUGUUUUUCUUUUAAUGAAGCCCCAUAAGUAUUGUGUUAAUUACUUGAGCACAAAAGAAGGUUUGAUGAUAUUCUGGAUAAUGAGUGAACAUCAAUGUGGUGAAGGAAUUUGGGAGAGUUCAUUUAUUUGGUAAUUUAGAGGAUAGAUGAACAACUAUUAACUUGCAUGUGAAUUUUAUAAAUCUUAAUAUAACGCUUUAAUUGCUAGAGGGCUAGCAAUAAGCUGGUUGGGGGGUGUGAUUAGUAUUAAAAAUUGUUUAAUUAUCAAGCGAUAAUAUGUUAUUUUAUGCUUAUAUUAUAAUUUAUAUUUGUGUUUAUGUAAUAUAUUAUGAAUUAUUAAUUAUGUUUUAAAUAUAUUUAAUUUUGUGUAUUUUUAUGUGUUUAUUAGGAAAAUUAUUAAUUUCACGUACUUCGAGGCUCCAAACAAAUAAACAGAGGUCAAAUUUGGAUUCCAGAGGUCCGAAAACCUUAAGAUCAGUCAAGAUUGGCUUAAAAUUGGGCUUGUGUAAAAAAAAUUGACUUUUCCUGUUGACCGAGCACUGAUUGGAUGAUGAAAUGAGCUUACAAUAGAUAUGAGUGCAUGGGAUAACUGGCAAUCUUGACUAAAUCUCAACCGUUCAUGAUUCAAUGGCCAUGAUUGUGCCACGUGGCAAUGGUUGGUGAAGCAAGUUGGAGGAUCCGAAUCUUUGUAUUCGGGUCGACCCGAUCCACCCAUUAACCUGUCAAAUCUCAACCGUUCUUUGGGCAAAUCGGACGAGUCAAAUGAUGCCAUGUGUGAUGUUGACUUUUGAAGUUUGACCAGCCAUUGGAUCUUGAUCUAAGGGUUGUGAGGAGCACAUGCAUGAAGCCUAUGAUGGACCGCAAAGCACUGGAUUAUGAAUUUAUUUUUCUAUAAAUAGGGCCUCAUUUUUAUGUUUUAAUCAUCUCUCUACAACUCUCUUCUUCUCAAAUUCUCUCCAUCUCCUUGUAAUCUUGAUUUCCAGGUGUGUUUUUAAUAUUUUGUAUAAUUAUUUUCAUUAAUAAAAUUAGUUUUAUUUCCAAUUUUAGUUGUUUUUAUUUCUUUUAAUUAUAAGUAAUUCAAUUUUACUACUUCUUUUUAUUUUAAUUAUGCUUAACUAAAUAAUAUUAGUUAGGGGAAGGUGAAACUCUUAAGAAAUAAAUAUGAUUUAAUCAAAUUCUAUGUUUAAUUUUAUAGAUUAAAUUAUUUUCUAUUUAAUUUUAUACAUGUUUUAUAUUUUGAAAAUUUGAUUUAUUGUAGACAAACAAAUGAAUUUGGCACAAUAAAUUCUUAAGAUCUUAAUAUAAGGCUUGGUGAAAUGGUAUUUUGACUUAUUGUAGACAAAUUAAAUUUUGGCACAAUAAAUACUUAAUCCAUCAUAAAUUUAAAGGGAAAAUAAUAAUAAUUUGUAUAAUUAAUCUGUUUCCAAUACCGUUCAUAUCUUCUCAGUAUUGAAAAUUAGGGGACUGGUGUUCGGUUUGUAAGAAUUUUUCUAUUUUUCAUUAAUUAGUUUCUAACAUCGAAAAUAGCUUCCCGAUGUUGAAAACUAGGGGACUGGUGUUCGAGUUGGAUUUUUCUGAUAACCUCUAGAAAGAGUCAACAUUGUUCUGGUUGGAUUUUUCUAGUAAUGUUUAGAAAUAUAGUCGACCCCAAUCUACUCAGAACUCAUUGUCGUCGAGCUAACCUCGUAAAUAUAACUUGGAGCCUAAUUUGGCGGCCUGAUUUACAAGUACGACCUGAGAUUUAUGUAAAUGACCUAAUUUAAGAAUACAACCUUAAGCCUAUAUGAGCGACCAGGAAAUUCACCAGUCCGACCUUGAAAUUUAUUUGUCCGACCCGAGAAUUAGCUUGACAUAGAAAGCUAUCGGUUGAGAUAACAUGGCCUAGUUUCUAGGAAAGUUGUGAGCCACGAUCAAUUUAAACUAUUUCUAAUUGAUGACCACGUGCAACUGCUGAAGAAAGUGGGCAGAAGUUAAGGUGGUAACCACCCACGACCAAGGGCCUAUUUAAGCUGAAAAGGGCAACUGAGGAAGGGGUUAGAAAAAUGAACCAAAAUUUCUAUAAGUCACCUAUCUAAAAAUCUUAGGGUUCCCGAUAAUAUUUUUAGUUUUUUCUACCGAAAAAAUUCGUUAAUUUUCACUUUUCACAAUUCUCCCUCCUCGUUUACCUUUUUCUUAUACACAAUUUCUGACUUAAGAAUCAGAGAGUUUACGUCAGGACCCCACCGGCGUAUCCUAAUCGUGUUUUCUGGUUGUCAGGUAUAUAAAGCUGGGUUCAGACCGACGUUUGAGCUUGGAUUCGUGCUGUAAUUCCCCAAAAGAAAACAAAUUCAACUGUUGAGGUUGUUUUUCGGCAUCAACAACGAACAUCAUACUUGUCACACUCUUGGCCUAUAAAUCCUUAGAUUCACAAGUCUUAUAUCACUUGAACGAAGAUGCUAGUGGUGUGCCUCCAUGGAGCUCUGACUCAAUAGUUUUCAAGUAAUUUUAUUUAGCUAACCACCUAAGUUUGAAUCGUGGUGAGGAAAGAAGAUAAAAAUUAAUUUGGUCUUUGCACCUCACUACCUUUAAAAGAGUUCAAACUUCAGACUAGGUUUUGAAUUUUAAUUAUUUUAAAUUGAAAUGCUAAGUCCAUAUAUUAUAUAUGUGAGUUUUUUUUUUUUUUUUGCCUAAUGUUGAAUUAAACUAUAUAUUUAUGAAAUUCUUGAGAUACAUGGAUUUCAGGUUUUAAUAGAAUCAUAUGUACUAGCUAUAUAUACAUCUUAAUAAAUGUUUGCCAGACCUUUAUUUGUACUAAAAUUAUACAUAUCUAGACUCCCAUUACACUUUAGAUUGUAAGAAUUUAAAUAAUUUUUUUUUUCGUAGAAGUCGUUUGGAAUUCUAAGAUCGGAAGUCAAAUUUCAAUAACGAUUUUUAUUUAAAUAUAUAUAUAUAUAUAUAUAUAUAUAUAUAGGGAGAGAGAUUCUUGAGUGCAUAUACUUAACAUUAUAUAGUGUUAUAGCGAAUUUACACAAAAUUUGCAUAUCGACACUUGAGAAUUUCUAAAUAUCAAAGUUUUCAAAUGCAUAAGUCUAAACAUGGAUUUAGUACGGAUUCACUACAAAAUCAUAUGAUGUUAAAAUGAAUUUACAAUUGACUACAAUACCACAUGAUGUUAUAGAAAAUUCACACCAAAUUUGUAUUAUAUAAAGAGAGAGAUCUUGCUUUGCUUUAUAAUUGAAUAUAGGGUGAUGAUAUUCCCACCCCUCAAAUUUUGUAAACCUACCUCACUUUAAAAAAUUAAACCAUAAAAAAUUCACAUUAUUUUUGACGAUUUCAAAUUAUUAAGAAUAAAAUUAAGCAAUUGACUAAUUAAAUCCUCAUUAAAUAAUUAAAAUACAUUUAUGAUAUGAUAUCUCAAAACAUUUAUGCUAUUUUUCUCAUGAAAUUGACUAAUUAGAAGAAGGAUUUGAUUGAUUAACAGUUUAAAAUUUUAUUUAUUUUAAAUUGAAAAAAUGUGAAUUAUUUUUUAAAUAAUUCUUUGAAAUGAUUUAAAUGCGGCACGUGUCCCAUCAAGUUAAAACCUGAGAAGUUGAUUUAAAUUUUAUUUUGGAACAGAAACCGAGUAGCGAGGCCUCGUUGGUCAGGAAAUUCCGAGGUAAGUUAAUCAACAGUUCCACUAAUUAUUUUUAUUUUCUUCCAAAGUUUAUUUAAUUAGACCAAUUUCUGGCUUCCUACUUAUAUUGCAUAUCCAAUUUAGGGGUUGAUUUUUGGAGAUGGACUGAAACAUUAAUAAGCUCAGAGAAAAAAAAAAAAGAAAAAUAGAUUGAGAUUGAAAGUCAUUAUUAACCAACAUACAGAAUACAUAUGCAAUUAAUUCAAAUUUCUAAAAUUACUGUAAUUGUUGGCAAUGUGCUUUUUUGUUUUGGUUUUUUUUGGGGGGGGGGGGUUUCGGAAAUUUGCAUGCAUGCCUUAAUUGAGUUUUAUCACUUUAAAUCCUAAUUACUAAUGUUUUUUCUGUUAACGGUUGAAAAUAAGAUAAGAAGAGAGAAGGUGAACUUGAAGAAGUAUAAGAAGAAAAGACAUGUACUGAUGUUGAUGUGUUUAUGUGAAUAGAGAAAUGGAAUCUUUGUCCAAGUUUUUCCCUUGAUGUUCUAAAGUUUGCAUAUAUAUGUUUCAAGAAACAAAUGGAAAUUAAAUAGUACAUAAAGGUGAACUCACAUUGUCAACUAAAGGUUACACUACCAUUUGCCCAAUGGUUCCAUUACUAUUAUCAUUUUCUUUAUUCACAGAAAUAUCAUCGGCCUCAAAUUCAUCAGUAUAAGCAGAGGGACAAGGACAAGGACAAGGUGAGUCUAUUGUAUGACAACAACAAGUCUACAAUUUAGUUUUAUUUCUGCUGCUGCACUGAGGAAUCACUAGCAUCAACCACCUACUUUAUUACCGUUGCUUCGUUUUUCUCAUGAAGACAGUUGACUUGAUGAAAUAACACUUCUAAUGAGGCUGCCGUAGAGAAAGCAUAUAUGUUAAUCACCUGUUGUAAUCUCAUGCCAAAAUCAUUUCAGUUUCUGCUCAUACAAUUAGUUACUUCAACCUUUGUCAUAUGUAUUCUCCACUACUUUAAGAUACUUAGAUAGUGAAUGUGUCUAAAUUCCAACUCAAAAGAUUCAUUUGAGGAAAAGUUCUUCAGAUGGUCAUGUAGAGUUCUAAUUUAUCUCAGCGUCAUACUCUAAAUACUUGAAAACUACAUGUCAAUCAUCAAUGUUCAUCUUUUGUUGACAAUCUCAACGAUGUGUUUGGGAAAAAAUUAUCACAAUUAUGUUUAGUCCAUUUAUAAGACAAUGUGUCAUGUGAUCCAUUAGUCUAUUGAAAGGUUGCAAUCAAAUGAGUUCAUGUCCAGAUUGUGAAGUUGGUUAAUUUCAACAUAAUAGCAAUGAUUGUAUCCAUUGCUUUUAUCAAGUUGCUAUGUUAUUGUUUUUUUAAUAAGUGGCAGACAUGACUUUCUAUUUUUCCACAGCUUAAAUUGUUAAAUAAUUGAUAAUGCUCUUUCGCUUACUCUGUUCUUUUCUUUUUAGACAAGCUUUAUUGCUUUCGCCCUUUCUUUCUUGAGAGUGGAUGUAUAAAACAAAUUGGCCUUGACUGAUACUUGAUGAUGUUGUAAUUAUUUCUCCCUGCUUUAUUCUUCUUACAACAUAUGGAAGACAGAGUACUGUAAGAUUCAUUUCCCGUACUGCUCUGCCUUGAUCUGUUCUAAUUUGAGAGUCAGCAAUCUUGAUUUAACUUCUUGGAUGGAGUACUAGCUAAGAGAAGGGAGGUAUGGGAGCCAGCACUAAUUUUUCAAUGAGGAUAUAUGGGCAUCACCUUCAGACUAUUUUCGGAGAGGCUGAGAAGGGUGUUAGCUGGCCAAGAAGUCACAUUGCCUGAUGCUGCAAAAGAACCUAUUCAGAACCUUCAUGCCGAGGUUGAAAUCGUUACUCCUUGGCUGAGGGACUAUGAAUAUGAUAUGUCCUGGCUUCUGCUGCAAAAAAUAGGAGAAGAUGAAGUUGACAACCCAGACCUUGGGCGGAAAUCAAUUGCUUUACCUAUGAAUCUGAAAAGGUCAUUAACACAUUCUCAACAGCAUCACUCAACAAAAGAGUCAAAGCAGGCGCAACAAGGACAUUUGUGAUGCUCUGCUAGGACUCUAGAGCAGAAUCAAUGAUAUAAAACAGCGGAUGCAACAACUUCCGUACAUCGAUUCUGGAAUCAUUGAUGAUUUCAAAAAUAUUGAAGAUGAAGCUGGUUAUUUUCCUGCAUCUUUAUCUUCUAAGAAUAGCGGCAUGGUGGGUCUAGAAGACAGAAUGGAGAAGUUGUUAGAUAUUUUGAAAGAGGGACCACCUCAGCUUUCAGUGGUGACCAUCUUGAUAGCAUUGGGUUGGACAAGGUGGCUUUUGCUGCAGAGGCUUACAGCAGCAGUGAUGUGAAGCAUUAUUUUAAUUGUCACGCUUGGGUUCCAGAGCCUUACAACUAUGAUGCUGAUGAUGACCAAAUAUUAGAUAUGAUUAUGAAGUUUCUAAUGCCUUCAUCUAGGUUGAGUAUAAUAAAGGAUAAAAAUUAUGAAAUGAAAAAAAAAAUUCAACAAUAUCUAAUGAUCAAGCGGUAUUUGAUUGUGGUUGAUGAUGUGUGGCGCAUUGAAGUGUGGGAUGUUAUUCGAGAAAUUGUUCCGGAUAAUCAGAAUGGAUGUGGAGUACUAAUAACACUCAUUGAAAUUGAUAUCGUCAUCUCAUUUCAGUUCAAAAGCGGACAGAAUAUUUGGCUUGAUUUAGUGCCCACUAAGAGGACCAUUGAGAGUUGUUUACCUUUUGGAAGUACAUGGAACAACUAAUGAAUAGAGUCUUUGUUGAUGCAAAGAAGAGAAGCGUUGGAGGCAGAAUCAACGCAUGCCCUAUUCGUAGUCGUUGCUGGCCUUCAUUGUUGCAAAUGGCUCUCAAAGUGGAAUUUAUCUUUUCAUCCUAUCCUAGAUCAAAAAGGUAAAUCGCGAAAAAAAUGUCAAACAUGUCUACGUUUUUUAAAAACAGAGUGAUUUUGCUUACUUAGAUGAUUGUGACUCGUACCCGCAUUCUUUGUUGUACUUCAAAAAGCGACCACCUUGACCCCAUAGAUUGGGUGAAAAUCGUUUUGAGUAAUGGACUUGGGAUCUCUUGUUCUCAGCCAAUUUCCAUCCAAAAUUGAAACUUUAUUUCUUUUGAUAUGAAGCUGAACAUCCCUUCCCUCAAAAGCCUAGCUUCAUCAUUAUUAAGAAAUCUCUGAAUCUCUACACCAUAGCCAUUCCCUUUAGCUACAUAAAUCAUACAGCAGAUGAAUUUUGGAAGAUGAACAAACUCAGGCAUCUAAAUUUUGGCUCAAUCAUACUUCCUGCACAUCCAGGAAAAUAUUGCAGCUCUCUGGAAAAUCUCAAUUUCAUUACAGCCAUGCAUCCUUGCUGUUGUACUGAAGAUAUAUUGAACAUACUACCUAAUCCUCAAAAUCUCUGGAUAGGAGGAGAUUUAUAUUUUUAUCAAUUUUUGAUGUCCCAAAGUCUUUGCAGAUUCAGAUGCCUCAAGUCAUUGAAGAUGGUGAAUGAAAGCAAGAUGCCAAGGCUCUUCAAAAUUGUCCGUGCCAAAUACCUACUUCCUCAAAGUCUAAUCCACUUGAGUUUCUCUAAUAUUGAACAAAUGGAUGAUCCCAUGCCUGCACUAGAAAAGUUGCCACUUCUUCAAGUGCUCAAACUGAAGCAAAACACAUAUUCAGUUAGAUAGCUGACUUGUGGGUCUGAUGGUUUCCCAAAGCUCAAGAUAGUGCACCUGAAUUCAAUGCCAUGGCUAGAGGAGUGGACUAUGAGGCUUGGAGCCAUGCCAAAACUGCAAUGCUUGAUUCUCAAUUCUUGUGCUAACUGGAAAAAGAUUCCCGAACAGCUCUGGUGCAUAAAGAGCUUAAACAAAUUCGAGUGUUGGUGGCCUCAGCCGGAGCUGAGACAAAAGCUACGGGACUUCGAGGAUAAGGUGCAGUAUGACAAUCAAGUAUAUCCUUAUGGAAUUUGAUUUGCAUGGAUUUAAUUAGAUGUAAGUUUUUCAUUUUAUGUAAUAUCAUCAACCUUUAAUUAUUAAUAUAAUUUCAUACAUUUGUUUUUUCUUCUCCUCAAUAUAUUUGAUAGCACGCAGCUUCCUAAGGCUAUAAAGUGUUUUCUAAUUGUAGUUGCUUCUAAUUUUUGUCUCAACAUUAGACAUGAAGUGUUCUUCACAGUUCCUGUUGCUGACCCCGACCAUUUUCCCUUAAUUAUUUUUAGAAGAGGAAGAACCCUUGUUUAUUGAUUGUUGAACAGUCAGGAAAAACUAUAAUUUCAUAUCUUAAAUUACUUGCGCAGGUGAAAUCAGAGCGGGAAAUAUAUCAACUGUAGUGCGGCAAAAGUUUCAAUUUCAACCAGAAUCCGGCCUUGAUCCUUUCAGUAUUCACUUCUGUUGUCUACACAUUAUUAAGUCCUCAAGAUUAAUACAGGACAUUGUUGGGUUUCUUUGUUUUCAAGGAUCUGCUACAAGCAAUAAUGUCAAGUUUUUGGAUUCACUGUGUAUAUUCUAUUCAUGUGUCUUCAUUCUUGUAAUGUGCUUGAAACUCCAACUUAGUGUGGACGUGUGUGGUUUGGUUGUACCAUGUGUAAUACAUGUUGAUUGUCAUAAUUGUCUUAAGGGAAUUCUGCAUCACUUCCAUCAGAAGAAAAGUUUGGAUGUAGGCACCAUUGCUGCUGAAUCUACUAUUGAUUUGCUCUAUGUUUUCUAUUUUUUUUAAUUCAAUUUUGGGGAUUGGGUUUUUAGCAUUAAGUGUUGAUACAUCAGAGGACUAGAUAAAAUAAAUAGAAACUGGGGCAGAUUGCCUAAUCUUCAGAAUCUCCAAUUUUAUGGAGAUUUAAGGCCUUAUCAUUCAUAAAUAACUUGAAUGCUAGAUUGUUAUUAUCUUAGAUUCUCUAAAUAAUAAUCCGAAUAAGAAUGUAGGAAAAAUAUUGAUUACAAAUGCUUGUUUUGAACAAAUACUACCUAUUAUUUUAAAUUUUGGACAUAGAAAUUAUAAAUAGUAUUAGCAUGUGAAUUUUAAGGUAUUAGCUGAUUCUGUCCAAAAUUUAGUCGUUGGUUUUUGCUGAAAAAAUGAAUGUGUAUAAUUUUUUUUCCCUUUUAUUUUCUGUUAUACAUUGAUUCCCCUGCUUCUAGCUGAUUCUGUUCUCCUUUAUAACGAGAAAGAAGUUAUUUUUUGUGCUCUUAUAUAUACAUGUUAAGCUUGGAUAAGUGUGGUUUGGUUUGUUUUAAUAAUAUGAUUGUGUGGUGUCAUCUGUAAUACUUUUUAAGGGUGCAAUCAAAUGAGUUUAUACCUUAUAGUGAAUUUGGUUAAUUUCAAGAUAUCAUUUUUUGGGAUCUUCGACUUUGGUUGCUAAUACAAAAUUCCUCAAAUCUUGAUUGGAAUUUGGGAAUCUGUCCUAAAUGAUACAAGAUUUCAUAAAAAAAUUUCAUUCUGAUUUAUUAUUCGAGUUGAGAUUCAAGAUCUAAUUUUCUUCCAACUUAAUAUUCAAGACGGGAUUUGAGACGUCUGAAAAUCUCACUUGAGAUCCCUUAGGCGAUCAAAUGAGUUCAUAUCCUUAUAAUGAAUUUGGUUAAUUUCAAGAUACCCUUUUCUGGAAUCAUCCGCUCUAACUGCUAAUACGUGAACCUAGGCUGGCAAAAUUAUCCAGAUACCAAUCGAGAUAGAAACCCUACACAAGAUUUGUUACAAGUUUCUUAUCCCAAUUUUGAAUGUGGGUUAGGAUUUGAGACCCAUUUUACACCGAUUCAUAAAUUUCUUUAUUUAGACAAUAACUUAUGACAGAUUUUUAGUUCAAAGCUCACGGAGUAAAGGUUGAGUUAUUGGUGCAAUCAUCCGCAAUUUUAUGCAAGCAUGCAACAUAUUAAACAAGAGAAUAUUUAAUUAUUUUUUGGGUUCUGUUAUUACAAUAAUGAUUUUGAAGAUAUUAGUGGGAGAAAAUUCAUUUUUUUAAAUCAUUUUCAAGCUUGAGAAAAAGUUUUCUUGCUGGCAUACACUGUCCUUUAUCUAUAUUCCAGUCUUCCAUUAUGUUAAAAAAAAACAAAUAUGAAAAUAAAAAGAAAAUAGGACAUCAUCAAGUAUCAAUCAAAGAUCAAUUUGUUUUAUCCACUUUCAGGAAAGAAAAGGUAAAAACAAUCCCGCUGGGGACCAUAAAGUUGGUGUUUUUUUUGAGGGUUCGGCAUCAUGUUUGCCUUCAUUUAGCAAAGGAUAUAUGAAAAAGAGAUGAAUAUUGCACUUUAGAUUUGAAUAAUUCCAAUUGGAUUUUGAAUUAAUUAGAUUAGGAAAAAAAAAUCAUUCGAAUCCAACCUGAAUCUCAAAUAUAAUCAAUUCGAUUCAAAAUAAAUUGAUAUUUCAGAUGAAUUUGGUUUUAGAUUGUUUCGUAUUUAAAUGAAAUUUUAAAUUCAAAUAGUAUUUUAAACUCGGAUUGAAUUCGGAUUUAGGUCUUUUUGAUAAUUUUUACAAAAAAAUCAUGAACUCUGUAUAUAUAUGUAGAGUAGUGCAAUCCAAUCGGAUUGUUUAGAUUAAAACAUCCAAAUUCAAAUCAGAUCUAUUCGAAUCCAAUCCAAUGCACACCUUUAGCCCUAUUGGAAUGAUCAUCUAACCAUUCAAACUAUAACGUAUUAUGUUGUAGUCUGUAGAGCGCUUGAAAAGAAAAUCUCUAAACAAUAGCGACUAUUAUGCAUUUGAUGCAUCAAUGAAUCAAAUUCUAAGGUGAUGCUUUUUCUCUCUAGACAAGCUUUAUGGUCCCGGCGGAAUUAUUUUUAAUCUUUCAGUCUUUUGAGAGGGCUAAAAAGAAACUAGUCUUGAUAGCCUAUUUUACUUUCUUCAUACAUAUAUAUAUAUAUAUAUAUAUAACACAAAUUAUAAGACACCCUUUUAUCUUCUUGCAUAAAAAAUAUUUUAUAUACACGUACAUUAUACCUCAGGUUUUGUGCAGAAAAUCAUUAUUGUACAUCAAUAAUUUCUCAAUAUAAUUCCUCUUAUCAAUCAGUAUCCCCACGGCACCUGCAGCAUCUAGGUUUAAGAUUCAUUUUCCAGUACUGCUCUGCCUUGAUCUGUUCUACUUUGACAGCCACCUGAACUUGAUUCAACUUCUUGAGAGAAGGAGGUAUUGGUGCCAUCCUCAGUUGCUUAUGUUGACUAAUGUUGAAGUAAAAGGAGAGCUUUUAACCAUUUUUUUUAUAAUUGUUUUCUUUGCAUGCUAGGGCUGCUGGCUACUGACUACCGAGAGUGAAGGAGAUAUGGACAUCAACCUUGGACUAUUUUCAGAGAGACUAAGAAGGGUGCUAGCUGGUGAAGAAUUCACGGUGCCCGAUGCUGCUGAACAACCUAUUUAGAACCUUUACACUGAGACUGAAAUCGUUGCUUCUUGGUUGAGGGACUCUAGAUACAACACUGCUUGGUUUAUGUAGCAAGUCAAUGCAGAAGAGGGUCAAACUCUUGCAGAAUUAGAAGAUUUUAAGGCUAUCAUUGACAAAAUUCGUUGCUUUUCAUACAUAUCUGAGAAUGUGAUUGACACAUUUGCUAUCAGUAUCACUCAACAGAAGAGUCAAAGCGGAUGCAGCAAGGACAUUUGUGAUGCUCUGCUAGGACUCCAAAGCAAAAUCAUUGAUAUAAAACAACGGAUGCAGCAAGUUCAGCACAUCCACUCCAGAAUCGUUGAUGAGCUCAAAUCGUUUGAAGCAAAAGCUAGUAAUUUUCCUGCAUCCUCAUCUUUUAAGAAUAGGGACACGGUGGGUCUAGAUAAUAGAAUGGAGGAGUUAUUAGAUCUACUAAUAGAGGGACCGCCUCAACUUUCGGUAGUGGCUGUUGGAAAAUUUUCAAAAUAAAUGUGUCUUAUGGUAAAGACAUGUCCUAUUAAUUGUGCCUUAUAGAAAAGGUACCUUUCACUAAAGGCAUGUCUAAUUAAAUGAUGUCUUGUUGUAAGGACAUGUCCAUUUAAUUGUGUCUUGUAGAAAAUGUAUCUUUUUACUAAAUGAUAUAACUUUUCAUGGCAACAUUUCACUUAGAGAUGCAUCAUUUCAUGGUGACAUUUCAUUUGAAAUGGUGAUGAUUCAAUUUGGACCAUUGAUUAAAAUCAAAUCUAGAUCCAAUGGCCAUGAAUGAAGGGGUAUCAUGAAAUAUGACAACCCAAAUGAGGGGGCACAAGUAUAUCUAUAAAUAGGGGUCAUGUUUAAGCCAUUUAGACAUGAAAUUAAUGAUCCUACACCACUUUUUUCUUAGCAUUCCUUUCUAGUACGAAUUUCAACACAAAACACCCAUUUCUUUUGUGCAUUCACAUUCCAAUAUAUUGUUUUCUGCAGGAACAAUAUAUUGUUUCUUGGCAGGCUUGUAACAUUCAAGAGUAUUCUGGUUUGCUUUCAUCGAUGCACAACACAAGCAAACAAACAAGUGCUUCAUUGUAUCCUGGAGGCGUAUUUGCUUAACCCAUGUGCAUUACUCAAUCGGUGGGGGCAAAUAACAUCUUAAGGAAAGUGACAUUUGUAACGCGCCUUGAAGUACACAAAAUUUCUGCAGUUUACUUAUUACUAUUAUUUUUCUUCUUACAUAAGUUGUAAACACAUUACUUUAUGUAAUAAAGUUCCGUCAUUAUUGUUACAUUUGCCAUUCCCCACAAGUUCAACCUCCAACAGUGGCCGUACUUGAUAGCAUUGGAUUGGACAAGAUGGCUUUCGCCGCAGAGGCUUAUAGCAGCAACUAUGUGAAGCAUUAUUUUGAUUGUCACGCUUGGGUUGAAGAGUCUUUACCAUAUGAUGCUGACCAAAUAUUGUACGACAUUAUUAAGUUUGUGAUGCCUUCAAGCAGGUUGAGUGAAAUUAUGGAAGAAAGUUCGGAAAUGAAAAAAAUUAUUCUUCAUGAAUAUCUAAUGACCAAGCGUUAUUUGAUUGUGCUUGAUAAUGUGUGGAGAAUAUCAGUAUGGGAUGUUAUUUGAGAAAUACUUCCCGAUAAUCAGAAUGGAAGUAAAGUAUUGAUAACACUCAGUCGAAUUGAGAUCGUCGCCUCAUUUCAGUUCGAAAAUGGAGAGAACAUUGGGCUUGAUUUUGUGCCCACUGGAGGACCAUUGAGAGUUACAUACCAAGGAUGGCCUUUCCGCAUCUUAUAUCAUGAAAGCAUCUCACUGAAAGAGAAUAUAGAGGAAGCCCUUGAUGAACCCCUGGGGCUUCAAGUCGUUGCAUAUUGUAUGUUACCUUUUUACUUGAAACUUUGUUGUCUCUACUUAUCUGUGUUUCCCGUACACUUUGAGAUAUCCACCAAGCAAUUAUAUCAGUCGUGGAUAGCCGAAGGUUUCAUUACAGACAACAAUGAGGCAACUGCCGAGAAAUACUUAGAACAACUAAUCAAUGGAGGCUUUGUUAUCCUCAUUGAAGAAGCCAAGGGAUUAGUAUUUAUAUAUAAACACUUAACCAUGCAUGAACAAGAAUUUUAAGGAUAAAGACUCUCUCCACACGAGCGUACGUGGGGCGAGGGGGACAAAUCCAUGACCAAUUUGGUUGAACUUGUGUGCGCCCUUAAAUGUCAGCCCAAGCACCGAUGGAACGUGUUUUAUUUCCUUUUAAAUUUGUUCUAACAGUUUCACACCUUUUGAAUUCAGAAGAUUUGUAAUAGCUUCGCAAUUAUUUUGGGCUGGUAUGCAAUUCAAUUUUUGAAUUGAAUUGUUUAAAAUUCAAUGGCUAUUACAGCAAUUAAAUUGCAUAUAUUGAAUUCUGAAAUUCAAUUUUUAUGUUAUUGUUACGUACCCACAUGAGUAUAAAAAGGCACAUUCCUCUUCUGUUUUUACACACAUUGAAACUAGCACACAGAGCACUUACAAUUUUUCUUUCCUCCUUUCGUCUUGUUUUCUGAUUGAGUUUACCGCUGUUGUGGUUCGCCGAAAUUAUCUGUCUGUGCUUGACAGAAAAUUUGUGCCCGUUGUAUCCUGAGAAACAGUUACCAGCAAACUUAAAGCACUUCAGUAGGUAGUAAAUCUGUUUUAAGGACACUGUAUUACAGGCCUCAAGUUUAUUUUCUUCAGUUGCUAUUUUUCUUUUCCUGUUGUUUAUAAGUUGCUGUUUUGCUGUAGUCAAAUUAGCUACUAGUUUAUUUGUUUAACUCACUGUGAUUAUUUUUUAUAACAUUGAAAUCGUCGCCUCAUUUCAGUUCGAAAAUGGAGAGAACAUUGGGCUUGAUUUGUGCCCACUGGAGGACCAUUGAGAGUUACAUACCAAGGAUGGCCUUUCCACAUCUUAUAUCAUGGAAGCAUCUCACUGAAAGAAAAUAUAGAGGAAGCACUUGAUGAACCCCGAGGGCUUCAAGUCGUUGCAUAUUGUAUGUUACCUUUUUACUUGAAACUUUGUUGUCUCUACUUAUCUGUGUUUCUCGUACACUUUGAGAUAUCCACCAAGCAAUCAUAUCAGUUGUGGAUAGCUGAAGGUUUCAUUCCAAACAACAAUGAGGCAACUGCUGAGAGAUACUUAGAACAGCUAAUCAAUGGAGGCUUUGUUGAUGCAGGGAAGAGAGGUGACAGAGGCAGAAUCAACACAUGCUCUAUUCCUGGGCAUUGCAGUCCUGCGUUGUUGACUGUGGCUUUCGAGGGGGAAUUUUUCAUUUCCCCAAUCAUGGAUCAGGAAGUUAAAUUAUGGGAAAAUGUGAAACGCUUCACCGCUCAUGGAAAUUUGAAUGAUUUUUCAUUUUUAGAUCAUUUUGACUCGUUCCUCCAUUCCUUGUUGCACCUCACUUUAGGAAGCCACUACCUUGACUCCAAUUAUUGCGAGAAAAUCUAUAAAAUGUUCAAAUUUCUCAGAGUAUUGGACUUGGGAUCUCUUGUUCUCAUUCGAUAUCCUUCCGAAAUCGAAUAUGUAUUUCUUUUGAGAUAUUUGAACUUGAAUAUCCCUUCCCUGAAAAGCCUGCCUUCAUCGUUAUUAAACAGUCUUUUGAACUUGUACACCCUAGACAUGCCCUUUAGCUACAUAGAUCAUACAGCAGAUGAAUUUUGGAAGAUGAGCAAACUGAGGUAUCUAAAUUUUGGCUCAAUUACACUUUCUGCACAUCCAGGAAAAUAUUGCGGCUCUCUGGAAAAUCUCGAUUUCAUUUCAGCCUUGCAUCCUUGCUGCUGUCCUGAAGAUAUAUUGGGCAGACUACCUAAUCUUCGAAAUAUCCAAAUAUGGGGAGAUUUAAUUUAUUAUCAAUCUUUGUUGUCCAAAAUUCUCUAUAGAUUGAGCUGCCUCGAAUCAUUGAAGUUGGCAAAGGAAAGCAAGAUUCCACGGCGAUCCAAUAUCAUCCUUGCUAAAUACCAAUUUCCUCCAAGUCUAACCCACUUGAGUUUUUUGAAUAUUGAGCUAAUGGAUCAUCCCAUGCCGGCACUAGAAAAGCUGGCGGUUCUUCAGUUGCUCAAACUGAAGUAAAACUCGUAUUCAGGUAGAAAGCUGGCUUGUAGCUCUGAUGGCUUUCCAAAACUCAAGGUGCUGCACCUUAAAUCAAUGUUAUGGCUACAAGAAUGGACUAUGGGGAUUAGAGCCAUGCCGAAACUAGAAUGCUCGAUCCUCAACCCUUGUGCUCACUUGAAAAUGAUUCCUGAACAGCUUUGGUGCCUAAAGAGCUUAAACAAAUUAGAGUUGUGGUGGCCUGAGCUGGAGCUGAGACAACAGCUACGGGAAUUCGAGGAUAAGGAGCAGUAUGGCAUUCAGCUAUAUCCAUAUGGAAUUUGAUUAGCGUGGAUGGAAUUUGAUGUAAGUUUUUUUCCUUUUUAUCCAAUAACUUCAACCUCUAAUUAUUUAUCUAAUUUCAUGUAAACAUCUAUUCUGUAUGAUUGAUUCGAUAGUACGCAGCAGCCUAAAUAAUAAUGAUACCAUAAAGUGUUUUCUAUCUAAUUUUUGUCUCAACAAAGACUUGGAAGUGUCCAUCACAUUCCCUGAUGCUGACACUAAUCAUUAAUCUCUUAUUAAUAGAAGAGGCAGAACCCUUAUGUAUUGGUUAUUGAAAUAAUCAAGAAAAACUGUAAAAUAAGAUAUUCAAUUACUUGUAUGUGUAGCAGUGUAGGUCAAAGCAGAGCGGAAAAUAUCUUAACUAUACUGCAGCCAAAGUUUCAAUUUCAAUAAGAAUCCAGCCUUCACUGAAAUUGUGUGGUUUCUCUUUUUUUUUUUAUAAGAAUUGUUUGGUUUCUUUGUUUUCAAGGAUUAUGUCAUAUUCGGAUUAAUAUUUUGUACAAAAGUUUUAUUGAUUGUUUUACUUUCUAUUUUCACAUUCACUGGUGUGUAUUCAAUUUGUCAACAUUGAAGUUGCAUAUAUGUUAUUGUUUUUUAUUUUAUUUUAUUUUUCUAGUUUUUGAGUAGUGAUACAGUUCAAUCUCAUUACUUCAGUUAGACGAAAAAUGUUUGUGCUGUGAUCACACCUCAUUAUCUUAAAACUGACAGAACGAUUUUGUCGUUCGGUUUUUUGGAAUUUCGCCGACGUGUCGUCCAUUGUAAGGGCGACAAUGCUGGUCAAAAGUCAGUUGGGGUUCGUUAAAAUAGUGCGUGGAAAUUUCGGGUUUGUUGGAAAUAGCCUUUAUUGUAGUUUAUAAGGCUGGUUGUUGGGUCAUCUUCACAGGUCUCAUCAAAGCCAUAGAAAGAGAGAGAGUUAAAGGGAAAAAGUUGCAUAUUCUUGGAAUGAUUGUGAAAUGGUCCUUGUUCUUCAGUGGAUGUAGGCACUUUGAUUCAAUUUUGAGUUUCGGUUUCCGGAACGAUUCUUGAUACGUCAAAUAGGGUCUUAGGUGUGUGAUCUUGGUACUAACAGAGGAUUAAACACAACAAAAAAGAAACUGGGGCAUAUUGUCUAAUCUUCAUAGACUCCAAAUAUAUGGAGAUUUUAGCCCUCGUCAAUCUGGGUUGUCCAACAGCCCUUGUAAAAUAAAAAACCAUCACUAAUCCUUGGUGACUUUAGGGAUCCAGUAAGGACUAGGUAGAAUUGAAGAGGAGAUUUAACGAGUAAAGUUCUGAAAGUGGAAGAUUUAAAAUUUAAUCUGUAGCGUUGCAGGUUUUGGAAGCUUCGUUAGAAUUGAUGACUGAAUUCUUUCUCUGUUGGUUGAUUAGUAGCCCAAUUGCACUAAGAGAAUAAAGAGCAGCUGUAAUCGUUUUCACAUUUUCCGUUCCAGCAUCCAGAGGGUGCCUUGUAAUGCAGUGCAAUGAAGUUGAUGGCGUGAGGAUGUGCUGCUGCUCACUCAAUUCCUUACAGUCACAUCAAAGCCCUUGUUUGCAGCAGAGGAAUUCCCUUUUGUAUUCAAAUUAAUCCUUCUGCUUUGGUUGUCAUUGGAUUCUUUCCACUCUUUAGCCAGUAACAUAAUGUUGAGUUUAUUGAUUUUGCUAUCUUAAGAAUGUCCAAGACAUUUUGUAAUCAUGAUAUAUUGUCAUUUUAUUUUGAGACAAAAGACUUUUUUCCCAGUUAGCAAAUGCUUAUUGCUUUCAUUUUUUGGAUUGGAAAAACAAAAAUUGGAAGAAGAAAAAUGAAAAUUAAUAAACAAAAAAAAGAUUACAGGACAGCAGCAUCAUGUUCUUUUCUUUGAACUAAGUCUUUGUUUAACCUUUCACCUUUUCCAUUUUGUGAGUUUGGUAUCUCUUUCUUUUCUUGAACCAAGAUUUUUACUUUACUUACAAGUAAAGUUUAAAUGAUCUUGAUCGUUUAUUUUUCUCUGAACUUAUUUUUCUUUCACAUGCACGAUCAUUUUCAAUUCUAACAAAUCAUUCAUCUAUCAAUACCCAAUUUGAAUAAAAUUCAGCAUUCCUUUUCAUAUUCUUUCUAUGUAAUAAUUUGAUUGUGUUGUUUUUAAUCAAAAUAAGAUAUAUAUCGUCAGGAUAUUGAAGUUUGUGAUCACUUUAAGAAAAAACAGGUAGUUUAAUAUCUGAAUUAUCCACAAAAUAACUCCAUUUUAUUAUUUUUAUAUCAUGAAUGUGAGGUUCAUGAUUUAUUUGCGUUUGAUUCUUGUUUACAAGUUAUGUUUUUCCUCACACGUUUCAUAUGAUCACAAAUCAGAUAAAAAGGGGGAAAUUAAAAAAAAAAGAUUGAAAGCUAGCUUAUUUUGAGUACAAGCAAAAUCUUGCUCAUUUCCAGGGCGAAAGUAGCAGGGACGUUUUGAGGUGUUUUUAAAAAUACAGGGACUAAAUGGACACUAACCUCAUAAUAUAGGGACUAAACAAGCUUUUACCCCAUUUAGAAAUGCGUUGACAAAGAGAUUAAUUUGUCACAUGAUGGUUUCUAGGUAGAAUCUUUCCAAGCUAAUUUGCAUUUUAUAAAAUUUUUCUUUCUAUUCGUUUUACGUAAUGAUUAGUCACCAAUCUUGGUUUGAGAAUGCAUACUCAACAUGAGGUUAUAAGAUUCAUUUCCGGCACUCUACCUUUCAUCUCUUGUAAUUUGACUGUCAGCAAUCUUGAUUUAACUUUUUGAAUGGCAACACUCGGCAUGAUUAAUUAGAGAAGGAGGUAUCAGGCAUAGGGUUCUGAGUAGAGUUUCAUCAACAAUUAAUGCUGGUUAAUGUUUGAAUUGACAGACAUAAAAAUUUCUUAUUAUUAUUAUUUUUAAUCUUUUAAUAAUUGUCUCUCUCAAUUAUGUCUCAAUUUGCAUGUUAGGACCACUAGGCACAGAGAGAGGAGGAGAUAUGGACAUCAACUUCAGACUAUUUUCCGAGAGGCUGGGACGGGUGUUAGCUGGUGAAGAAGUCACGUUGCCUGAUGCUGUAAAACAACCUAUUCAGAACCUUCAUGCGGAGGUUGAAAUCGUUACUUCUUGGCUGAGUGAAUUUGAAGAUGAUAUCUCCUGGCUUCUGAUGCAAAAAAUAGGAGAAGUUGAAAUUGACAACCCAGAUCUUGGGACCGUUAUGGAUGAAAUCAAUUGCUUUACUUAUGAAUCUGAGAAGGUCAUUGACACAUUCAUCAGCAGCAUUACUCAACAGAAGAGACAAAGCGGGCGCAGCAAGGACAUUUGUGAUGCUCUGCUAGGACUCCAAAGCAAAAUCAUUGAUAUAAAACAACGGAUGCAACAAGUUCAGCACUUCGAUUCCGGAAUCAUUGAUGAAGUCAAAUCAAUUGAAGCUGAAGUCGGUAAUUUUCUUGCAUCUUCAUCGUCUAAGAAUAGGGAGACGGUGGGUCUAGAUGAUAGAAUGGAGGAAUUGUUAGAUCUAUUGAUAGAAGGACCACCUCAACUUUCAGCAGUGGCCAUACUUGAUAGCAUUGGAUUGGACAAGACGGCUUUCGCCGCAGAGGCUUACAGCAGCAACUAUGUGAAGCAUUAUUUUGAUUGUCACGCUUGGGUUCCGAGCCUCACAGCUAUGAUGCUCACCGAAUAUUAGAUCUCAUUAUUAAGUUUCUAAUGCCUUCAUCUAGACUGAGUGAAAUGAAGGAUAAAAAUUAUGAAAUGAAAAAAAAAUUCUUCGUGAAUAUUUAAUGACCAAGCGGUAUUUGAUUUUUUUUUAUAAUGUGUGGAGAAUAUCAGCAUGGGAUGUUAUUCGAAAAAUACUUCCCGAUAAUCAAAAUGGAAGUAGAGUAUUAAUAACACUCGCUCAAAUUGAGAUUGUCACCUCAUUUCAGUUUGAAAACGGAGAGAACAUUGGGCUUGAUUUUGUGCCCACUGGAGGAGCAUUGAGAGCUACAUACCAAGGAUGGCCUUUCCACAUCUUGUAUCAUGGAAGCAUCUCAUUGGAAGAAAAUAUAGAUGAAGUAUUGACCAUGUCCCUUGGGCUUCAAUGCAUCAUAUAUUGUAUGUUACCUUUUUGCUUGAAACCUUGUUUUCUCUACUUCUCCGUUUUUCCCGCACACCUAGAGAUAGCCACCAGGCAGUUAUAUCAGCUGUAGAUAGCUGAAGGUUUCAUUUCAGACAAUAAUGAGGCAACUGCUGAGAAGUACUUAGAGCAACUAAUCAACAGAGGCUUUGUCAAAGCAAAUAAGAGAAGAACUGGAGGCACAAUCAACACAUGCUCUAUUCCUGGUCGUUGCCAUCCUGUAUUGUUAGGAGUGGCUUCCGAGGUGGAAUUUAUCUUUUCCCCUUUCAUGGAUACAGAAGGUAAAUCACAAAAAAAUGUCAAAUGUUUCUACGCUUAAGAACAACAGAGUGAUUUUGCUUAGAUGAUUAUGACUCGCACCUGCAUUCUUUGUUGUACUUCACUUCAGAAAGCAACCACCAUGACCCCAUAGAUUGCCAGAAAAUUUGUGAAAUGUUUAAACUUCUCAGAGUAUUGGACUUGGGAUCUCUUGUUCUCAUCCAAUAUCCGUCCAGAAUUGAAAAUUUAUUUCUUUUACGAUAUUUGAAGUUGAAUAUCCCUUCCCUCAAAAGCCUGCCUCCAUCAUUAUUAAGUAAUCUUCGGAACCUCUACACCCUAGAGAUGCCCUUUAGCUAUAUAGAUCAUACAGCAGAUGAAUUUUGGAAGAUGAACAUACUCAGGCAUCUAAAUUUUGGGUCAAUCACACUUCCUGCGCAUCCAGGGAAAUACUGCGGCUCUCUGGAAAAUCUCAAUUUCAUUUAAGCCUUGCAUCCUUGCUGCUGUACUGAAGACAUAUUGGGCAGACUACCUAAUCUUCAAAAUCUCCGGAUAUGGGGAGAUUUAAGUUAUUAUCAAUUUUUAUUGUCCCCUCGAGUCAUUGAAGUUGGUGAACGAAAGCAAGAUGCCAGCUUUCUCCAAAAUUGUCCUAGUUGAGUACCAGUUUCCUCCAAGACUAACCCACUUAAGUUUCUCUAAUACGAAACUUAUGGAGGAUCCCAUGCCCGCACUAGAAAAGCUGCCACUUCUUCAAGUGCUCAAACUGAAGCAAAACCCGUAUUCAGGUAGGAAGCUGACUUGUGGCUCUGAUGGUUUUCCAAAUCUCAAGGUAUUGCACCUGAAAUCAAUGCUAUGGCUAGAGGAGUGGACUAUAGGGACGGGGGCCAUGCCGAAACUAGAAUGCUUGGUUAUCAACCCUUGUGCUUACUUGAAAAAGAUGCCCGAACAGCUCUGGUGCAUAAAGAGCUUAAACAAGUUCGAUUGCUGGUGGCGGCUGAGACAAAAGCUACGGGAAUUUGAGGAUAAGGAACAGUGCGGCAUUCAACUAUAUCCUUACGGAAUUUGAUUAGCCCCCAUUGAAUUUGAUGUAUGUUUCUCAUUUUAACCAAUUUCUUCAACUUUUAAUUAUUUAUCCAAUUUCACAUAUAUUUUUUUCCCUUCUCUUCAAUAUAAAGAUGGUUAUACAAAGUGUUUUCUUUUAAUUUGUCUCAAUAUUGAGUACAUUGAGUACCUUUUAGAGUUUCCGAUACUCACCCCAAUCAUCAAGCCCUCUUUAGCAGCAGUGGAGACUUAAGUACCCUUGUAUAUUCAACCAUGAGCCUAGCAGACAUCGCGUUCAUUUGCUUUAAUAGUUAAGACAAAAAAUGUAAUUAAAAAUUCUUAUUUUUCACAAUUUCUUCAAUAACUUGUGUAGGUGAAAUCAAAGCAGAAAACAACAUAACUGCAGCCCGAGCUUCAAUUCCAACCAGAAUCCUUUCUGUCUUCACUCUGCUGUCUACACAAAUAAAUCCUGAUCCUACGGUGGUGGACUUUUUUUUGGUUUCUUUGUUUCAGCUGUCUAUCCAUAAAUAAGAAAUCUCGCUUAGGAUUUUCAGUUGAGAGUUCAUUGAUUUGUGCUUCGGCCAUGGUUUCGUUAAUUGUGUACAAAAAAUAAAUAAUAUUUGUGAUGCUUUCUGGUGUUGGGUUCAGUUGAAUGUAUUUUCUGUCUUUGUUCUGUUGCUUGCUCUGAAAUCCUAUUUCAAAGGCUGGGCAAGUUUGGCACUCGAUAUGCUUCGUUUACUUCCAGAAAAGAUUGAUUAUUGAUGAACUUCAUACUUGGCUGAAUAUCUUAGUAAACGUUCUUGUGAAGAAAUCCUAAUACCCACUGAGGCACUACAAUAAGGCAGAAAUACUAAUAUUGCUUUACAUGUGUUGAUUGAUUAACAGUUUUGUUCUCUGCUGCUCUUUCUUUAUCUGUUGCAGAAAAUUCCUUCAAUAUGAUUGAUAGUUGCUACUAAUUAUAGAAGCAUUCCUCCUUUGGCUCAUUUCAUGGAAUAUGAAAGACAGAUUACUGAGACAGAGCCACGCUUCUUUACCUUCCCAGAGAAAGUUGAAGUUUGGGCUGCGUACUUGGGAGUGGAAUGAAGAGCGGCAGCAAAAUGAUUACAAGGAUUGCCAUUUACAGGGGCAUUUUUGUGACUACUGAUGUGUCCCUCUAAUGGUUCAAUAAAUUGAAACCACGUCUAGUAAAAGGCUAGAAAAACGCCGUGUUAUAGUAAGCAUCGACUUUCAAUAAUAGAAUUUUGUGUGCAAGUGUGAAGUUCAUCAAUAAUCAAUCUUUAUAACUAUUGCCUACGGUAUAAAAAUAUUUAUAAAAGAGCAAGUAAUUGCAAUCCCUCGUUCAAAUUUAUAACAAAUCAACUAUAAAAAUAUUCAGAGCAAAAUUCAAGAUUAAAUUAUGUUCUAUAUUGGAUCACACGUUAAAAUAGUUAUCAAGAUAUGCAUGUAUAUAAUUAAAUAAAUGUAGAAAUUUAAUUUGGUUUGUUAGCAUUCCAUUAAGAAUAAAUUUAAACAAUUAACUAAUUAAAUCCUCGUUGAAUAAUUAUUAAGCUUCAUUUAAACUAAUAAAAUAUGUUUGUGAUAUGAUAUCUCAUAACAAAUUAACUAACGACUUUGAAAUUUAUGCUAUCUAUCUCAUGAAAUUUAUCAAACUCAUACUUGAUUCUUAGAUCAAGUUACAAAAAUCGUGUGAGGUGAAUCAGUAGAUUAAGGGCUAGCUCAAGUGAAGCUUUGAGGCAGCAGAAUCAACACAUGCCACAUUUUAAUAUUGUCAUUAUUAUUAGCAGUGUAUCAAAUUUGAAAAGUAAUUCCAGUUGUCUUUGUUUCAGCUGUGUACUCAUUAAGUAAGAGAUUUCAUUUCAGCAGAGAGUUGACUGUGUAUAAAAAUAAAGAAUGUUUGUGAUGCUUUCUAGUCUUGGAUUAAGUGGGAUUAAUGUAUUUUCUAUAAAAACUGAUCAAAAAUUUCCUCCCAUGGAUGCAUGCUAAUGCAAAUUAGCUGAACCACGUUGAAUCGAUUUGUCCUCUGUUGGUUCUUUCAAUUCUUUGAUUCAAUUUGAUCUUAAUUGCUUUAUAUCCAUUCAUCAUCAUCUUGUUUCAAUUCCAUUUUCAAUUGAGCUUCAAAUCAGUUCAUUCUUGGUAGCAUCUUGAUUGAUUGGAUUGUGAUAUUGGGCAGCAACUGAGGUAUCUCUGGUUUUAAGCACUCCAGUUGCUACAGUUAGGCACUCAAUCAAUAUGCUUUGUUCAUUUACAGAAGAGAUUUGAUUACUGAUGAACUUCAUGCUUGCCUGACUCUGAUCCCGUGUAGUGGGUUGAGAGGAUUACAUGGAGGUGCUGUUAAAGCUAAGGCAUAAGGCAGAGAAGCAAGCUAUGGAAGCCAAUUAGGUUGAAGACUGUCAAUAAACAAACAUAAUUCGAUUAGCAGUAGGUCGUUAAUACUUAAUAUUUAACGUGAGGAACAAGUUUUUCAGCCUCGCCUCAGAGUGAUAACUACUUCGACUUUGUCUGUUACUUGGAAACUUUGGUGCCUUCCAUGACAAUCAUUUUGUGGCAGCACAGUGAACGAUUCUGUUGCUUUUGCUUUCAAUGAACAGGGCUACCUUACCAGAUAGGGUUAGCAUUUUAUUAAUUGCAAGUGGUAGCUUAUUUAUUCAUUACUUUUGUCUUCUGUGAAUAUAAAACACUGACUAUGUAAUCAUAAUACUUUUUUAAUAAGGAGUAUGAUGAAAAUUAAAAACAAAUAAUGAUUUUGUAAUUAUUUAUUAUGCUCCAAGUCAAUAAAUAUCACAUCAACCCCCAAUAUUUUCUCUGCUACUACUUUCUUAUUGUACUCAUUAUCAAAAUUCUAUAAUAAACAUCAUUUAUGUGUAGGAGAAACUAUUGACUAAACUGACUUUCUUGCGCUACUGGAGUACUAAGAGAAAGAGUUGUGUAGGUCAACCUAAGAUCAAUUUCAUUCAUCAGACUAUUUUCAGAGAGGCUGAGAAGGGUGUUAGCUGAUGAAGAAGUCACGUUGCCUUGUUGAUGCCAAAAUCUGGAUAAGUUGGUCAGAUCUCAGAUUCCUGCAUCAUCAUUAAAUUUGUUUGAUGGGAAGCUGCUGAUUAGUUAGCACCAUGAGCAGAUUUUCUAUGAGCAGACAACCCAUGAGCAGAUAAUCCAUAAGCAGACGAUCCAUGAGCAGAGAACCUAUGAGCAGACAAUCCUUGAGCAGACGAUUCAUGAGCAUACAAACCAUGAGCAGACAACCCAUGAGAAGACAGUCCAUGAGCAGACAAUCCUUGAGCAGACGAUUCAUGAGCAUACAACUCAUGAGCAGACAAUCCAUGAGCAGACAACCCAUGAGCAGACAAUCCAUGAGCAGACGAUCCAUGAGCAGACGAUCCAUGAGCAGACAACCCAUGAGCAGACGAUCCAUGAGCAGAUAACCUGUGAGCCUGUGAACACAACCAACAGUCAAGAGGUGCCGGAUGUUUUUCCGGCGAGAACCCUCCGACACUCAAGUCAGCGAUUUGGGUCUUACUUGGAAAAACUCAUACCACAAUUCAUGUGGUUUAAUUAUGAUUGCUUUAAACAAAAAGCUUUUAAGUAAAUUUAAAGGAAAAGAAUUCGAAAUAAUCAAUCUUAAAGAAAUCACAGGCGAAAGAGAAAUUUCUCAGUUGUAGAGAGAGAAAAAGGUCCAAUGGGUUCAGUUACCCAAAGAGAGAGAGAGAGAGAGAGAGAGAGCUAGAAGAAUCCCCCUUUUUUCCUUCCCCUUCCUAGCGUUUUUAUAGGAAACUAUAGCGGUUUUCAUCCACUCUCCUAAAAUUAUUAAGAAAACUACUAAUUUUUAGCCCACUAAGAAUAUGGUCCCUAAUAUUUCGAAGAAAAUAUUUUGACUGAAUCGUGCUUUUUGGUAACUUCCUGGUCGAGGUGACCAAUAACAUCCUGGCCGAGGUGAUGUGCUCGAGGUCACCACAUAUUAUUCUGGUCGAGGUCACCACAUAUUAUUCUGGUCGAGGUCACCACAUAUUAUUCUGGUCGAGGUGACUAAUAAUAUCCUGGUCGAGGUGAUCUGGUCGAGGUCACCACAUAUUAUUCUGGUCGAGGUGACCAAUAACAUCCUGGUCGAGGUGAUCUGCUCGAGGUCACCACAUAUUAUUCUGGUCGAGGUGACCAAUAACAUCCUGGUCGAGGUGAUCUGCUCGAGGUCACCACAUAUUAUUCUGGUCGAGAUGACCAAUAAUAUCCUGGUCGAGGUGAUGUGCUCGAGGUCACCACAUAUUAUUCUGGUCGAGGUGACCAAUAAUAUCCUGGUCGAGGUGAUAUGCUCAAGGUGACCAAUAACAUCCUGGUCGAGGUGAUAUGCUCAAGGUCACCACAUAUUAUUCUGGUCGAGGUGACCAAUAAUAUCCUAGUCGAGGUGAUCUGCUCAAGGUGACCAAUAACAUCCUGGUCGAGAUGAUCUGCUCAACCAUUGCUCGCUUUUACUCUGGAGGAGAGCACGAUAAUGUAUGAGCAAACACCUUUAUCUUGGUCACCCUAUUUCAUUCCCUAAACACCCCUGAUGCUGCAAAACAACCUAUUCACAACCUUCUCGCCGAGAUUGAAAUCGUUACGUCUUGGCUGAGGGACUUUGAAUAUGAAACGACCUGGCUUCUGGUGGAAAAGAUAGGACACAGAGAAAUUGAAAACCAGAUCUGGCGACCGUUAUGGACGAAAUCAAUUGCUUUACGUAUGAAUCUGAGAAGGUCAUUGACACAUUCAUCAACAGCAUCACUCAACAGAAGAGUCAAAGCAGCUGCAGCAAGGACAUCUGUGAUGCUCUGCAAGGGCUCCAAAGCAGAAUCACUGAUAUUAAGCAACGAAUGCAACAACAUAAGCACAUGGAUUCCGAAAUCAUUCAUGGCAUCAAAACUUUUGAAGCUAAAGCCGGUAUAUCUUCAUCUUCUAAAAGUAGGGACACGGUGGGUCUAGAUGAUAGAAUGGAGGAGUUGUUAGAUCUAUUGAUCGAGGGACCACCUCAGCGUUCAAUGGUGGCCAUACUUGAUAGCAUUGGGUUGGACAAGACGGCUUUCGCCACAGAGGCUUACAACAGUAGUUAUGUGAAGCAUUAUUUUGAUUGUCACGCUUGGAUUACAGAACCUUACAGCAAUGAAUAUGAUGCUGACCAAAUAUUAGAUAUCGUUAUUAAGUUUCUGAUGCCUUCAUCUAGGUUGAGUGAAAUAAUGGAUAAAAAUUAUGAAAUGAAAAAAAUAAUUCUUCAUGAAUAUCUAAUGACCAAGCGGUAUUUAAUUGUGAUUGAUGAUGUAUGGAGCAUUGGUAUGUGCGGAUGUUAUUUAAGAGAUACUUCCUGAUAAUCAGCAUUGGUAUUAAUAACACUCACCGACAUUGAGAUUGUCACCUCAUUUCAGUUCGAAGACGGAGAGAACAUUCGGCUUGAUUUAGUGCCCACUGGAGGACCAUUGAGAGCUAUAUAUAAAGGAUGUCCAUUCCUCCUCUUAUAUCAUGGAAGCAUCUCAUUAGAAGAAAAUAUAGGGGAAGCAGUGCAGAUACCCCUUGUGCUUAGGUAUUUCGAAUAUUGCAUGUCACCUUUUUGCUUGAAACUUUGUUUUCUCUACUUAUCUGUGUUUCCUGCACACCUAGAGAUAUCCACCAGGCAGUUAUAUCAGUUGUGGAUAGCUGAAGGUUUCAUUCUAGACAAUAGUGAGGCAACUGCUGAGAGUUACUUAGAACAACUAAUCAAGGAAGGCUUUGCUGAAGCAAAGAAGAGAAAAGCCGGAGGCACUAUCAACACAUGCUCCAUUCCUGGUCGUUGGGGUCCCCUGUUGUUCUUAGUUCCUUCUCAGGUGGAAUUCAUCUUUUCCCCUUUCGUGGAUGGUAAAUCAGGAAAAAAAGCCUUAUUGUUCUUGACUUCUUGUGCUUACUUGAAAAAGAUGCCUGAACAGCUCUGGUGCAUAAAGAGCUUAAACAAUGUCAAGUGUUGGUGGCCUCAGCCGGUGCUGAGACAAAAGCUACGGGAAUUCGAGGAUAAGGAGCAGUAUGGCGUUCAGCUAUAUCCUUACGGAAUUUGAGUAGCCCCUAUUGAAUUUGAUGUAUGUUUCUCGCUUUACCCAAUUUGUUCAACUUUUGAUUAUUUAUCCAAUUUCAUAUACUUUUUUUCCCCUUCUCUUCAAUAUAAAAAUGGUUAUACAAAGUGUUUUCUUCUAAUUUGUCUCAGCAUUAAGUACCCUUUAGAGUUUUCGAUGCUCACCCCAAUCAUCAAUCCCUCUUUAGCAGCAGUGGAGACUUAUGUACUCUUCCAUAUUCAACCAUGAACCUAGCAGACAUCGGUGUUCAUUUGUUUUAGUAGUUAAGAAAAAAAAAUGUAAUUUAAAAUUCUUAUUUUUCACAAUUUCUCAAUGACUUGUGUAGGUGAAAUCAGAGCAGAAAACAUCAUGACUGCAGCCCGAGCUUUAAUUUUCAACAAGAAUCCUUUUCGUCUUCACUUCUGUUGUCUACACAAAUAAAUCCUGAUCCUACGGUGGUGGACAUUUUUAGGUUUCUUUGUUUCCGCUGUCUGUUCAUAAAUAAGAAGUUUCGUUUCAGAUUUUCAGUUGAGAGUUGAUUGAUUGGUGCUUCAGCCACGGUUGGCUAAUUGUGUACAAAAAAAUAAAUAAUAUUUGUGAUGCCUUUCUAAUCUUGGAUUUAGUGGAAUGUAUUGUCUGUCUUUGUUCUGUUGCUUGCUUUGAAAUCCUGUUUUAAAGGCAUGUUUGACACUCAAUAUGUUUGGUUUAUUUUUAGAAAAGAUUGAUUAUUCACGGACUUGAUACUUGGUUGACUCUCUUAGUAAAUGUUCUUGUAAAGAAAUCCUAAGAUUCUCUUAGGCCUUUUUCUUUUUUUUCCUAUGAUGAAUUGUGCUCACUACGGUAGGCAUAUCCACCUAGGCAGUAAAUAGAUUCUAGAAAUAUUCCUUCUUUGUCUCUUUUUUCUUUUCUUUCCCUUUUGUUUUUUUGAAAAUGGUUUAUUAUGAUGUUAAAGAGGUGUCUAGACAUUGAGUGGAAAAAGAAAAUACUACCGAAUGCUAGAGGCUUAUUUGAACUUGGUAAAACCAGCGUCAUAGAUGUGAUAUUUUUCUCAUUCCAAGGAAUAUGAAAAAUAUAUUACAACAUUGCACAAUUCACUAUUUUUUUGGCACCCUUAUGUCGCUGUUAGAACUCUUUAUCAUUUUUCGUUUCUUAAAAAAGAAUGUUAAAAAGAUCCCCAAAUUUAUGCGGGAUAUGUAUGUAGUUUUAAAAUGAAGAUAUAUUAAAUAUAAAAUUUUACAAAGGAUUUAGUACUUUCUCUAAAUCUCGUUGAAAAAAUAAGAUAGUAUCGUACAUGAUUAAUAGUGCAUAUAUAUUUGAGUAAUUUUACAUUUAUAACCUUGGGAUACAAAUUUUAUCUGUGAUAUACAUACAUGCAAGUCUCGCAAUAAAUUUAACACACCAGGCAUGAUUUUGCGGAGAAGUCUAUGUUGCGGAGAAGCCCAUGUCCUAAUUUUGCAUUUUUCCACAGCAUAAAUUAUUAAAUAAGUCUCGCAAUAAAUUUGACCUUUCCUUUCUUAAAAGUGGAUGUAUAAAACAAAUUGGUCUUGAUCGAUGCUUGACGAUGUCCUGUUCAUUUUUCUCUACUUUAUGCUUUUUACAACAUAUAGAAGAUAAGAGUAUUGUAAGAUUCUGCCUUGAUCUGUUCGAUCAAAAGAAAAAGCCAUUUUGGAGUUUUAUCAACAAUUUCCUUGUGUAGGCGGAGAUCCCGGAGUACUCCUAUGGUCGAUCUGUCACCCAACCUACUUAAGGCUUGGCCCCGUCCCGUUUGGAGAAUGACCCUUAUGGCAUGGCUUAGUUAGUUAUUCUCGCAGUUCAGAUAAGAUUCGGGCCCCCAUCCUGAUUUGUCUCUGGGCAUCCUUAGCCAAAUACAUUCUACUUUCGUUGUGGCAAUGUUAUGGUACGGUAAAGAUAAUGGAUGACAUUGAUGAAAGGCAUCCUUAAAUUCAAGUUGUCUACACCACAUUGUUUCCAUUCAGGGACUGGUCUUAGAAAUGAAGAUAGAAGGCCAUUUCUGCAUUGGCAGGUUACGGUUUUGAGAGUCAACGAUCUUGAUUCAGCUUCUUGACUGAAGAACUAGCUAAGCAAAGGGAGGUAUGAGAGUGUUGUGAAAAUUUUAAUAUACUCGCAAGCGCACGAAUCUAGAAAUAGAAUAGUGGUAACGAGGUCGAUCCCACAGGGAUUGUUAUAAAUUGGAAAGUCUAAUUUAAAUCUAAAAGUAAUAUUAAUUCUAACCUAGUUGAGCAAAUUGAGUUUUAAGAGAAAUUAAACUAAUUAAACUAAGAAAACAAUUAAAGUAAAUGAGAAUUCAAUGAGAUAAAAAUUACCAAGGUUUCAGAAUCCACCACUAUUCAACUAGUAAUUAUCUAAAUAUUCAUUAAUCCCCAAUUUUAGAGUAACAACUCGAAAUCAAUCUAUGUCAUCUCAUUGAUAUAACAAUUAAGCCCAAAUAAAAUUAAUCUUGUGUAGGUUCUUUUUCUGCUUAAUAAUAUGACAUCUAAGAAUCUCAUGUAAACAUAUUGAAUAACAAAGAGUCAAAGUUUCCCUAAGCACUCUAUGUAAACAAUUUAAUGAAAGACAUAAAAUCAAAGAUAAUCAUGUAUAAACUUUAAAGAUCCAAGCAUAGAUUUCAUCGAAUAUUAAUCCUAACAAUCAAUAAUGCAUGACAGAAUUGAUGAAAAGAUUUUAAUAACAUCCAAUUAAUUAUGUGAAAUAAAAACCAUAAUCAUUAAAGAAUAUAUAUAGGGAAUUAAUUAAAUAAAAAGAGAUAAUUAUUUCAUUGAAUAGGGUUUCAUCCUUAACCUCAGUGUAAGAAAAUUAGUUAGACAUACUUGAAUUGGAAGCAACAAAAUAAAUAAAUUCAGCCAUGGGGAAGCCGAAUUGCUGCAGAUUUUCUUCUCUAUCUUGAAUCCUUGCGUCUGCAGUUCUCUUCUUCCUCUCGUGGCCCUCCUCUCACAAAAGCCAAAGUUCAGCUUUUAUAUUGUAACACCCUCCAAAAUCCUCAAAUCAAAAGGAUUUAAAACAAGCCAAGCACAACCGACUUUGAGCCCAUGCACUUGGAGCCCACUUGGAAUUUUCAUUCUUUUUGUAAUGCCAUGCAAUUGCUUCUCACGUGCAGGCCACUUUAGCUUUAAAUUUCUUCUUUGUUUGCACCAGCAUGGAAAAUUCAAUUUAUUGGCUUUUUUUUCAGAUUGAAUUUCAUAUACAUUUACUUAACUGCUUCUACAAAUUGACUUGAUCUUCAAUGUUGUUCAGUUGUUAUUCUUUAUGCACUUUUUAUCCAUAAUCUCCAAUUAAUUCCCUAUUCAAUAAAACAAUUCAACUAAUUAAAAAUAACAAAUAAAUAUAACUAGUAUGCUCAUCAGGGAGCCAGCACAAAGCUUUGAAUUGAGAGUUUUAAAGCAUAUUUUCCUUUUCCCCUCUCUUUUAAUUAUUUCUUUGCAUGCUACAGGACUGAUUUCAGGGUGAAUAUGAGAGAGGAGGAGAUAUGGACAUCAAGUUCAGACUAUUUUCAGAGAGGCUGAGAAGCGUUUUAGCUGGUGAAGAAGUCACGUUGCCUGAUGCUGCAAAACAACCUAUUCAUAACCUUCAUGCCGAGAUUGAAAUUGUUACUUCUUGGCUGAGUGAAUUUGAAGACGACAUGUCCUGGCUUCUGCUGCAAAAAAAAAGGAAAAGAUGAAAUUGACAACCCAGAUCUGGCGACCGUUAUGGACGAAAUCAAUUGCUUUACCUGUGAAUUUGAGAAGGUGAUUGACACAUUCAUCAACAGCAUCACUCAACAGAAGAGUCAAAGCAGCUGUAGGAAGGACAUUUGUGAUGCUCUGCAAGGACUCCAAAGCAGAAUCACCGAGAUUAAUCAACGGGUUCAACAACUUAAGCACAUCGAUUCCGAAAUCAUUGAUGAGUUCAGAAGGGCUGAAGUUGAAUCCAGUUAUUUUCUUGCAUCUUCAUCUUCUAAGAAUCGGAACACGGUGGGUCUAGAUGAUAGAAUGGAGGAGUUGUUAGAUCUAUUGAUCGAGGGACCAAAUCAGCUUUCAGUGGUGGCCAUACUCGAUAGCAUUGGGUUGGACAAGACGGCUUUCACUGCAGAGGCUUACAACAGUAGUUAUGUGAAGCAUUAUUUUGAUCAUCUAGCUUGGAUUCCAGCGCCUUAUCACUAUGACGCUUACCAAAUAUUAGAUAUCGUUACUAUGUUUCUAUUGCCUUUUUCUAUGUUGAGUAAAAUAAAGGAUAAAGAUUAUGAAAUGAAAAAAAUUAAUCUUGGUGAAUAUCUAAUGACUAAGUGGUAUUUGAUUGUGCUUGAUGAUGUGUGGAGCACAAAUGUAUUGGAUGUUGUUCGGGAAAUACUUCUGGAUAAUCAGAAUGGAAGUAGAGUGCUAAUCACACUCACUCGAAUUAAGAUGGUCACCAGAUUUCAAUUUGAAAACGGAGAGAGCGUACGGCUUGAUUUAGUGCCUACUGGAGGACCAUUGAGAGUUACUUAUCAAGGAUGGCCUUUCCUCAUCUUAUAUCAUGGAAGCAUCUCAUUAGAAGAAAAUAUAAGGGAAGUAUUCGAGACACCCUUAGGGCUUCUAAUUGUAAUAUGUUGCAAGCUACCUUUUCACUUGAAACUUUGUUUUCUCUACUUAUCUGUGUUUCCCGCACACCUAGAGAUAUCCACCAGGCAGUU